UACAAAAUUAGUUAUAGCGAGCAAGCGCACAGGGCACAGCUUGAUAGCAACUAUUACUACGACUCAAGAGUUAAGACAGACUCGAUCGCUGAAAAGUAGCAUAAUACACUAAUGCAUACAUAAGUUGGCUCGACAACGAUGAUGCAGCAAACUACAUAAGGAAGCCAAAUAGGAUACAUCAACAACCCUCCUUCGUCUUUGCAGCUAGCUAGGUUAAUAAUCGCAACCGAACUUCUACUGUGCUCGGCCGGUAGGUGGAUGUGAAGUGGCAGCGGCGUCGGCGAGGUCAAUGUGCUCUUGAACGAACUUCUCCAAGGUUUUCCUGUGGUCCUUGAAGGCCAUGAUGUUGUACUCCCUGAUCGUCGUAGUGUUGGCCCCGAAGACAGUCUUCUCAAAGAGGUUGAUGAAAAGGUCGAGCUGGUCAUGCACGAUGAGGCGCUGUGCAGCAAGGGCGACCUCCAGGCAGACCUCCGCAGGUGUGGCCACGGGCAGCUGCACGCCCAUCAGCGCGCGGAAGAGAUCAUCUCCAUAAAGGCCGGCGAGCUGGGCAGCGGGGGAGAUGCCGCAGCGGCGGCCUUUCGGGCUGCGCGUGGCCUGGAGGCGCGCGCUGAUGUCGUCCAUCUUCCUGGUGAACUUGCUGAAUUUGACAAGGAAGUCAUCCAUCCUCCUUGUGAGUGAAUCCGCGUCAUCGGAGAGACAAUGCAUCAUGGCGCCCAUCAGCACCGGCUGGAGGCGUCCCAGAGUGUCAGGGUGCGGGUGGGUGUCCCGAGCCGCCUUGAGAACACGAUUGUAAUUUAUACCAAGUGCCGCUAUGCCUACGCCAAGGUAGGAGUACACAUAGAGGGGUUAAUAAUCACACACAGUUCUCCAUUUAACAAACAUAAAUGUGUAGAAACAAUAUGCGAUUCACAAGAAGAUAUAGUAAGAGGCCAAAAAUUACAACUUCACAAAAGCUAUUCAGGUUGCGAAAAUUAGAUGGCUAAUAUCCAGCUCCCAAAGAUGUCCUCUGCUGUUUCAGAUUGGAAAACUAAUGAAUAACAGGUUCCACUAUGAACUGCCCCAAAAAGCAUGAACCUUUACAGGAUGAACUAGCACGAAUUGAACCCUUGAGAAUAUCCCAAAAAUGGUGUAUGAGUUAACUGCAUACUAGGAAUAAUAAUAAAUUGCCUGAAAUCUGCACAAGAACAGAGCAAUCGAAUCACAUCUGGGCUUAGGGUUCAAUGGGGAUAGGGGCGGAGGGGAUUUACCGCGCUCAGUGUCGGACAUUGUGCAGCCGGCGUUAGGGCCCGUACCGCGGAAGAAGCGGCCAGGCGGAUACAUACUGGAGGUGAGGAAAAUGCGGGCGCAGCGGGGCGGCGGGCGGCGGGCGGAACUCCGGUGACGGGACGGCGGACUGGGGACUGGAGUCUAAUUUGGGUGCGAAUCUGCAGUGCGGCGAUUUGGCGUGUCAGGGUCGAGCUUCGGUAAAUGGAGAAAACCCACGAAUACGGACGUCGCGCCAGCUCGGGCUGGGCCGUGGACCAGGACCGUAGCUUCCCCGCUAGACCGUGGACCAGGUCGUAUGUUUUUUUAUCUGGGCCAUGGAUCAGAUAAUGAUCCAUGACGGUGGUUGCUGUCUGAGCCGCCUGUCGGUCGGCGGGGGACUCUCGGUGCGUCAGUUCUAAAGAAAAAAAAAGAUAUCUCCUUUCUUUUUCGUGGUUCAUUUUAGAGGACCCUCGUCGAUUUUUGGCCAUCCCACACAUGCCUUCGCUGUUGUUGUGAGAGAUACGUAACACUUGAUGACUUAUACUUUCUCCGUUCGGAAUUAUUUGUCUCGGAAAUGGAUGUAUCUAGAACUAAAAUACGUCUAGAUACAUCCAUUUCUAUGACAAGUAAUUCCGAACGGAGGGAGUACACAAUAAGACAUCACAUUUCUCACAACGACUUUGGAGUGCACACAACCCCCACAAUGUGAGUAAGCAAGAUGACACACUUCUAUAGCCUGGUCUUGGUCGCAGUCACACUGAACAAAAACAUUUGGGUCUGGUGGUCUUCUAUAGAAAGUCUUUUAUUUUGAAACUCCUUCGCCGCCCUAAGCGCUACUGUCAGAAAACCCUAAGCAUAUCUAGGAGUAGGGAACGAGGCACUUGGUUCCCCGCCCCUUCACCACUGGAGCAACAGGUAGAGGAAGCAGGGGCAUGUGGGCCCAUCACCGAUGGUGGACGGCAUGGCACUAGCUAAGCUUGUAAACAUGAAAAUCGGAGUAGCUACAUGCUCCGAUACCAAAUUGGGUUGGACAAUAAAAACAUUUGAUUUGCAUUCACUCUCCCCUUGCAUGAGUGGAGUAGAUAAAAAGUUAGGGAGGGAAUUGUUUAUACUAAUUUGUGUCAAAAUCAAGCCCAUGUUGCAAGAGGUCACAAAAAUGGCUAUACUGGAGACAAACAUAAAAUUUGACACAUAUGCCAUAUGUUGUUGUGUGUUAGAGAUUUGGCUUUGGUCACAUCAUGGAUGCCCUAGAAGAGAGGGUUUCUAUUUCUAUCCCAACUUACUUUUAUGGGGUACUACUAUAUCUCCUUUAUUAUAAGCAGCAACGGGAGUUAUUGCUCACUAGCAUUGGCCGUAUGGGCCAGCCUCGUGAGGUGGCUUGUGCCUUCUAUUGUUUUAUUUUGUUGUCUUCUUUCAUAAUUUUUUCCUUUCCUUUAUUUCACGUUCACUAUCUAUCUACCUCUUGUUGUUACUUCCCUUUUAAUGAUUUAUUGUUGGCUUUAUUUCCUUUUGUAAAUAACAAAAGAAUCUUAAAUAGAAAAAAUGUUAGGACCGAGAGUAUAUCGACCGGAGGGGGGGGGGGUGAAUGGGAGAUUCAAAUUUUCUUUCGAAAGCUUUGAAACUUAAUCCACACAUCACAGCGGAAUGUAGUAUUGAAAGAAAUGCUUUGAAUCAGAGUUCUUCGUUAGAAGCAUAUUCAUCUAGAAAAGCAUUUAUAACAGAGCAAGCUUGAUGGAUAAUGGGUUUAAUUACGAUGAGAGUUAUACAACAAGAAAACAAGUGUAACAGAAUGAACCGAAACACAACGAACACUAAAGGAAAUGCAAUGACAGAGUUACUAGGAUUCAAACUAAUAAUGUAGGAAUAAGGACGAAGAUAAUGAAAUGAUUUGAAGCUACAACACAUGAUAAGCGGCACAUAACAGAACAAAGAUCAAAGAAUCUAGUGGCACUGAGCGCGAAUGAAAACUACUGAAUGAAUUGUAGUAGAGUAGAUAUAACCAGUGGUGCUCAAUGGUGACAAGAGAUUUGGUAGACCAGUUCACCCUUCUGCCAAAGCGCUACCUCUAGUUAGAGGGGCUGUGACUUAACACGGAAGAUAAACUCUCUUCACCAUAUUGUCCUUCAACACAGAGCUGAUCAGACUCAGGUUGAUUUCACUCGUGGUAGAUCCUUGUCGGCAAUCUCCAAACCUUCGAUCGACUUUCGCGAACCACAAUCACUCUUGGUUGCUGAAGAACAGGCUCGGUGAAGACAACAACUCUUCAACACUCAAAGCCAAACCUAUCCGUCUAGAGAGUGUGGAGCUCUCAAGAGUAACAGGUACAAGAACUCUCACUCAUAACUGCUGUGAUGCUAAACCACUGUCUAAGUUUGGGCUCUUGGUUCUCUCUCGGUGGAUCUUAAACUCAAAUCGCUCAAAGAGGGGUUGCUCAAAUCAAUCUUUUAGAAAUCUCAAGUGGAGUAUCCAACGAAUAACGUUGGAGAGGGGUGGCUAUUUAUAGCCACAGCCUUCCCAGAUGGGAAAUGACCAAAUUGUACAUCGGCCUCAGGCAAUGGCCGAAUGACACAUUUCCUACGGUUGGAUUUGAGCAUAACAGUAACAUUCCUUGCGGAGCAAGAAAUGCUAACUCCUCGGUACGAGGCAAAUCUCUCACAGCGAUGAAGAUCACAGUCUCUUGCUGACACGUAUUUACUCGGAGCACAAAGAGAUUUAUCUCGCAUCUUUUAUAGGUUGUAUCUAAGCAUCACAGCUGAUCUAAGCAACGAGAACCUAUACCCCUGUUAAUAGCACAGAGGUCCUAUGACUCAAAAGACUGAAAGAAGAAAAACUCAAUGAAUACUACGUUUUCAUUUUGUCUUCGACUUCAAUCGUUGUAGUCAAUUACUUCAGACGACAUUAUUGAAACAGAAAGCUUCUCUAUAGCAGCAAAUCGUUUGAGUGGUCUAUUUCUUCACAUCUUCUCGACUCUAUCACUUCAUCAGAUGUAGCUCGUUCUUCUCUAAGCGCAGAUAUGCUUCGGUGCAGUUCCUCGAACUCAGCAUCGGAGACAGCAUUCUCUUCGGUUGUGUAUGGACUUUUCUCUCUGUGUGCACUAGCAAACACAUUAGUCCAUACCCGUUUCUGUCAACAAUCUCCAAAACUCAAGAUAGGCAAAUAUUGCACCAACAAUCUCCCCCUUUUUGGACGAUUAUUGACAAAACAGAUCACAUCAACUGAUAGAUAAUGAAUGGAAUGUAAUGCAUAGAAUAAUGAAUUAUGAGAGAAGAUUAUGAAGAUAAUAUUUUCUCCCCCUUAAGUUAUGCUUUGGUUUGGGAAAAUUUAUUCCUCUUCAUAUGAGUGUCAUUUAUUAAAAUUUCAUACUUGAGUACUUUCAGUGCACUCCACGGUGUCUGAGGUAGUUCUCGUCACACAAACUUUGACAAGGGUUAGAUGAGAAACAUGGUGAGUUUUGUGACGUGGAUAAAUCAUGAAGGUUUUGUUAAAGCACAAUUUUAGAUCCACAUGAGGCAUAAUUUUCCUGCAAGUUAGAUGUACGAUAAGAUCAAAGAAGGAACAAAUGAUAGUUUCUUGCUCAGAGUGGAUAAGCUUCGAAGAUGUUUUACCUUGUAAUAAGAUGAAGCAUAUGAUAUCUGCUACCUCUUGAGCACUGCGUUGGUUUUCCCUUGAAGAGGAAAGGGUGAUGCAGCAAAGUAGCGUAAGUAUUUCCCUCAGUUUUUGAGAACCAAGGUAUCAAUCCAGUAGGAGGCUCCACGUAAGUCCCUCAUACCUACACAAACAAAGAAGAACCUCGCAACCAACGCGAUAAAGGGGUUGUCAAUCCCUUCACGGCCACUUGCAAAAGUGAGAUCUGAUAGAGAUAAUAAGAUAAGAUAAAUAUCUUUGGUAUUUUUAUGAUAUAGAUUGGAAAGUAAAGAUUGCAAAAUAAAGUAGAUCGGAAACUUAUAUGAUGGAAGAUAGACCCGGGGGCCAUAGGUUUCACUAGUGGCUUCUCUCAAGAUAGCAUAAGUAUUACUGUGGGGUGAACAAAUUACUGUGAGCAAUUGAUAGAAAAGUGCAUAGCUAUGAGAAUAUCUAGGCAUGAUCAUGUAUAUAGGCAUCACGUCUGCGACAAGUAGACCGACUCCUGCCUGCAUCUACUACUAUUACUCCACACAUCGACCGCUAUCCAGCAUGCAUCUAGAGUAUUAAGUUCAUAAGAACAGAGUAAGCAUUAGGCAAGAUGACAUGAUGUAGAGGGAUAAACUCAAGCAAUAUGAUAUAAACCCCAUCUUUUUAUCCUCAAUGGCAACAAUACAAUACGUGCCUUGCUGCCCCUGCUGUCACUGGGAAAGGACACCGCAAGAUUGAACCCAAAGCUAAGCACUUCUCCCAUUGCAAGAAAGAUCAAUCUAGUAGGCCAAACCAAACUGAUAAUUCGAAGAGACUUGCAAAGAUAACCAAUCAUACAUAAAAGAAUUCAGAGAAGAUUCAAAUAUUUCUCAUAGAUAAACUUGAUCAUAAACCCACAAUUCAUCGAAUCUCGACAAACACACCGCAAAAAGAGUUAUAUCGAAUAGAUCUCCAAGAAGAUCAAGGAGAACUUUGUAUUGAGAUUCAAAAAGAGAGAAGAAGCCAUCUAGAUAAUAACUAUGGACCCGAAGGUCUGUGGUAAACUACUCACAACUCAUCAGAGAGGCCUUGGCGAUGAUGUAGAAGCCCUCUGUGAUCGAUUCCCCCUUCGGUGGGGCGCCGAAAAAGGGCCCAACACUACUAGAAAAUAGGUUGUUAGUGGCGCACCAGUUUUUGCUAUUAAUGGCACACUAUAGGUGCGCCAUUAUUAACACGCCACUAGUAACAAAUAGUAAUGGCGCACCUCUGGUGCGCCAUUUAGUAUCCCAGAUGAUAGUGGCACACCACAUCAUGCGCCAUUACUAUGUCCAACAAUGCGCCAUUACUAUGCCUCAUAGGGGCCCAUAUUUACCUUCACGUAUGCCCCCAAGUGCGCCAUUACUAUGCCCCAUAAUGCGCCACUGGUAUUUAGCCUUGGUGCGCCACUAAUGCUCAAUAUGGUGCGCCACUACGGGGGGCCAUAUUUGCCACUAUGAAUAUUAGGAAUUAUUAUUUUUUGCUUUUCUGGUAUUUGCACAGGUUACAAAAUACGUUACAUCACAGAAUAUAAACAUCACACAAUAGAAUUCAUCAUAUUAGUCUUCAAAUUCGAAAUAGCAAACAAAGUUCAAACAUUAGCCAAGUUUAGGUCUCGAGACAUUAGCAAAGUUCAUCAUAUUAGCCGAGUUUGUCGUCACAUUACAAAGUCGAUAUCGAUCAUCUAAACUACCAUCACAUAGAAGAGAGCUGCGGUCACGAUGAGCAUCAUCGCGAUGAAACUGGUCUUCAUCCGGUUCCUCCUCUGCUCCCUCCUCUCUCCCGCUAGAUAGCGCGCGUAUCUAGCUUCCACCUCCGCCCUAGUGGUGUACCCUUUGUAACUGUUACCACUGAAAUGGUGAACUUGUCUCCGACACUCCUCCCAGUCGUCGUAGACUCCAGGAACCUUACCCUUGUACACGACAUAUGACGGCAUCUCUAUGCACUAGACAAACAAAACGUUAGUAGCAAUUCACAGAUAAUAUAUAAGCAAUAUAUAAGUAUGCAACAAAAGGAUCGGAAGAGAAAAGAAACACAUUAAUAGCACGAUUCAUGGUCCUACUAAUAAAUAGCAUCGAUUACAUAUAAGUUGAACAACUCUCCAAACUAAAGAGACAUACAAGUUCAUUAAAGUUUAAUUACAACAUGAGCUAAUCGGUAUUUCAGAACUGCAUGGCAUCAAUACUUUAGACUCGACUCAGGGACCGGAGCGUGGAUGAAGCCGCCGUCUAUCGUGAUGGUCAUGAAUGUGCGGUCGUUGUCAUCCUGCAUUUGUAGCGUUGUUUCUAUUUCACUGUUGGACAGUUGAUAUUUGAGGUAGAACUGCCCCGAGGUACGAAGGACAUCUUGAAAGAUGAUUUCCGCAAACUCCGGCUGGAUGCGAAAGAAUUCAAGUCCGAUGUCCGCGUCCUAGAUCGCCGACAAGCAUGCGGCCCAGUCUUUGAGAUUAUUUGGUAGCAUAAGGUGAUUAUGGUCCCGUACGAUCGCCCGCAUGUGAUGGAGGGUGUAGUAGGCAUCCUUCUGACUGCCAGGCGGCUGCUUGACGCAGGGGAACAUCGUUACGUGGGUGAACACGUGCUUGCCAUACCUACAAGUUGGCCUCCUGAAGGUGCCUCCAGAUUUGGUGUAGCCGGGGAGAGCAUCAUCAAGAACUUUCUUGAUAUUUAUGUAGUCUUUCUUCGACUGACGGUCCGAGUCGAAACUGAAGGAAAUAUGCCCUAGAGGUGAUAAUAAAGUUAUUAUUUAUUUCCUUAUUUCAUGAUAAAUGUUUAUUAUUCAUGCUAGAAUUGUGUUAAACAGAAACAUAAUACAUGUGUGAAUACAUAGACAAACAUAGUGUCACUAGUAUGCCUCUACUUGACUAGCUCGUUAAUCAAAGAUGGUUAAGUUUUCUAACCAUAGACAUGAGUUAUCAUUUGAUUAACGGGAUCACAUCAUUAGGAGAAUGAUGUGAUUGACUUGACCCAUUCUGUUAGCUUAGCACUUGAUCGUUUAGUAUGUUGCUAUUGCUUUCUUCAUGACUUAUACAUGUUCCUACAACUAUGAGAUUAUGCAACUCCCAUUUACCGGAGGAACACUUUGUGUGCUACCAAAUGUCACAACAUAACUGGGUGAUUAUAAAGGAGCUCUACAGGUCUCUCCGAAGGUACAUGUUGGGUUGGCGUAUUUCGUGAUUAGGAUUUGUCACGCCAAUUGUCGGAGAGGUAUCUCUGGGCCCUCUCGGUAAUGCACAUCACUAUAAACCUUGCAAGCAAUGUGACUAAUGAGUUAGUUGCAGGAUGAUGCAUUAUGUAACGAGUAAAGAGACUUGCUUGUAACGAGAUUGAACUAGGUUUUGAGAUACCGACAAUCGAAUCUUGGGCAAGUAACAUACCGAUGACAAAAGGAACAACGUAUGUUGUUAUGCGGUUUGACCGAUAAAGAUCUUCGUAGAAUAUGUAGGAGCCAAUAUGAGCAUCCAGUUCCGCUAUUGGUUAUUGACCGGAAACGUGUCUCGGUCAUGUCUACAUAGUUCUCGAACCCGUAGGGUCCGCACGCUUAAGGUUUCGAUGACAGUUAUAUUAUGAGUUUAUGAGUUUUGAUGUACCAAAGGAGUUCGGAGUCUCGGAUGAGAUCGGGGACAUGACGAUGAGUCUCGAAAUGGUGGAGACAUAAAGAUCGAUAUAAUGGACGACUAUAUUCGGACUUCGGAAAGGUUCCGAGUGAUUCGGGUAUUUUUCGGUGUACCGGAGAGUUACGGGAAUUCGCCGGGGAGUAUAUGGGCCUUAUUGGGCCAUACGGGAAUAGAGGAGAGAGGCCAAAAGGAAGGAGGCCUGCGCCCCCCCUCUAGUCCGAAUUGGACAAGGGGUGCAGCCCCCUUUUCCUUCUCCCUCUCCCCCUCUUUCCUUCUCUACUACUCCAACAAGGAAAGGAGGAGUCCUACUCCCGGUGGGAGUAGAACUCCCCCCUUGGCGCGCCCUCCUCCUUGGCCGGCCGCCUCCCCCCUUGCUCCUUUAUAUACGGGGGCAGGGGGCACCCCAUAGACACACCAAUUGAUCACUUGAUCUCUUAGCCGUGUGCGGUGCCCCCCUCCACCAUAGUCCCGUGUGCGGUGUCAAAACCGGCGGAUCUCGGGUAGGGGGUACCGAACUGUGCGUCUAGGCGGAUGGUAACAGGAGAUAAGGGACACGAUGUUUUACCCAGGUUCGGGCCCUCUUGAUGGAGGUAAAACCCUACGUCCUGCUUGAUUGAUAUUGAUGAUGUGGGUAUUACAAGAGUAGAUCUACCACGAGAUCAAGGAGGCUAAACCCUAGAGGCUAGCCUAUGGUAUGAUUAUUGUUGUCCUACGGACUAAAACCAUCCGGUUUAUAUAGACACCGGAGAGGGCUAGGGUUACACAGAGUCGGUUACAAUGGUAGGAGAUCUACAUAUCCGUAUCGCCAAGCUUGCCUUCCACGCCAAGGAAAGUCCCAUCCGGACACGGGACGAAGUCUUCAAUCUUGUAUCUUCAUAGUCUUGGAGUCCGGCCGAUGAUGGUAGUUUGGCUAUCCGGACACCCCCUAAUCCGGGACUCCCUCGGUAGCCCCCGAACUAGGCUUCAAUGACGACGAGUCCGGCACGCAUAUUGUCUUCGGCGUUGCAAGGCGGGUUCUCCUCUAAAUUCCAUGUGCCUGAUGAAUAGUGUCCGGCUUCCUCAUAAAUGUUGCGCUCCUUGGCUUCCACGUCCAAUAAUGGCCCUCUUCCACGUGUCGUAUGAAUGCGAAAAGCUAGGGUAUUUUUGCGUUUUACUCCCUAACCGCGCGAAUGAGCUGCCUAUAAGAGAGGCGUGGAUCUAGAUCCAAAUCCACCAUCCUCCUUUCGCAAGUACUCAUCGAAGCGCCUCUGACCAAAAUCCAUUCCAUCAUGGAUAGUCGACGCGGCUCCUCCUCUCGCGCUCCCAGCCCUCAGCCAGGAGAUUGGAGGAGAUGUUCAGUUCCGCAUAGCGAGCUGGUGAUGCUCCAAGCAGAGGGAUAUCUUCCCCCGGCCUUCAUGGUUCCGGUUCAAGCCGGACUGGCCACCUACAAGGGUGGGAAGCAGGCAGAGAGCGCCCCCAAUCCCUCUCGAGGAGAGCGGGUAUGCUUCGUCCCUUAUCUAAUAAGGGGACUCAGAUUUCCCAUACAUCCGUUUCUCCGGGGGCUCCUGGAGUUCUAUGGACUCCAGCUUCACCACCUUACACCUGCCUCCAUUUUGCACAUUGCGGGUUUUGUAGCUCUUUGCGAGCUGUUCUUGGGCAUCGAUCCCCAUUUUGCGCUGUGGAAGAGAUUGUUUUGUCUCGUACCCCCUUCUCACGAGGGGUCGAUAUAUCAAGUGGGCGGAGCCGAAAUAUGGCGCAUCGCCGGAACCGGAUAUCUAUCCGAAACCCCAAAGAAGGCGUCCGAAGACUGGCCUUCGGAAUGAUUUUAUAUGGAAGACGCCCCUCUGCCGGAUCCAGUUCGGAUCGGCCUCCCGGAGUUCAGCAACGCUCCUCUGAAGAAACGCCUGAGUUGGCGCCAGCGGAGUUCUCAACGAGAGGAUGACAGGAGUGUCCAAUAUCUGAUGGGCCGGAUAAGGUUACUGGCCCACUCCGGACUGACCAUGAUCGGAGUCAUGGCCACAUGCAUUAUGCGAGGGGUGCAACCACUCCAAUAUAGGGGCCACCCCAUGUGGGAUUUCAACGGGGAGAAUGACGCUACCUGUCACGGCCGCAAGGGGGCCGGGAUCGACCACCGAUCUGGUGAAGAUCCUGUCCUGCUUGUACAAGGGGGAGAAGGAGGACUUCCUCCGCACGAGUCCAUUGAAUGGAUUCUCCAUGAAUAACCCUCGAAGCUGGGUAAGCGGACGUUUGUCUAUCCGAUUCGUGCUUUCAAAGUUAAGUGUUUUACUUUAUGAUUUCGACGCAGGAACUGCGCCGAGAUGUGGAGGGCAUACAAAGCCCGACUCCACAACCCGAGGAUCCGGGAAGAUCCCUUGAUCCGGCCUCCGAAGAGGAUCCGGUCAUAGAGGUGGAGGUGAUUGAUGCGGUGUUCCACCAACUCAGCAUGGACAAUGCUCUAGUCGCCAUUACGGCUGUCUACCCCGGUUUAUCUCCGGCUUCCUAGGUAACUACGACCGAAGCCCUGACACCAUUAUUUCGCUCAUGCUUAUUUCUGACCACUGUAUACCAAUGGUGUUUCGCAGGAGGUGCCCUUGAGGCAGGAAGCCGAUCCUGCGGUGACUGACCGACAAGGGUCAAUACGGCCCAGCAGGCAGAAGAGGAGUGCGGCGUGAAUCGAAACGUCGCCGCAACGGUAUGGCUCACCAUUGUCUUCAAGGUAAAGACUCCUGGGAGGUCUAUUAAUGCUCAUGAUUCUUUCAGGAGAAAAAGCGCUCGCCGGACCGUGCCAGGAGAGGUUGCCAACCAAGCCUCCGCCAGCCAGGCUCCAACACCUGGUCCGGAGGGGGAGGCGAGCGCAAGGCGCGAGCCGGAUGCUCCUCCAACGGAGGAUGCCGACAGGCUGUCCGCCACCAGGUCUGAGGUGGAGAGCGCCAUGAAUCACAGGCGCCGCCGGACAGUUCUUCGUGACGCAUGUUUCUCCCCGGAGGCGUUGAAUGCCUUUAAUGCGGGAGACGCGCACCUCCGUGCCGCUCAAAAUGGUUUAACCAGAGCCACGGAGCAGUAUGUAAAGGACAUACGGGUAAGGAAUUUUAAUAGUUAUAUAUGCCAGUAGCCCCCGAGACUUAAAAUAGUUAAAAUAACUGAUUUAAGGAUCAUUUAUUAUGCAGGAUCUUACGGAGAAGAAUAUCCACCUGUCCCAGGAGCUUCAAGAGUGCAAGGCCCAACUUGAGGCCGCACUGGCCGCCACAGGGGGAGCCACAGAGACCCCCGCUGGUAAUACAUACUUCGAAAAGAUAGGUAGUUAAUAAAGUGCGGCGUGUGCGUAAGUCUGACAAUAAUAUUGCAGAGGGUGCCGGACUGGAUCCGGACAAGCAACAUCUGUUGCGCCAGCUGAAGGCCGGAGAGAAGGUGCUUAUGAGGGUGCAGCAGGAGAGGAACAAACUCCAAGAUGCCAACACCCAGCUGGGCGAAGAACUAAAAGAUGUUCGGGUCCAGCUGUCUGACUCCAUAAAGGAGAAUCGGCGGCUUCAUCGCGGCAUUUACAGUAAGUGCUUGAGCAAACUCUUUUGAAAAGAAGAGUUCGGCGAGGAAGUCGAUUGACAGAAAUGUGUCUGUAGGUGUGCUCACGGGUCGUCCGGCGGAGGAAAUGCCUGGUUCCACGGGUGACCUUCUUUUCGAACUGCUGCAACUGCACGAACGUAUUCGGCAGGCGAUGAGCGGCGCCGUCCAGGCCUUAUGGCCGUCCGUCUCCUUACCCGAGGGUCUUGAAGAGCUUGCUGAGAAGCUUCAGGGAGUACGGCAGCGCUUCCGUCUGUGGAAGAUAUCGGCCUGCCGUCAAGGUGCCAGAGAGGCCUGGGCCAUGGUGAAGACGCGGUACACAAAGGCUGAUCCAAACCACAUGGCCGAAGUCGGACCUGUGGGGUCCGAUGGGAAGGAGAUCCCUGUGAGCUUGAUGUACGGCCAAGUAGAGUUGGCCGCGAAAUAUUCCCAACGGGACUGUAAACUAGACAACCUGUUAGAUGGGAUUGAAGAGGAGUUCAAUCAGUCAAUUUGACGAUGUAAUUUUAAAAUGACAUGUAAAAUGCCUUCUAGCCGGAUUGUAGAUCGUUUGUCUUUGCGGACCUUUUCGCUUCAACCUCUGGACCCAAGAGUCCGGAAUGUGUCUGAAUACCCUAACGGUUAUAAAAACCGGGGCAUGCAUGGAGACCAGGCAUAGGGGUCAUUAGUGCUUUAUCAGACAAGUGCCCAACUAGUUAUGUUAUAUUACAUGGUUAGUAAGAGGCAUCUUCCAGGGAGAAUAGCUCCAUUAGGGGUUCCUUUCCCUGGGAGGCAUGCCCUAAGGUGCAUGUCCGUACUACGAAGAGAGCAGAAAAAACAUCCGGGGGCAGAUAAAUAAAUAAGUAAUAAAUAAUCUUUCAAGUCACCGACCGAAUAUUCCCUUAAGAACGGUAGCUUUCAGCUUCACCCAGUCUGAGGUACACAUCCAGCUGACCCGAUAGUAACAAUCGCAGAGGUGCUCCCUUUACCUCCUAGCCAAACAAUCGGGAACGUAGGGGUAAGCACAGGAGCCAGGCAACCCAGCUUGGCCAAAACUUAAGUCAUAUCGAUGCAUAUAAUGGUGAAAAGGUACAUGCGGAAGUAUGGCACAUGUGUUGGGCAUGAAGCCCGUAUAAAUAAGCUUCUGUUAAAGAAGCCCCCAGGUAUAAUGAGUGCGAGUAGCUCCUCAAGUGUGUGCGAACAAUGCGCAGAUCAGCCCUCAAAGGCUUUUACUAAAAAAAGGGGGGAAGAAGGAGGGGAACAAAAGACAGCAAAAAUAUAAAAGGUGGACGAAGGGAGGAGACGAACUUUGAGUCCGGCGCUAGGCGUAAAAUCUUCGGAGACGGGCUGCGUUCCAUGGGUUCGGCUCGAGUCGGUUGUCAGAUGCGUUACGUAGACGGUAUGCUCCGCCAGUCAGGACUUGGUCGAUGAUGAAGGGACCUCCCCAUUUGGGGUUAAGUUUGUCCUUUUUCUUGUCCGGCAGGCGUAGAACUAGCUCGCCAACAUUGUAAGUUUUGGCCCGUACUUCUCUGCUUUGAUAUCUUCGAGCCUGCUGCUGAUAGAAUGCGGAACGAGCUUUUGCCACGUCCCGCUCCUCCUCUAAGGCGUCCAAGCUGUCCUGCCGAUCCAACUCGGCUUCUCUUUCUUCGUACAUGCGCACGCGAGGUGAGUCAUGAAUUAUAUCGCAGGGCAAAACUGCCUCUGCGCCGUACACCAUAAAAAAUGGUGUGAAUCUGGUAGUGCGCUUCGGCAUGGUCCACAGCCCCCAGAGUACGGAGUCGAGCUCCUCUACCCAGUGCAUGUUAGAUUCCGUGAGGGGUCGCACUAAUCUGGGUUUGAUGCCGCUCAUGAUUAGACCGUUUGCUCGUUCGACUUGACCGUUAGUUUGGGGGUGAUAGACUGAAGCGUAGUCGAGCCUGAUGCCCAUGUUUUUGCACCAGAGUUUAACCUCGUCGGCCGUGAAAUUCGUGCCGUUAUCAGUGAUGAUGCUGUGGGGGACACCAUAACGGUGUACUACCCCGGAUAUGAAGUCUAUCACCGGUCCGGAUUUGGCCGUUUUAACUGGCUUGGCCUCUAUCCAUUUGGUGAAUUUUUCCACCAUGACCAAUAGGUAUUUUUGCUUGUGGGUUCCCCCUUUAAGGGGUCCAACCAUGUCAAGCCCCCAGACCGCGAACGGCCAGGUGAUGGGUAUAGUUUUGAGGGCGGUGGGUGGCAUGUGGCUUUGAUUAGCAAAGAGCUGGCAACCGACGCAUCGUUGGACUAAGUCCUGAGCAUCCGCCCGGGCUGUCGGCCAAUAAAAUCUUGUACGGAAGGCCUUGCCUACAAGGGCCCGAGCUGCAGCGUGGUGCCCGCCCAGUCCGGCGUGAAUUUCAGCCAGGAGAUUUCGCCCUUCCUCUUUGGAGAUGCACCUUUGAAGGACUCCGGUUGUGCUUUUCUUAUAGAGUUCUCCCUCAUGGACCUUGUAGGCUUUAGAUCGCCGAACUAUGCAGCAGGCCUCAUUUUGGUCUUCGGGAAGUUCCUGCCUAGUUAAGUAGGCUAGGAAUUGGUCCACGGGGCAAUUACUGCCAUUAUUUCGUGGGCUGAGGGUGUUAUUUCAUUGGCUGAGCCACUGACUGUGUCAGAAUGUUCCGUGUUGGGUGGCGCUGUUGUUUCCGGGUUGUUGUUUUCGGACUCCUCUUCCCAUAAUACGGAUGGCUUAAAGUGCCGCUCCAGGAAGAUGUUUGGAGGGACGGCGUCGCGUUUUGCGCCGAUGCGCGCCAACACGUCGGUUGCCUGGUUAUUGUCCCGGGCUACAUGGUGGAAUUCGAGUCCUUCGAACCGAGCUGACAUUUUUAAGACGACGCUACGAUAGGCUGCCAUUUUCGGAUCCUUGGCGUCAAAGUCUCCAUUUACUUGGGAUAUUGCGAGGUUUGAAUCCCCGCGCACCUCUAGGCGUUGAAUACCCAUGGAGAUUGCCAUCCGGAGACCAUGUAGAAGGGCCUCGUAUUCGGCUGCGUUGUUGGAGUCCGUGUACAUUAUCUGAAGUACAUAUUGGACUGUGUCACCGGUUGGGGACGUCAAUACGACGCCAGCCCCUAGGCCGGCCAACAUUUUGGAGCCGUCAAAAUGCAUGAUUCAAUUGGAGUAUGCGCCGUACUCUUUAGGCAGUUCGGCUUCGGUCCAUUCGGCGAUGAAGUCGGCCAACACUUGCGACUUUAUAGCUCGCCUUGGUUUGUCGGUUAUGUCAAAUGAUAAGAGCUCAAUGGCCCAUUUUGCAAUCCUGCCCAUCGCGUCGCCGUUGUUUAUAAUGUCGUUGAGAGGAACUUCGGAAGCCACUGUUAUCGAGCACUCUUGAAAGUAGUGUCGCAGCUUCCGGGAUGCCAUGAACACCGCAUACGCUAUCUUUUGGUAAUGUGGAUACCGGGACUUGCAUGGAGUUAAGACAGUGGAUACAUAGUACACUGGUUUUUGAAGAGGGAAUUUAUGUCCUUCUGUUUCUCGUUCGACGACGAGCGCUGCGCUGACAACUUGAUGUGUUGCCGCGAUAUAUAAUAACAUUGGUUCGCCUAGGUUGGGCGCGGCUAGGACCGGGUUUGUUGCUAAUAUGGCCUUUAUUUCUUUGAGUCCGGCCGUGGCAGCAUCCGUCCACUCGAAGUGUUCGGUGCGACGGAGGAGGCGGUAGAGAGGCAAUGCCUUUUCUCCCAGACGGGAGAUGAAGCGGCUUAGCACCGCCAUGCAUCCAGUCAAUUUUUGUAUUUGUUUGAGGUCUUUUGGGAUAUCCAAUUGUGACAGAUCUCGGAUCUUGGCUGGGUUUGAUUCAAUUCCUCUACCGGAUACAAUGAAGCCCAAGAGCUUUCUGACUGGUACGCCGAAAACGCAUUUGUCCGGGUUGAGCUUAAUCUCAUAUGCUCGUAGGUUGUCAAAUGUGAGCCUCAAAUCAUCUACUAGACUUUCGACGUGUUCGGUCUUAACGACCACAUCGUCUACAUAUGCCUCCACUGUUUUGCCGAUCUGGGUAGCCAGACAUGUCUGAAUCAUGCGCUGAUAUGUUGCGCCGGCGUUUUUAAGUCCGAAGGGCAUUGUGUUGAAGCAGAAUGGUCCGUAUGGAUUAAUGAAUGCCAUUGCGGCCUGGUCUGUUUCCGCCAUCUUGAUUUGAUGGUAUCCAGAGUAUGCGUCGAGGAAACACAAUGAAUCGUGCCCCGCGGUAGCAUCGAUGAUUUGGUCGAUGCGGGGGAGGGGGAAAGGAUCCUUUGGACAGGCCUUAUUAAGGUCUUUAAAAUCCAUGCAGAGGCGCCAGGAUUUGUCCUUUUUUGGUACCAUUACCAGGUUGGCUAGCCAGUCCGGAUGUUUUAUGUCUCUAAUGAAUCCGGCUUCUAGUAGUUUGGCUAGCUCCUCUCCCAUUGCCUGUCUUUUGAGUUCGGAAAAUCGUCGAAGGGCCUGUUUGACUGGCUUGAAUCCUUUUAGGAUAUUUAGGCUGUGCUCUGCCAGCCUGCGUGGGAUUCCUGGCAUAUCUGAAGGGUUCCAGGCAAAAAUGUCCCAAUUUUCCCGAAGGAAUUCUCGUAGUGCGGCUUCUACAUCAGGGUUUAAUUGUGCCCUAAUGGAGGCCGUCUUUGAGGGGUCCGUUGGAUGGACCUGGAAUUUGACUAUUUCGUCUGCUGGUUUAAAAGAGGUGGACUUAGAUCUCUUAUUGAGUAUCACAUCGUCCCUAUUCACCGUGGAGCAUAGUGCGGUUAGUUCCUCUACCGCUAGGGCUUCGGAUAGUGCCUCUAGGGCUAGUGCGGCUGUCUUAUUUUCAGCGCGGAGUGCUAUGUCCGGAUCACUGACCAGAGUGAUGAUUCCAUUGGGCCCGGGCAUUUUGAGCUUCAUGUACCCGUAAUGGGGUACAACUUGGAAAAUUGUGAAUGCCUCUCGCCCUAAUAGAGCGUGAUAUCCGCUGCUGAACGGGGCCACUUGGAACGUGACUUCCUCGGACCUGUAGUUGUCCGGCGAGCCGAACACCACAUCUAAUGUGAUUUUUCCUGUGCAGCAUACUUCCCGACUAGGGAUUAUUCCUCUAAAGGUUGUGCUGCUUCGCUCAAUGCGGCUCCAGUCUAUUUCCAUUUUCUGGAGGGUUUCCUUGUAGAUGAGGUUUAAUCCGCUGCCGCCAUCCAUGAGUACCUUGGUAAGACGAAAGCCAUCCACUAUUGGACUGAGGACCAAUGCGGCUGGUGCUCGGGCUAUUCGGAAUUUAGGUUCGUCGCUGGCAUUGAAGGUGAUAGCCGUGUCGCUCCAUGGAUUUGUUGUUGCUACUUGGUAGACUUCGGCGAGGCUGCGGAUUGUUCGUUUCCGCAUAUUAUUUGAUGCGAAAGUCUCGAAGACUGUUAAUACCAUACUGGUACUGUUGGGGUGGUUCUCCGGGGCUAGAAGACCUUCGCCGCUUUUGGCCACCUGCUGUAGUAUCCAACAUGCUCUAAGGCUAUGAGUUGGAGUGGCGCCCUCUGUGCUAUGAAUUUUUCAGGGUCCAUUGAGUCAUCCCUCCAGUACGGUUCCAUGCCCUAUGAAGGGUUUUUGCUUUUUGGUAUUUAACCCAGGUGCCUGUUGAUGAUGCACCCUUUUAUUUCGGACUGGGUCUGUGUUCAGGGCCGGAUUAUCCCAAAAAUUGAUUUCGGCUUUCCAGGCGCUUUCCAUCUCAAAGUACUUUCAUACUAUGGACGCCAAAUCAGCGAAGCGUGUAAUUUCACGAUGACUUAUGGCGUUGAGGAUUCCCUUGUCCGUGCAAUUGUUGCAGAAAACUAAGAUUGCGCUUUCCUCACGGCAGUCCUUUAUCCUGUCCAUAACCAAGAGGAAUCUGGCCCAGCAAUGAUGUACUGUUUCAUCGGGCUCUUGCCGUAUUUGAGAUAGAUCACUUAUGUUUGGGUGGGCGGGUGGAAUUAAAUUCAGAACCCCGCCCAAUCUGGGGCUCAAAGGCCGAGGAGCUUCCGGACUUGGAAGCUCGGGUUGCUAGAUGCUGUCCAACGAAUCUAGUCCGCUGCCUGACUUUAGGUUCAGUACUCGAUUGCCGUCCGUCCCUCCGCGGGAAUCCGGCAUGGGGGGAUCGGGAAUCCAGACAUAACUGGUUUUUAACAUAGAAGAAGAGUCGUCGCGUUGUUCUUCUACCACAGCGGCAUGGUGGGUAGCCUGGGGAGAGUUAAUUUCUCUCAGAUCGGUUUUAAGCCCAAUCUGAUCGUAGUCUGUAGCGACUCCCAGGGCGGUGAUGUGAUCCAAGAGCUCAUUUACGGAAGAGAGCUCCAUCGUAUCCAGCUGCUCGGCUAAUUCCGAGUUAACACGAAGAUCGCUUUUGAUGACCCGAGAGGUCAUCGUCGAAGCGUUGGCCGAACAGGCGGUCAUAAGAAAACCACCUAACCGGAUAGCUUGACCGGCGGCCAAAGCUCCUUUGACAAUGGUACCGUCUUUAAAGACGGGAAGAGGCAUCCUUCUUGAUUGCGACGGCAUAGAGGAACUCUCAAUGAAAGCACCAAUGUCGGUGUCAAAACCAGCGGAUCUCGGGUAGGGGGUCCCGAACUUUGCGUCUAGGCGGAUGGUAACAGGAGACAAGGGACACGAUGUUUUACCUAGGUUCGGGCCCUCUUGAUGGAGGUAAAACCCUACGUCCUACUUGAUUGAUAUUGAUGAUGUGGGUAUUACAAGAGUAGAUCUACCACGAGAUCAAGGAGGAUAAACCCUAGAGGCUAGCCUAUGGUAUGAUUGUUGUUGUCCUACGGACUAAAACCAUCCGGUUUAUAUAGACACCGGAGAGGGCUAGGGUUACACAGAGUCGGUUACAAUGGUAGGAGAUCUACAUAUCCGUAUCGCCAAGCUUGCCUUCCACGCCAAGGAAAGUCCCAUCCGGACAUGGGACGAAGUCUUCAAUCUUGUAUCUUCAUAGUCUUGGAGUCCGGCCGAUGAUGGUAGUUCGGCUAUCCGGACACCCCCUAAUCCGGGACUCCCUCAAGGAGUCCUACUCCCGGUGGGAGUAGGACUCCCCCCUUGGUGCGCCCUCCUCCUUGGUCGGCCGCCUCCCCCCUUGCUCCUUUAUAUACGGGGGCAGGGGGCACCCCAUAGACACAACAAUUGAUCUCUUGAUCUCUUAGCCGUGUGCGGUGCUCCCCUCCACCAUAGUCCUCGAUAAUAUUGUAGCGGUGCUUAGGCGAAUCCCUGCGACGGUAGAACAUCAAGAUCGUCACCACGCCGUCGUGCUGACGGAACUCUUCCCCGACAUUCUGCUGGAUCGGAGUCUGGGGAUCGUCAUCGAGCUGAACGUGUGCUAGAACUCGGAGGUGCCGUAGUUUCGGUGCUUGAUUGGUUGGGCCGUGAAGACGUACGACUACAUCAACCGCGUUGUUCUAACGCUUCCGCUUUCGUUCUACAAGGGUACGUGGACAACACUCUCCCCUCUCGUUGCUAUGCAUCACCAUGAUCUUGCGUGUGCAUAGGAAUUUUUUUGAAAUUACUACGUUCCCCUACAGUGGUAUCCGAGCCAGGUUUUAUGCGUAGAUGUUAUAUGCACGAGUAGAACACAAGUGAGUUGUGGGCGAUACAAGUCAUACUGCUUAUCAGCAUUUCAUACUUUGGUUCGGCGGUAUUGUUGGAUGAAGCGGCCCGGACCGACAUCACGCGUACGCUUACGCGAGACCGGUUCUACCGACGUGCUUUGCACACAGGUGACUGGCGGGUGACUGUUUCUCCAACUUUAGUUUAACCGAGUGUGGCUACGCCCGGUCCUUGCGAAGGUUAAAACAACACUAACUUGACGAACUAUCGUUGUGGUUUUGAUGCGUAGGUAAGAACGGUUCUUGCUCAGCCCGUAGCAGCCAUGUAAAAUUUGCAACAACAAAGUAGAGGACGUCUAACUUGUUUUUGCAGGGCAUGUUGUGAUGUGAUAUGGUCAAUACGUGAUGCUAUAUUUUAUUGUAUGAGAUGAUCAUGUUUUGUAACCGAAGUUAUCGACAACUCGCAGGAGCCAUAUGGUUGUCGCUUUAUUGUAUGAAAUGCAAACGCCCUGUAAUUGCUUUACUUUAUCACUAAGCAGUAGCCAUAGUCGUAGAAGCAAUAGAUGGCGUAAACGACAACGAUGCUACGAUGGAGAUCAAUGUGUCGCGCCGGUGACGUUGGUGAUCACGACAGUGCUUCGGAGAUGGAGAUCACAAGCACAAGAUGUUGAUGGCCAUAUCAUAUCACUUAUAUUGAUUGCAUGUGAUGUUUAUCAUUUAUGCAUCUUAUCUUGCUUUGAUUGACGGUAGCAUUUUAAGAUGAUCUCUCACUAAUUAUCAAGAAGUGUUCUCCCUGAGUAUGCACCGUUGCGAAAGUUCUUCGUGCUGAGACACCACGUGAUGAUCGGGUGUGAUAGGCUCUACGUUCAAAUACAACGGGUGCAAAACAGUUGCACACGCGGAAUACUCAGGUUAAACUUGACGAGCCUAUCAUAUACAGAUAUGGCCUCGGAACACGGAGACCGAAAGGUUGAACGUGAAUCAUAUAGUAGAUAUGAUCAACAUAGUGAUGUUCACCAUUGAAAACUACUCCAUCUCACGUGAUGAUCGGACAUGGUUUAGUUGAUUUGGACCAGGUGAUCACUUAGAUGACUAGAGAGAUGUCUGUCUAAGUGGGAGUUCUUAAGUAAUAUGAUUAAUUGAACUUAAAUUUAUCAUGAACUUAGUCCUGGUAGUAUUUUGCAAAUUAUGUUGUAGAUCAAUAGCUCGCGUUGUUGCUUUCAUAUGUUUAUUUUGAUUUGUUCCUAGAGAAAACUGUGUUGAAAGAUGUUAGUAGCAAUGAUGCAGAUUGGAUUCGUGAUCUGAGGUUUAUCCUCAUUGCUGCACAGAAGAAUUAUGUCCUUGAUGCACCGCUAGGUGACAAACCUAUUGCAGGAGCAGAUGCAGACAUUAUGACUGUUUGGCUAGCUCAAAAUGAUGACUACUUGAUAGUUUAGUGCACUAUGCUUAAAUGGCUUAGAAUCAGGAUUUCAAAUACGUUUUGAACGUCAUGGACCAUAUGAGAUGUUCCAAGAGUUGAAGUUAAUAUUUCAAGCAAAUACCCGAGUUGAGAGAUAUGAAGUCUCCAACAAGUUCUAUAGCUAAAAGAUGGAGGAGAAUUGCUCAACUAGUGAGCAUGUGCUCAGAUUGUCUAGGUACUACAAUCGCUUAAAUCAAGUGGGAGUUAAUCUUCCAAAUAAGAUAGUGAUUGAAAGAGUUCUCUAGUCACCAUCACCAAGUUACUAGAACUUCGUAAUGAACUAUAGUAUGCAAGGGAUGACGAAAACGAUUCCCGAGCUCUUCGUGAUGUUGAAAUCGACGAAGGUAGAAAUCAAGAAAGAGCAUCAAGUGUUGAUGAUUGACAAGACCACUAGUUUCAAGAAAAGGGCAAAGGGAAAGAAAGGGAAACUUCAAGUAGAAUGGCAAACAAGUUGUCACUCCCGUGAAGAAGACCAAAGCCUGAAACUGAGUGCUUACACUUCAAAGGAAAUGGACACUGGAAGCGGAAAUGCCCUGAAUAUUUGGUGGAUAAGAAGGAUGGCAAAGUGAACAAGGGUAUAUUUGAUAUACAGGUUAUUGAUGUGUGCCUUACUAGUGUUUAUAGUAGACCAUGAGUAUUUGAUACUUGUUCGGUUGCUAAGAUUAGUAACUCGAAACAGGAGUUACAGAAUAAACAGACUAGUUGAAGGGGAAGUGACAAUGAGUGUUGGAAGUAGUUCCAAGAUUGAUAUGAGUUACGAGUUUGGUCUUCAUUUGAAACAAUGUGAAAUAGUUUCGCAAGUCAUGCCACCUGGAACACCACAAUCUAAUGGUGUGUCCAAACAUCGUAAUCGUACUUUACUAGAUAUGGUGCGAUCUAUGAUGUCUCUUAUCGGUUUACCACUAUUUUUUUGGGGUUAUGCAUUAGAGACAGCUGCAUUCACGUUUAAUAGGGCACCAUCUAAAUACGUUGAGACGACACCGUAUGAACUAUGGUUUAGCAGUAAACCUAAGCUAUCAUUUCUUAAAGUUUGGAGUUGCGAUGCUUAUAUGAAAAAGGUUUUCAACCUGAUAAGCUUGAAGCCAAAUCGGAGAAGUGCGUCUUCAUAGAAUACCCAAAGGAAACUGUUGGGUACACCUUCUAUCACAGAUCUGAAGGCAAAACAUUCGUUGCUAAGAAUGGAUCCUUUCUAGAGAAGGAUUUUCUCUCGAAAGAAGUGAGUGGGAGGAAAGUAGAGCUUGAUAAGGUAAUUUGUACCUUCUCCUGAAUUGGAAAGUAGUUCAUCACAGAAAUCAGUUACAGUGAUUCCUACACCAAUUAGUGAGGAAGCUAAUGAUGAUGAUCAUGAAACUUUAGAUCAAGUUACUACAAAACCUCGUAGGUCUUCCAAAGUACAGCCUGCACCAGAGUGGUACGGUAAUCCUGUUUUGGAAGUCAUGUUACUAGACCAUGAUGAACCUACGAACUAUGAGGAAGCGAUGAUGAGCCCAGAUUCCACGAAAUGGCUUGAGGCCAUGAAAUCUGAGAUGGGAUCCAUGUAUGAGAACAAAGUGUGGACUUUGGUGAAGUUGCCCGAUGGAUCUUCAAGAGGAAGACAGAUGCUGAUAGUAGUGUUACUAUCUACAAAGCUCAACUUGUCGCAAAAAGGUUUUCAACAAGUUUAAGGUGUUGAUUACAAUGAGAUUUUCUCAACUAUAGCGAUGCUUAAGUCUGUACGAAUCAUGUUAGGAAUUGCCACAUUUUAUGAAAUCUGGCAAAUGGAUGUCAAAAUUGCAUUCCUUAAUGGUUUUCUUAAAGAAGAGUUGUAUAUGAUGCAACCAGAAGGUUUUGUCAAUCCUAAAGGUUCUAACAAAAUGUGCAAGCUCCAACGAUCCAUCUAUGGGCUGGUGCUAGCAUCUCAGAGUUGGAAUAUACACUUUGAUAAGUUGAUCAAAGCAUAUAGUUUUAUACAGACUUGCGGUGAAGCCUGUAUUUACAAUAAAGUGAGUGGGAGCACUACCGCCUUUCUGAUAAAUAUAUGUGAGUAACAUAUUGUUGAUUAGAAAUGAUGUAGAAUUUUUCUGGAAAGCAUAAAGGAGUAUUUGAAAGGAGUUCUUUAAAAGAAAGACCUCAGUAAAGCUACUUACAUAUUGAGCAUCAAAAUCUAUUGAGAUAGAUUAAGACGCUUGAUAAGUUUUUCAAUAAGUACAUACCUUGUCAAGAUUUUGAAGUAGUUCAAAAUGGAACAGUCAAGAAAGAGUUCUUGCCUGUGUUGCAAAGGUGUGAGAUUGAGUAAGACUCAAAUCCCGACCAUGACAGGAAAUAGAAAAGAGAAUGAAAAUCAUUCCCUAUGCCUCAGUCAUAGGUUCUAUAAAGUAUGCUAUGCUAUGUACCAGACCUAUUGUAUACCUUGUUCUGAAUUUGGUAAGGGAAUACAAUAGUGAUCUAGGAGUAGAUCACUGGACAUUGGUCAAGAAUAUCCUUUGUGAGGACUAAGGAAAUAUUUCUCGAUUACGGAGGUGAUAAAAGAGCCCAUCGUAAAGAGUUACAUCGAUGCAAGCUUUUACACCGAUCCAGAUGACCCUAAGUCUCAAUAUGGAUACAUAUUGAAAGUGGGAGCAAUUAGCUAGAGUAGCUCCGUGCAGAGCAUUGCAUACAUAGAAUAUUUGCAAAAUACAUACGGCUCUGAAUGUGAUAGACCCGUUGACUAAGCUUCUCUCACGAGCAAAACAUGAUCACACCUUAGUACUCUUUGGGUGUUAAUCACAUAGCGAUGUGAACUAGAUUAUUGACUCUAGUAAACCCUUUGGGUGUUGGUCACAUGAUGAUGUGAACUAUGGGUGUUAAUCAUAUACAGAUAUGAAUAUUGGUGUUAAAUCACAUGGCGAUGUGAACUAGAUUAUUGACUCUAGUGCAAGUGGGAGACUGAAGGAAAUAUGCCCUAGAGGCAAUAAUAAAGUUAUUAUUUAUUUCCUUAUUUCAUGAUAAAUGUUUAUUAUUCAUGCUAGAAUUGUAUUAACCGGAAACAUAAUACAUGUGUGAAUACAUAGGCAAACAUAGUGUCACUAGUAUGCCUCUACUUGACUAGCUCGUUAAUCAAAGAUGGUUAAGUUUCCUAACCAUAGACAUGAGUUAUCAUUUGAUUAAUGGGAUCACAUCAUUAGGAGAAUGAUGUGAUUGACUUGACCCAUUCUGUUAGCUUAGCACUUGAUCGUUUAGUAUGUUGCUAUUGCUUUCUUCAUGACUUAUACAUGUUCCUACAACUAUGAGAUUAUGCAACUCCCGUUUACCGGAAGAACACUUUGUGUGCUACCAAAUGUCACAACAUAACUGGGUGAUUAUAAAGGAGCUCUACAGGUGUCUCCGAAGGUACAUGUUGGGUUGGCGUAUUUCGUGAUUAGGAUUUGUCACUCCGAUUGUCGGAGAGGUAUCUCUGGGCCCUCUCGGUAAUGCACAUCACUAUAAGCCUUGCAAGCAAUGUGACUAAUGAGUUAGUUGCGGGAUGAUGCAUUACGUAACGAGUAAAGAGACUUGCUGGUAAUGAGAUUGAACUAGGUAUUGAGAUACCGACGAUCGAAUCUCGGGCAAGUAACAUACCGAUGACAAAAGGAACAACGUAUGUUGUUAUGCGGUUUGACCGAUAAAGAUCUUCGUACAAUAUGUAGGAGCCAAUAUGAGCAUCCAGGUUCCGCUAUUGGUUAUUGACCGGAAACGUGUCUCGGUCAUGUCUACAUAGUUCUCGAACCCGUAGGGUCCGCACGCUUAAGGUUUCGAUGACAGUUAUAUUAUGAGUUUAUGAGUUUUGAUGUACCGAAGGAGUUCGGAGUCCCAGAUGAGAUCGGGGACAUGACGAUGAGUCCUGAAAUGGUUGAGACAUAAAGAUCGAUAUAUUGGACGACUAUAUUCGGACUUCGGAAAGGUUCCGAGUGAUUCGGGUAUUUUUCGGAGUACCGGAGAGUUACGGGAAUUCGCCGGGGAGUAUAUGGGCCUUAUUGGGCCAUACGGGAAUAGAGGAGAGAGGCCAAAAGGAAGGAGGCCUGCGCCCCCCCUCUAGUCCGAAUUGGACAAGGGGUGCAGCCCCCUUUUCCUUGGGAGCUCCUGUCUGACGCUCGUUAGCGUCAAGCAGAGGAGCGUUCGCUGAAGGUAGACGCUGAUGGGCCGGCCCAUUUGAAGGUCUCGAGCGCCUGAGAAAAAAGGCUAAAAAUAUAACGGACCAGAAGGUCUCGAUCGCCUGAGAAAAAAGGCUAAAAAGGCAGCGCGAGGUUUUUAAGUACCAAACAAUUUUUGAAAUUUUUCGAACAAUUCAAGAAAAUUAAGAAUAAAAAUAAAAAGUUUUGAACAAAUUUUGAAAAACGUAAAACCCUUUUUAAAACCAUGAACAAUUUUUAAAAUUCGAAAACACUUUUCAAACGUGAACAAUUACUGAAAAGUUGAACACAAAUUUCGAAAUUCCAAUAAGAAGAGUUUUUUAAAUAUACAUUGAACAUUUUUGUAACAUAUGCUAAACAAUUUUGAAAUACAUACUGAACAAUUUUCUGAUAUAUCCCAAACAAAUUUAAAUAUAGAUUGAACAUUUCUGUAAUGUACGCUGAACAAUUUUAAAAUACACACUAAACGUUUUUGUGAUAUAUCCCGAACAAAUUUAAAAUAUACAUCGAACAUUUCUGUAAUGUACGCUGAACAAAUUUUGUAUUGUGAACAAAUUUAAAAACUAUGUGUUUUUAUGAAAUCAUGAAGAAAAUAAGGAAUUUUAAAACAUUUUUUAAAACAAAUGAUGAAAAUAAAUACGAAAAAAAGAGAAAGAAAAAGAAACAGAAACAGAAUUUGAAAAACAAAAACAAAAAAGAAUAAAGAAACAGGAAAAAUUAGAAAACCGGGAAAGAGUACAAAAAAAAGAAACCGGUUUAGGGAACCUUCUAGUAGGUUCCCAAAACCGGUUUGCCUGGCAGCGCUUGAAUUUGCCAGGUGGGCCGGCCUGUCGAGCGCAGCUCCUCCCGCGCCUUCAGCGAAGCCACGUUUCCUGGACGCUAACGGGCGUCAUAUAUGAAUCACCCUUUUCCUUCUCUCUCUCCCCCUCUUUCCUUCUCUCCUACUCCAACAAGGAAAGGAGGAGUCCUACUCCCGGUGGGAGUAGGACUCCCCCCUUGGCGCGUCCUCCUCCUUGGCCGGCCGCCUCCCCCCUUGCUCCUUUAUAUACGGGGGCAGGGGGCACCCCAUAGACACAACAAUUGAUCUCUUGAUCUCUUAGCCAUGUGCGGUGCCCCCCUCCACCAUAGUCCUCGAUAAUAUUGUAGCGGUGCUUAGGCGAAGCCCUGCGAUGGUAGAACAUCAAGAUCGUCACCACGCCGUCGUGCUGACGGAACUCUUCUCCGACAUUCUGCUGGAUCGGAGUCCGGGGAUCGUCAUCGAGCUGAACGUGUGCUAGAACUCGGAGGUGUCGUAGUUUCGGUGUUUGAUCGGUCAGGCCGUGAAGACAUACGACUACAUCAACCACGUUGUUCUAACGCUUCCGCUUUCGGUCUACGAGGGUACAUGGACAACACUCUCCCCUCUCGUUGCUAUGCAUCACCAUGAUCUUGCGUGUGUGUAGGAAUUUUUUUGAAAUUACUACGUUCCCCAACAGAAAUAUGUGGCCAUGGAAUAUUUCGGGCUUAAGAGGAUGAGUGUGCAAUGUGUGUCACUGCACAAAACACGAAAUGUUAGAAAAAAAAAGAAUGAUCAAAAUCUAAGAAAUCAUAUGUUACGGGGCGGUGAGGGGAUGACUUACUCGGAAAAGUAAGGCACGAGGAAGUUAUCCUUAUCCGGGUUUGCCAGAAUGACGCCUUUGAGGUAUGAACUCGCGACUUGCCGGUCCCCAGUGCUGCCCAAGAUCUUGGCACACAUGUAGAAGGGGUCGACUAUCACGAUGUCCGUGGUCUUGUCUCUAAUGAUCCGCAUCUCCAUACUGAGCGAAAAUAGCCGAAUGAAGGUGUAGUGCAGCGGAUGAAGGUUAAACAUAGCAAAGAUGUCAUCAAACUGCAAGACAAUCAUACGCCCGAUAGUGCUAUAUAUCGACAAAGCCCUUGCCCUCUAGCACCGUGGCCACGAAAACCGGGUAUGCCACAUCAUUCUCGGAGAGACGCCGCUUCUCCAUAGAAAGAACACAGUCAUGCAGACUCCACAUAGCACCGGUUGCAGCAUUGAGAAGAUUAGUCGGUAGCAUCGGCCUACCCGCCACAUGCACCCUCAUCGAGAUAUCCUUAGAUAUUGGUGGCCCGUCCUGAGCACGGAUCGUACUCGAUGCCGGCUGGCUCGCACCCUUGUUAUUUUUUUCUUUUCCGUCCCUUCUGCUUCUUCUGCUAUAAUGGGAUCGAGUUCUGCUCAGAGACCACCUUCUUGAGUGUGUUGGGGCUGAUAAUAUUUCGCACCUCGGCUAUUUGAGUCUCGGUGAAGGCGGUAGCUGGAGGCGUCUCCUGAGAACUGAAUGCCAGAUGAUGCCUGUUGCAAUUGGGUUUCUCCGCGGUACCAGCUAGAUCGCGCUCGUCUUUUGCAGUGUUGGGUUCUUGAGAAGGAGGCCCCAAGAAUCGUCGCCGUACCCAUGUUCGUUGAAGUACUUAUCGACGUUGGAAAAUGUACCAUUGCCGUCGUCCGGAUCUUGUGCCAUAUGCAUGUCCGGAUCAGCUGACGGCGGUAGCGUUGCGGCGGUCUUGCCAUGGCUUGGCACCGACACGACUGGCGGUGUUGUCUGUGGGGUGGUGUCCCCCGCCCCCAAAUGAAUCUGGCUCUUCGGCCAAAGCAGGGACCAGCUUAAGAGGGUGCUGAGGGUCAUCACAUCAUCUUCGUCGGCCCCCGGGGGUCGAAAUGGAGGUAACAAGUCGUCGCAGCCCCGCGGCACCCGAACCAGUUGAACCCUAUACACGGUGGGUGGUAUCGUAUUACCGUGGAACACACGGUUGCCAGGUUGAACGAUUUUGGCCUUGGCGACAUCGAUCAACUCGCCGUCCAUGAAGUGUAGGAGAGUGCAUGGAACAUCAGCGGCGCCCUCCGAAAACAUGUAGGGCGUCAGGGAUGCCCAGUCAAAGGCAAGGAGAUGAAGUCAUCGGCCGAGGCUUAGUUACCGUGAUGGCGUCGAGCUCUGCUAAUGUCGAGGCACCGCCAACGGCGGGCGUGCAAGUGACGGAGGGGCCGCUUGCUACCGAGGUGCCGGCUGACGUAUUCUUCCCACACCCGCUGGGUGCAUUAAGCUCCAAUGUCGGCACCGGCGCUGGAGACACCAAUGCCGGCGCAUUGUGCGAGUUGCUACCCGUGAAGCUGGGAAUCGGGGCGACCCCUGUUGGCCGCCCGCAAUCCACGCCUGCAGCCCCUCAAGCAAGAUAGGAAUAAUGGCAGUGAUCGUCCCUCCCAGUUGGUCUCGCACUUGCUCUUGGACUAUCUCCGGAAUCCACGCCACUUGUGCCUUGAGUUCUUUAACCUCGCGCUCCUGGCUUUCCGAGCUGGUCUUUCUCUCCUUUCGCCCAACCUUAUAGUAUUCCGACCGUUUUGUGGACAAGCCUUUGCCGGCCACACGAUCAGCUGACGACGGCUUACUGAACUUAUCCUUGUGUUUCACUAUGUUCAACGCCCUAUUUAAAGUGGUGUCCCAAGGGGCACACGGGGAGCUCUGAGACCCCGUGCUACUGCUUUCAGUUUCCUGCGGAAGGAACGUGAACCAUUUAGAAAUUUGGCUUCAUUAAUUAGAAUGCAACCAUAUGGAGCUAAUUACGCGGGGGUGUAUUCCUUACAAGAACAAGCUCAAGCGUCUUGGUCUUCGGAUCCGUGGUAAGUUCCUUUGUUACCGGGUCCACCUUGUAUCGGGCCCUGACAUAGUUCCUGGUCUGCUUGUCACGGUAUUUAUCGAAGAGGGACGGUAGGCCUUGCUCGGCACGCUCCGCAUCCUCCGUGUCCCAUAUAGGUUCCGCCACUCUGUAACCGCCAGGACCGAGUGUGUGGUGUCCUAAGUUCAAGUCCCGCAUAUCUUUCCCCCACUGACUUGAUUCUGCGGAUGCGUUGCUCUCGCACUUGAUCUUGAACUCCAGGUAGUCAGCUUCCUGAUUGAAGGAUUUGUCUCCUUGAUCUUCUCAUAACUAUCACCACUUAGAAUCCUUCUCUUCACCGCGGCUCUCCAAGUACCCAGGGCCGUGCUCAUCUUCGUGAGGGCGGCACUGUUCACUUUAUUCCCCGAGAGGCGUGUGUUUGCGAAGUCACUGGGGAACUUGUAUCAUUCGUGCAACUUCAUGAAGAGGAGGUUGCGCAAAUUCCCUCGGUCACGAUGCCUUAGGUUCUCGGUGUUGAUCGAGACGGUGCUCCGGAGAAUGCACCCGAGUUGUCCCGCAUACCCACUGACUAAUUAUUUGGGCGCCAUUGGAUGCCCACUGGAGGACACUUCAAUAAAUUCUUCCUUGACGGUGCCGAGCAUGUUCGGGCGCCGGUCCUUCCGUUGCCUCUUCGGUUGGCUGCCAUCUGUGCAUGUGCUGCCAUCAUCAGUGGUGGCAUCCCCGGCGGCACCAUCAGUGGUGUCAUCCCCGACGCCACUAGGGGUUGUGUAGUCGGGAUCGGUGUCUUCCGUGGCGUCCUCAUAGCGGUGAGGUUCUUCCUCCAUCUCCUAGGACAGCUCCCAGAAUGACUUUCCCGAACCACCGACCUCAUCGUUGUCGGCCAUGUUCGCUCUAAAUAGGAAAAAAGGCUACUAGAGUUAUUGGGUGAGAUCAGGGUAGUAUCUAUUCUUCUCAGAUUUAGAGGAAUAUUUCCGUUUUGAUUUAGAAUCGGGCACCUUCUAGGUCAAGAAAAUUGGGCAUGACCUUUGCUAAUUUUUUUGACCUAGGAGUGCCCCAUUCUCAACCGAAAAGGAAAUUAAUCAACAUUUCAGGAGAAAGGGGUCAUUUCACAUCAGAAGAUCAUGCCAGGCAAUCAACCAAACCAAAUAUGUAUAGGAAAGGCUCAUCAUGUUCAAAUUAGAUUUAGGAGAGGGAAUUGGCAAGGAAAGAUAUAGUCCAUAACCAGAAAUAGGACAUUGAUAGCACACAUACUAAACAUCUGCUGUAAGCAGAACACAUACACCCACCUACACAUGGGUACUAUUAUGUAUAUAGGUACACAAGCAUAAGACAUGCACCUGCUAUAGGUAGGAGUAUAAGCAUGCAUCUAAACCAUCUGAAAUAGCUAAAGCAAAGAAAGAGUUAUCACUACAUGCAACAAUGAGGACUAUGACCUGUACAAUAUACAACUAAACCACCAGUAGAUGAUGUACUAAACCAUACAAGAAAUGCCAAUACAUGGUAUUUACAUAAAGACAACACAGAUACCAAAAACUGAUGAGUACUCCAAAAACUGAUUGCUUUUCAUGAAACACUUACUUUCUUGAAACAGAUGAAACUAAUUACUUGGCUAUGGCUCUAACUGAAUUUUCAAAAGAAUGAUGGUAAUUUCUGAUUCUAUACAUGACAUGCAAAACAAAUAAUUCUCAGGUUAUAAUAUCUUCAUCAGCAGGACGACAAGAAAUUUGGUACCCCAUUCUUAGUAACAGUUGUACUGGAUGUACAGUGAUCAUCACAAGCAGCAACUGUUGUACAACAGCAGUUCUACUAAUUUACAAUGAUCAUCAUCAUGACUGGCAGCAUGACAUAUUGUUCUGAAAAUUUCUGUAACCUAGACAACUGUAUAUACAAUCUUGACCCAAGUAGUGCCAACAAUUAUAUCCAUAGUGCCAGCAACAGAAGAAACAACCUAGAACCACUUGAACUACAUACAGUAGGCAGCAACAAGCAAAGCAGCGGCAGCGGCUCAAGUAGCAACAGCGGCGGCGGUAACAGGUAGUUGAGACGUGCACGAGGGGCAGCGGCCGAAGGGCGUGGGCGCUGGCCGCGGCUAGGCAGGAGCAGGCAAGCGGGAAGCGCGGUGGCGCAGCCAGGCGAGGCACAGCAAUAACAACACAUAGCAGCAGGAGAACCGAAGGGGAAAAGGAGGGGAUCGACAGAGGAGCUCACCGUGACCUGCAGGUGAGCAAAGCGGGCUCGGGGGAGAGCUCACCGAAGCGAAUUGUCGACGAAGUCCGCCGGGUCAAGGAGGAAGCCGGUGGCAGGGAAGGCAUCAUGGGGGCGUCCGGCGUCCUGCGGCUUGUCCGAGGAGACGUAGUCGAGGGAGGUGGAGUUCUUGGGCACGUCGGUGUGGCACGAGGUCAACGGUUGCCAUGGCGGUGCGAGGUGGCCGGCGACGGGCGCGUCGCGCGCGGGUUGCCGACACGGAUCUGGGGGAGAGGAGAAGGCGGAGAGGGCGAGAGGAAGCACAAGGGGGAAGUGCGGAGGGGGCCCGAGGAGGCAGGGCGGCAGCGCAGGUAGGGGCGGAGGCGCAGUGGUUCGGGGCGGCGGUGCAGGUCGGGGCAGCAGGUCGAGGGCUGAGAGAGGUGUGAGAUUGGGGAUUGGGGAUUUGGAUCUUUUAGUGGGGGGAAGGGUUAGCAAUGGCGCACCAUUUAGGGGUGCGCCAUAAAAAUUGGUAUACCAAUGGCGCACCUUCUAGGGGUGCGCCAUAAACACCGUGGUAGCAAUGGCACACCUUCUCCUGAUGCGCCAUUACUAACUUUUUUUAUUGGAUUUUUAGUUGCAUGUAAUAAUUUUCUAGAAAAUGACCCUAAAUUUCAAAAUGUUACGAUAUAAGUAGUUAUUACUAAUUUUCAAAUACUUGCGUUGUAAAACACUUGUGAAUUGGUAAAACAUUUAUGAGUAUGAAAAAAUAUCAUCAGAUUUGAAAAAAUAUUCAUGAAUUCAAAAAGUACCCAUGAAAUUUAAAAAUAUUCAUGAGUUCAAAAAAUAUUAACAAAUUCAAUACGUUUUGUGAGUUAGAAAAAUGUUUGCAUUUUCAAAAAAUGUUUGCAAAUUUAAGCAGGAAAAGGAACACUGAAAAAUAAAAUACCAGAAUAAACAUAAAUAAAAAUUGGUAUAUCAAUGGCGCACCUUCUAGGGGUGCGCCAUAAACACCGUGAUAGCAAUGGAGCACCUUCUCCUAGUGCGCCAUUACUAACUUUUUUUUUAUUUUACCAGAAUAAACAUAAAUAAAAACAAUUAAAAUACCAGAAGAAAACACAAAGAAGCCCAAGGUGCCUGUAAAUGAUGAUUUGCAACAAAACAAGAGGGAGAAGAACAAAAAUUCCAAAUCCAAGAAGAAGGUGGUCGAUACUUCAACUUGGUGAUGGAGAAGUUACAAAAGGAAGGUAAGUACAGACAACAUUAAUCCCCACUGUUUUGAACAAAAGAGGUUACUGGAUAGAGGACUAGAAUAUAAGAAAUGCCAUUUCCAUACUUCAACUUAUUUCCAUGUAAUAAUUGAGCUUGCCACUGACACACACACACACACACGGCCGACACGCCGUGAUUCGAUCUUAGCUAUCUUUUCACAAUCUUCUUGCCCUUAUUUUUCGCAAAUGGAGUUCUUCUCUUGAACGGAUGUCCUUUAAGUAGGGUGGUCCUGCUUCUUCUUGUAGUGUAUGGUACUUCAUCGUUGUCGUCAUCUUCCAUCUUUGGGUCGCCAUACUUGUCGAAGUCUUGCUCAUUGGCCACUUCAUCCAUUCCUAUGAUGUUCCUUUUGCCUCUCCUCACGACAACACGACUGGGCUUUGACGGGUCGGUAAUGAAGAAGCAUUGGUCCACUUGGGAAGCCAGUACCCAUGGCUCAUUUUUCGUGGUGACAUUUGCGCCCACGGUCUUGGAUUUGGCUUCGGGUAUAACCAUGGUGGUGAAAUACCGGUCUUCUUUUAGGACGCUCUUGGCUCAUCUGACAUGGAACAUCGGGACCUUCUCUCCAGCGUAGCUCAGCUCCCGGAUCUCCUUGAUCCUUCCAUAGUAUCUGUCCUUGUCAUUACCGGUGUAGGAUUCCAUCGUUACCCUGGAGUUCUGAUAAUCGCUCUUGAUGUCCUUUUCCUCGGUGUAGAAUGUGUAGCUAUUGAUAUCGUACGCCUCAUAGGUCAUCAGGUUGUGCUCGGCGCCCUGUGACAAGGCGAAUAUGAGUUUUUCUUCCACGGAAGAAUCCUCAUGUAAAGGGUAUGAUAGAAGCUUGUCCUUGAACCAAUGCGUGAAACAUGAGUUGUGCUCUUUGAUUAUAUCUCCGUCCGUCCUCUGUUGGCCUCGGUCAUUAUACGUCUUCUCAAUAAAGGUUUUGUGCUCUACCACCCAAGGAUCGACCACGUCUAUGUGUUGUAGCACCACUAGGUUUGCUCUUUCAAAGUCGGCGAGUCGACCCUUGAAGUCUACAUGCAUUUUGCGGCGACCCUCACGGUGACCCCAUCCAGCGAGCCUACCGAGGUGCCUGUUGACGGGUAGACCAACGGGGUUCUUGAUACGUCCAUUUUGCAUCAUGCUUUUAUAUCAAUAUUUAUUGCAUUAUGGGCUGUUAUUACACAUUAUAUCUCAAUACUUAUGGCUAUUCUCUCUUAUUUUACAAGGUUUACCAUGAAGAGGGGGAAUGCCGGCAGCUGGAAUUCUGGCUGGAAAAGGAGCAAACGUUGGAAACCUAUUCUGCACAGCUCCAAAAGUCCUAAGACUCCACGAAACAACCUUUUGGAUUUAUUAAGAAUUUAUGAGCGAAAGAAAUAGGCCAGGGGGCCCACACCCUGUCCAGGAGACAGGGGGGCACGCCCCCCUAUAGGGUGCACCCCCUAUCUCCUGGGCCCCUUGGUGGGCCUUCGGCGUCCAUCUUUUGCUAUAUCAUCACUUUUACCCUGAAAAAAAUCAUGGGCAAGCUUACGGGACGAAACUCCACCGCCACGAGGCGGAACCUUGGCGGAAUCAAUCUAGGGCUCUGGCAUAGCUGUUCUGCCAGGGACACUUCCCUCCGGGAGGGGGAAAUCAUCACCACCGUCAUCACCAAUGAUCCUCUCAUCCGGAUGGGGUCAAUCUCCAUCAACAUCUUCACCAGCAUCGUCUCCUCUCAAAACCCUAGUUCAUCUCUUGUAUCCAAUCUUGUAUCAAAACCACAAAUUGGUACAUGUGGGUUGCUAGUAGUGUUGAUUACUCCUUGUAGUUGAUGCUAAUUGGUUUACUUGGUGGAAGAUCAUAUGUUCAGAUCCUUUAUGCAUAUUAUUACUCCUCUAAUUAUGAACAUGAAUAUGCUUUGUGGGUAGUUACAUUUGUUCCUGAGGACAUGGGUGAAGUCUUGCUAUUAGUAGUCAUGUGAAUUUGGUAUUCGUUCGAUAUUUUGAUGAGAUGUUUGUUGUCUUUUCCUCUAGUGGUGUUAUGUGAACGUCGACUACAUGAUACUUCACCAUUAUUUGGGCCUAGAGGAAGGCAUGGAGAAGUAGAUGAUGGGUUGCUAGAGUGACAGAAGCUUAAACCCUAGUUUAUGCGUUGCUUCGUUAGGGGGUGAUAUGGAUCCAUAUGUUUAAUGCUGUGGUUAGGUUUACCUUAAUACUUCUUAUUGUAGUUGCGGAUGCUUGCAACAGAGGUUAAUCAUAAGUGGGAUGCUUGUCCAAGUUAGGGAAGUACCCAAGUACCGGUCCACCCACAUAUCAAAUUAUCAAAGUACCGAACGCGAAUCAUAUGAACGUGAUGAAAACUAGCUUGACGAUAAUUCCCAAUGUGUCCUCGGGAGCUCCUUCUUCAUUAUUAGAAAUUGUACAGGCUUAUCCUUUGCUACAUAAAGGAUUGGGCCACCUUGCUGCACUUUACUUACUUUAUUUACUUGUUGCUCGUUACUAUUUAUCUCACCACAAAACUAUCUAUUACCUACAAUUUCAGUGCUUGCAGAGAAAACCUUACUGAAAACCACUUAUCAUUUCCUUCUGCUCCUCAUUGGGUUCGACACUCUUACUUAUCGAAAGGACUACGAGAGAUCCCCUACACUUGUGGGUCAUCAAGACUCUUUUUUGGCGUCGUUGCCGGGGAGUGUAGCGCUUUUGGUGAGUGGAACUUGGUAAGGAAACAUUUAUAUAGUGUGCUGAAUUUUUUUUGUUACUUGUCACUAUGGAAACUAAUCCUUUGAGGGGCUUGUUUGGGGUAUAUUCACCCGAACCAUAAGAGCAAAGAGUUGCUCCUCAACCUACUGAACUUUAUGAAAACAUUCACUUUGUGAUUCCUUCGGGUAUGAUAGAAAAACUGCUAGCUAAUCCAUUUGCAGGAGAUGGAACAUUGCAUCCCGGUUUACACCUUAUCUUUGUGGAUGAAGUUUGUGGAUUAUUUAAGCUUGCAUGUAUUCCCGACGUUGUUGUCAAAAGGAAGGUCUUCCCUUUAUCUUUGAAGGGAGACGCAUUGACAUGGUAUAGGCUAUGUGAUGAUACGAGAUCUUGGAAUUAUAAGCAAUUGAAAUUGGAAUUUCACUAGAAGUUCUAUCCUAUGCAUCUUGUUCAUCGUGAUCAUAAUUACAUAUAUAAUUUCUGGCCUCGCGAAGGAGAAAGCAUCGCUCAAGCUUGGGGGAGGCUUAAGUCAAUGUUAUAUUCAUGCCCCAAUCAUGAGCUCUCUCGGGAAAUGAUUAUUCAGAAUUUUUAUGCUCGGCUUUCUCUUGAUAAUCGCAACCUGCUCAAUACUUCCUGUGCUGGUUCUUAUAUGCUGAAGACUAUUGAUUUCAAAUGGGACUUAUUGGAAAGAAUUAAACGCAACUCUGAAGAUUGGGGUUCUGACGAUGGUAAGGAGUCAGGUAUGACACCUAAGUUCGAUUGUGUUAAAUCUUUUAUGGAUACCGAUGCUUUCCAUGGAUUUAGCGCUAAGUAUGGACUUGACUCUGAGAUAGUGGCUACUUUUUGUGAAACUUUUGCUACUCACGUUGAUCUCCCUAAAGAUAAGUGGUUUAAAUAUAAUCCUCCUGUUGAAGUAAAAGUAGUUGCACCUAUUACAGUCGAAGAAAAGACUAUUACCUAUAGUGAUCCUAUUGUUCCUACUUCUUAUGUUGAAAAACCUCCUUUUCCUGUUAGGAUAAAAGAUAAUACUAAAGCUUCGACUGUUGUUCGUAAGAGUAAUACUAGGACCUAUACACCUCCUGAGCAAAUUAAUGUUGAACCUGGUAUUGCUAUGAUUCAAGAUCUCUUGGAUGAGGACUUAGAUGGGCAUGUUAUUUCUUUCUUGGGUGAAACUGCUAAUAUUGCUAGACCUGAUACUAAGACACGUAGACCUGUUGUAGGCAUGCCUGUUAUUUCUGUCAAAAUAGGAGAUCAUUGUUAUCAUGGCUUAUGUGAUAUGGGUGCGAGUGCUAGUGCGAUACCUUAUGAUCUUUAUAAAGUAAUUAUGCAUGACAUUGCACCCGUUGAAUUAGAAGACAUUGAUGUUACUAUUAAGCUUGCUAAUAGGGAUACCAUUAAACCUAUUGGGAUUGUUAGAGAUGUUGAAGUUUUUUGUGGGAAGGUUAAAUACCCUACUGAUUUUCUUGUUCUUGGUUCCCCACAAGAUGAUUUUUGUCCCAUUAUUUUUGGUAGACCCUUCUUGAAUACUGGUAGUGCUAGGAUUAACUGUGAAAACAAUAUUGUUACUGUUGGCAUAGAUGGUAUGUCUCAUGAGUUUAAUUUUGCUAAGUUUAGUAGACAACCUCGUGAAAGGGAACCACCUAGUAAGGAUGAGAUUAUUGGUCUUGCUUCCAUUGCUGUUCCUCCAGCUGAUCCGUUAGAACAAUAUUUGCUAGACCAUGAAAACAAUAUGUUUAUGAAGGAAAGGGAGGAAAUAGAUGAAGUGUUCCUUAAACAGGAACCUAUGCUGAAACAUAACCUUCCCAUUGAAAUUCUUGGGGAUCCCCCUCCACCCAAGGGUGAUCCCGUGUUUGAACUCAAACCAUUACUUGAUAAUCUUAAGUAUGCUUAUCUUGAUGAAAAAGAAAUAUAUCCUGUUAUUAUUAGUGCUAACCUUUCAGAGAAAGAAGAAGAAAGAUUAUUGAAACUCUGAAGAAGCACCGAGAUGCUAUUAGAUAUACUCUGGAUGAUCUUAAGGGCAUUAGUCCCACAUUAUGUCAACACAAAAUUUCAUUGGAAAAAGAUGCCAAACCAGUUAGAGAUCCUCAAAGACGAUUAAAUCCCAAGAUGAAGGAAGUGGUAAGAAAGGAGAUACUAAAGCUCCUUGAGCCGGUAUUAUUUAUCCCGUUGCUGAUAGUGAAUUGGUAAGCCCUGUCCAUUGUGUCCCUAAAAAGGGAGGUAUUACCGUUGUUCCUAAUGAUAAAGAUGAAUUGAUCCCGUAAAGAAUUAUUACAGGUUAUAGGAUGGUAAUUGAUUUCUGUAAGUUAAAUAAAGCUACUAAGAAAGAUCAUUACCCCUUACCUUUUAUUGAUCAAAUGCUAGAAAUACUAUCCAAACACACACAUUUUUGCUUUCUAGAUGGUUAUUCCGGUUUCUCUCAGAUACCUGUAUCAGCGAAAGAUCAAUCUAAAACUACUUUUACUUGCCCUUUUGGUACUUUUGCUUAUAGACGUAUGCCUUUUGGUUUAUGUAAUGCACCUGCUACCUUUCAAAGAUGCAUGAUGGCUAUAUUCUCUGAUUUUUGUGAAAAUAGUUGUGAGGUAUUCAUGGAUGACUUCUCCGUCUAUGGAUCCUCCUUUGAUGAUUGUUUGAGCAACCUUGAUCGAGUUUUGCAGAGGUGCGAAGACACUAGUCUUGUCCUGAAUUGGGAAAAGUGUCACUUUAUGGUUAAUGAAGGCAUUGUCUUGGGGCACAAGAUUUCCGAGAGAGGUAUUGAAGUUGAUAAAGCCAAAGUUGAUGCUAUUGAAAAGAUGCCAUGUCCCAAGGACAUAAAAGGUAUAAGAAGUUUCCUUGGUCACGCCGGUUUUUAUAGGAGGUUCAUUAAGGACUUUUCUAAAAUCUCUAGGCUUCUGACUAAUUUAUUGCAAAAAGAUAUUCCUUUUGUCUUUGACGAUGAUUGUGUAGAAGCUUUUGAAACACUUAAGAAAGCUUUGAUCACUGCACCUAUUGUUCAGCCACCUGAUUGGAAUUUACCUUUUGAAAUUAUGUGCGAUGCUAGUGAUUAUGCUGUAGGUGUUGUUUUAGGGCAAAGAGUCGAUAAGAAAUUGAAUGUUAUCCAGUAUGCUAGUAAGACUCUUGAUACUGCCCAGAGAAAUUAUGCUACUACUGAAAACUAGUUCUUAGCAGUUGUGUUUGCAUGUGAUAAGUUUAGACCUUAUAUUGUUGAUUCCAAAGUUACUAUUCACACUGAUCAUGCUUCUAUUAAAUAUCUUAUGGAAAAGAAAGAUGCUAAGCCUAGACUCAUUAGAUGGGUUCUCUUGCUCCAAGAAUUUGACUUGCAUAUUAUUGAUAGAAAGGGAGCUAAGAACCCCGUUGCAGAUAACUUGUCUAGGUUAGAGAAUGUUCUUGAUGACCCACUGCCUAUUAAUGAUAGCUUUCCUGAUGAACAAUUAGUGGUUGUCCAUGCUUCUCGUACUGCUCCUUGGUAUGCUAAUUAUGCGAAUUACAUUGUUGCUAAAUAUAUAUCGCCUAGUUUCACAUACCAGCAAAAGAAAAAGUUCUUUUAUGAUUUAAGACAUUACUUUUGGGAUGAUCCACACCUUUAUAAAGAAGGAGUAGAUGGUGUUAUUAGACGUUGUGUGCCUGAGCAUGAACAGGAACAGAUCCUACGCAAGUGUCACUCUGAAUCCUAUGGAGGACACCACGCUGGAGAUAGAACUGCACACAAGGUACUACAAUCUAGUUUUUAUUGGCCUACUCUCUUCAAAGAUGCUUGUAAGUUUGUUUUAUCUUGUGAUGAAUGUCAAAGAAUAGGUAACAUUAGUAGACGUCAAGAAAUGCCUAUGAAUUAUUCUCUUGUUAUUGAACCGUUUGAUGUUUGGGGCUUUGAUUAUAUGGGACCUUUUCCUGCCUCUAAUGGUUAUACACAUAUUCUAGUUGCUGUUGAUUACGUUACUAAGUGGGUAGAAGCUAUUCCAACUAGUAGUGCUGAUCAUAACACUUCUAUUAAAAUGCUUAAAGAAGUUAUUUUUCCGAGGUUUGGAGUCCCUAGAUAUCUUAUGACUGAUGGUGGUUCACAUUUUAUUUAUGGUGCUUUCUGUAAGAUGCUUGCUAAGUAUGAUGUCAAUCAUAGAAUAGCAUCUCCUUAGCAUCCACAGUCUAGUGGUCAAGUAGAGUUGAGCAAUAGAGAGUUCAAAUUAAUUUUGCAAAAGACUGUGAAUAGAUCUAGAAAGAAUUGGUCCAGAAAAACUUGACGAUGCAUUAUGGGCCUAUAGAACUACAUACAAAAAUCCUAUGGGUAUGUCUCCUUAUAAGAUGGUUUAUGGAAAAGCAUGUCAUUUACCUCUUGAACUUGAACAUAAAGCAUAUUGGGCUAUUAAAGAGCUCAAUUAUGACUUCAAACUUGCCGGUGAGAAGAGGUUGUUUGAUAUUAGCUCACUUGAUGAAUGGAGAACCCAAGCCUAUGAGAAUGCCAAGCUUUUCAAAGAAAAAGUCAAACGCUGGCAUGAUAAGAGGAUACAAAAGCGUGAGUUUAACGUAGGAGAUUCGUGUUAUUAUUCAACUCUCGUUUAAGAUUUUUUGCAGAAAAACUUCUCUCAAAAUGGGAAGGUCCCUACGUUAUCGAGGAGGUCUAUCGUUCUGGUGCUAUAAAAAUCAACAACUUCGAAGGCACAAAUCCAAGGGUGAUAAACGGUCAAAGAAUUAAACACUAUAUUUCAGGUAAUCCUAUCAGUGUUGAAACUAAUAUUAUUGAAACUGUAACCCCUGAGGAAUACAUAAGGGACACUUUCCAGAACGUUCCAGACUCCGAAAAGGCAUAGGUAUGUGGUACGGUAAGUAAACCGACUCCAAAACAACUCUAAUGGCAAUUUUUAUCAGUUUUGGAUUAUUUAAGAAUUUUAGGAAGAAAGAAGUAGUCCAAAAGGGACACGAGGCCCCCACGAGAGUGGAGGGCGCCCCCCUGUAGGGCGCGCCCCCUAUCUCGUGGGCACCUCGUGUGCCUCCCGGACUCCGUUUUCCAGUAUGUUACGUAUUUUGGUCGGUAAAAAUUCAUUAUAUAUACUCCCGAAGGUUUUGACCAACGUAACAUGCAAAUAUCCUUUGUUUUUGUUUUGAGUUGUUCCUGUUGCAGAAUAAAGCAAGAUGUCAUCCCAAGAUUCGAAGGGGGAGAGCUACAAGGCUGAUUAUAUCGCAAACCCAAAAGUAUAUGGGGAUGUGGAACAUUAUGGCUGGACCACGGAGGACGAAGAAGACUAUGAUCCAAAGGGGAAGGAUGAGACAAGCUCUGCUGAAGAGGACGAUCCACUACCCCAACCUGGUGAUAUGCAUGUGGAGUUCAAGAAGUCAAGCCUCCCUAAGGUCCAGUCUAUCCCUCCACGUUUUUUGCAGGACAGCAAGGCAACAGUAUGCGAAAAGAUAAUGAAACUUGAGCUCGAGAAUGAGGAUCCGAGGGAGGAAAAUUUUAGCCUCAGACGCAAGCUAGAGAAGAAAAAUGCAACAACUCCACCGUCAUCAUCUCCACCAUCACCACCUCCGAGGACAUAAUCACAUGGGUAUGGGCACUCCCCUUGGCAACUACCAAGCUUGGGGGAGGUGCCCCGGUAUCGUAUCACCAUCACACUCCUAUCUUUACCGCUUUAUUUAGUUCGAUCCUUUUAGUAGUAUCUUGAUCUAGUAGAUUGAAGUUUUGAUAUCAAGUAGUUUUGAGUUUUGCAUUGUGAUCUCUUUUUGUAUUCGAGUCCAUGUGCUAUCUAUAAUAAAGAUUAGUGUUGAGUCAAGGGCUUUGCUAUGUUGCUAUAAUCUUGAGAAAGUAGAAAGAAUAAAAGAGUUCAUAUUGAUCUUAUGGAUAGUGAUAACUUCACACAUAGAAAGUAUGAGGCAUAAAAAAUGUUGAGAGUUGAUGAACGUAGCCUUGGUCAUCGUUGCAAUUAAUAGGGAGUGAUAAGGAAAGAGGGGUUCACAUAUAAAUAUAUUAUCUUCAAUACUAGAGAAAAGCUUACCAGUAGCGCUGGUUUUUUUGCUACCAGUAGCGCGGGAACCAGCACUACUGCUACGGCGCUACAGCUAUUUUGUAGCAGUAGCACGCUUCUAGACCAGCGCUACUGGUAAGUUCAAGUACUAGUAGCGCGUUUUUAGGACAGCGCUACUGCUAACAUUUAUGCCUUUUUUUAAUAUUUUGGCGCUGUACAUGUUUAAACAGAUAUAUCUUUUAUACAAUAACAACUCAUCAUGAACUAGUCUGUUUAAAUAGCAUAUUCAUUACCACUAGUCAUCACCACCAAACAAUGUUCGUCAAUGAGACAUCAUAUAUAUAACAAGUUGGUCACUAGUCAUAAUCACAACUCCUCAUCCUCCUCAUCAACUCUAACACAUUAUAGCACAUAAUAACACAUUCUACCUAGGACCUACUCCUCUCAUAGGACCUACUCUACCAUCUCUUAGGUAAAAUAUCAUAAAACAAGAUAGGCAUUGACUCCUCAUUAAGGGAACUGAACUCUCCAUAAUGAAGAACGGAGAUCAUCCUGUCUCCAAGUCUUGGCCUACGCACAAUGUUUCUUCCAAGUAGCUCUCUACGAUGGUUGAAACAUUUUUUCCAAUCUUUUAUUAUCAUGGCUUCCUAGCUUUUAGAAAUCCGGUAUGGACAUGAGUGAUGUGGAUACUGUGGUUGACCUGGCCGUGGUGGCCGUAAGCUCAUAACAUCAAUGCGACCUCUUGGCAACAUCAUAUGAGGCACACAAUCCAUCGGGAUUUUCUGUUCAAAAACAUAGUAAUAACUUUGUAGUUAGCAAUGUAGUUUACUUUUAGAAAAAUUUAUGCAAAAGAUGCACGGAUGUCGUAAUAGUACAAAAUCUUACCAUGAUAUCUCCAUUGAUGUUACCGUAGCACACCGCGUGCACUAGUGGCACAUAUGGACCAUAAUUUUCAGGAAUUCGGUAAUAGCUAUUGUAAUUCUCAAGAUCAGUAAAAAAUGUGAUCAGACCAUCUUUCUCCUUAUAAGUUAAUUGUGCUUCAUCAUUGUAGUAGUAGGUUCUGUCUACCAUCUUCCGUACAUUUUUUGAAGAAUGAAAAUAAGCUGUCAAUGGAAAUAAGCUGUCAAAUAUUUUGAAAUAAACAAUAUAAAUUACUUAGUAAAUAUGUUUAAGAAACUCACACAGCGGUAGAACUGGAAGGGUGUCAACAAGGACCCACAUGGUCAUAUCAUUUUCGUCGAUGUCAGGAUUGCCAAGAUCGAAGGUGAGAAGCAUACCCUCAUGAAAAUCAUACGCCUUGGAAAGGGCUUCCCAAUUCGGGUAACCAAAAUUGGAUGAGUUCACAUAAUUGUAUAAUUUUACCGCAAAAUCAUAACCAUGAUGGGUCCUUAGUUGAAUUAUCUUUGUCUCCGUGAUUUCAUGAUCUUCAAACCCCAUCUUCUCCAAGACAUAGCGUCUUGCAUGGCAUGUGAUAAACAAUGUCGAAUUGUAAAAGACGGAAAUUACACAUUGAAGAAGCAGAGAAGUCGUGCAAAAAUAACAAAAAACACUUGUCAUCGUUGCGUACCGUAUCAACAUCGAAGGUCUCUUGGAGCUUGAUGCUGAAGCGCCGACCUUCUACCAGGUGAGGCCUGUCGCACAUACCGCGCUUAUCUUCGUAGUAAACGCACAUAGCGAAUUCCCUUUCGUCGUAAGACAUUUCCUAAUAGGUAACUAAUAAUCCAUCUCGAAUACAUAUAUAGUAGUUUGUAGCAAAGAUCAUCAUAUAACAACUAAAACACCUAAAAUUUGUAGUUUGUAGUAGUUUGUAGCAAAGAUCAUCAUAUAACAACUAAAACACCUAAAAUUUGUAGUUUGUAGUAGUUUGUAGCAAAGCUCAUCAUAUAGUCCAUCAUGAAUACAUAUAUAGUAGUUUGUAGCACAAACCGCGCCCAUCUUUUGCAUUCAAUAAGCAAAUAACUAAUAGGUAAUUAAUAAGCCAACAUUGAAUACAUAUAUAGUAGUUUGUAGCAAAGAUCAUCAUAUAAUAUCACUAAUAUAUCUCGAAUAAUAGCUCCUCUAGGUUCAGUGUGCCGUGGUGGACACCCAAAGAGAAGGAACCAUCACCGGAUCAUAGCUCCGGUGAGAUCCCCAAAGAAACUGCUAGGUAUUGGAGAACCGGCCGUUCGCCAACUCAACCAAGUAGCGCUAGACGUGCGCGUUCUCCUCCAUGACACGGUGUUGCACCACCUGCGCGGGGGACUCAAGCCUCUCCACCGAUGCAGGCCCACGUGACCGCCACCAAAGAAGCUCCGGGUCGACGACGGGCUGGCUCCUCACUAAGCUGCGCUCACCAGAAGGUAGCACAACCCAGUACGAGCCCGGCGGAGCCCAGUCCCAGACAUGGCCCCUCGGCUCAACCAGGAGUCCUCCGCCGAGUCAACGACGAGGAUGCGGGAUAGGCACCGUCGACGUCGAGAACAAAAUGCUUAAUUAUGAAAACAAAAUUAAUAAACACUUAGCAAAAUUUGGCAUGACCUUUGCUAAAAACAGGACAUAUCGAGGGCCUAAAAUUUGCCAGAACAUAAACGAAUUGACAUUUCUGGCAAAACAUAGGCCACUCGGAAAAAUAUGACAUGUCCAAAAUGUGACAUGUUCAAAACAUGACAUGUCCACUGCAAGUUUGCAUAUAACAGGAAAAAUUGCUUUAACUAAAAAAAUAACAACAAUUGCUUUAACUAAAAAAAUACCUAGAAUUCUGUUAACUACACCUAAAACGACUAAAACACCUAAAAUUCUGUUAACUACACCUAAAACAACUAAAACACCUAAAAUUCUUUUAAAUACAGUUAAAACACCUAAAUUCUAUUAACUACACCUAAUUAAAAACCUAGCUGAAUUUUUGUCCUAACUUUAAAACCUAGCUAAAUUUAAAAACCUAGGGUUCAUACGAAUUAACUAGGGGUCAUACCUAAUCUGUCCUAGCAAGGGUUCAAUCAUAACCUACAUUACUCUUAUAACCUACAUUUUUUCAACUACAAAGGAUUCAAAAUAACUACUCUAAUAACUAUAACUAGGGAGGGAGCGAGGAGGAGGAAGGAGGGAGGAGUACCUAUCGGUGGAGGAGGGCCGGCGCGGGGGCCGGGGCAGCGGGCGGAGGAGGAGGCCGACGCAGGGGAGCUGGGCGGCUGGCGAGGAGGUGGGCCGGUGUGGGGGAGCUGGGCAGCCGGCGGGGAGGAGGGCCGGUGCGGGCGAGGGCGGCCGACGCAGGGAGGAGGGCCGGCGCGGGGGACGGCAGUGUGCGGGGGUUGACGGCGGCCGCGCGCGGGGGGGAUGAGGGAGGAGUGCGGAGUGUGAGUGAGAGAUGAGGCCGGGCCGGGGGGCACGCGGGCCGGGGGAGGUAGUGGGCUUAACAACAGCGUGGGCAACGGGCCAGCGCUACUGCUAAGCCCACUAGCUGUAGCGCUGGUUGGGCGAAAAGCGCUGCUAAUAUUUACUGAUCAGGGGGUGUGGUGUUUUAGACUUAGCAGUAGCGUGGGGCUAGAUAACAGGCGCUGCUGCUAACAGUUACCAGUAGCGUUCUUUCUAGGCAGCGCUACUACUAACUUCUAGUAGCGUGGGGUCAUAAACAAACGCUACUGGUAAACUUCUAUCUAUAAGCGUUUUCCUAGUAGUGCUUGGACAUCUUUUAUGAUUGUGAAGCACUCAUUAAGUAUGACAUGCUAAAAGAGUUGAUGUUGGACAAGGAAGACAACGUAAUCGGUUAUGUUUUCCGACAUCUUAGUUAAAGUAUAUUGUCAUUGACCUUCCAAACAUGUUGAGCUUGCCUUUCCCCCUCAUGCUAGCCAAAUUACUCGCACCAAGUAGAGAUACUACUUGUGCUUCCAAAUACCCUUAAACCCUGUUUUGCCAUGAGAGUCCACCAUACCUACCUAUGGAUUGAGUAAGAUCCUUCAAGUAAGUUGUCAUCGGUGCAAGCAAUAAAAAUAGCUCUCUAAAUAUGUAUGACUUAUUAGUGCAGAGAAAAUAAGCUUUGUACGAACUUGUUGUGGAAGUAAUAAAAGCGACGGACUACAUAAUAAAGGUCCACAUACAAGGGGUAAUAUGAAGUGACGUUCUUUUGCAUUAAGAUUUCAUGCAUCAACCCUAAACGUGCAUGACAACCUCUGCUUCCCUCUGCGAAGGGUCUAUCUUUUACUUUAUGCUUGAGUCAAGGUGAUCUUCACCUUUCCCUUUUUCAUUUUAUCCUUUGGCAAGCUCCUCGUGUUUGAAAGAUCAUGAUAUAUAUAUCCAACUGGAUGUAAGUUGGCAUAGGCUAUUAUUGUUGACAUCACCUAAAGGUGAAUAUGUUGGGAGGCAACACAAUAAGCCACUAUCUUUCUCAGUGUCCGGCUGAAACUCUAUAACCACAAGUAUUGCGUGUGUGUUAGCAAUUAUAGGAGACUACAAGAUAGUUGAGUAUGUGAGCUUGCUGAAAAGCUCAAUUAUAGCCUCUUUCUGAUGUUGCGAUAAAUUUCAAUUGCUUCAAUGACUGAGAUUAUAGUUUGUUAGUUCCCAAUGAAGUUUUUGAACCAUAUUUGACAUUGUGAAUUGCUUGUUACUUGAGCAUAGGAAAUCAUAUGACAAAAUCUAUAUAUGUUGCUGUUAUUAGAAUGAUCAUGAUGCCCUCAUGUCCGUAUUUUAUUUUUAUCGACACCUCUAUCUCUAAAUAUGUGGACAUAUUUUUCGAUUUCGGCUUCCGCUUGAGAACAAGCGUGGUCUAAGCUUGGGGGAGUUGAUACGUCCAUUUUGCAUCAUGCUUUUAUAUCAAUAUUUAUUGCAUUAUGGGCUGUUAUUACACAUUUUAUCUAAAUACUUAUGGCUAUUCUCUCUUAUUUUACAAGGUUUACCAUGAAGAGGGGGAAUGCCAGCAGCUGGAAUUCUGUCUGGAAAAGGAGCAAACAUUGGAAACCUAUUCUGCAUAACUCCAAAAGUCCCGAGACACCACGAAACAACCUUUUGGAUUUAUUAAGAAUUUAUGAGCGAAGGAAAUAGGCCAGAGGGCCCACACCCUGUCCAGGAGACAGGGGGGCGCGCCCCUAUCUCCUGGGCCCCCUGGUGGGCCUCCGGCGUCCAUCUUCUGCUAUAUCAUCACUUUUACCCUGGAAAAAAUCAUGGGCAAGCUUAUGGUACGAAACUCCGCCGCCACGAGGCGGAACCUUGGCGGAAUCAAUCUAGGGCUCUGGCGGAGCUGUUCUGCCGGGAACACUUCCCUCCCGGAGGGGGAAAUCAUCACCAACGUCAUCACCAACGAUCCUCUCAUCGGGAGGGGGUCAAUCUCCAUCAAUAUCUUCACUAGCACUGUCUCCUCUCAAAACCCUAGUUCAUCUCUUGUAUCCAAUCUUGUAUCAAAACCACAAAUUGGUACAUGUGGGUUGCUAGUAGUGUUGAUUACUCCUUGUAGUUGAUGCUAAUUGGUUUACUUGGUGGAAGAUCAUAUGUUCAGAUCCUUUAUGCAUAUUAUUACUCCUCUGAUUAGGAACAUGAAUAUUCUUUGUGAGUAGUUACAUUUGUUCCUGAGGACAUGGGUGAUGUCUUGCUAUUAGUGGUCAUGUGAAUUUGGUAUUCGUUCGAUAUUUUGAUGAGAUGUAUGUUGUAUUUUCCUCUAGUGGUGUGAUGGGAACGUCGACUACAUGACACUUCACCAUUAUUUGGGCCUAGAGGAAGGCAUGGGGAAGUAAUAAGAAGAUGAUGGGUUGCUAGAGUGACAGAAGCUUAAACCCUAGUUUAUGCGUUGCUUCGUUAGGGGCUGAUAUGGAUCCAUAUGUUUAAUGCUGUGGUUAGGUUUACCUUAAUACUUCUUAUUGUAGUUGUGGAUGCUUGCAAUAGAGGUUAAUCAUAAGUGGGAUGCUUGUCCAAGUUAGGGCAGUACCCAAGUACCGGUCCACCCACAUAUCAAAUUAUCAAAGUACCGAACGCGAAUCAUAUGAACGUGAUGAAAACUAGCUUGACGAUAAUUCCCAAUGUGUCCUCGGGAGCUCCUUCUUCAUUAUUAGAAAUUGUCCAGGCUUAUCCUUUGCUACAUAAAGGAUUGUGCCACCUUGUUGCACUUUACUUACUUUAUUUACUUGUUGCUCGUUACUAUUUAUCUUAUCAUAAAACUAUGUAUUACCUACAAUUUCAGUGCUUGCAGAGAAAACCUUAGUGAAACCGCUUAUCAUUUCCUUCUGCUCCUCGUUGGGUUCGACACUCUUACUUAUCGAAAGGACUACGAUAGAUCCCCUACACUUGUGGGUCAUCAGUUCUCGAUGCCUAGAUAAUUCAUGCAGUAGGAGAUGCACUCUUCGGUCAGAAAGCCCUUAGCUAUGCUUCCAUCUAGACGUGCCCUGUUGCGAACGUAUCCUUUGAUGACACCAUUCAUCCUUUCGAACGACAUCAUGUUGUGCAGGAACAUCGUCCCGAGUUGGAUGAUAUCCUCCACGAUAUGGACCAGCAGAUGCACCAUAACGUCGAAGAAUGCGGGCGGGAAGUACAUCUCAAGCUCGCAUAGUAUCACCACGAUCUCUUACUGUAGCCUUCUGAGUUGCCUCACGUCAACCGACUUCCGAGAGAUGACGUCAAAAAAGUUGCAUAGGCCAAAUAGCAUUUCACGGACGUGCGCGUCCAUGAUCCCACGGAUUGCAACUGGAAGUAUCUGCGUCAUCAGCACGUGACAGUCAUGAGACUUCAUCCCGCUGAACUUCUGCUUCCCAGAGUCUAGGUAUCGGCUUAUCUUCCCCGCGUAACCGUAAGGAAGUUUUACUCCUACGAGGCAGGUGAAAAACUGCUCGGUCUCCUCCUAACUUAGAGUAAAGCACGCGGGAGGGCAGUCAUAUUCGAUCUUCUUGGCCUUUUUGCCUUUGCGACGACUUUCGUGUCCUUCGCCUCAUCAUCAUCAUCAUCAUUAGGGCAUUUUGCGUGAAGCUCCUCCCUGAUGCCCAUUGAUUGCAAGUCUGCCCUUACUUUCAGCCCAUCUUUGGUUCUCUCUGGCAUGUUGAGUAGGGUACCAAGCAGACUCUCGCACACAUUCUUCGUGAUAUGCAUGACAUCAAGGCUGUGAGGCACACGGAGGAUCUUCCAGUACGGCAAGUCCCAGAAAACAGACCUCCUUUUUCCAUACCUUCAGCAGCGGCUCUGGUGCCUUUCGCUUCUUUCCCGGCGGUGGGCACUCUUUCCAAUUUUUCAACAGCUCAUCUAUUUGCUCGCCGCUCCUCGUACGCGGGCGUCUUCGGGGUUCGGUUUCACCAUCGAACAGAUCCUUGCGUUUUCUCCAUGCGUCAUCGUCGCGAAGCCACCUUCGAUGUCCCAUGAACACGGUUUUCGUAGACCCGGGAACUUUAUCUGGUUGGCGAUACGUUGUGUCAUCCAUGCACCUGAUGCAUGCACAAAAUCCGUGGACCACCUGCCCCGCGACAUAUCCGUAACCGAGAUAGUCGUGCACCGUCGUGAGCAGUGUGGCUCUCAUAGGGAAAUAUUCUUUCGCUGUGGCAUCCCACGUAUUGGCUGGCGUUUUCCACAUCGUGUCUAGCUCCUCUUUCAGCAGCCCUAGAUACAGAUUGAUGUUGUUCCCUGGUUGUUUCGGCCCUUCAAUUAGCAUACUCAUGUGAAUGUACUUCCUCUUCAUGCACAUCCAGGGGGAAGGUUGUACAUCCACACAAACACAGGCCAGGUGCUAUGUGUGCUUCUCUGGCUGCCAAACGGAUUGACUCGAUCAGUGCUCAUGCCCAGCAUGGUGUUCCUUGGAUCAUCCCCAAAUUCUGGGUGUUCGAAGUUCAACGCUUGCCACUGGCUCGCAUCCUUAGGGUGACUUAGCAUCUUGUCUUUUUUAUUUAUCUCCGGAUCAUUUCCGUCAUCUUCUCGCUUCUUCUCCUCCCUAUCCAUGUGCCAGCGCAUGAGCUUUGCUAGCUUAGGGUCCGCGAAAUACCGCUGUAGACGAGGAGUGAUUAGAAAGUACCACACCACUUUUCGAGGAGCUUUCUUCCUCUUCUUGUAUCGAGUGACGCCGCACACCGGACAUAUGGUAGACUCCGCGUGCUCGUCCCGAUAAAUGAUGCAAUCGUUCAUGCACACAUGGUAUUUCACGUGAGGUAAAUCCAGAGGACACACAAUUUUCUUCGCCUCCUCGAAACUGGUCGAAUACUUGUUCCCCUUGGGAAGACGUUCGUGCCAGAAUGACAUGUUCUCGUCGAAGCAUGCGUCGGUCAUUUUGUGUUUUACCUUCAUCUCCAGAGCCAUGAGCAUUACUUUUAGGUGGGUAUCCUCGGGCCUGCAUCCUUCAUACAAUGGAGUAACCGUGUCUAUCUCCAGUUGAUCCAGUUUGUCUUUCUCUCGGGCGGCAACUCUUGCGUUACCUGUCUUCUUGAGAAGUAGCUCUUGAAUAUGAGGGUCCUGCACCUAGCCCAUCGAUGGUCCAUCGUCGUUUGCUCUGGCAUCUUCAUCUUCAUCAUCAUGCCCUUCGUCUUGAUCUUCCUCAUCAUCAUGUCCGUCAUCUUCUACAUGAUGACUAUGUACUGCAUCUACCUCGUGAUCAUGUCCUGGAGAUUCUUCGUCUUCUCGCCCGCCCUUGCUGCUAUUGUCUUGCUUCCCUUCCUUAUUUCUUGCCCGGCCCCCAUGGAUGACUUCAUAAUCAUCUUCAUCACCUUGCCACUGAUAGCCAUCCAUGAAAUCAUGCACGAGCAGGUGGUCCCACACCUGUCUGGAAUCCGGGUCCAUAAGGCUCCUCAGCUUGCAUCUUCGACACAGACAUCUUAUCUCCGUCUUGUUCUUUUGAAGCAUCUCGGCCUUCGCGGAGCUCAAAAACCUAUUCACAAUCACUACAAAAAAAUACACUUCCGUGAUGAUAUGUGUUUGUCACAGUAGGUCGCGUUUUUUGUCAUGCAUGUACAUCCAUGACAAAUUUAUGAAAGAAUCGAGAUAGUCAUACCUGUGCUGUCGUAGAAGUGUUCGAUGACAUUACCAAAAUUAUCAUCAUGGAAGUGUCCACUUCCAUGACAAUAAAUCAUGUGUCACAGAAGUGCUUUCGUCAAGGGUGGCCGACACGUGGCAUCCACCGUAACAGAACACCGUUAAGCUAUCGGGUCGGGUUUUGGAUCCGAUAACCCGUUAACAGCCUCGACCAAUGGGGAUUUUCCACAUGUAAAAUCAUCAUUGGCUGGAGGAAACACAUGUCGGCUCAUUGUUGGGACAGAUGUCAUCCACUCAUUGGACAGAAGGCGCCUAUGAUACGUCGACACGUGGCACGGCCCAACAGAGGCCCAUUCCUGUGAAAAGGCCGGCCCGUUUGACUUGGUCAAAAGGUGACGGGCCGGCCCAUGGAAAGCCUGUUAACGGCCUAUUCGCAUAUAGCCCAUUUACAGCACGCUAACCCAAGGCCCGUUACGCCCUAUCUGAAUUAGGCCCAGUAGCGUCAUCUAGGCCAUCCAAUAUGAUUCCAGCCCGUUUUCACUUCUGGCCCAUGUAUGGCCCAUGACGUCUUUCGGCCCAUAUGAGGCCCUAUGUAACUCUUGGCCUAUUAACGGCCCGUGGUGAAACUGGCCCGCAAUGAACAGUGUAUUACUUUAGACCCAUUAACGACCCGUGGUGAAACUGGCCCGUAAUGAACAGUGUAUCACUUUAUACCCAUUAAGGGCCCGUUAUUCAGUUGGGCCGUUUCCAGCCCAUGUUAUCUUUCGGCCUUCUCAGAGCCCAUUUAUUCUUGGGCUCAUUUGCAGCAUUCGGUUACUUACGGCCCGUUACCAUCAUUUUCUGCUUGUGGGCCAAAUUCAGCCCGUCGUUACAGUCGGCCCGUUUGUGGUCUGUUAGUCUGUUGUGCCAUUUUCAUAGCAUCACCAAAUAUGUCCUAUUAACGGCCUGUUAUGGUCAGCCAAUAAAAUGUACGAUUUCCAUUAUAGGCCCGUCUACGGCCCAUUAAAGGCCAGUACAAGACCCAUAAAUGAGUCGGCAGCCCAUGGAUCCUACGUGACGUAGAAGGCCCAUGGACACUGCGAGACGUAGAAGGCCCAUGGAUCCUACGAGACGUAGAAGGCCUGUGGAUCCUACGAGACGUAGAAGGCCCAUGGAUCCUACGAGACGUAGAAGUCCCAUGGUCGGGUGAGUUGGCCCCCAUUUGAACGAUAUAGCAUAUUCAAAGAAUUAUCCUACUCAAUACUAUCACCUCUAAAAAGCAUACACUAUACAACAAAGAAAUCAAGGCAUAGAAAGGUAGAAUAAUCCUACACUAUACAAUAAAUAAAUUACAGCCGAUUAUACCCACUUGGCAUUAUGGUACGGCACAGGUGAUAAUAAAGCAUACACAAACAGCAAAUUACAUACACUGGGCAAAUACGGCUCAUACAUCAUGGACGCGCAUCAACUUAACUCCAUUUGAACUAUAAUCUCUUCAGAAAAUAGGAUUGGCCGGAUUCAGAUAGCACAGAUUUCAGUCUGCAAAAUCUCCAAUUCCUUCAUGGUUACCUCGGUGUCUUGUUUCAUUUUUUUGACUCCUGCAUCUAAUACCUGCAUGUCCAGUCUCAACUUGUUGAUUAUACGUUGACAAUCAUGUACACGUUGUCUUGCCACCUCUAGUUGAUGCUCGAGAACAUCAGCACAUUCCAAUUCCAAUCCAUAAUCAUUCGGUAACGGCCAUGCCUCACUGCUCGCAUAUUUUUGUGUUGAUGUCACUUCAUCCUAAAAUGUUUCUGUAAGUACACAUGACUAGGGCAAAAAUAUAGUUACAACAGUGAAGCGAACAAGACACUAUUUUGUACUACAUGGCAAAACAGGACUAACAAUAAUGUUACACGUCACUUUCACAAAAAAAAUGUUACACGUCAUGAAGCAUAAGCAGGUGAUAUUUUAAAAAUUAUAAAAAAGAAGUCUGUGCAGCCUGCAUACAGAAAUCCCUCUUAGCUCACCAAAGGAGCAUGAUGUUGGGGCCCAAUCAAAAACACAGACAAGUUACAAAUUUAGAUAGCACGUUGCGUAUAAGUAAGCAAGCAGUUGGCCAUUCUGUACCUCAAUUAAAGUCUUAGGGAGCAUAAUGAAUAGCAGAGGGUUUCAUACAAACAUACUACAGCAGGCAAAACUAUGCAAUCAUUAGCAUAGUAUAAACUAGAUUGUGAGCCUCAUGCAAUAAUAGUUGGUUAACAGGCUUCAAAGCUUCAGGCACACUUCGGCAGAGUAAUUAAAUGGUAAGGCCUUUAAUUAUGUCAACUAAUAGUGAUACAAGUACCGAACAUCAGGCAUAAUUAUUUGGGCAUCUCAUUAAGUGAGGACAAAUAAAGCAAUUGAAAAGAGAAAAUUAACUAUGCCUGAAACAAACAAGGAAUUGAACUGUUGAGUUGCAUACAGUGACUUACCUUAGCAGGUUGAAGAGGCUCAACGCAGCUCCUACUUCUCUUGCAAGGCUCCUUCCUAACAUCUUGUACAUGGAAAUCCUCAAUCUUAUCUUCAUUGCACCCCCUCUGCAAGGUGACACAAACUAGUUACUCGUCUCCUUGGAAGAUAAAUAUGCAUACUUUCCAGUCUGUGAACACAAAAGGAUGAGAUUAUAACAAAACAACACCACAUAAUGAAACAUGCCGCAUCUCUUGCACUUGCACACAAUGAAAUGAGCAUUUACUAUGUCUACACUAUGUAAAAACUAGGCAUACCUUUGAACUGGAUCUCCAGGUACUCUUGGAGAGCCUACUGUAGUGUACAGCCAAACCUUUAUUCACCUAUGAGUUAGACAAGGCCCCACUACAGCAGCCCUUAGUGUUUAAAUCGUUGACAAGCUCUGUUAGAGUGUUAGGUCAAGAACAGCAAGUAAUCAAAGCAAACAGUCCUAGUGUGGAUGGCUGAUGCAAACAAGCAAUUGAACAGAUGUGUGAGAAAAUCUUACAUAUCAAGAAAAGAAGCAAAGAAGGAGGUUUAAAGACCAUCACUUGACUGACCAAAUUUAAGGGGCAUUUAAACAUCAUGUGCAAUGUAUGAACUAACAUAAACAUUGCAUAUUCCAGAUUCUACAAUGGAAUGCACAUGUAUUAGGUUAUGCCAUGUAUGAUGAUGCCUAAAUGUACAGAUAGCAGGCAGGAGUGAUUCAUCAUUGCACGCACAAUUGAAUUGCAGGUUAAGGGCCAGUUCGAUUCCGCCUUUUCAGGGUAUAUUGUCAAAAUAAGCCAUAAAAGAUGUAAAGAAGUCAUUUUUGAGUUAUGGGCUUGGGCUUAACUAAUUUCGCUUUGGAGGGGGUGUUUCGGGUAGAACCUCACUAAAAAUUGAAGGGAAGGGGAAUAGUGAAAUGACUCUAUUGUCUGCCUAUAUUACACAUAAAAUGCAGCUGCUGACACUUGUGUCACACCUGACCCUCAAGUAAAAACAAACACACAAGCAUUCAUUGCCCUGCCCGCUUGCAUCUACUCUCCCCUUUCCCUCUACCUCGAUCCCCUGCCUGCAGCACUAGGGUUCCUCCAGCGAGCCAUCGCCACUGGUCCCAUCUGUCCUGGUCCUCGACGAUGUUAUGUCCAGCUAGGCUACAUGGCCGGCGGGUAGGGGCAAAUCUCCAUGGCUGCUCCUCCCUCUGGCGCCGCCCCUCAUUCUCAUGGUCUCCAGCAGCUGCUCCAUUGUGGUUCGUCCAACGCACUACUCCAGCGGUCGCUGCACAACUAUGGCUGAUGCCACACUACGGCAGAAGGAACCUUGUUCUCCCUCCCCUCCUCCCAGGCCAUGGCCUUGAGGUGCUGUUGAAGGAUGAGCUCAUCCAGCAAGGUGAGGAUCUCCUCUGAUUUUUUGCCAAAUUUUCAUUCUGAUCCACUAUACGAUGAAUUGCUAUGAGCUGCUUCUGCUGCUGCUAUAUGAUGCAUUGCUAUGAGCUGCUCCUCCUGCUGCUAUAUGAUGAAUUGCUAUGAGCUGUUGCUGCUGUAUGAUGAGUUGCUAUGAGCUGCUACUACUGCUAUAUGAUGAAUUGCUAUGAGCUGCUGCUGCUAUAUGAUGAGUUGCUACAAGCUGCUCCUGCUACUGCUAUAUGAUGAAUUGCUAUGAGCUGCUCCUGCUGCUGCUAUAUGAUGAAUUGCUAUGCGAUGCUGCUGGUAUAUGAUGAAUUGCAGACUGCUGCUGCUGUAUGAUGAGUUGCUAUGAGCUGCUGCUGCUAUAUGAUGCUUUCAGGUGGUGCUUCUAUAUGAUAAUAACCAGCCACUUGGACCAUCGAAUUUCAACAAAUAAUUGUUCUUCAUUUAAAUGUGGGUCAUGCGUUCUUCGUUUAAAUUAGGCAAUGGGAUCUCUAUGGAAAACAUUGACCAAAGUAGAUUGUGCCAAGUAGAUGGUAUCUUUGUAUUUGCAUUUUGAGCAAAUAGUGAUGGUCUGUUUUUGCUAUCAUAUUAAUUACUGCACUGGGUUCAAUUUGUGAUGUUUGCAAGUCAAAUUAAUUUCCAUAUGUGCAGCAAAAUGAAAAAUGUAUAUAAUGCAAUCUAGACUUUCCACUGAUCAUACCAAAGAUAAGCUGAAAAUGCAAUGAAAAGAACUGGUUGGCGUAUUACAUGGAGCUUAUAUUAACAGGUGCUUAUUUUCUUAGGAUAACUCGUAAUAACUGUCCCUAAGAAACUUGGCUAAUAGAACUGGCAUACAAAUAACAUGUCAUGAUGAUUGCAAUGGAGGAGUGACGUACCAUAGCACACUGUAUAGGCUCACCGCUGCCUCUCCUUUUUUUGCGAUGUUCCAUGAAAUUGCCACAUACAUCUUGUACUUUUUCAUUGUGUAACCCUAUCUGCAAGUUACGGCUAAUUUCAGACAUCUCUACAUGAUACUACAUUGCAUAUCCCUUGCGCAUAUUCAAACCACCAAUUAACGAUUGUGUGCGUACCAUAAACUAGCCAUGACUCUGUAUGCUGGACUGGCAGGCACUCUAAGGGAGCCUAAUGUAGUGCACUGGAAUUCCUACAUGCCACCUACGAUUUUGUGUAAUGUACUGCCCCUGUUCCUAAAUAUAUGUCUUUGUAGAGAUUCCAGUAUGGACCACAUACAGAUGUAUAUAGAUGAAUUUUCAAGUGUAGAUUCAUUCAUUUUGCUCCGUAUGUAGCCUAUAGUGGAAUCUCUAGAAAGACUUAUAUUUAGGAAUGGAGGUACGAGGUAGUAUCAUGUAUGACAUCUACAUAUCUAAUUUAGCAGCCAGUAGUAGAAAUCAUUGUCUGCACAAAGGGAUUACUGGUCGAAAAUCCUAGCAAAGCACGCUGGCAGGCACAGAACAAUACAAGAAAGAGAGAGAGACGUGCUUACAAGAUCAUAGCAAUGCCUCAGUCCAGGAUCUUGGUUGGCCAAGCUGUUAGAUCCAGAAGAAACAUCGUCCUUGUAGUUUUUGCCAGCUGCAUAACAGAUAAUAGCGACCGGUUAGUAUAUUUGAAGUACAUCGGGCAGGUGAUGCUGGACGGGUUUAAAGGUGACAAGUACCUAGGCCAUGGCAGGUGCUUGGCAUCUCUCCAGACGGUGGGAAUCAGGUUAGAAACAUCGAGGGUGAUGACGCUGCGCUGGCUGUUGGGGUCCGGUUAGGAGAUCUAGAAUUGUCGAGUAGGGUGUUUGUGGAGCUGCCCCAGUAGGGUGGACUACAGUGUGGGCGAAGCGGAUCUGUGGUCGUGGACGAGGGCAUAGGUGAAGCUGCUCCGGUGGUUGGGUUAAGGAUGGUGUCGGUGACGCGGAUCUGUGUUCAUGGACGGGGCGUCAGAAGCUGCUCCGGUGGUUGGGUUAAGGAUGGUGUCGACGAUGCAGAUCUGUGGCCGUGGACGGGGCGUCAGAAGCUGCUACGGUGGUUGGGUUAAGGGUGGUGUUGACGAUGCGGAUUUGCGGCCGUGGACGGGGCGUCAGAAGCUGCUCCAGUAGGUUGGAUGAGGGUGCGAGGAAGCGGAUCUGAGGCCGUCGACUUGUGAGUUGGCAAAGCAGCCCCGAUAGGGUUGAGAAUGGUAUAGGCGAAGCUACUCCGGUAGGGUUGACGCUGCUGUCGGCGAAGCGGCUCCGAUAGGGUUGAGGAAGGUGUCGGCGAAGCGCCUCCAGUAGGGUUGAGGAAGGUGUCGGCGAAGAGGAUCAGAGGACGUCGACGGGGGCAUCGAUGGGGCGGCUCCGGGGGGUGUGGAUGAAGCGUCUCCUGUGGGGAGUACGAAUGAGCCGCUGCAGAUGCGCGGCGGUUGACGAGAGUACCGGCGAAGUAGAUCUGGCGCCGUGGACAAGGCCGGCACUGAAUGGGCUGUGGUACAGUGGUGGAUGAGCAGUCUACUUGUUUCUAGGGGAGGUGGGAGGGGUAGAUGCGGCCGCAGAAGCAGAUCCGGCGAGGUGGACGCCGCUGGUAGUGAAUGGGCUAUGGUACGCCGGUGGAUGAGCAGUCUAGGGUUUCGAGAGGGGAGGGGNNNNNNNNNNGGAGAAAGGGCGAUGAAGUACGGACGGCGUGAUGUAAGAUGCUCUGGUGCUAUGGAGUUAGUCGUUUUUGCGGGAGGGGGGGAGAGGAAAUGGGGGUGCCGUGUAGUGGGGGGAACCGGAAGUUACCAAAGCAGCUCCGACCUAUCAUGUAGAUGAGGGCGGUAUUGUAACUGUUGGUCUCCGUGCACCAAGGACAAAAGGGGGAUUUCGCAUGCUAAAGACUAAGGUGGCGAAAAUUUUAGAAGGAGGCGGGAGAUUUUCCCGCCCGCGGGAUAGUUCGUAUCCAGUUUCAACUGAUUUUGGACCGUGCUAGCGGGAAGGUCAUGCUAGACUGUGUACACGGGGCACGCGUCAGCGGUUAAUAACUGGUGUGAAGUCCACCCCAAAAAAAAAGACAAUAACUCGGGACGAUGCGCCGAUAACUUGGACGUUCACACGGCCGCGGCCAAUCGUACGGGUGUAGUGGCGCGUUCACACAAAAGGGAUCGAAUGCUCAGCCUAUGUAUUUCUCGUGUAAAUAGAUAAUUUAGUGCCAUUGGUUAUUUACUUUAAACAUAAUGCAUUGACGUGUUAGUGUAGAGGCGCACAAAAAGAAAUGGAUAUUGUAGUUAGCUACUUAAAAGUAACAAUGGUGCAUGUGCAUGAUAACUACAUUGGUUGUUUGAAGAAACAUCACUGUAACUUUGGCAUGCACAACUGAAAAAGGUUUAUUUAAAUAGAAAAAAAUAUGAUAUGUGACUGUCCAAUCUUUAUAGCAUUGAAUCGAUAUUGUACCUUUGGCCACGAUACGAAGUAGAUAUUGACUUAUGUUCAAGCGAUGCACGUCCACGGUCGCUAGAUAGUGAUACGUGAAUGAAUUGUGCAAUCUCUCUCACACGCAUACAUAUCUCAUUUCCCUGUGGGCAUCGAAAUCACACACGCUCACUUCGUGUAUUUCUCUCCCUCCGUCAGGGUUAAAUUCGUCUUUCUACCCUGUCCUACAAGUCUCUCACACAGAAACACACACGCUCUCUAUGUCUAACACGCCCACCCCUUUAAUUCCGCCCACCCACACCCACUAAUGUCUCAAAGUAUAAUAAUGUCUCUCACACAUAUGCUAUCUACCUAUCCCUUAAUAUAGCUAGAUAUGUGUCACACAAACUCCUCCCUACUAGCAAGAUGCCCAUGUGCGUUGCACGGAACAUCAAGAUGCAUUUGUAUGAGAAGUUUAUCUUGUGGGAGAAAAGGAUGAACGAGGGAAUGCCUUAUUUGCAAAUGCGGAGAGGGGUGCGGGUAUCUUUUUGCAAAAUUGCCAUAUUUUCCUUCAUGUCCGUCGGGUAUAAAUCGGAUGGCCUAUAUUGCAGGAUGGCAGGAACACCAUCAUCACCAACUCUGGUUUUUUAUAAGAGUAGAGAUAUGUGAGUGUCACUGCCCCCCCCCCCCACACCGACACUUCCCAACACCGAAGGAGUAGGGUGACACCUCGAUCUUGAUACUAAUCUAUCGACUGGCUUCUCUCUCAAACAUACACACACACACACACACUAACCGGCACCGAAGGAGUAGGGUGACACCUCGAUCUUGAUACUAAUCUAUCGACUGGAUUCUCUCUCAAACAUACACACACACAUACACACACACACACUACCCGGCACUGAAGGAGUACGGUGGCACAUCGAUCUUGAUAAUAAUCUAUCAACUACUCUUUCAAACACACACACACACAGACACACACACACACACACACACACUCGCUAGUUGUGCCUCUGUGCCUACCGCGCACACUCUCGAUACGUCUUUCUCUCCCUCCCCCCAACAAUGACAGCAGAAGGGUGACGACUCGAUCUGAUCAUAAUCUGUCAAUUGGUUUCUCUCUCAAACAUUGUGUCUCGGUGCCUCGCUCGGUAGCCCCCUCGAUAUGUAGACUUCUCGCGCGUGCACAACUGUAGUGACGAUGACGCUGAACCCAGUGUGCCUUUUUUUUACCGGUGUGAUGUGAUAGUUUUCACCCUGUUUUCUGUUAAUUAACAAGGCAACCUUUUCUUUGUUACUACUAGUGAAUCUGAAAUCAUUCGGGGCAGACAUAAAACAUAUCACUUCAACCCAAUUAUCGCAGCAACUACUUUAAAAGAAAUUAGCUAGCUGCCCGUGCGUUGCACGGAACAUCAAGAUGCAUUUGUAUGAGUACUUUAUCUUGUGAGAGAAAAGGCUGAACGAGGGAAGGCCUUAUUUGCGAACGUGGAGAGACGUGUGGGUAUAUUUUUGCAAAAUUGCCAUAGUUUCUUUCCUAUCUGUUAGAUAUAAAUCCGACGGCCUAUAUUGCAGGAUGGCACACACACCAUCAUCACCAACUCUGUUUUCUACUCCCUCUGUCCGAAAAUACUUGUCAUCAAAAUGGAUAAAAAUAGAUGUAUCUAAAACUAAAAUACGUCUAGAUACAUUUCCUUUUAUCCAUUUUGAUGACAAUUAUUUCCGGACGGAGGGAGUAUUUGUCUUUUUAGAGAUUUCAACAAGUGACUAUGACCGGACCUUAUCAACAUACUCAAAAAAGUAGUCCAUAAUUUUGAUGUUACCCUCUUUUCUUGGCGGUGCAGUGCCAUCUGGAUACCUCAUAAAUAAAUCAAGGACAAAUCUGGCCCCUUCCUGAAAAGAUAUACGUAACAAAAUGAGUGAAUCUACACUCUAAAAUAUGUGUACAUACACAUCCGUAUGUGGUAGUCCAUUUGAAAUCUGAAAAAGACAAAUAUUUAGGAACGAAUGGAGUAUAUAUAAGAGUAGACAUGGAGAUAUAUCUCCAGCAUGGUCUACAACAAAAAUGUGCUGGGCUGGUUAGCGUCGGAUGCUCGCAACGCGAUGACAUGAGUUCGAAUUCUGUCUUUUAACUUUAGAUUUGUAUAUUAUAUAUUACUCUACUUAUUUAAUAUAUACUUCUUUCGCUACUGUACUGACAGUGGAACCCACAGAGUACUUAGAAUAUUAAGGAUGGACUUGUUUCUUUUUAACUUUCUGUACGAAGCUGUAGCCACCCUGCAAGUCACAUGUACAUUGUACAUGCAAUUAACUUUUUAUAGAGGGACAAUCAUACAUGCAAUUAACUCAAAUGGAUUGGAUGUGACUCUAUUAUUUCCAGCAUAAAGAGCAUCUCCAACGGCAGCCGGCAAAUUUCCUCCCGCUUUCUUCCGCGGAGGACGACAUAAAACGCCAGCGGCAUACAUUUUUACAACUCUAACCAACCAGAUGAAAUUCGUGCAAACACGGACUGAUUUCAUAUAAGCAUGAAGGAUUUCGUAUAAAAAGCCAGAUGUUCAUAUAAACAUGAUGGAUUUCAUUACAUUUACAUGAACUAAGAGGUGCCAAUCCGGCUCUCUUGUAUAAUUAAUACUCCCUCCGUCCGGAAAUACUUGUCCUAGAAAUGGAUAUAUCUAGACUUAUUUUAGUUCUAAAUGGCCGCCCGUGGAUCCCUUUGUCUUCCUCAUGUCCGUCAGACACUUGCGGGGUCGACGAAGGUCCUCGGAAGAGACGAAGCAGCAAAGAAACCACUUGAAUCCGCGGUCGUCGCCUCGGCGGUAGCCUUCAUGGGUCCCAAGUGGCGGCAGCCUCCCGUGUUCUACUUAUCCUCGAUGAUGGCAGCGGACAAGGAGAAGCUGGCCACCGACUGGUCGCUCUCCACGCACCCGGCUUCUGUCUCUGCCUGCAUGGCGCUGCCGUAGGCAUGGGAGGCGCGCCCACAGACACGGGAGGCGCGGCCACCGCAGACACUGGUGGCGCGGUACGACGUGGCAGCGACAGCGCCCGUACCGGCGUGCUCGCCGCCGUGCCGGCGUGGAGCAACUCGCCACUCCUCAUCGAGCUGAACUGGAGCGGCGAGUUGCCGAACCACGCGCCUGCUUGGGGCGGUAACUGGUUCCGUCGGGCCAAGCGAGUUUGGUGAAGCACCGAGCAGCCUCGCCCGUAUCCGGAGGGCUCGGCGGGCCACCGAGCCGGGUAAUAUGCCGGAGAACGGCUCAUCGGAAGCCAUCGGAAGGGUGGAGAAAAUGGUGAAGAUGGAGAUGGGGGAGCGGCGGAGGGGUGCGAUUCUUGCCCGCUGUCUGUCUGGCCUCGUGUAAAUAGAGGGCGGACAGUAGGAGCUUGGCCGGCGUCUGGCCUCGUUUAAACUGAGGGCGGAUGGGAGGAGCUCGACCGGUGUUGCGUUUAAUUCCGGCCCGCUCAUGAACGGACGUGUGGCCGGAGUAGGAUUCUAGGUUUGCAUGCGGGUUUAACGGAGCGGUUUAAUGGAGGCGCCGGGCGUGCAGCGGGCGGCACAGUACUAUUCGAUUUGAUAGCAUUAAUGAGCCGUCAAAUCACAAAGGCCCCCGCCUCUCGUGAAACUGACCGAGCUAGACUGCCCCGCCCUCUAGCCUUUUAAAAAAUGUAUAUACUCCACUUUUGUACAGUAGUAGUAUCGAUGGAUUGCGUCGUGGAGCAAAACUUGAAAUUAAAAAAAGGUGGUACAUAUAGAGAGCGCUCGUGAACUAUGUGUCAUACAUGGCAAUAAAUAAAGUACUACAUGCUACUUAUAUGAUACAUGGCGCAUGAGUAAUAAGUAUUAUUAAUACAGUUUUGCUAGAACUCAUCUAGAUGAGAUAUAAUUUGGUCUCAUUCAUCUUUUAUAUAUAGCCAUUGGAUGUGAUGCUAUAAGAUGCGUGUGUGCUGACGUGGGUUGUAUUUGUUCUUGUGCAACGAACUGACCACUGCAUGUCAUGUUUUAUAGUCUCAAGUCAUUAAAAGCAUACAAGCCCCACAUCUCUUCUUGGUUGAUUCCUCUAUUUAUGUCAAAAAAUAAGAAACAACAUGAGAGUUAAUGCACCACACCUAUGUGUUAGACUAGCCACAAUGGUGAGUAACAUACACUAGUAACAUACACAUAUCCCUAAACUAUGUUACUACCUUCAUAGUGGGUACUACCUUCGUCCUGGUUUAUAGGUCCCUUUUAUAGUUUGUGCCAAAUUUUGACUAAAGAUUUAACUAACAAAAUGUUAAUGCAUGUCAAGAAAAAUUAUCUCAUUGGAUUCGUAUUUGAACAUAGUUUUGAAAAAUAUAAUGUUUGGUGACAUGCGUGAACAUUUUCUUAGUUUAAUCUAUGGUCAAAAUUUGGCACGAAAUACAAUGGGGACCAAUAAACCCUGACAGAGGUAGUAGUAACAUAAGUGUGGUAACAUGCAAAGCUUCAUUUAUUAGGUUAUAGACUCAUAUUGCAUUGGGACAUGUGAUGUUACAGUAACUAGCUAGUAAGUUAUUAUAACUACCUCUCUCCUCAUUAACUCACUGCCACAUAAGCAAAUUUGCUGAGUUGGACUCGAUGUUACUGCUGAAGUUACUCCCACGGUGGCUAGUCUUACUAGUAUUUGGUUUUUGUAAGAUGACUUAUAAUACUCACCUAGACGGAGGGAGUAUUCGAUUUGACAGCGGGUGGCGCAGUUCCCGAUAUGCCUUUAAUGCAGACGAGGGAGGGAGUAGCGGUUCCCGAUAUGUUGAAUGGCCAAUUCAUCCUCCUUCAAUUAAUGCAUGAGGGAAGUAAUGGGAGGAGGUCCGGGAAAAGAGGCUGCACGAUGUGAAUGCAACACAGUUUGCCCUCAUUGCCCUCAUUGCCCUCAUAUAAAGGUGCCCCUCCUCCAUUCCAAUGCAUCUACCACAUCGUACGCACCUAAGCACUUGCCUAAGCACCUACACUAAGUGCAAAAGAGCUCACUCCAGACCCAUGGCGGCAAUGCGCGUGAGCGGCCAGCGGCUGCGCCAGAUGGUCCACGACACCGGCCUGCGGCAUGGCACCGAUGAUCGUCUCCAGACGGUGUUGGAGACCUGCUGGUUAAUGGCCGCCGUCGAUGCCAACUAUGACUCUCAGUUGGACUAGAUGAUCGUUGCCACCAGCAACAAGUUCACCGUCCUCAAGAAGCUCGCGGACGACAUCGCCGUACUCCUCCAGCCCGCGCGCCCGGGCUCCUCAUUGCCUACCACCCUAAUCGGCCUCCAUGGCUGAAACCUCUUUCAAGCACUGGUGGCCCUGUGACUGCCCGCCGACGCCACGAAGAAUGUCCACCUGGAGGUCGCGCUCGCCGCGAGGCGCCUCGCCCUGCAAGAAUUCGUCGACCUACACAUCCACGCGUACGAGCAAAUCGUGUACAUAGGUAUCUACAAGGCCAGUGAGGACACUAUGAUGUUGGCCUUCCUCAACCGGCUGGAAGCCUUGGGUGCCUUUGUUGAGAAGCACCUCAACCUCGCCACAAAAUCCGCCGCUCCUUAGCCGCCGGUCGGUGGCCCGACUCACUAAGUUGAGGAGGAGGAGGUCGUACGUUCAUGGAUCCAUCUUUCUUCUUGCCUUCUGUAACCACCACUGUGAUCAAUCAUCGUGGCCUUAAUUCUUAUUGUGCUGUUGCAUUCUCGUUCCAGUCAAUACCGACAUGUGCGAUCCCUUUGCUUAAUUAUAUGCAUCACUGUAACUAGUACUCCAUCCAUCAAUUUAUAAGUUGUGCUUACCUUUUCCAUCAACUUCGUGCAACGCGCGGGCAUCUUGCUAGAAACACUAGAAUAUGUCUAUAUAAUCCGUAUGUGAUAGUCCAUUUGAAAUCUCAAAAAAGACAAAUAUUUAGAUACGGAGGGAGUAAUAUAUUAGGAGUAUAUCAAAACAAUAGUCAUUUCUUUCAAGUUUGUGAAUAAAUACUACUAUUCUACUACUUUGGAUCGGUCGCAACGCACGGGCACAUUGCUAGUAAAAGGAAAAGGCCUGCCACAUUCGCGUCACACCCCCACACGCCCGGGAAUCGGGAGUACAACACGGCCCGUCCGGCACGACACAUAGCUUAGGGAAGGAGUGUUGCCUAGCAGUGGUGGAGCUUGAAGCAAAACGUUGGGCGUGCCAGUCUAGCCAGGCUAUAGAAAUUACCCUUGCAUUGAUGUUCCAUGCCUCAAAAUUGGAUGUACAACUACGAAAAUCCUGCUAGGUUUGGCGGGCCAAGGCACGUGUUGGCCCACGUAGCUCCGCCCCUGUGCCUAGCAUUUUCACUUUCAUGUGAGACCGCCCGUUGAGCAAACAGACACCCCGCUCGCUGCCGGGUUGGAAAACAGAAACAAGGGGAAGAUCUAGCUAUAGCACGGAAGCCAAGAAAUUUUGUGUCAGACGGGGCUCGUUGAUAGAGUAGGAGCAUUCCGUACUAGUAUUACUCCUACCAAGUUUGUACUCCUAAUACUAUUAUAUUACUAGUACUACCACUAUACAACUAGUAGAUAUGUGCACGACACAACAUCGUAGGAACAAAAAACGGGAAGAUCUUGUUUUGGGUGAUUUAUCUUUUUUUUAAUCAACGUAGUAUGAAUAAUAUGAUGUGGGGGGCACCCAUGAAGCUUAUGUGGCUUGGUUGCAUGGCUACGGAAGGUUAGAGAAAAAUAAAUAGAUAAUGUGUUUAGUGUGCACUCCACUAAAUAGAUAUACUUUGGAUCCAUUGCAACGGACCGGCACAUCUAUAUCUAUACCCCCUAUAUAGUGUGUGAAAAACUUUGAAAGUUGGUCGUUGGAUGAAGCCAAUCCGACGGUACAAAGAUGGCAAAUCCGAGCACUACUGGCCAUUGGAUAUCAUCCACCAGAUUCUGCCACAUGUAUAAUCUAGAAGACUCCAUGGUUGAACUUAAUUCAUGACUAACUUUGCCACCACUAAGCUCUGGCAAAGUUAUUAAUAAGUUCUUCAAAAUGAGAGCCACAAGUUGGCAAGCCUAAGGGAAUCUUGCCACAUUUUUUGUGUGUAUGUCAUGUGGGGCCAGUGUGGCUUGCCUAAGGUGUGGAGUUAAUCAAACUUGCCUAACCUUACAUUCCACCAAAUUUUGCCACAAGUUGGCAAGCCUAAGGGAAUCUUGCCACAUUUUUUGUGUGUAUGUCAUGUGGGGCCAAUGUGGCUUGCCUAAGGUGUGGCUUGAACCAAACACUUACCUAAGUUAAUCAAACUUGCCUAACGUUACAUUCCACCAAAUUUUGCCACAUGUUAGAAUCCAGAAAACUCCACAUAUAGAAGCAUAAUGCACAAACCACCAGAAUCUCAUGCGUGCAAUGCACGUGUACCUUACUACUAGUACUACUAGUAGUAAGAAACAAAUUCCAGUUUUGGCACGAGCUCGUACUGCGGGAGCACCACAAGGCCUACCGCAGGAGUUACAUUUUCCUCUCAGGGCCCACGGGACCGAACUUCAGUGGCUUAGUGCCCGGCCUAUGAGUCAAUGACAUGUGGGCCUUAAAUGCAGCUGGCCCACAUGUCAUUCUCAUGGUGGUGGCGUGGUUCGCGAAUCACUCAUUCGAGAUGAACCGACCGGUGGUGGCGUGGCCGUGGCGAGGGUACCACAGCUGGGCGUCGGGGCAUUACGAGGCGUAGAUGGCCACACCGGCGGGUACUACCUGUAGUACAUAAGUACUCCAGCUGAGGAUUGAUGCACGGGACGAAAUGUGUGAUAGCCGCUGGAUGAAAAUUCGAUGGUGCGGGAGUACGGAUCGGAGCACAGCACAUGAGCAGGCAAACCGCGUCCAAUCGGGUGUGUCUGUGGUAGAAAGUUGAUGGUCGCCGUAGUUCAGCUGGCCCGCAUGUCAUGCACACAAAGGCAGAGGAGCGGUGGGGCCAAGAGGGAUGAGGGGCACGAACAAUCCUACCAUUCUGUCACUGACAUGUGGGACCCAUAUGCAUGGGUCCCACCUGUCAGCGAAGGAAAGGCAGGGCAAGGCAGUGAUAGCCACGUCAGAGGAUCCAUGUCCACGUCGAGGGACGUCGUGUCGUGGGUUGGAGCGGCGUCGUGGGAAUCGCGUGUUGGUGUGGCAGUGGUAGAAACAAGAAACGUGAUGGUCACCGUGGUUCGACUUCCAUGGACAAGUUGUCGUGUCUGCUGACACAUGUAUAUCAAAACUAGAGUGUUUAUAUUUCAAGCACGUGAACAAGUAUUAUUCUACUAGUUUGGAUCCAUUGCAACACACGGGCCAGCACAUUGGUAGUAGUAGUGUCCAUCUCUAUCUCUAGAGGCCUUCCCCCGUUCAUCCUUUUCUCUCACAAGAUAAACUACUCAUACAAAUGCAUCUUGAUGUUCCAUGGAACGCACGAGGAUGUUUCCUUGGGGGUCUCUCCAGCGCAGCAUGGCCGUAGUUGCAAGUUGACGCCCCUUGAGAUGCCGAUGUUGAGGGGCACUCGGAUUUCCUCUGAUGAGCAGGUAAGAUGAGUUUGAUCACGUAGUAAAUGCAUUCUAAAGACUACUUCCGUGUCCAUUUCCUAAUUCUCCCCCUGCCCACUGUUUCACAGGCUAGGCUCGGUGCGAGUGGAGAUUGGCUUCCAUAUGUACGGGAGGGUACCAACAUCAAUUUGCACAACAUUUACAAUGGUGACACCAUUCCCGUAGAACCUUUGUCCAACAUUGGGAUCAGCCAUGCAAUGGGCCACCGCAUGAAUUGGUACGAUGGAACCACUGUGAGAUUGAAUAAAAGAUAGCACGAACCUUGCACAUGGCGGUCAAAGGCGGACCAUGCUAUCUGCGGCCGAUUUGUUGCUGUACGAGUAGGAAGACGUUGUGCUCCUUUCUAACCGCGUCUUCAUGGUAACAAACCAGGGGACUCAUUUUGUAUGGGACACAUCCUAUGAUAUACUCCCUCUCUCCCAGUUUAUUUGUUUUGAAUCCUUUUGUUUUAUAAGUUUCAAAUUCAAAUUUAGAGCUCCCCAUCACAUGUUGAGAUUACAAUGUCCAUUAAAUCGUUGCGUGCAUGUGUAGUAAAGAAACAAAUCUCGAGUUUGGCACGAAUUCGUGCUGCGGGAGCACCACAAGCCCUGGCGCAGGAGUUACAUUUCCCUCUCAGGGCCGUCGGGACUGAGCUUCAGCGCCUUACUACACCUACCUUUGAGUCAAUAACAUGUGAACCCGAUAGGUGACUGGUCCACAUGUAAUGCUCCCGAAGGCAGAGGGGCGGUGGGGCCAAGAGGGGUGAGCCGCAGGUCGAGGGACGUGUGGUUUCAUGGGUUCGAGCGGCGUCGUGGGAAUCGCGGGUGGCUGUGGUAGAAACUUGAUGCUCGCCGCAUUUUAGGUGGCCCACAUGUCAUGCACAGAAAGGCAGAGGGGCGGUGCGGCCGAGAGGGGUGAGGCGCACGUCGGGGGGCGUGGUGCCAUGGGUUGGAGAGGCGUCGUGGGAAUCGCGAGAUGAAACGUGAUGGUCGCCGCCAUGGACAAGAUGUCAUGUCUACGGACACAUGCACUGUAUACCAAUCACUGGAAGGAGUAGCAGAGAAAGCUAUAUAUGCGGAUAAAUAGUUCCUUAUAGUCAAGCGGACCCAUGCUACUACUCUGUUCCAAAGACAUGCACACCAUCGAAAUAGUCCAUCUAUAUCAAUAUACACCGAGAGGGAAUAAAUUUUUUUACAAGAGAGGAAAUAGUUCAUCCAUCCAUAAUGCCCUCCUGCUGGUGCAGCGUUUUCUUAUUCUUCUUCUUCUUCUUCUUCUUCUUCUUCUUCUUAUUCUUCUUCUUCUUCUUCUUCUUCUUCUUCUUCUUCUUAUUCUUCUUCUUCUUCUUGUUCUCAUUAUCUAUGGGAGACGGCUUCGCAACAAGCUCUUUGGACCUUGCAGCUAUCUCGAAACUCACACGGGCAUCGAGGGCAGCAUAUUUUAUCCGCUCGUACGUCAAGGGAUAAUUCUCCCAUCCAGACGAACUUAAUGCCACCAUCUCGUCACCCUUCUGAAGAUUUGUACCGAGCACAAAAUUUGCUACGUCGAAUAGGGAUGGUGUCUUUUUAGCACAAUCUUCUACAGGAAUUUUGAUUCUGGUUUGUAGGUCAGCGAUGCUUUUCAAAUCAAGGUUGUACGGCUCCAGCUUCUGUUUGUCCCCUUCAAUGGCUGCCCCAUAGAAGUAUACGUCCUCCUGAGACAAGAAAUCGUGAAGCUCACCUGGUAUGGAGGGCGAGUGUAUGAUGUGGUACACCAAAACAUCAUCUUCGAGGCACAGCUGAAGGACGGCGGCGCGCUGGAUCUUCCCAGGGGCAUGCUCCGUGUACUCUACGCCGAGACCGAUGACCCUCGUCUCUACCUUUUUGAGGGAGUUGGAUACAUUGUUGAUCCACUGCCGAACAACCCUUGCGUGGACGGUGACGGUGGCAACUAUGCGCAUCGAGCCUUCGACGAGGACAUGUUGGACGCUAAAAACCUACAUCUCGAUCUCUUUCGCCAUUUGGAACCGCUGGAACGGAGGGCUAUGGUUUGGAGAAUUAGGAUUAGAUGGCUAGUCUAACUGAAGUAGUAGAUGAUUAUUUAAAGAGGUUAAAACAAUGUGAACGCAGUGGGGUGUGGAUGCAAAUGAAGACGAAGGGGAGGUGAAGAAGCCGAGGCGAAUCGGUUCCCGAUGGAGAAGUAAAUGGGAGAAGUGGUGUGCAGGCAGUUGAUUAGACGGCUAGGUAGACUAAACGGAAAGGCUAUGCGGGUAGACUGAGGAGUCGUACCUAUUCGUGUACGUGCCCAUCCUUCCUGAUAGGUGGGACCUAUGCAAACAGAUAAAAAAAUGUGUCGUAGCUUUUUUUUUGAGCCCAUAAGUGGGAGACACAACAUUCUCUGAUUAAGGAAUACUCCCUCCGUUUAGGUGAGUAUAAGUCACCUUAUGAAAAUCAGGUUUUCCCAGAACCCUUAGGCGUGGAGCAUUAACUUCCUGCUCGAUCCCCUCCCAGCCUCGUUAGCCAGCGUUCUCUUCCUCUCCUGCCGCGUUCUACCUUUCCAUUUUCCUCUUCUCAAGUGUGGAACGAUCUGCAUGCCGUCCUUGAUGCACCAGAACGACCACUGCAUGCAUCACGACAGGGCAUUGAUUGGGCAUGCACGAGAAUUUGGUUCUGCUCGCAAUAUGGAUGAUACCUGAAUGAUGAAGUGAACAGGCAUGCUAGCACGAGAGACCUAUUUCCGCUAUACAAUACUGGAGUACUCAUGUUCCUACUAGUAGUAGUAGUAGUAGUACAACUGUGGUACACUUGAUGGUCAAAAUACUAUUCAUUCGGUCCUCACAGUGAAUUGACAACACCCUGCGCCUGACACUAGUCCAGGCGAGGCGGCGUGUUCAGGUUACCAAAGUCAGCCUCACCCUAUGCACUGUGCAGUCUGUCACUGCCGCUGUACAGCACAUUGGCGCCUUGCCUCGUCUCCCUCUCCGCUCCCAUAGCACCACUCCAUCUCCAUCUCCUUCUCCGUCUCCAUCUCACUGUGCCCCCCGUGUACCGUCGCCUCACUCGCCUCCCCCAGUACCACUAUUCCCUCGCUAGCCGCUCUAGCACUGACAUCAUUCUCCCCCGUAAAUCAAACCCCUUCCAAACUCCACCAUGGCUGAACACGAACCGUGUAGCAUCCAUAUGAGCCGCGAUUGGAGCAAUCUCCCCAGUGACAUCCUCGACCUCUGUUGUUCGUGUAUGUAUAUGUUGACCGCCCUGCGGCUGGCUGCAUGCUCGAGGGACAUGCACACGGCCAUCGUCAAAGCGAGGCCUAAGCUUUUCAAGACUCCCUGCUUGCUUCUAUCUGGUCUUGCGAGAUUGGCUCACCAUGAUACAGAGGUGUGCAUGAUGCCCCUUGACUUCAAUCUGAUCUCCAUUAGCCGAAACUUCUUUGCAGGAAUGUUACGUGUGUACUGUGUCACUGUACAUCAUUUCCCUCGACAUCGAUCCGAUCAUCAUCGCCCGAAACUUCUUGGCGGGUAUGUACUGGGUCGGCAUGAACUCCCACUGGACGGCUGCCUUCAGAGAAGAUGGUAAAAAGUUGGUGCUCGUGAACUUCCAAACCUCCCAUGAGAUUAUCCUUCCUCCGUUGGAUUAUAUAGAGUAUUACCAUCGCGGUCCAAGUCAUCUAGAUUACUACGUCAGUUGGACGGACCUUGUUUUGCAGAAGAUUGUAAUCUGCCAAGUACCCACACGACAUGCGAAUUACGCAGACUUCAAGCUAAUUGCCUUGUUCGACCGCGAACUCGCCUAUCUUUAAUCCGGUGACUUUUUUAGCUGGAGACAACUCGGCUCGUAGUGGAUCAUCGUCAAAGCUGAUACACACUUCUGUAAUGCUAUUGAACACAAUGGCAUCAUCUACGCGAUCGACAAAGCAGAUGGCACCAUGUAUUGCUGGGAUGGUGCGUGUAAGUUGUUUCCGUCUCAUGUUAAUGAUGACGCCAUGACACUGUUUGAACUUUUUUUGAUGAUUGGCAUAUCCCUGUUUGAGCAGAAUUUGAGUAGAACUAUGGCAAUAUAUUAGAGACACCAUAAAUCAGCUAUAUUUGGAAUGAGUUAAUUCAUGUGAUUGUGACCAUGUCAUUACAGCCAAUUUGUACCCUGAAUAAUCAAACGGUUAGGAAUAUAUGGAUAUUAUCCUUAUUUUUCAGUAAUCUAUAUACUACUACUAAAUAUGAGUGUGUAUCAAUGGCCAUGUUAGUUUCCUCAUUUUCAUGAUGUAGAAACAUGCACCACACUAUUGGUUUCAUCUAACCAUACAUUAGGGAAGUAAAUGUGCAUAUGGAGAACUCUAUAUUUGGAAGUAGUGAAAUCCUGCAAUGCUUACCAUGUGUACAUACCUAUAUUCGCCCUUCAGCAAUCAAUGACUAGAAUAAUAUCCUCACAAAAUUUUUGCCCACAGAACACGAGUAUAUAACAAUGCAUGGUCUGUUAGUUACCUUGAAGAAUUUGUUUGUGAGGACAGAACAUGAUUACAUAACAUGCAUGACAUGGUAGUUUCCUGUGAAGAAUCGAUUGUGAGAUAACAUGAGUAUAACCAUGCAUGGCACUUCUAUAUUUUCGAACCCAGUAUACAUUUCCCUGUAUUUUCCUCCCAGUUCAAAUAGGGACAUAUCAGUGCUGUUUCUUGCAUUAUCCUACUCAUACUCUGAACAAUGCUGAUCUUACAUUAACAAUGCAUGUCCUUUUUGAUAUGAUGCAGUGUCCCUACAGUUAUUGCCCUUUGUAAUUACACCACCUUUGCCAAAAACAGGGAAGCACAACUGGUUCCUCACUCGAUCAGACAACGGCAAAAGACUGAUGAUCAUUCGGACACAUGCGACGAAAAAGUUAUAUUGCAAAAACCCCACUGUAUACAAGCACCGUGCAAUACGUGAGUAUCCGGACAGUGGUUGUUACGUCUAUGAGCAGGAUACCAGCUUGUUGGGGCCUUUAGGAUUUUUUAGUUGGAGGCGGGCAAACAGCCUUGGUUCACACUCUCUGUUUCUCGGACUCAAUUAUCCGAUUCUCCAGGAGAUCACCGUUGGCAAGGACCUUGAUGGCAGAGAGGCUCUGUUUCCUAUGGAAAACUGUGUCUACACGGCGAGCCCUAGGAGUUCGGGAUCAUACUCCCCUGAUUGUCAACGAUACAGCCUCCAGCCAAAAGAAGGUGAGAAUGACAAAGGCAUCCAGAUUAACUUUGAUCCUUGGAUGUCUCAAUUACGACAGACAGUGAUGUGGUUCAAGCCUUCAGGUUGAUAGGUAAUUGGGCUGUUGCAUCGAAAGGGUGGAGUACUAGUGUCUCCGGAUCACUGGUCGCUGAAGCGGGGCUGCAAAUUAUGAUGGUGUUGGAUCAUCUCUUCGAAUGACUUUGUUGUCUUUGCUGCUGGUUCUGGAUGGGUAGUUCUUUCUUUUGUUAUGCAUAUUCCUUGUCAUUUGGUCAUCCUCGUCUAUGUCACUCUUUCUGUGUAAUAGUUGCUUCUGUUUAGAAUGUCAUUCUCGUCUGGAUCACGAGAGUCUGAGCGCUGCAGAUGGGUACGUUUUGGUGGUGUAGCAAGACUUCUUAUGAACUAUCAUGUCUUGUUGUUUAUGUCAGUAGUAGUCACUAGUCAGUGUUUGAAUGUUGUAUAUAUCGUUGUUUCGAACUGUUUAUUGUCUCGAACUACUGGUGGGCUAAAUGAGGGCAUCACCAUUCUCCAGUGUUCAGAGUAUAUCUCCUUUUUUCAAGUUAUAUAAUUUGAGCUCACUGUCUUUUUGAUGAUGUACACUUGUUUGGGCCAGUGAGGUGUCGUUGAAUAUGGGCCGAGUAGUAACGCAAUGCCAAACAGGUCAAUUAUGACUCUCGGGCCGGGCUCUCAAAAGAUCCUGAAAAAAAGGCCGGGCUCUCCAAAAAAGACAGAAUAAGGACUCUUAGGCCGACAUGUGGGCGCCACCGGUGUUUUCGCGCGCUUCCGCACCGAGAGCAUAUUGGCGCGUGCUCGAAAUUCAUGCUACCUUUUCAUCCCCAGUCUCCCGCCCCUCCGCCACCUCUGGAAUCUCGAUUCCUACUCCAGUUCCGCCAAAUCCCCCUCCUGUACUCCCUGUACUCAAGUGCACUAUCAUGUCGCAGGUCAACGCGGAUAUCCGAGCCGGAGAUCCUGAGGUCCGUCCUGCCUUCGGUCGCUGCGUGUUGUCGCUCAACAGUGGCAUGGCGGCGCUUGACGACCAGUUUGCUGGCAAAGUGCUGAUGGUAACCAUCAACGGCGACCGGCCUCCCGUCUCGCCGGACGAGCUUGUCAAAGCUCUUGGCAUUGCUUACGGCAUCCAAAUAAGUGACUUGCUCAUUGAAGUCUGUCCGCCACCGGCUGAUUUCUUCGUCAGGUUCCGAACAACUUUCGACUGCAGUCAUGUGUUUGAAUCUUCCCGGCGUUUGUUCUGCAAUGGCGCGCUAGUGACCUUUGAUCGGUGGCACCCAGGAUUGGGCUCGGUGCCCUCUGAGCUUGAGUUUUUAACAAAGCUUACCUUCCACGGCAUGCCUCGAUGUGCUUGGAACAGCGAGUCCAUGAACGAGGUUAUCAACGACCUUGGAGGUGAGCUCGUAAGUAUGUUUGUUCCUCCAGACAGUUGGGCUCUGACGGUUAUGGCAUGGAUGAAGAAGCCGUCCACCGUACCGAAGGUGAUUGGUGUUGAGAUACCGGUGCAGGAACCGGGGUUGUACUAUUCGUCACCACCAAGGCCGUCGCGGACCACGUUAGGGAUGUACCUAUAUCGAGUGUUCGUGUAUGUCGAAGAAGUGGUCAAUCCAUCAAUCGAAGUCCUGCCUCCCCCGCUGGUGCCAGGGUCCGUCGACGAUGUCCAUUACAGGAGUCAAUGUCAGACUUUCCCCGUGUUGCUCGGAACGAUGUAUGGCACAGGGCCUACUCCAUUGCGCGGCGGAGGCCACUGCUUCUUUGGGAGAAGAGGCAGGGCUGGCUGCCUGGAUGUGCUCUAAUUUGAGGUAACAACUGAAUCUUGUCAGAUAGUACUAGUUAAAUCCGAGCUAUGGGUCUGAAGCACUGAUAUGCCAGUACAUUUGAUUGUGACCUGUUCUAAUUUUGUACCUGAACUUAUUUUAGAAAGGGUUGUACGUCAACUUAAUGUGCUAGCAGAACUUAUUGUGUUGUCUGUCUGUUUUCUUUGCACAACAUUCAAGACAUUUCCCCGUCAUUUAUAAAGACGAUGAACCGUUAUGUACGACUUCGUUGGUUUCAACAUAGCCCUUCCCGUAGCGAUCCACUGCUUCCAUCUUGAUUGUGCCGCCUGCAUGAAAUUUUUGUAUGCAAGUUCAAUGUGCUAUGAUGUUCUAUAUGAUUGUGUCAACUAUAUAAGUUUUUACUGAGCAUCAGCAAUGCAUAUGGCUGAAAGAUGUAUUUAUGAGCAUCGACCGAUGGGUCUCUCUCUAUCUCUCUCUCUCUCUCUCUCUCACACACACACACACACGUGCGCGCGCGCACACGCACAAGUGGGACCCAUUGAAUUAUUUAUUUGCUCGUGACAUCUUUUAAUUAGGUUCCACUGUAAUCUAACUUUUUUCUUAAGUUAUUAAUUGAGCUCAAUGACUUCCAAAAGUUGUACAGAAGCCUUGUUUGGGCCUUUCCGGCGUCCCUGAAUGUGGGCUGAGUAACCAUGUUAGGUUGUACUGUACUACACAGGCCUUUUUUUUCAACAUCAGCAAUGCAACUGGGCCAACAGUUGUACACAAUAUCCGGGUCAACUUGUUAUCCACCCCACUGGGCUGCAAAGUUUCCUAGGAGGUAUGCAUUAGGCUUAACAAGAAAAUGGACUUUAAGAAAUAAUAAAUGGGAUGUAAUUAUAAUAACGGGGCAAUUACUAUGCACCAAACACGUAAUUAGUUUGAAAAAUAUAUUAUUUUUGGAAUUUGGAAAUUUUAAGUUCAUUACUUGUUGCGCGCGCAAUAUUUCGUUGGAUUUUAACGUGAUACAACUUUAUUUUGAAAUUAUAUUUAACCUGACUAGAAAUUUCGGAUAAAAAUAUUUCGGAUCCCAUCAAAAUGUGGGAUUUUUUUUGAAUUCUGUUUUGAGCGGUUGUUUGAAAUUAUUAAUCGUUGUCCUACCUAGAAGUUGGGUUGUACUUUUAACAAACCCGUAAAUGGGCUGUAGUAAAUUCCAUUAGAAUUGACAAAUGGGAUGUACAUUUUUACAAAUCGCAAAUGGGCUAUUUGUUCUCUGCCAGAUCCGAGCUGUGGGCCUACUAAGUUGACGCGUACCAAGGGCUUUGUCAACUUAGUCAAUAUAAACGAUUCUAGCUGCAGUGAUCGUACGAUGUCCAUCCAAUGGCCGUAGUGCUUCUUUAACCUCUGGUCUUCUUGCUCCAGCCGCCCAAAGCAGCGCCGGUCGUGUCGCGUGCUCCUGCCUCCCGUGGCCGGCUGUGAUGCCGCGGAGGCCUCACCGCCUUGUACUACUCCCACCGGUGGCCAAGCCAUCCCUCUACUCACCCACACCCCCUGUUAUUCUGCGGCAACGGCAACCUCACACUGCAGCCGAACCAGUGAACCCUCGUACUCCUCUCCACGCGGGCUACCACUGUUGCGUCUUCCCCGGCUCCACAUCGUCCCCUCCUAGGCCUCGCCGUCGUGCAGACCACCGCCCUGGUGCUCUCGGCGUGGCGUGGUCAACGUGGUCAAUGACUGAUGUCCACUACACAACCUUCUUCUUGUAGACAUUGUUGGGCCUGCAAGUGCACAGGUUUGUAGGACAGUAGCAAAUUUCCCUCAAGUGGAUGACCUAAGGUUUAUCAAUCCGUAGGAGGCGUAGGAUGAAGAUGGUCUCUCUCAAACAACCCUGCAACCAAAUAACAAAGAGUCUCUUGUGUCCCCAACACACCCAAUACAAUGGUAAAUUGUAUAGGUGCACUAGUUCGGCGAAGAGAUGGUGAUACAAGUGCAAAAUAGAUAGUAAAUAUAGGAUUUUGUAAUCUGAAAUAAUAAAAACAGCAAGGUAACGAGCAGUAAAAGUGAGCGUAAACGGUAUUGCAAUGGUAGGAAACAAGGCAUAGGGUUCAUACUUUCACUAGUGUAAGUUCUCUCAACAAUAAUAACAUAGAUAAAACAUAUGACGAGCCCUCAACAUGCAACAAAGAGUCACUCCAAAGCCACUAAUAGUGGAGAACAAACAUAGAGAUUAUGGUCGGGUACGAAACCACCACAAAGCUAUUCUUUCGGAUCGAUCUAUAAAAGAGUUCGUACUAGAAUAACACCUUAAGAUACAAAUCAACCAAAACCCUAAUGUCACCUAGAUACUCCAUUGUCACCUCAAGUAUCCAUGGGCAUGAUUAUACGAUAUGCAUCACACAAUCUCAGAUUCAUCCAAUCAACAUAAAAGUACUUUAAAGAGUGCCCCAAAAGCUACUACCAGAGAGUCAAAAACGUGUGCCAACCCCUAUGCAUAGGUUCCCAAGUGUCAUGAAACCCGCAAGUUGAUCACCAAAACAUACAUCAAGUGGAUCAAUAGAAUAACCCAUUGUCACCACGGUUAUCCCACGCAAGACAUACAUCAAGUGUUCUCAUAAAGACUCAAUCCGAUAAUAUAACUUCAAAAGGGGAAACUCAAUUCAUCACAAGAGAGUAGAUGGGGAGAAACAUCAUAAGAUCCAGCUACAAUAGUAAAGCUCAGGAUACAUGAAGAUCGUGCCAUAGAUGGGACACGAGAGAGAACACGAGAGAGAGAGAGAGAGAUAGAGAUCAAACACAUAGCUACUGGUACAUACCCUCAGCCCCGAGGGUGAACUACUCCCUCCUCGUCAUGGAUAGCACCGGGAUGAUGAAGAUGGCCUCUGGUGAUGGAAUCCCCCUCCGGCAGGGUGCCAGAACAGGGUCCCAAUUGGUUUUUGGUGGCUACAGAGGCUUGCGGCGGCGGAACUCCCGAUCUAUCUUCUGUUCUGGAAGUUUUAGGGUACGUAGGUAUAUAUGGGUGCAGGGGGUACGUCGGUGGACCUCCAGGCUGCUCACGAGGUAGGGGGGCGUGCCCUCCACCCUCGUGGGCAGCCCGGGACUUCCCUGGCAUGCACUCCAAGCCCAUCAGGUUGGUUUCCUUCCAAAAUUUACUUCUCCAGUUGAUUUCGUUCCGUUUUGACUCUGUAUGAUAUUCCUUUUCCUCGAAACACUGAAAUAGGCAUAAAACAGCAAAUCUGGGCUGGGCCUCCAGUUAUUAGGUUAGUCCCAAAAAUAAUAUAAAAGUGGAUAAUAAAGCCCAAUAUUGCCUAAAACAGUAGAUAAAGUAGCAUGGAGCAAUCAAAAAUUAUAGAUACGUUGGAGACGUAUCAAGCAUCCCCAAGCUUAAUUCCUGCUCGUCCUCGAGUAGGUAAAUGAUAAAAAAGAAUUUUUGAUGCGGAGUGAUACUUUGGCAUAAUUUCAAUGUAAAUCUUCUUAAUUGUAGUUCAUACUUUGGCAUAAUUUCAAUGUGAAUAUUCAGAUCCGAAAGAUUCAAGACAAAAGUUCAUAUUGACACAAAAAUAAUAAUACUUCAAGCAUACUAAUCAAAGCAAUCAUGUCUUCUCAAAAUAUCAUUGCAAAAGAAAGUUCAUCCCUGCAAAAUCAUAUAGUCUGGCUGUUGCUCUAUCUUCAUCACACAAAGUAUUUAAUCAUGCACAACCCCGAUGACAAGCCAAGCAAUUGUUUCAUACUUUAAUAAUCUCAAACUCUUUCAACUUUCACGCAAUACAUGAGUGUGAGCCAUGGACAUAGCACUAUAUGUGGAAUAGAAUGGUGGUUGUGGAGAAGACAAAAAAGGAGAAGAUAGUCUCACAUCAACUAGGCGUAUCAACGAGCUAUGGAGAUGCCCAUUAAUAGAUAUCAAUGUGAGUGAGUAGGGAUUGCCAUGCAACGGAUGCACUAGAGCUAUAAGUAUAUGAAAGCUCAACAAAAGAAACUAAGUGGGUGUGCAUCCAACUUGCUUGCUCACGAAGACCUAGGGCAUUGGAAUAUACAAGUCAAGUUCUAUAAUGAAAAAUGCCCACUAGUAUAUGAAAGUGACUACAUAUGAGACUCUCUAUCAUGAAGAUCACGGUGCUACUUUGAAGCACAAGUGUGGUAAAAGGAUAGUAGCAUUGCCCCUUCUCUCUUUUUCUCUCAUUUUUUUAUUUGGGCCUUUUCUCUUUUUUUAUGGCCUCUUUUUUUUGUAAAGUCCGAAGUCUCAUCCCGACUUAUGGGGGAAUCAUAGUCUCCAUCAUCCUUUCCUCACUGGGACAAUGCUCUAAUAAUGAUGAUCAUCACACUUUUAUUUUUCUUACAACUCAAUAAUUACAACUCGAUACUUAGAACAAAGUAUGACUCUAUAUGAAUGCCUCCGGCGGUGUACCGGAAUAUGCAAUGAAUCAUGAGUGACAUGUAUGAAAGAAUUAUGAACGGUGGCUUUGCCACAAAUACGAUGUCAACUACAUGAUCAUGCUAGCAAUAUGACAAUGAUGGAGCGUGUCAUAAUAAACGGAACAGUGGAAAGUUGCAUGGCAAUAUAUCUCGGAAUGGCUAUCGAAAUGCCAUAAUAGGUAGGUAUGGUGGCUGUUUUGAGGAAGGUAUAUGGUGGGUGUAUGAUACCGGCGAAAAGGGCGCGGUAUUAGAGAGGCUAGCAAAGGUGGAAGGAUGGGAAAGGGUGCGUAUAAUCCAUGGACUCAACAUUAAUCAAAAGAACUCAUGCACUUGUUGCAAAAAUUUAGAAGUCAUCAAAAACCAAAGCACUACGUGCAUGCUCCUAGGGGGAUAGAUGGGUAGGAAAAGACCAUCGCUCGUCCCCAACCGCCACUCAUAAGGAAGACAAUCAAUAAAUAAAAUUGUGCUCCAACUUCAUCACAAAGUGGUUCACCAUACGUGCAUGCUACGGGAAUCACAAACUUCAACACAAGCAUUCUUUAAAUUCAUAAUCACCCAACUAGCAUAACUUUAAUAUCACUACCGCCAUAUCUCAAAACAAUUAUCAAGCAUCAAACUUAUCUUAGUAUUCAACACACUCAAAAGAAAGUUUCACAUAUCUUGAAUACCAAGUAUAUUAAUAUUAAGAAAGUUACCAUGCUAUUAAUGACUCUCAAAAUAAUAUAAGUGAAGCAUGAGAGUUCAUCUCUUUCUUCAAAAUAAAACUACCACCACGCUCUAAAAGAUAUAAGUGAAGCACUAGAGCAAAAACUAUCAAGCUCAAAAGAUAUAAGUGAAGUACAUAGAGUAUUCUAGCAAAUUCCAAUUCAUGUAAGGCUCUCUCUCAUUAAAGAAUUUCAGAUCUUGAUACUUUAUUCAAACAUCAAGCAAAGCUAAAGAAAACUACAAUGCAAGGAUAGCACAACUCAUGUGAAGAAGCAAAAACUUAGGCUCAACCGAUACUAACCGAUAGUUGUUGAAGAAGAAAGGUGGGAUGCCUACCGGGGCAUCCCCAAGCUUAGAUGCUUGAGACUUCUUGAAAUAUUAUCUUGGGGUGCCUUGGGCAUCCCCAAGCUUGAGCUUUUGUGUCUUCUUAAUUCCUCUCAUAUCAUGGUUUCUCUUUUUUAUCAAAAGCUUCAUUCACAACAAACUCAACAAGAACUCGUGAGAUAGGUUAGUAUAAACCAAUGCAAAACCUUAUCAUAUUAUACUGUAAAAAAUCACUGACAUUAUUAUUCAACAUUUCAUACUAAAUGCCUCUGCAUAUUUAAUACUCCUAUCAUCAAAUAGAAUCAUUAAACAAGCAAACAUAUGCAAACAAUGCAACCAUAACAGCAAUCUGUCAAAAUAGUACAGUCUGUAACAAGAGUCAUCAUACUUCCCUAACUCCAAAAAUUAUGAAAUAAAAUUCCCACUGUAAUAAAUUUAUCAGAGCUCAAUAUGCAAAAAGAUUCAACGUUAGACCAUGCUCUGACUUUUCUAGAGAAUUUUUGCAACAGCGGUAAACUUUCUGUUUUCAAACAGCAACAUGCAAACUAGCAAAAUAAGCAUGGAAAGGCUAUCCUUGACUUUUUUAUUGAAACUAAAGAGGCAAAACACUAUUCUAACUAACAGAAAGCAAAAAAUAACAACAUAAAAUGAUGCUCCAAGCAAAACACAUAUCAUGUGGUGAAUAAAAAUAUAGCUCCAAGUAAAGUUACCGAUGAACGAAGACGAAAGAGGGGAUGCCUUCCGGGGCAUCCCCAAGCUUAGGCUCUUGGUUGUCCUUGAAUAUUACCUUGGGGUGCCUUGGGAAUCCCCAAGAUUAGGCUCUUGCCACUCCUUAUUCCAUAGUCCAUCGAAUCUUUACCCAAAACUUGAAAACUUCAACCACACAAAACUUCAACACAAAACUCGUAAGCUCCGUUAGUAUAAGAAAAUAAAACCACCACUUAGGUACUGUAAUGAACUCAUUCUAAAUUCAUAUUGGUGUAAUAUCUACUGUAUUCUAACUUCUCUAUGGUUCAAACCACUUAAUACUAGCCAUAGAUUCAUCAAAAUAAGCAAACAACACAUAGAAAACAGAAUCUGUCAAAAACAGAACAGUCUGUAGUAUUCUGCAUAAAACGUAUACUUCUGGAACCCCAAAAAUUAUUAAAUAAAUUUCUGGACCUGAGAAAUUUUUCUAUUAAUCAUCUGAAAAAAGAAUCAACCUAAAAUCACUCUCCUGUAACAAAUGGCAGCUAAUCUCGUGAGCGCUAAAGUUUCUGUUUUUCACAGCAAGAUCACAUAAACUUCACCCAAGUCUUCCCAAAGGUUCUACUUGGCACUUUAUUGAAACAAAAGAUAUAAAACAUGAUUACUACAGUAUCAUAAUCAUGUGGACACACAAAAACAGUAAGGAUAAAUAUUGGGUUGUCUCCCAACAAGUGCUUUUCUUUAAUGCCUUUUAGCUAGGCAUGAUGAUGGCAAUGAUGCUCACAUAAAAGAUAAGAAUUCCAACAUAAUGGGAGCAUCAUGAAGCAUAUGACUAGCACAUUUAAGCCUAACCCACUUCCUAUGAAUAGGGAUUUUGUGAGCAAACAACUUACGGGAACGAUAAUCAACUAGCAUAGGGAGGUAAAACAAGCAUAACUUCAAGAAUUUAAGCACAUAGAGAGGAAACUUGACAUUAUUGCAAUUCCUACAAGCAUAUGUUCCUCCCUCAUAAAGUUUUUUAGUAGCAUCAUGAAUGAAUUCAACAAUAUAACCAGCACCUAAAGCAUUCUUUUCAUGAUCUACAAGCAUAGAAUUUUCACUACUCUCCACAUAAGCAAACUUCUUCUUUAUAGCAUACGUAUCAUCACAAUAAUCAUCAUAAAUAGGAGGCAUGCUUUCAUCAUAGUAAAUUUGCUCAUCAAAGCUUGGGGGACAAAAAAUAUCAUCUCCAUCAAACAUAGCUUCCCCAAGCUUGUGGCUUUGCAUAUCAUUAGCAUCAUGGAUAUUCAAGGAAUUCAUACUAACAACAUUGCAAUCACGCUCAUCAUAUAAAAACAUUCUGUAGAUUUCAACUUCUAGCACUUGAGCACAAUUUUCCUUUCCAUCAUACUCAUGAAAGAUAUUAAAAAGGUGAAGCGUAUGAGACAAACUCAACUCCAUUUUUUUGUAGUUUUCUAAACUAGUGAUAAAAACAAGAAACAAAAAGAUUCGAUUGCAAGAUCUAAAGAUAUACCUUCAAGCACUCACCUCCCCAGCAACGGCGCCAGAAAAGAGCUUGAUGUCUACUACACAACCUUCUUUUUGUAGACGUUGUUGGGCCUGCAAGUGCACAGGUUUGUAGGACAGUAGCAAAUUUCCCUCAAGGGGAUGACCUAAGGUUUAUCAAUCCGUAGGAGGCGUAGGAUGAAGAUGGUCUCUCUCAAACAACCCUGCAACCAAAUAACAAAGAGUCUCUUGUGUCCCCAACACAUCCAAUACAAUGGUAAAUUGUAUAGGUGCACUAGUUCAGCGAAGAGAUGGUGAUACAAGUGCAAAAUAGAUAGUAGAUAUAGGUUUUUGUAAUCUGAAAUAAUAAAAACAGCAAGGUAACGAGCGUAAACGGUAUUGCAACGGUAGGAAACAAGGCCUAGGGUUCAUACUUUCACUAGUGUAAGUUCUCUCAACAAUAAUAACAUAGAUAGAACAUAUGACAAGCCCUAAACAUGCAACAAAGAGUCACUCCAAAGCCACUAAUAGCGGAGAACAAACGUAGAGAUUAUGGUCGGGUACGAAACCACCACAAAGCUAUUCUUUCGGAUCGAUCUAUAAAAGAGUUCAUACUAGAAUAACACCUUAAGAUACAAAUCAACCAAAACCCUAAUGUCACCUAGAUACUCCAUUGUCACCUCAAGUAUCCGUGGGCAUGAUUAUACGAUAUGCAUCACACAAUCUCAGAUUCAUCCAACCAACAUAAAAGUACUUCAAAGAGUGCCCCAAAAGCUACUACCGGAGAGUCAAGAACGUGUGCCAACCCCUAUGCAUAGGUUCCCAAGUGUCACGGAACCCGCAAGUUGAUCACCAAAACAUACAUCAAGUGGAUCAAUAGAAUAACCCAUUGUCACCACGGUUAUCCCACGCAAGACAUACAUCAAGUGUUCUCAUAAAGACUCAAUCCGAUAAGAUAACUUCAAAAGGGGAAACUCAAUUCAUCACAAGAGAGUAGAGGGGGAGAAACAUCAUAAGAUCCAACUACAAUAGCAAAGCUCGGGAUACAUCAAGAUCGUGGCAUAGAUGGGACACGAGAGAGAACACGAGAGAGAGAGAGAGAGAGAGAGAUCAAACACAUAGCUACUGGUACAUACCCUCAGCCCCGAGGGUGAACUACUCCCUCCUCGUCAUGGAUAGUGCUGGGAUGAUGAAGGUGGCCUCCGGUGAUGGGAUCCCCCUCCGGCAGGAUGCCAGAACAGGGUCCCGAUUGGUUUUUGGUGGCUACAGAGGCUUGCGGCGGCGGAACUCUAGAUCUAUCUUCCGUUCUGGAAGUUUUAGGGUACGUAGGUAUAUAUGGGUGCAGGGGGUACAUCGGUGGACCUCCGGGGUGCUCACAAGGUAGGGGGCGCGCCCAGGGGGCACGCCCUCCACCCUCAUGGGCAGCAUGGGACUCCCCUGGCGUGCACUCCAAGCCCAUCAGGUUGGUUUCCUUCCAAAAUUAACUUCUCCAGUUGAUUUCGUUCCAUUUUGACUCCGUCUAAUAUUCCUUUUCCUCGAAACACUGAAAUAGGCAUAAAACAACAAAUUUGGGCUGGGCCUCCGGUUAAUAGGUUAGUCCCAAAAAUAAUAUAAAAGUGGAUAAUAAAGCCCAGUAUAUCCUAAAACAGUAGAUAAAGUAGCAUGGAGCAAUCAAAAAUUAUAGAUACGUUGGAGACAUAUCAACGACCGACUUCCAUCGGAAGAGUACUGUAUGUGGAGAGGCUGACAGCUGGGUCCAGGUGGCCGCAAGGAAGUGCCUCCUUAUUACGCGCAAAAUAAUUAUUCCUCCACCUGACAGUAGGGACCCACCGGACGGGCCACCUUAUUUCGCGAAAAAACGUUUCCCCCCUGACUGCUGGGACCCAUCGGACGGGCCAGCGUAUUUCACGAAAAAAACGUUCCCCGUGCUGUCAGCUCAGACCCACCGGAAGUGCCUCCUUAUUACGCACAAAAAAUGAAUACUCCCCCUGCUAGCUGGGACCCACCAUGGUGGGAGGCUGACUUGUGGACGUACUAAGUUGACUGGGACGGGGGCCUUUGUCAACUUUAGUCAAUAUGAACGAUUCUAGCUUUAGUGACCGUACGAUGGCCAUCCAACAGCGGUAGUGCUUCUUCAACCUCUGGUGUUCUUGCUCCAGCCGCCCAAAGCAGCGCCGGUCGUGUCGCAUGCUCCUGCCUCCCAUGGCCGGUUGUGCUGUCGCGGAGGCCUCAUCGCUCCCUACUAUUCCCACCGCUGGCCAGGCCCUGCGGCGACGGCAGCCUCACACCGCAGCCGAACCAGUGAAGCCUCGUACUCCUCUCCGUGCGGGCUUCCACUGCCGCGUCUUCCCCGGCUCCCCGUCGUCCCCUUCCUAGGCCUCACCGCCAUCCACCACCGUGGUGCUCUCGGCGCGGCGUGGUCAAUGUGGUCAACGACCGACUUCCAUCGGAAGAGUACUGUACGUGGAGAGGCUGACAACUAGGUCCACGGCAGCCGCAAGGAAGUGCCUCCUUAUUACGCGGAAAAUAAUUAUUCCUCCACCUGACAGCAGGGACCCACCGGACGGGUCACCAGUAUUUUGCGAAAAAAACGUUUCCACAUGAGUGCUGGGACCCACAGGACGGGCCACCGUAUUUCGUGAAAAAAAUGCCCCCCCCCCCCGCUGUCAGCUCGUACCCACCGGAGGUGCCUCCUUAUUACGCACAAAAAAAUGAGUACCCCCUGCUAGCUGGGACCAACCUUGGUGGGAGGCUGACUUGUGGGCCUACUAAGUUGACUGGGACGGAGGCCUUUGUCAACUUUAGUCAAUAUAUGAACGAUUCUAGCUCCAGUGACCAUACGAUGUCCAUCCAACGGCCGUAGUGCUUCUUCAACCUCUGGUCUUCUCGCUCCAGCCGCCCAAAGCAGCGCCGGUCGUGCCGCCUGCUCCUGCCGCCCGUGGCCGGCUGUGAUGCCGCGGAGGCCUCACCACCCCCUACUACUCACACCGCUGGCCAGGCCAUCCCUCUACGCACCCACACCCCUUGUUAUUCUGCGGCGAUGGCAGCCUCACACCGCAACCGAACGAGUGAACCCUCAUACUCCUCUACGCGUGGGCGUCCACUGCCGCGUCUUCCCCGGCUCCGUGUUGUCCCCUUCCUAGGCCUCGCCGUCGUCCACCACCCUGGUGCUCUCGGUGCGGCGUGGUCAACGUGGUCAAGGAAUGGCUUCCAUCGGACGUGGACUGUACGUGGAGAGGCUGACAUCGGGGUCCACGACCGCAGCAAGGAAGUGCCUCCUUAUUACGCGCAAAAUAAUUAUUCCUCCACCUGACAACAGGGACCUACCGGACGGGCCACCGUAUUUAGCGGAAAAAAUGUUUCCCCCUGUCUCCUGGGACCCACCAAUUACAUCUUCGCACGCAAGGAAGUGCGUCGAAAAAAAAUGAUUCGCCCCCCUAACUGCUGGGACCCACCAGCUACAUCUUCGCACGCAAGGAAGUGCCUGACAGUCGGGACCCACCUGGUCGAAGCGUACGUAGCGUUGUCAUUCUGGUCGCGAACGUGUACGUACAUAUAUACUGGUGGAUGUAGAGGCGUGCACGUGUCGUAGUAGAGGCGUGCACGUAGCAUGUACACGUACGUACAACGGCGAGGGUGCAAGAAAGAAAAUAUGGCCACGUACGUACAUACGGGCAGGGUCUCUAACGCCUAUCGCGCAUACGUACAUGGCUGGGUCGCAACGGAGAAACAACGUCAUCGUCGUGUUCAUGGGGAGACAACCGGGUGGGUCAGAACGGAAUGCCUGGUCGUGUUCAUCGGGAGGGCUUGGACGAAACAGGCGAUGGAAACGAGGCCUGGCGUACCGCACAACGGAGGAAACGGCCUUGUGUUCGACCGGCCACGUUCGAAACGGGGUCCGGUUGAUCGGGAGGGGCCUGGCAUACCGCAAAACGGAGGAAACGGACCUCCUACGGCCGAAACGGGGGUCCUGUUGAUCGGGAGGGGUGUGGCGUACCGCAAAACGGACAAAACGGACUUGUGUUGGAGUGCUACGGUCGAAACGGGGGGGGGGAGGGGUGUGGCGUACCGCAAAAUGGGACUCCACGGGAUACUGUUCAUCUCCACCAUUGACGUCCUCCAGCCUCCACGGGGUACCGUCGACCUCCUCUAGCCUCCACGGGCUCCUGUUCAUCCAGCCUCCACCACGGGCUACUCCACCGGCUACUGUUCAACCACCCCUCCACGGGCACCCCUCCACCGUCUACUGUUCAUCCAGCCCUCCACACCACGGGGUCCUGUNNNNNNNNNNNNNNNNNNNNNNNNNNNNNNNNNNNNNNNNNNNNNNNNNNNNNNNNNNNNNNNNNNNNNNNNNNNNNNNNNNNNNNNNNNNNNNNNNNNNNNNNNNNNNNNNNNNNNNNNNNNNNNNNNNNNNNNNNNNNNNNNNNNNNNNNNNNNNNNNNNNNNNNNNNNNNNNNNNNNNNNNNNNNNNNNNNNNNNNNNNNNNNNNNNNNNNNNNNNNNNNNNNNNNNNNNNNNNNNNNNNNNNCUUCAGUUAGCAGCAGUAGCGAAGGAAUCGCUCCAUCGGGUUCAGUUAACAGCCAUCGAUCGAUCGCUCGGGUUCAGUAACGUGUAGCCUGCAGUGCAAUCUCUCGGGUUCAGUUAGAGCCAACACCUCGCACACACGCGCGUAACUGUAUGAGAGAAAUGCGCGUCACUCCACCCCCGACCUCCCACCGUAACUGGCAACUCCCCGAAAUUUUCCUCCCCAUCGCUUCUACCACGGUUUUUUCUGUCAUGGACGGCCCAAAGAAUGUCAUGCAGCUACGUCUCCGGCCCGCCCAGGACGAAAAGCCCAUUUUCUGUCAUGAUUUUUUGUCAUAGAAGUAGGAGCCCACCACAUCUAUGAUGAUACCGGGUUUUGUCACAAUUAUCUUCAUAGAAGUGUCAUAUGUAUGACAGAAAAUAAAUUCGUUCGGCCCAAAAUGUCACGGAUGUGUCUUUUUUUGUAGUGGAUGCCUUUGGUCAUCGUGCGGACCAUAGUCGCCUGCAGGGUAGAGCAAAACGAUAUUUUAGAACCCAAAAAAAUUUGGCAUGACUUUGCCUGAAAAUAGGGCCAAAAAGAAUGCAUAGUGCCAAAUUCUCACCGAAAUGGAAAUGAAUCAACAUUCCGGCAAAAUAUUGGCAACUAUCGCAUUUCAAAUACCGGUACCUGCAAACACAAACAUAUGCAACACCACGAACAUAUGUAGAUCUAGGCCAUAAAAAGUGUGUACGUUGUUGGAGGGAGAAAAAAGUAGAUCUAGAACAUAAAAAAGCCUUCCCCUUACUUAAUUACCUAUCAAAAAAAGGAAAUUUAACCACUUAAUUUGGGUGAAUCUAUGGUGCAAAUGAGGUGAGGAGGAGGAGGCAGCCGAGACCAAGCUUGAUAGAGGUGGAGAGAAUGAAGUGGGGAAAGUGAGUGUGGUAGGUGGCUAUCAAAAAUAUCUAGCUGCUCUCAGGUUACCAAUGGCACAUCUCCUAAGAAUGCGCCAUUGGUAACCAGGGUUACUAAUGGCGCACCUGACAUGUGGUGCGCCAUUACUAGUUUUGAAAAAAAAAAUGUUAGUAGUGGCGCACCGCGGGUGUGGUGCGCCAUUACUAAUUAAAACUAGUAAUGGGCACUACCCCUGGUGCGCCACUGCUAAGUCUGGGUGAGGGUGUGGGGCCAGGACAAAACUAGUAAUGGCGCACCAAACACCAGGUGCGCCAUUAGUAAUAUGGCCACUAAUGGCGCACUUAUAUCUGGUGUGCCACUGCCAUAUAGCAGUGGCGCACCACAUACAUGGUGCGCCAUUAAUGUCCAUAUUAGCUAUAGCCAUUUUCUAGUAGUGCAAGAUGGGAUCUUGCGGAUACAGAAGGUUGCGGCGGUAGAAAUAGGGUUUCAUGGUGCUCCUGGAUGUGUUCAGGGUACGUAGAUAUAUAUAGGCGAAGGAAGUCGGUCAGGGGAGCCACGAGGGGCCCAUGAGGGUGGGGGCGUGCCUACCCCCCUAGGGCGCGCCUUGCACCCUCGUGGCCGCCUCAGCUACUUCAUGACGUCCACUCCAAGUCUCAUGGAUUGCGUUUGUUCCAAAAAGAUCGCUCCCGAAGGUUUCAUUCCGUUUGGACUCCGUUUGAUAUUCCUUUUCUUCGAAACACUGAAAUAGGCAAAAAAAGCAGCAAUUUGGGCUGGGCCUUCGGUUAGUAGGUUAGUCCCAAAAAUGAUAUAAAAGUGUAAAGUAAAUCCCAUAAACAUCCAAAACGGGUAAUAUAAUAGCAUGGAACAAUCCAAAAUUAUAGAUACGUUGGAGACGUAUCAAUAUCCGAGAGGAAAAACAUUUUUUUAGUCGUAGAUAGCCUUCAUAAGGCAUUUGUGCAUCAACUAACUAUAUCUUCAUGCAAGGUUAGAUAUUGACAGAUAGCAAUAAGAGCAUAUCCAACCAUUAGUUAUGAAUCAUACAAUACUCCAAUAUAAUAUCAUUGAUAGUUCUCUAUUCGUCGAGGAGGAUUUUUGUGUCCCUGUAAGAUGAAUAAUCGUCUGUGAUAACAUUCACAUCAACAACAUAUUUAAUGGUACCUCCAGAAAAAUAAUGCGAAGCAAAUAGCAUUGCAGGCGGGGGUUAUUAACAUUACAUCAUCACCAAAGUUUUAACACCACAUGUGGUGCAAUAAGGUUCUGAAGAAAAUUGUUCAAAGAGAACCAAAUGAAAGUUCGAAGCAAAACACCCUACAAACCCCGAUAGACUAUCACUCGAUGUUAUCCUCCCCCUUUUUGUCAACAAGUGUCAAAAAGGAUAGAGAGUACACACAAGGAAUUACUCUGAUGGAGUAUCUUCUCAGUCGGAACUGAAACCACUUGAAGAACUAGAAUCAGAAGAAUGUGGAAUGGUCGAGGCAGAAGUAGGUGUAGCAGUCUUGGCUUUGAGGGGCUUCAAAGGAUGUGCAUCUGGCUUGUAGAUACGUGUGCUUGCUGUGUCCUUGAUUUCAUCAUCAUGGUUGACAAACAAUAGAUCCGUUGAAGCAGAAUGUUGUGGGAGCUCUAGAGUUUGUCUUCAAACACGCGGGACUGCAAGCAAGUCCAGAUAAUCAUAAUCCUUGAAGAGGCCCUUCUUGGCUAGAUCCUUGCGAGAGAAAUGCCUCCUCGGCAAGGUCCAAGAUCUCUUCCUCGCAUCCUUCUCAUGCAGAAGGAUUUGCCUAGUGUGAUUAUGAAGUAGAUUCAGCUCAGCUAGCAAUUCCAUAUUUUCCUUCCUAUCCAUCCUGAUAGGCCUUUCCAAAGUCUGCAGUGUGCGAAUGCAAAUUUCAUAUAGGGAUGGAUUAUCCUCUCGAGGAACUUCAACUUUGGCUUCUUUGACCUUUGGUACAUUCUCAGAUGCUGAAGCAUUUGCAUCCAUAUCAACAGGUUUCUUCCCCUUUUUGUAUUCCUUCAUGAUGCGCAGAGAGUGUCAUGGACAGGUGGCAUGAAUACUUUCGGUGCAUAGGCCCAGAAGAAUUUUUCAUUUGUAAGCUCCUCAAUGGCAUACAUAAUCCAGGGAGCAUAGGGCUUGAGCGACUAGGGGUCAUCUGCAGCACAUGCCAGAUUCCAAAUGAAUAGGUCAGAAAUGUCGAAUUUGAUUCCCUGAGAUAUUGACACCAGAGAAUUUCCCACGAUGCCUUUGAUGGAAUUCGUACAGUUGGUUGGCAUAACGGUAUUACACAGAAUGUUGAAUAGCACUUUCUUGUUAUAGGCAAACUUCUUCGGGUCAACAUCGAUGCAUUCAGCACCCACCAAAGUGGGAUCCAUCAGGAUAUGGAGUUGUGCAGCAGACACUUCCCAGAAAUGCAGUAUGUGUUCUUAGUCAUUUUCAAAUUCACAUUGAGGCAGAUUGAUUAGGGCCAAAAAAUGAUCUGCUAAGCAUUUUAUUCUCUCAUUGAGGCAGAUUGAUUAGGGCCAGAAAAUGAUCUGCUAAGCAUUUGAUUCUCUCUCUGCAUGUCAUCCAUUCGAGCGUCUAGGUUGAAGUGUUUUGCAUCUGCCCUGUGAUGUACAACGUGGCAUAGAACUAAAGAAUAAUCUCUUUAUUCCAUCCAUGACUGAAGUGCAUGAAACCCUUCAGAAGAGCAUGUUCAAUAUGGUCAAGGGAGUUGUGGAAGCAAGGCAUUUCUUCGAGCUUGGCGCAGUUUAAUAUCUUGUGGUUGAAAAUACUGUGCUUGCCAAACAAGAUCCGAGCAUAAUAUAUUGCCUGCUCCUCUAGAACCUCGGUGUCAGAGACAUUCUUUCUCCUUCGUAGGGGCUCAUUUAAAGCUGGGCCAUAGGGGCCAUACUCAGCUGAAAAUAGCGGGAAAGAUUCCCGAGGAUUUUUCCGAUAAACUUCUUCGCUAAUUUCCAUCGGCUGAACAUCACUAGCUGCAGAAGCGUUCUCAUCGAAGGGCUACACUAGAACAUGAGGUACAAUAUCCUUGUCUGAAGCAAAAGGUAUGUGAUCAUCUGACUGUUCAUCAUUUUUCUUUGUUGGAACUCCUUCAACGGCUUUUUCAGACUCAGGCUCAAGGGCCUUUUCUUUAGGUGACUCAGCGAUGGGUGCUGGUGGAACAAAAACAUCUUCAGCCUGCUAUGGCAGUACUGGUGGUAAGACCUGGUGGGACUGAACAGGUGGUGGAACUUCUUCAUGUUUCUCCUCGUGAGCCGUGGGCUCUUCUAACUUCUUUUCUUCAUGUUCUGGCUGUGAAGCCAGAGAACCAGGAGCAGGGUCAACCUCCAUCGGGGCAGGAGCACUAGAUGAGGAGGCCGUAGAGGCAGUGCUUUGGGGAGCAAUUUGCUCCCCCUCAACCUUUUCUGCCUCCUCAGUGAGUCCGGAGGAUCCUGCUUGAAUAUCCUUCAUAGGUGAUGAGACUAGAUUCUCCAUUUCAAUUUCUUCUCAAUAUUUUCUUCGGGAACAUUUUGCUCUGGCACUAAUUUUACUUCAUCAGUGUUGAAAAGACAUAUGGCAACAACAUCCGAUUCUUGUUCGACUGAAGUAGGAACUACCACAGCCUCAACUUGUUGUUCGGUUAUUUCCUCGUGACGAGGGGAUGGUGGAAUCUGCUGAAGUGGUGCACUUGUGUCAAUAGGAGCAUUAGCCAAAGCAGAUUUGACAUGGCUGUCCUCGACCUCUUUUGGCUUAUUUUCUCUAGCCUGAGCUUUCUGACGCUUUUCUUAUUUCUCCCUGCGUUGAGUGAUACGUCCAUUUUGCAUCAUGCUUUUAUAUCGAUAUUUAUUGCAUUAUGGGCUGUUAUUUCACGUUAUGUGACAAAACUUAUGGCUAUUCUCUCUUAUUUUACAAGGUUUACAAGAAGAGGGAGAAUGCCGACAGCUGGGAUUCUGGGCUGGAAAAGGAGCAAAUAUUGAAGACCUAUUCUGCAUAGCUCCUGAAACUCCACGAAAGUCAUUUUGGGAAUUAAUAAAAAAUAUCCAGGGGAAGAAAUACCUAAGGGGAGCCACCUAUCGUCCACGAUGGUGGGGGGCGCGCCCCCUGCCUCGUGGGCCACCUGACAGCCCUCCGGUGCCCAUCUUCUGCUAUAUGAAGUCUUUUACCCUGGAAAAAAAUCAUAAGCAAGCUUACGGGACGAAACUCCACCUUCACGAGGCGAAACCUUGGCGGAACCAAUCUAGGGCUCCGGCGGAGCUGUUCUGCCGGGGAAACUUCCCUCCAGGAGGGGGAAAUCAUCACCAUCGUCAUCACCAAUGAUCCUCUCAUCGGGAGGGGGUCAAUAUCCGUCAACAUCUUCACCAGCACCAUCUCCUCUCAAACCCUAGUUUAUCUCUUGUAUCCAAUCUUUGUACCAAAACCUCAGAUUGGUACCUGUGGGUUGCUAGUAGUGUUGAUUACUCCUUGUAGUUGAUGCUAGUUGGUUUACUUGGUGGAAGAUCAUAUGUUCAGAUCCUUACUGCAUAUUAAUACCCCUCUGAUUAUGAACAUGAAUAUGCUUGCUAUUAGUAGUCAUGUGAAUUUGGUAUUCGUUCGAUAUUUUGAUGAGAUGUAUGUUGUCUCUCCUCUAGUGGUGUUAUGUGAACGUCGACUACAUGACACUUCACCAUUAUUUGGGCCUAGAGGAAGGCAUUGGGAAGUAAUAAGUAGAUGAUGGGUUGCUAGAGUGACAGAAGCUUAAACCCUAGUUUAUGCGUUGCUUCAUAAGGGGCUAAUUUGGAUCUACUUGUUUCAUGCUAUGGUUAGGUUUACCUUAAUAUUUCUUUUGUAGUUGCGGAUGCUUGCAAUAGGGGUUAAUCAUAAGUGGGACGCUUGUCCUAGAAAGGGCAGUACCCAAGCACCGGCCCACCCACAUAUCAAAUUAUCAAAGUAACGAACGUGAGUCAAAUGAGCGUGAUGAAAACUAGCUUGACGAUAAUUCCCAUAUGUCCUCGGGAGUGCUUUUCCCAUUAUAAGAACUUGUCCAGGCUUGUCCCUUGCUACAAAAAGGAUUGGGCCACCUUGCUGCAUCUUAUUUACUUUCAUUGCUUGUUACCCAUUACAAAUUAUCUUAUCACAAAACUAUCUGUUACCUACAAUUUCAGUGCUUGCAGAGAAUACCUUACUAAAAACCACUUGUCAUUUCCUUUUGCUCCUCGUUGGGUUCGACACUCUUACUUAUCGAAAGGACUACGAUAGAUACCCUACACUUGUGGGUCAUCAAGACUCUUUUCUUGCGCUGUUGCCGGGGAGUGAAGCGCCUUUGGUAAGUGGAACUUGGUAAGGAAACAUUUAUAUAGUGUGCUGAAAUUUACUGUCACUUGUUACUAUGGAAAUUGAUCCUUUGAGGGGCUUGUUUGGGGUAUCUUCACCCCGACCAGUAGAGAAAAGAGUUGCUCCUCAACCUACUGAAAAUGUUUACUUUGAAAUUCCUUCGAGUAUGGUAGAGAAACUGCUAGCUAAUGCCUUUACAGGAGAUGGAACAUUGCAUCCCGAUUUACACCUUAUCUAUGUGGAUGAAGUUUGUGGAUUAUUUAAGCUUGUAGGUAUGCCCGAUGAUGUUAUUAAGACGAAGGUCUUCCCUUUAUCUUUGAAGGGAGACGCAUUAACAUGGUAUAGGCUAUGUGAUGAUACGCGAUCCUGGGACUAUAAAUGAUUGAAAUUGGAAUUUCACCAGAAGUUUUAUCCUAUGCAUCUUGUUCAUCAUGAUCGCAAUUAUAUGUAUAAUUUUUGGCCUCGCGAAGGAGAAAGCAUCGCUCAAGCUUGGGGGAGGCUUAAGUCAAUGUUAUAUUCAUGCCCCAAUCAUGAGCUCUCAAGAGAAAUGAUUAUUCAAAACUUUUAUGCUCGGCUUUCUCUCAACAAUCGUACCAUGCUUGAUACUUCUUGUGUUGGGUCUUUUAUGAUGAAGACUAUUGCAUUCAAAUGGGAUUUACUGGAAAGAAUUAAAUGCAACUCUGAAGAUUGGGAUUACAACGAUGGUAAGGAGUCGGGUAUGACAUCUAAGUUAUAUUGUCUUAAAUCUUUUAUGGAUACCGAUGCUUUCCGUGGAUUUAGCACUAAAUAUGGACUUGACUCCGAGAUAGUAGCUUCUUUUUGUGAAUCAUUUUCUACUCAUGUUGAUCUCCCUAAGGAGAAGUGGUUUAAAUAUAAUCCUCCCACUAAAUUAAAAGUAGUUGCGCCUAUUACAGUUGAAGAAAAGACUAUCACUUAUAAUGAUCCUAUUGUUCCUACUACUUAUAUUGAGAAACCACCUUUCCCUGUUAGGAUAAAGGAUCAUGCUAUAGCUUCAACUGUUGUUCGUAAGAGUAAUACUAGAACUUAUACACCACCUGAGAAAAUUAAAGUUGAACCUAGUAUUGCUAUGGUUAAAGUUCUCUUAGCAGAUAAUAUUGAUGGGCAUGUUAUUUAUUUCUGUGAUGAAGCUGCUAGAAUUGGUAGACCAGAUACUAAGAAGAAACAUAGACCUGUUAUAGGCAUGCCUAUUAUUUCUGCUAAAAUAGGAGAUCAUUGUUAUCAUGGCUUAUGUGAUAUGGGUGCUAGCGCUAGUGCAAUACGUCAUUCCUUAUACAAAGAAAUUAUGCAUGAUAUCGCACCUGCUGAGAUAGAAGAAAUUGAUGUUACCAUUAAGCUUGCCAAUAGAGAUACAAUUUCACCAGUUGGGAUUGUUAGAGAUGUUGAAGUCUUGUGUGGGAAAGUUAAAUAUCCUGCUGAUUUUCUUGUUCUUGGUUCAGAUGACUUUUGUCCCAUAAUUUUGGUACACCCUUCUUGAAUACUGUUAAUGAUAAGAUUGAUUGUGAAAAGGAUGUUGUUACUAUUGGUUUGGGGGAUAUGUCUCAUGAGUUUAAUUUUGCUAAAUUUCGUAGACAACCCCAUGAUAAAGAAUUUCCUAGUAAGGAUGAAAUUAUUGGUCUUGCUUCUAUUAUCGUGCCUCCUACUGAUCCGUUAGAACAAUAUUUGCUACACCAUGAAGAUGAUAUGUUUAUGAAUGAAAGAAGGGAAAUAGAUGAAGUAUUAUUUAAACAUGGUCCUAUUUUGAAACACAACUUGCCUAUUGAAAUCCUACGGGAUCCUCCUCCACCCAAGGGUGAUCCCGUGUUUGAGCUUAAACCAUUAACUGAUACUCUUAAAUAUGAUUCUAGAGAGGAGGCUAAGCUGGAGCAACUAGUGGUAGACUCGAACACUCCAUUGUAUGAUGGUUGCAAUCCUGAGGUGACCCGCUUGAGUUUCACGCUCCAACUCCUGAAGACGAAGGCUAAAAACAAAUGGAACGACACUAGCCUCGAUGAGCGUCUCAAGUACCUAAAGGAUGUUCUUCCCGCGGGUAAUCUAUGUCCUACUAGUGUUGAUGAGGCCAAGAAGAUCGUGUGCCCUCUUGAUCUGCCACACGUUAGAUACCAUGCAUGCAUCAACGAUUGCAUAAUUUAUCGGAAGGAGCACGCGGAAAAAACAAGUUAUCCGGUGUGCAAUGCUUCUCGAUACAAGAAGGCCGGGAAGAAAUGUCCCCAGAAAGUUGUAUGGUACUUACCGAUCACUCCUCGUCUCCAGAGGUAUUUUGUAGAUCCCAAGGAAGCAAAGCUAAUGCGCUGGCACGCGGAGAGGAAGAAGCCCGACGAUGGAGAUGAUCCGAAGCUGAGACACGUGAAGGAUGGAAGCCAGUGGAGAGCGUUGAACAGCUUCUAUUGGUAUUUUGAAUGUGAUGCAAGGAACAUCGUGCUCGGCGCAUGUACCGAUGGCAUGAAUCCGUUUGGCAACCAGAACACCAACCAUAGCACAUGGCCCCUGUUUGUAUGGAUGUACAACCUCCCCCCUGGUUGUGCAUGAAAUCAAAGUACAUUCACAUGAGCAUGCUUAUUCAAGGGCCAAAACAACUAGGAAAUAAUAUUAAUUUGUAUCUGGGGCUACUUCAAGAGGAGUUAGACACGUUAUGGAAAACACGGGCCAAGACAUGGGACGCCAGCAAAGGCAAGUAUAUCAACAUGAGAGUCGCGCUGAUCACGACAGUGCAGGACUAUCUCGGUUACGGAUAUGUGGCAGGCCAGGUGUGCCAUGGAUAUUGUGGAUGCACACGGUGCAUGGAUGAUACGACGUCUCAGCAGCUAACGUCAAGGAAAGAUGGUGGGUCUGGGAAAAUCUUGUACAUGGGGCAUCAAAGAUGGCUUGAACAGGACGACCCGUGGAGAAACCGUGGAGAUCUAUUCAAUGGUCACGCAGAGCAUCGAGGACCUCCACGUAAGCGGAGCGGUGCCGAAAUCGAUGAGCUGUUGAAAAACUGGAAGGAGUGCCCCGCACCGGGAAAGACGAUGAGAAAGGCGCCGGAGCCGCUGCUGAAGGUAUGGAAGACGAGGUCUGUGUUAUGGGACUUGGAGUACUGGCACAAACUCGAUACACCUCAUUGCCUUGAUCAAAUGCAUAUCUAUGAGAAUGUCCUUGAGAGCUUGCUCGCAACACUGAUGAACAUGCCGGAUAAGACCAAGGAUGGGCCGAAGGCAAGAAAAGACUUGCAAGAUUUGAAAAUCCGGGAAGAUCUGCACAUGCCGCCCCGUAAAAUGUCAGACGAGACAGAGACGGAGACAGAGGCACGGGAGAAGAAGGGCAAGAAAAUAAAGAAAGAGGAUUAUUGCCCCCCUUCUUGCUUCACCUUAAGUCAGGCUGAGAUCAAUCAAUUCUUUAAGUGCCUUACCGGAGUAAAAGUUAGUCCCGGUUACUGUGGCAAGAUAAGCAGAUAUCUAGAUACGGACAAGAAAAGGUUCAGCGGGAUGAAGUCUCAUGACUGUCAUGUGAUGAUGACGCAGAUACUACCUGUUGCCCUUAGAGGGAUAAUGGACAAGCACAUCCGUGACACGCUUAUUGGUCUCUGCAUCUUUUUCGACGUCAUCUCUCGAAAGUCGAUCAGUGUGAAGCAGCUCUGAAGGCUACAGGAAGAGAUCGUUGUGAUACUGAAUGAGCUUGAGAUGUACUUCCCGCCCGCGUUCUUUGACAUGAUGGUGCAUCUGUGUGUCCAUAUUGUGGAUGACAUAAUAGACCUGGGGCCGUCAUUCCUGCACAACAUGAUGCCGUUUGAGAGGAUGAAUGGGAUCAUCAAAGGAUUCGUUCGUAAGAUGUGCCAUCCGGAUGGAAGCAUCUUCCAGGGCUAUUUGGCACAAGUGUGCAUCUCUUUCUGUGAGAAUUUUCUAUAUGGCGCAGACCAGCCACCUGGUGUUAGUGUUGGUUUGCUCGUUAACAAGCAUGAUGGGAGGCUCGAAGGAGAUGGUCACUGCAACGGUCGCAGGGAACUGCACAUGGCAUACUCAGAUCGACGCAGUGACUUUGACAGAGCAAACUUGGUAGUGCUACAACACCUAGACGAGGUAGAUCCUUUCGUGGAACUGCACAAAGAAAUUAUCGCAAAGAAGUAUCGUGACCUGGGGGUACGCAGGAUGAACGCCGAAGUUACUAGAGAGCACAACUCCACUUUCCUGCAUUGGUUCAAAGAGCAUAUUAUUGCUAAUCCCCCGGAGGAGGGCUCUAAGGACGGAUUGCUCAUAUACGCCUUAGCACAUGGCCCCUCGCCCAACCUCGUAACCUAUCAGGCAUAUGGUAUCAACGGAUACACAUUCUACACGGAGGCCAAAGAUAUGGAUAGUGAUGAUCAGAACUCAGGGGUGACGAUGGAAUGCAUGACCGGCAGCAACAACGGCACAACUGAACGAUUUUAUGGAAGGGUCGAGGAGAUCUGGGAGCUUGACUACUCUGGACUGCACAACACGAUGAUGUUCCAUGUCAGAUGGGCAAAGAAUGUCGAAAGAGAAAACCGGAUUUUCACUACCAUGAGUAUACCCGACGCCAAGAGCACUACCGUGAAUGCUAUCGCAAAAAACGAGCCAUGGGUACACGCUAAGCACGUGACACAAUGCUUCUUCAUAACCGACCCAUGCAAUCCCAGUCGUGUUGUCGUGAGGAGAGGCAAAAGGAACAUCAUUGGAAUGGAUGGAGUCGCCAACGAGGAAGACUAGCAGUAGCGAGCUUCCACUAACCGCGUUGCUGCUACACUUUUGUAGCAGUAGCGUCGGUGAGCACGCGCUACUGCUAUGUGUUAGCUGUAGCGCCUUAUUAGUAGCGCCACUCCCCGCGCUAAUAAUACACCUAAAACCUGUGCUGCUGCUAGCCUUUUCCCUAGUAGUGGGUCUAUCGUUCCGAUGCCAUAAUAAUCAACAACUUAGAAGGCACAAAUCCGAGGGUGGUGAACGGUCAAAGAAUCAAACAUUAUAUCUUAGGUAAUCCUAUAAAUGUUGAAACUAAUGUCAUUGACACUGUAACCCCGGAGGAAUACAUAAGGGACACUUUCCAGAAUGUUUCAGACUCUGAAAAGGAAUAGGUAUGUGGUAUGGUAAGUAAACCGACCCCAAAACAGUUCUAAUAGCAAUUUUUCUCCGUUUUGGAAUAUUUAAGAAAAUAGGAAAAUAAGAAGUAGUCCAGGAAGGACACGAAGCAUCCACGAGGGUGGAGGGCGCGCCCUACCCCCCUGGGCACGCCCCCUGCCUCAUGGGCACCUUGUGUGCUGCCCGGACUCCUUUUUCUUGCACGAUACUUCUUUUGAUCGGUAAAAAUUCAUUAUAUAAUCUCCCAAAGGUUUUGACCACCGUAUCACGCAAAUAUCCUCUGCCUUUGUUUCGAGCUAUUUUUCUGACAGAUCUAGAGCACCAUGGCGUCUUCAAGCGCUCCCAAGGACAAGUUUUUCGAGAGGGUCAUCAACCCCUACCUUGCGGAAGUGCUUCAUCACCCUCAAACCAUUGAGAUGCAUGAGGGGGUGCUGCACAUCCGCGAUGUGGAGGGACCAAGGAGUACCGGAAGCAUGGAGACAAAGCUCGAAGCGAUGGAACAACAAGUUUUCAAGUGCCAAGGGAUGGUGGAACACGGACUCAACGCCAACCAGAUGAUGAUCGCGGAGUUCACCAACAACCACAAGUUGGACGCCAAGAACAUUGAGGAGACCAUCUUCAAGCUUCAUGAGAAAAUCGAGCACCUCCAAGCCUAGAUCUAUGACCUGCAAAACCAAAACUGUGAGUAUGAAUACAGAUUCAAGAGGAUGAGUUUGGCUGCAGAUUUGAGGAUCCCGGAGACUCGAUCAUCCUUCUAUGAUGGUGAGCCUAUGCCUUGGAACACAGAUGACAAGCCUACAUCAUCAACAACUCCUUCUUCACCAUCUCCGAGGACAUAAUCACAUGGGUAUGGGCACUCCCCUUGGCAACUGCCAAGCUUGGGGGAGGUGCCCCGGUAUUGUAUCACCAUCACACUCCUAUCUUUACCGUUUUUCUUAGUUCGAUCCUUUUGGUAAUAUCUUGAUCUAGUAGAAUAAAGUUUUGGUAUGAAUUAGUUUUGAGUUUUGCUUUGUGAUCCCUCUAUGUAAUCGAGUCCGUGAGCUAUAUAUAAUAAAGAUUAUUGUUGAGUCAAGGGCUUUGCUAUCUUGCUAUGAUCAUUAAGUGCAUAAAAGAGUAAAAAGAAAUAGAAGAGAUCAUAUUGAUCUAGUGGAUAGUAAUGACUUCACAUAUAGAGAGUAUGAUGCUUAAAAGUUGUUGAGAGUUGGCAAACAUAGUUUUGGUCAUCGUUGCAAUUAAUAGGAAGUAAUAAAGAAAGAGAGGUUCUCACAUAUAAAUAUACUAUCUUGGACAUCUUUUAUGAUUGUGAGCACUCAUUAAAGUAUGCCAUGCUAAAGAGUUGAUGUUGGAUAAGGAAGGCAACGUAAUGGCUUAUGUUUUCUCACAUCUCAGUUAAAGUAUAUUGUCAUGGAUCAUUCAAACAUGUUGAGCUUGCCUUUCCCCCUCAUGCUAGCCAAAUUCCUUGCACGAAGUAGAGAUACUACUUGUGCUUCCAAACAUCCUUAAAUCCAGUUUUUCCAUCAGAGUCCACCAUAUCGACCUAUGGAUUGAAUAAGAUCCUUCAGGUAAGUUGUCAUGUUGCAUGCAAUAAAAAUUGCUCUCUAAAUAUGUAUGACUUAUUAGUGUGGAGAAAAUAAGCUUUAUAUGAUCUUGUGAUAUGUUAGUAAUAAAAGCGAUGGACUGCAUAAUAAAGGUUCAUAUCACAAGUGGCAAUAUAAAGUGAUGUUCUUUUGCAUUAAGAUUUCGUGCAUCCAACCAUAAAAGCACAUUACAGCCUCUGCUUCCCUCUGCGAAGGGCCUCUCUUUUACUUUAUGUCUUAUACUUUACGCAAGAGUCAAGGUGAUCUUCACCUUUCCUUUUUAUAUUUUAUCCUUUGGCAAGCACCUCAUGUUGGAAAGAUCCUGAUAUAUAUAUAUAUAUAUAUAUAUAUAUAUAUAUAUAUAUAUAUAUAUAUAUAUAUCCAAUUGGAUGUAAGUUAGCAUGAACUAUUAUUGUUGACAUUACCCUUGAGGUAAAAGGUUGGGAGGCAACACUAUAAGCCCCUAUCUUUCUCUUGCCCGAUUAAAACUCCAUAACCAUAAGUAUUGCGUGAGUGUUAGCAAUUGUGAAAGACUAAAUGAUAGUUGAGUAUGUGGACUUGCUGAAAAGCUCUUAUGUUGACUCUUUCCUAUGUUAUGAUAAAUUGCAAUUGCUUCAAUGACCAAGAUUAUAGUUUGUUAGCUCUCAAUGUAGUUUCUGAUUCAUACUUGACAUUGUGAAUAGAUUGUUACUUGAUCAUAAGGAAUCAUAUGACAAAAUAUAUAUGUGUUGUUGUUAUAAGAAUGAUCAUGAUGCCUUCAUGUCCGUAUUUCAUUCUUAUCGACACCUCUAUCUCUAAACAUGUGGACAUAUUCUUCGAUAUCGGUUUCCGCUUGAGGACAAGCGAGGUCUAAGCUUGGGGGAGUUCAUACAUCUAUUUUGCAUCAUGCUUUUAUAUCGAUAUUUAUUGCAUUAUGGGAUGUUAUUUCACGUUAUGUCACAAAACUUAUGGCUAUUCUCUCUUAUUUUACAAGGUUUACAUGAAGAGGGAGAAUGCCAGCAGCUGGGAUUCUGGGCUGGAAAAGGAGCAAAUAUUGAAGACCUAUUCUGCACAGCUCCAAAAGUCCUGAAACUCCACGAAAAUCAUUUUGGGAAUUAAUAAAAAAUAUUCAGCGGAAGAAAUACCUGAGGGGGGCCACCCACCGUCCACAAGGGUGGGGGGCGCCCUAUCCCCCCUGGGUGCGCCCCCUGCCUCGUGGGCCACCUGGCAGCCCUCCGGUGCCCAUAUUAUGCUAUAUAAUGUCUUUUACCCUGGAAAAAACCAUAAGCAAGCUUACGGGACGAAACUCCGCCGCCACGAGGCGGAACCUUGGCGGAACCAAUCUAGGGCUCCGGCAGAGCUGUUCUGCAGGGGAAACUUCCCUCUGGGAGGGGGAAAUCAUCACCGUCGUCAUCACGAAUGAUCCUCUCAUCGGGAGAGGGUCAAUCUCCCUGAACAUCUUCACUAGCACCAUCUCCUCUCAAACCCUAGUUCAUCUCCUGUAUCCAAUCUUUGUACCAAAACUUCAGAUUGGUACCUGUGGGUUGCUAGUAGUGUUGAUUACUCCUUGUAGUUGAUGCUAGUUGGUUUAUUUGGUGGAAGAUUGUCAUAUGUUCAGAUCCUUAAUGCAUAUUAAUACCCCUCUAAUUAUGAACAUGAAUAUGCUUUGUGAGUAGUUACCUUUGUUCCUGAGGACAUGGGUGAAGUCUUGCUAUUAGUAGUCAUGUGAAUUUGGUAUUCGUUCGAUAUUUUUAUGAGAUGUAUGUUAUCUCUCCUCUAGUGGUGUUAUCUGAACGUCGACUACAUGACACUUCACCAUUAUUUGGGCCUAGAGGAAGGCACUGGAAAGUAAUAAGUAGAUGAUGGGUUGCUAGAGUGACAGAAGCUUAAACCCUAGUUUAUGCGUUGCUUCGUAAGGGGCUGAUUUGGAUCCACUUAUUUCAUGCUAUGGUUAGGUUUACCUUAAUACUUCUUUUGUAGUUGCGGAUGCUUGCAAUAGGGGUUAAUCAUAAGUGGGAUGUUUGUCCAAGAAAGGGCAGUACCCAAGCACCGGUCCACCCACAUAUCAAAUUAUCAAAGUAACAAACACGAAUCAUAUGAGCGUGAUGAAAACUAGCUUGACGAUAAUUCCCAUAUGUCCUCGGGAGCACUUUUCUCAUUAUAAGAACUUCUCCAGGCUUGUCCUUUGUUACAAAAAGGAUUGGGCCACCUUUUGGCACCUUAUUUACUUUCAUUGCUUAUUACCCGUUACAAAUUAUCUUAUCACAAAACUAUCUGUUACCUACAAUUUCAGUGCUUGAAGAGAAUACCUUACUGAAAACCGCUUGUCAUUUCCUUCUGCUCCUCGUUGGGUUCGACACUCCUACUUAUCGAAAGGACUAUGAUAGAUCCCCUAAACUUGUGGGUCAUCAUCGAGCAAGAUUUUCCUAACACUGAAUUUCUUCAAUUCUACGAUCAUAAAGCUGAGAGACAACCAUCUUCAUUCUAAAGUGCCACUAAAUCUUGUUGUUCCUCAUGGUAGUGAGGGCUUUGGUAGUUUCAAGAAUGGCCUUGUUCACAUCCUUUCUUUCAACUUCAGACUUGGCUUCUCUUCUCAUUUUCUCCAGAAGCUUCUUAUCAUCGACAGCCUGAUUUAGAUCUUUGGUGAUUUCCUUCAGAUCAGUAAAGUGCUAUGCUACCAUUUUGGUAACUUCUUCUGGCAGACCCAAAUCACCCAAGUCUGCUGGAUUGGCAUCAUAGGAAGCACCUUCAAUGAUGUCGAAUAUCAUCUAAAAAUCAUAUUCCUCUAUGGAAGCAGGAAUGAUUUUCUUUGCAUUCUUGGCGGAAACAACAGCUUUUUCAUCAGUGACCAGCUUUGUCUUGGCAGCUGGGGUAGCAGAACCCGAAGGUUUACCAGAACAGAACUGGUGCAAGCCUUGGUGAAGGUGUCAUAGGCGAUGAUUUCUUGGCAGGUCAUGGAGUGUGAUAUGGCUUGUCUAGCAGCGCUCGCUGAUCAUAUAUGGGAAUUUCUUCGCCUGCAUUAUCAUGAGAAGAUUCCACAUCAGACGAGGCAGAUGCAACCUUUAUGGACUUACUCGCAACUGAAUUUUUCUUCGGAGCUCGAGGAGAAACUGACUUCCUAUUCUUCUUCUCUUUUCGGGCAGAUGCCCUUUCCUUCUUCUCAAUCACAUCCUGUUGAAUCAGCUCAACAUUCUGCUACUCAACUUGGUUCUUCUUCGCAAGUCUAGCCUCAUGCUUAGCCUUUGCCUUUUCCCUUUUUGCAACUUUUUUGGAAAAUUAGCUAUGGUUUUCAAAGAAUCAACAUGAGCGUUGGGAGGAGAUACUGGCCUUACUUUCUCAUCUUCUUGUCCAAGGCAACCUUCUGCAAUGCCAUCAUUUCAAGGUGGAGUGAAAGCAAACAAAAUCUGAUAUUUCCGUCAAACGUUCUCAUAGUUGAACCAUUUCUUCGCCCAGUGCCGGCGAAUCUUUUGCAACCUAUUGUUCCUGUCUUGAGCUGUUUCCACCCCUGGUGGAGUCCUAUAUGUUUCCUGAUCAGACAUCUCAGUUGCAGGAUUUCUUUCUCUUCCUCUUCCACCCUUCUUGGGAUUUCCAUCUGAGAACAUGGUCCUGGAAUCUAUGACUAGCUCAUCUUCUGGCUGACUGUGAGCAGAGGGAAUAUCAUCAUCAACGUCAUCAGCAGAUUCUGAUUCGGCCUUUUUCUUCGGCGCUCUCGAUGGCUUGGCUGAUUUUCAUUCGACCACCUUUGCUUUGUCGGCCACCCUUUGUUGCCGAGGGAUUUCUUCCUCUGAAACAGAAUGCUCAUCCGAACUAUUUCCAUGACCACUCUUGAAGAAAAACACAAGAGUGGAAGAAAUCACAGAGGAGGUCACAAGUAUGCACAGAGAAAUUUUUUAACAAAAAGAAGUUUUAUGGAAGAACCAAUGAAUUCAAGUCAUGCACUUGCAAGAUAUCAUCGAGUAAAUUUCAUUAUGCCUAAGACGACAUAACCUAUCCUCUAAUCUUUCGAAGAGCAUGCACAGUGAACCAUAGAUCCAAAGGAUAGGUAUGAGGAACAACUACAAACCGUACAAGUCAAAAGUAACAGAUCCUAGAAGAUCUACCACACAAAAAAUAACAUGGAAUAGAUUGCGCCGGGAGGAACUGCUCUAAAACAGGAGUUGAGUAGAGCCAGAACCGGAUCUGAAUGCCCUAACUUGGCAAGACAGAUCAACUACGGCAGUGUGGUAAGAGAGGUUACCACACUGGCGCGAUAAAUGGUGACGGAGCUUCACCGGAGUUGCACGGCGAUGCUUGACAUCGAUGCUGCUUUGAGCUCGAGCUUGGGCGGAGAGCAAAGUAGGGUUUGAGGCCAAACAAAGAGGAGCUAAGCAAGAGGAGACCCAGCGCGUGGGGUUUAUAUAGCCUGAAGGACAAACCGCCCACUCCGAAAUCUACGGACGAAAAAACCGAGACGUUCCACAUUCAACGGACGAGAUCACGAAGAACAGAUCGUGAGCACAUGUCAGCCAUUACCUGCGAAAUUCUCGGUAACUGAAUUGAAUGCCAAAGGGUUUGAGGAAGGGAAAGCGCCAAAACACAUGAAAUAAUUGAAGAUGAUUUAAAUCAGGUUAUCAUUUGUCUUGUUUUAUGAUUAUGAAAUUUGGCAAAUGGAUGUCAAAACUGCAUUCCUUAAUAGAUUUCUUAAAGAAGAGUUGUAUAUGAUGCAACCAGAAGGUUUUGUCGAUCCAAAAGGUGCUAACAAAGUGUGCAAGCUCUAGCGAUCCAUUUAUGGACUGGGGCAAGCCUCUCGGAGUUGGAAUAUACGCUUUGAUAAUGUGAUCAAAGCUUAUGGUUUUAUACAAAUUUUUGGAGAAGCCUGUAUUUACAAGAAAGUGAGUGGGAGAUCUGUAGCAUUUCUAAUAUUAUAUGUGAAUGACAUAUUGUUGAUUGGAAAUAAUACAUAAUUUUUGGAUAGUGUAAAAGGAUACUUGAAUAAGAAUUUUUCAAUGAAAGACCUCGUGAAGCUGCUUAUAUAUUGGGCAUCAAGAUCUAUAGAGAUAGAUCAAGACGCUUAAUUGGACUUUCACAAAGCACAUACGUUGAUAAAGUUUUGAAGAAAUUUAAAAAUGGAUCAGUCAAAGAAAGGGUUCUUGCCUGUGUUACAAGGUGUGAAGUCGAGUCAGACACAAUGCCCGACCACUGCAAAAGAUAGAGAGAAAGUGAAAGUCAUUCCCUAUGCCUUAGACAUAGGUUCUAUCAUGUAUGCAAUGCUGCGCACCAGACAUGAUGUGUGCCUUGCUAUAAGUCUAGCAAGGAGGUACCAAAGUAAUUCAGGAGUGGAUCACUGGACAACGUCAAGAACAUCCUGAAAUACCUAAAAAGGACUAAGGAUAUGUUUCUCGUUUAUGGAGGUGACAAUGAGCUUGUCGUAAAUGGUUACGUCGAUGCAAGAUUUGACACUGAUCCGGAUGACUCUAAGUCGCAAACCGGAUAUGUCUUUAUAUUGAAUGGUGGAGCUGUCAGUUGGUGCAGUUCCAAGCAGAGCAUCAUGGCGGGAUCUGCGUGAGAAGCGAAGUACAUAGUUGAUUCGGAAGCAGCAAAUGAAGGAGUCUGGAUGAAGGAGUUCAUAUCCGAUCUAGGUGUAAUACCUAGUGCAUCGGAUCCAAUGAAAAUCUUUUGUGACAUACUGGAGCAAUUGCCUUGGCGAUGGAAUCCAGAUUUCACAAAAGAACCAAAAACAUCAAGAGACGCUUCAACUCCAUCCGCGAUCAAGUCAAGGAGGGAGACAUAGAGAUUUGCAAGAUACAUACAGAUCUGAAUGUUGCAGACCCCUUGACUAAGCCUCUUCCACAAGCAAAACAUGAUCAGCACCAAGACUCCAUGGGUGUUAGAAUCGUUACUGUGUAAUCUAGAUUAUUAACUCUAGUGCAAGUGGGAGACUAAAGGAAAUAUGCCCUAGAGGCAAUAAUAAAGUUGUUAUUUAUAUUUCCUUAUAUCAUGAUAAAUGUUUAUUAUUCAUGCUAGAAUUGUAUUAACCGGAAACUUAGUACAUGUGUGAAUACAUAGACAAAACAAAGUGUCCCUAGUAUGCCUCUACUUGACUAGCUCGUUAAUCAAAGAUGGUUAUGUUUCCUGACCAUAGACAUGUGUUGUGAUUUGACAAAUGGGGUCACAUCAUUAGAGAAUGAUGUGAUGGAGAAGACCCAUCCAUUAGCUUAGAAUAAUGAUCAUUAAGUUUUAUUGCUAUUGCUUUCUUCAUGACUUAUACAUGUUCCUCUGACUAUGAGAUUAUGCAAAUCCCGAAUACCGGAGGAACACCUUGUGUGCUAUCAAACGUCACAACGUAACUGGGUGAUUAUAAAGAUGCUCUACAAGUGUCUCCGAAGGUGUUUGUUGGGUUGGCAUAGAUCGAGAUUAGGAUUUGUCACUCCAUGUAUCGGAGAGGUAUCUCUAGGCCCUCUCAGUAAUGCUCAUCACUAUAAGCCUUGCAAGCAAUGUGACUAAUGAGUUAGUUACAAGAUGAUGCACUACGGAACGAGUAAAAAGACUUGCCGGUAACGAGAUUGAACUAGGUAUGAAGAUACCAACGAUCGAAUCUCGGGCAAGUAACAUACCGAUGACAAAGGAACAAUGUAUGUUGUUAUGCCGUUUGACCGAUAAAGAUCUUCGUAGAAUAUGUAGGAACCAAUAUGAGCAUCCAGGUUCCACUAUUGGUUAUUGAUUGGAGAUGUGUCUCGAUCAUGUCUACAUAGUUCUCGAACCCGUAGGGUCCGCACGCUUAACAUUCGAUGACGAUUUGUAUUAUGAGUUAUGUGUUUUGGUGACCGAAGUUUGUUCAGAGUUCCGGAUGAGAACACCGACAUGAUGAGGAUUCUCGAAAUUGUCGAGAGGUAAAGAUUGAUAUAUUGGAAGGUUACAUUCGGACACCAGAAUGGUUUCAGGAAGUUUCGGAUAUGUUUCGGAGUACCGGGAGGUUNNNNNNNNNNNNNNNNNNNNNNNNNNNNNNNNNNNNNNNNNNNNNNNNNNNNNNNNNNNNNNNNNNNNNNNNNNNNNNNNNNNNNNNNNNNNNNNNNNNNNNNNNNNNNNNNNNNNNNNNNNNNNNNNNNNNNNNNNNNNNNNNNNNNNNNNNNNNNNNNNNNNNNNNNNNNNNNNNNNNNNNNNNNNNNNNNNNNNNNNNNNNNNNNNNNNNNNNNNNNNNNNNNNNNNNNNNNNNNNNNNNNNNNNNNNNNNNNNNNNNNNNNNNNNNNNNNNNNNNNNNNNNNNNNNNNNNNNNNNNNNNNNNNNNNNNNNNNNNNNNNNNNNNNNNNNNNNNNNNNNNNNNNNNNNNNNNNNNNNNNNNNNNNNNNNNCCCUUUCCCUUACCCACUCCCUCUCUCUUUCCCCCUUUGCUACCCCAGAAAAAAGGAAAAAGGUGGGGGGCGAAUCCUACUAGGAUUGCAGUCCUAGUAGGACUCCCCCCCAUGGCGCACCCCUCCUGGCCGCCGGCCUCCUCCCCCCUCCUUUAUAUAUGGGGGCAGGGGGCACCAUAAAGGCACAACAUUGUCUUAGCCGUGUGCGGUGCCCCCCUCCACCGUUUACUCCUCCGGUAGUAUCAUCGUAGUGCUUAGGCAAAGCCCUGCGUGGAUCACAUCACCAACACCGUCAUCACAUCGUCGUGCUGACGGAACUCAUUGACUCCAUCGACACUCUGCUGGAUCAAGAGUUCGAGGGAUGUCAUCGAGCUGAACGUGUGCAGAAUUUGGAGGUGUCGUACGUUCGAUACUAGAUCAGUUGGAUCGUGAAGACAUUAGACUACAUCAACCAUGUUAACCUAACGCUUCCGCUUUCGGUCUAUGAGGGUACGUGGACACACUCUCCCCCUCUCGUUGCUAUGCAUCUACUAGAUAGAUCUUGCGUGAUCGUAGAAAUUUUUUGAAAUUGCAUGCUACGUUCCCCAACAGUAGCUGGCAGGACCUUCAUACUGCUUUGGAGGCAUGCCAUCUUUUUCAUGCACAUGUUGCUGGUCCUCCCGUGCCUCCGGUGUAUAUUUUGUCUUCCCAUACACGCCCAAGAAGCCUAGCAGGUUCAUGCAAAGAUUCUUCGUCACAUGCAUCACGUCGAUUAAAGAGCGGACCUUGAUAACCCGCAAGUAUACGAGAUAGUUGUAGCCUCUUUCAAUAAGUAAGAGUGUCGAACCCAACGAGGAGCUAAAGGUAGAACAAAUACUCUCCCAAGUCCUAUCGGCCACUGAUACGACUCUACGCAUGCUUGACGUUCGCUUUACCUAGAACAAGUAUGAAACUAGAAGUACUUUGUAGUAGUUGUUGGAUAGGUUUGCAAGAAAGUAAAGAACAUGUAAAUAGAAAAUAGGGGCUGUUUAGAUAAAGAUGCAAUAAAGUAAAUAUAGCGAGUGUGGAAAAGUGGUGGUAGGAGUUGCGGAAUUGUCCCUAAGCAAUUGACUACUUUACUAAACCAAUAGCAAGUUUCAUGUGGGAGAGGCCACUCCUAGCAUGUCAUCCCUGACUUGGAAUUCUAUGCACUUAUGAUUGGAACUAUUAGCAAGCAUCCGCAACUACUAACGUUCAUUAAGGUAAAAUCCAACCAUAGCAUUAAGAUAUAUUGGUCCCGCUUCAAUCCCGUAUGCAUCAAUUUCUAUGCUAGGUUGAAGCUUCUGUCACUCUAGCCCUCCAAUACACAGUCCUAUCAACAUACAACUAACCCUAUGGUGUGAUCCACGUGCGUGCUCAUAUGAUGGACACCAAAGGACAUCAACAUAACCACAAGCAAAUUAAAUCAAUCAUAGCAAUUCAUCAACCACCAAUAGGACAACAAAAAUCUACUCAGACAUCAUAGGAUGGCAACACAUCAUUGGAUAAUAAUAUGAAGCAUAAAGCAACAUGUUCAAGUAGAGGGUACAGCGGGUUGCGGGAGAGUGGACCGCUGUAGAUAGAAGGGGGAAGGUGAUGGAAACGUUGGUGAAGAUGAUGGAGGUGUUGGUGAAGAUCGCGGUGAUGAUGAUGGCCCCCGGCAGCGCUCCGGCGCCACCGAAAGCAAGGGGGAGAGGCCCCCCUUCUUCUUCUUCUUCUUCUUUGACCUCCUCCCUAGAUGGGAGAAGGGUUUCCCCUCUGGUCCUUGGCUCCCAUGGCUUGGGAGGGGCGAGAGCCCCUCCGAGAUUGGAUCUAUCUCUCUGUUUCUACCUUCCGGAAUUCUGCCCUGGCACCGUUUCUUUUAUAUCUGGAGAUUCGUAACUCUGAUUGGAUUGAAACCUUCGCCCAGAUCGUUUUCCAAAAAUUAGCUUUCUUGCGGCCAAAGAAGGGCAUCAACCGCCUUACGAGUGGCCCAGGAAAGUGGGGGGCGCGCCCACCUGGAGUGGGUGUGGGCCCCUAUCUCCUGGCCACCUCGGGCACCGUCUCGCAUUGAUUUUACUUCCCAAAAAUAACAAAUAUUCCAAAAUAAUUCUCCGUCCAUUUUUAUCCCGUUUGGACUUCGUUUGAUAUGGGGUUUCUGCGAAACAUAAAACAUGCAACAGACAGGAACUGGCACUGGGCACUGGAUCAAUAUGUUAGUCCCAAAAAUAAUAUAAAAAGUUGCCAAAAGUAUAUGAAAGUUGAAUAAUAUUGGCAUGGAACAAUCAAAAAUUAUAGAUACGACGGAGACGUAUCAGCAUCCCCAAGCUUAAUUACUGCUCGUCCUCGAGUAGGUAAAUGAUAAAAAGGAUAAUUUUUGAUGUGGAAUGCUACCUAGCAUAAUCUUGAUCAUAUGUCUAAUCAUGGCAUGAAUAUUAAGAUACGAGUGAUUCAAAGCAAUAGUCUAUCAUUUGACAUAAAAAUAAUAAUACUUCGAGCGUACCAAUAAAGCAAUCAUGUCUUUUCAAAACAACAAGGCCAAAGCAAGCUUAACCCUACAAAAUCAUAUAGUUUGGCCAUGCUUCAUUUUUGUCACACAAAAUGCCCCCUUCAUGCACAACCCCGAUGACAAGCUGAGAAAUUGGUUCAUACUUUUUAACGUGCUUCGGCUUUUUCAACCCUCACGCAAUACAUGAGCGCAAACCAUGGAUAUAGCACUAUAGGUGGAAUAGAAUAUGAUGGUGGGGGUUAUGUGGAGAAGACAAAAAAGGAGAAAAUCUCACAUCGACGCGGCUAAUCAACGGGCUAUGGAGAUGCCCAUCAAUUGAUGUCAAUGCGAGGAGUAGGGAUUGCCAUGCAACGGAUCCACUAGACCUAUAAGUGUAUGAAAGCUCAACAAAAGAAACUAAGUGGGUGUGCAUCCAACUUGCUUGCUCAUGAAGACCUAGGGCAUUUGAGGAAGCCCAUCGUUGGAAUAUACAAGCCAAGUUCUAUAAUGAAAAUUCCCACUAGUAUAUGAAAGUGAUAACAUAGGAGACCCUCUAUAUGAAGAACAUGGUGCUAAUCUGAAGCACAAGUGUGGAAAAAGGAUAGUAACAUUGCCCCUUUUCUUUUUUCUUUUUUUUCUUUUUUCGGUGGGCUUCUUUGGCCCCCUUUUUUAUUUAGGCUUCUUUGGCCUUUCCUUUUUUUCUUUUUUUUCUUUUUUUCAUGGGGCAAUGCUCUAUAAUGAUGAUCAUCACACUUUUAUUUACUUACAACCCAAUAUUACAACUCGAUAAUAGAACAAAAAUAUGACUCUAUAUGAAUGCUUCCGGCAAUGUACCGGGAUGUGCAAUGAUCUAGUGUAGCAAUGACAUCAAAAAACGGACAAGCCAUGAAAACAUCAUGCUAGCUAUCUUACGAUCAUGCAAAGCAAUAUGACAAUGAAUGCUCAAGUCAUGUAUAUGAUGAUGAAAGUUGCAUGGCAAUAUAUCUCGGGAUGGCUAUGGAAAUGCCAUGAUAGGUAGGUAUGGUGGCUGUUUUGAGGAAGAUAUAAGGAGGCUUAUGUGUGAUAAAGCGUAUCGUAUCACGGGGUUUGGAUGCACUGGCGAAGUUUGCACCAACUCUCGAGGUGAGAAAGGGCAAUGCAUGGUACCGAAGAGGCUAGCAAUGAUGGAAAGGUGAAAGUGCGUAUAAUCCAUGGACUCAACAUUAGUCAUAAAGAACUCACAUACUUAUUGCUUGAAUUUAUUAGCCCUCGAAGCAAAGUACUACUACGCAUGCCCCUAGGGAGAUAGAUUGGUAGGAAAAUACCAUCGCUCGUCCCCAACCGCCACUCAUAAGGAAGACAAUCAAAGAAACACCCCAUGCUUCAAAUUUUUCACACAACGGUUACCAUACGGGCAUGCUAUGGGACUUGCAAACCUCAACACAAGUGUCUCUACAAUCCACAACCACCCACUAGCAUGACUCUAAUAUCACCAUCUUUAUAUUGAAAAACUAUUGCAAGGAAUCAAACAUAUCAUAUUCAGCAAUCUACAAGUUUACGUAGGAUUUUAUGACUAACCAUGUGAAUGACAAAUUCCUGUCACCUCUCUAAAUAGAUAUAAGUGAAGCAAGAGAGUUUAAUUCUUUCUACAAAAGAUAUGCCCAUGCUCUAAAAAAUAUAAGUGAAGCAAAAGAGCAUUCUACAAAUGGCGGUUUUCUAUGUGAAGAGAAACAGGCAACCCAAACUUCAAAUGAUCUAAGUGAAGCACAUGAAGCAUUCUAUAAAGCCAUACUCAAAGAUUUAAGUGAAGUGCAAUGAGCAUUUUAUAAAUCAACCAAGGACUAUCUCAUACCAGCAUGAUGCAUAAAAGAAAAAUGAAAACUAAAUGCAAAAGACGCUCCAAGACUUGCACAUAUUGCAUGAACGAAACGAAUACGAAAACAUACCGAUACUUGUUGAAGAAAGAGGGGAUGCCUUCCGGGGCAUCCCCAAGCUUAGAUGCUUGAGUAUCCUUGAAUAUUUACUUGGGGUGCCUCGGGCAUCCCCAAGCUUGAGCUCUUGCCUCUCUUCCUUUUCCUCAUAUCGAGACCUCCUCGGUUAGACACUUCAUCCACACAAAACUUCAACAGAAAACUCGGUAAGAUCUGUUAGUAUAAUAAAGCAAAUCACUACUAUAGGUACUGUUGCAAACCAAUUCAUAUUUUUUUUGCAUUGUGUCUACUGUAAUAUAGCUUUUCCAUGGCUCAAUCCACUGAUAUAAAUUGAUAGAUUCAACAAAACAAGCAAACUAUGCAUCAAAAACGGAAUCUGUCAAAAACAGAACAGUCUGUAGCAAUCUGAACAUCCACCAUACUUAUGGUACCCCAAAAAUUCUACCAAAAUUAGAAAAAAUAAAAAAGUUGUAUAGAAAGAUAGUGCAAAAGGAAUCAGAACCAAUUGACGUCCCAGUUAAAACAGUAAAAUCGCGCACUACAGCCAAAGUUUCUGUCCUGUACCGUACAAACCAACAAGCAUUGUAAACAUCCUAAAGGCAAACCUGUUGGAAAUAUGCCCUAGAGGCAAUAAUAAAUUAGUUAUUAUUAUAUUUCCUUGUUCAUGAUAAUCGUUUAUUAUCCAUGCUAUAAUUGUAUUGAUAGGAAACUUAGAUACAUGUGUGGAUACAUAGACAACACCAUGUCCCUAGUAAGCCUCUAGUUGACUGGCUCGUUGAUCAAUAGAUGGUUACGGUUUCCUGACCAUGGACAUUGGAUGUCAUUGAUAACGGGAUCACAUCAUUAGGAGAAUGAUGUGAUGGACAAGACCCAAUCCUAAGCAUAGCACAAGAUCGUGUAGUUCGUAUGCUAAAGCUUUUCUAAUGUCAAGUAUCAUUUCCUUAGACCAUGAGAUUGUGCAACUCCCGGAUACCGUAGGAGUGCUUUGGGUGUGCCAAACGUCACAACGUAACUGGGUGGCUAUAAAGGUACAUUACAGGUAUCUUCGAAAGUGUCUGUUGGGUUGGCACGAAUCGAGACUGGGAUUUGUCACUCUGUGUAAACGAAGAGGUAUCUCUGGGCCCACUCGGUAGGACAUCAUCAUAAUGUGCACAAUGUGAUCAAGGAGUUGAUCACAGGAUGAUGUUUUACGGAACGAGUAAAGAGACUUGCCGGUAACGAGAUUGAACAAGGUAUCGGGAUAACGACGAUUGAAUCUCGGGCAAGUGUCGUACCGAUAGACAAAGGGAAUUGUAUACGGGAUUGAUUAAGUCCUUGACAUCGUGGUUCAUCCGAUGAGAUCAUCGUGGAACAUGUGGGAGCCAACAUGGGUAUCCAGAUCCCGCUGUUGGUUAUUGACCGGAGAGUCAUCUCGGUCAUGUCUGCAUGUCUCCCGAACCCGUAGGGUCUACACACUUAAGGUUCGAUGACGCUAGGGUUAUAAAGGAAGUUUGUAUGUGGUUACCGAAUGUUGUUCGGAGUCCCGAAUGAGAUCCCGGACGUCACGUGGAGUUCUGGAAUGGUCCGGAGGUAAAGAUUUAUAUAUGGGAAGUCCUAUUUCGGCCAUCGGGACAAGUUUCGGGGUCACCGGUAUUGUACCGGGACCACCGGAAGGGUCCCGGGGGUCCACCGGGUGGGGCCACCUGCCCCGGGGGGCCACAUGGGCUGUAGGGGUGUGCACCUUGGCCUAUAUGGGCCAAGGGCACCAGCCCCAAGAGGCCCAUGCGCCAAAGGAUAAGGAAAGGAAGAGUCCUAAAGGGGGAAGGCACCUCCGAGGUGCCUUAGGGAGGAGGGACUCCUCCUAGCCGCACCCUUCCUUGGAGGAAGGGCCAAGGCUGCGCCUCCCCCCCCUCUCCCUUGCCCCUAUAUAUAUGUGGGGGUGGGAGGGCAGCCAUACCAAUGUUCUGGUGCAGCCCUCUCCCCUCUCCCAAGUACUUCUCCUCUCCCGUGGUGCUUGGCGAAGCCCUGCAGGAUUGCCACGCUCCUCCAUCACCACCACGCCGUUGUGCUGCUGCUGGAUGGAGUCUUCCUCAACCUCUCCCUCUCUCCUUGCUGGAUCAAGGCAUGGGAGACAUCGUCGGGCUAUACGUGUGUUGAACGCGGAGGUGCCGUCCGUUCGGCACUAGGAUCAUCGGUGAUUUGAAUCACGACGAGUACGACUCCAUCAACCCCGUUCUCUUGAACGCUUCCGCUUAGCGAUCUACAAGGGUAUGUAGAUGCACUCUCCUUCCCCUCGUUGCUAGUCUCUCCAUAGAUAGAUCUUGGUGACACAUAGGAAAAUUUUGAAUUUCUGCUACAUUCCCCAACAAAACCUUGGCACAUUAUUUUUAUAAUACAAUGGAAUUUUAUAAGGGGAUAAUUAUUUUUGUUGAAAAUUUUCUGUAAUCAAGAUUCACAAAGUUUCCGUGAGCAUGAACAAAGUUCAAGGAGCUCUCCCACUUCAACAAUGCUUGUCUCUCUCACUUUCACUUUCCUUUUUGAAAAGUUUUUAGGUUACCCUCUUUAAUUUUUUUGUUUUAAAAUUAUAUAAAAGCACUCAAUAGAAAUAUAUGACUCUCUAAAACUUCUAGGUUGUCUCCCUGGCAGCGGUUUCUUUAAAGCCAUUAAGCUAGGCAUAUAGUGCUCAAGUAAUGAAUCCACCUGGAUCCCAAGGUAUAUCAAAGCCAAUUUUAAUUAACAAUGAUUUGUAAUUUAGUAGUGAGCACAAAGUAACAUAUAUCAUGUAAUGACGAAGUCUAACCCUCUUCCGAUGCAUCGGCAUGUCAUAAAAGAACAAUUCAUGCACACCAAGUAAAGGCCAAUGCAUAGUAUAAGUAGUUUCUUGCAAUUCUAUCAUAUUGGAAACAUAGAGAGGUGGAGAUAUAGUUCCUCUCUCAUAAUAAUUGCAAGUAGGAGCAGCAAGCACAUGCAUAUUACAUUCAUCAAAAUCAUCAUGUGCAAUGGUAAAAGGCAACCAAUGAAUGCAAUCCUUAAUAAGCACAAACUUCUCUGAUAUAGUGUAGUUGGGAGAAUUCAAAAAGAUAAUAGGAAUAUCAUACAUGGGUGCAAUAGCAACAAUUUCAUGUUUAACAUAAGGAACUAUAGCAAGUUCAUCUCCAUAAGCAUAAUUCAUAUUGGCAUCUUGGCCACAAGCAUAGCAAGCAUCAUCAAAAAGGGAUAUUUCAAACAAAUUCAAGGGAUCAUAGCAAUCAUUCGGUAAGCACGAAGGGGGAUUAAACAAUGUAUGAGUUGAAGAGUUACUCUCAUUAGAAGGUGGGCACAGGUGAUCAAUCCGCUCUUCCUCCUUUUGUUCUUCGCUCCCCUCAUCAUCUUUUUCAUCCAAUGAGCUCACAGUUUCAUCAAUUUCUUCUUCCAUAGCUUCCUGCAAAAUAUUAAUCUCUUCUUGGACAGUGGAGACUUUCUCAAUAAAUGCAUUAAUAUUGUAAUUGUAUUCAUAAUUGUCAUAGCAAUAUUUCAAUAUAGCAAAAAUUUCAGGCCUAUAAACAUCAUCAUCUAAAGUUUCAUACUUUUCAAACAAAGAUUCAAUUUCAUAAGCAGCCUUAAAAGCAACAAAUUCUUCAAUUCGUUCAACAUCAUAGUAAUCAUAUAUACCAUUAGCAUAAGAAGCUAAGGUUUUAUUAUCAUUAAAUUUUCAUGAAAAGGGAAGGUGUGGAGCCUUCAUCCUAGAGCAACAAGUAAUAUCAUAUCUCAAGCAUAGAUCCCGAGCAUACCAACGCAACAUAUUAAUUUGAUCCCAUAAUAGUUUCCCUUUUUGUGUCAAGCGAUAAUCCUUAAAGUAUUCACGUUGAUCCAACGUUACUCCCAUAACAUAGAUGAAUGGGGUUUUCUCAGGAUUAUUAAAGUAGUACAUAAUAUCUUUCACAUAACGAUCAUCAAGGGUUUUAGGAGGUUCCCCAUCUCCAUGAGUAGCAAGUACAACUAUUUUUUUUGGUAUUUUGUGUUCCAUAUCCAUAACUAAAGAUAGAGAACAACUAAGAACAGCAAAUAAAAAUUACUUAGUGAUAAAGCAAACAAGCACACACGACAAUAUUCAUCCCAUGCUAUGACUCCCCGGCAACGGCGCCAGAAAAAGGUCUUGAUAACACGCAAGUAUACGGGAUAGUUGUAGCCUCUUUCGAUAAGUAAGAGUGUCGAACCCAACGAGGAGCUAAAGGUAGAACAAAUACUCUCUCAAGUCCUAUCGGCUACUGAUAUGACUCUACGCAUGCUUGAUGUUCUCUUUACCUAGAACAAGUAUGAAACUAGAAGUACUUUGUAGUAGUUGUUGGAUAGGUUUGCAGGAAAGUAAAGAACGCGUAAAUAGAAAAUAGGGGCUGUUUAGAUAAAGAUGCAAUAAAGUAAAUAUAGCGAGUGUGGAAAAGUGGUGGUAGGAGUUGCGGAAUUGUCCCUAAGCAAUUGACUACUUUACUAAACCGAUAGCAAGUUUUAUGUGGGAGAGGCCACUUCUAGCAUGUCAUCCCUGACUUAGGAUUCUAUGCACUUAUGAUUGGAACUAUUAGUGAUACGUCUCCAACGUAUCUACUUUUCCAAACACUUUUGCCCUUGUUUUGGACUCUAACUUGCAUGAUUUGAAUGAAAUUAACCCAGACUGACGCUGUUUUCAGCAGAACUGCCAUGAUGUUGUUUUAUGUGUAGAAAGCAAAAGUUCUCGGAAUGUCCUAAAAAUCCACGGAGGCACUUUUUGGAAAAAAUAAAAAAUACUGGCGAAAGAAUCAAGAUCAAGGGGCCCACACCCUGUCCACGAGGGUGGGGGCGCGCCCUCCCCGCUGGGCGCGCCCCCCUGUCUCGUGGGCCCCAUGAGGCUCCGCCGACCUCAACUCCAACUCCAUAUAUUCCGUCUCGCGGAGAAAAAAAUCAGAAAGAAAGUUUCAUCGCGUUUUACGAUAUGGAGCUGCCGCCAAGCCCUAAUCCCUCUCGGGAGGGCUGAUCUGGAGUCCGUUCGGGACUCCAGAGAGGGGGAUUCGUCGCCGUCGUCAUCAUCAACCAUCCUCCAUCACCAAUUUCAUGAUGCCCACUGCCGUGCGCGAGUAAUUCCAUCGUAGGCUUGCUGGACGGUGAUGGGUUGGAUGAGAUUUACCAUGUAAUCAAGGUAGAUUUGUUAGGGUUUGAUCCCUAGUAUCCACUAUGUUCUGAGAUUGAUGUUGCUAUGACUUUGCUAUGCUUAAUGCUUGUCACUAGGGCCCGAGUGCCAUGAUUUCAGAUCUGAACCUAUUAUGUUUUCAUGAAUAUAUGUGUGUUCUUGAUCCUAUCUUGCAAGUCUAUAGUCACCUAUUAUGUGUUAUGAUCCGACAACCCCAAAGUGACAAUAAUCGGGAUACUUCUCGGUGAUGACCAUAGUUUGAGGAGUUCAUGUAUUCACUAUGUGCUAAUGCUUUGUUCCGGUUCUCUAUUAAGGAGGCCUUAAUAUCCCUUAGUUUCCGCUAGGACCCCGCUGCCACGGGAGGGUAGGACAAAAGAUGUCAUGCAAGUUCUUUUCCAUAAGCACGUAUGACUAUUUAUGGAAUACAUGCCUACAUUACAUUGAUGAAUUGGAGCUAGUUCUGCGUCACCCUAUGUUAUAGCUAUUACAUGAGGAAUCGCAUCCGACAUGAUUAUCCAUCACUGAUCCAUUGCCUACAAGCUUUUCACAUCUUCUGUUUUGUUUAUUUACUUUUCCGUUGCUACUGUUAUAAUCACUACAAAACCCAAAAACAUUACUUUUGCUACCGUUACCUUUAUUAUCAUACUACUUUGCUACUAAGUACUUUGCUGCAGAUACUAAGUUAUCCAGGUGUGGUUGAAUUGACAACUCAACUGCUAAUACUCAAGAAUAUUCUUUGGCUCCCCUUGUGUCGAAUCAAUAAAUUUGGGUUGAAUACUUUACCCUCGAAAGUUGUUGCGAUCCCCUGCACUUGUGGGUUAUCAAUUAGCAAGCAUCCGCAACUACUAAUGUUCAUUAAGGUAAAAUCCAACCAUAGCAUUAAGAUAUAUUGGUCCCCCUUCAAUCCCGUAUGCAUCAAUUUCUAUGCUAGGUUGAAGCUUCUGUCACUCUAGCCCUCCAAUACAUAGUCAUAUCAACAUACAACUAACCCUAUGGUGUGAUCCACGCGCGCGCUCAUAUGAUGGGCACCAAAGGACAGCAACAUAACCACAAGCAAAUUAAAUCAAUCAUAGCAAUUCAUCAACCACCAAUAGGACAACAAAAAUCUACUCAGACAUCAUAGGAUGGCAACACAUCAUUGGAUAAUAAUAUGAAGCAUAAAGCAACAUGUUCAAGUAGAGGGUACAGCGGGUUGCGGGAGAGUGGACCGCUAUAGAUAGAAGGGGGAAGGUGAUGGAAACGUUGGUGAAGAUGAUGGAGGUGUUGGUGAAGAUCGCGGUGAUGAUGAUGGCCCCCGGCAGCGCUCCGGCGCCAUCGGAAGCAAGGGGGAGAGGCCCCCCUUCUUCUUCUUCCUUGACCUCCUCCCUAGAUGGGAGAAGGGUUUCCCCUCUGGUCCUUGGCUCUCAUGGCUUGGGAGGGGCGAGAGCCCCUCCGAGAUUGGAUCUAUCUCUCUGUUUCUACCUUCCGGAAUUCUGCCCUGGCACCGUUUCUUUUAUAUCUGGAGAUCUGUAACUCUGUUUGGAUUGAAACCUUCGCCCAGAUCGUUUUCCAAAAAUUAGCUUUCUUGCAGCCAAAGAAGGGCAUCAACCGCCUUACGGGUGGCCCAGGAGGGUGGGGGGCGCGCCCACCUGGAGUGGGUGUGGGCCCCUAUCUCCUGGCCACCUCGGGCACCGUCUCGCGUUGAUUUUACUUCCCAAAAAUCACAAAUAUUCCAAAAUAAUUCUCCGUACGUUUUUAUCCCGUUUGGACUUCGUUUGAUAUGGGUUUCUGUGAAACAUAAAACAUGCAAUAGAAAGGAACUAGCACUGGGCACUGGAUCAAUAUGUUAGUCCCAAAAAUAAUAUAAAAAGUUGCCAAAAGUAUAUGAAAGUUGAAUAAUAUUGGCAUGGAACAAUCAAAAAUUAUAGAUACGACGGAGACGUAUCAGACCUCUAGGUCUUUCUAGUAGGCUAGGUCCCAAAAUAUAGAUUUCUUCUUCCACAUGGGUGCGCUUCCCAAAGCGUCAUUCAGAACAGAUAGUCCACCAGGACUGAGGGAGUCCUGGAUUAGGGGAUAUCCGGAUAGCCGGACUAUAUACAUCGUCCGGACUAUUGAAGCGUGAAGAUACAAGAAUCAAGACUUCAGCCCGUGUCCGGGUGGGACUCUCCUUUGCGUGGAAGGCAAGCUUGGCGAUCCGGAUAUUGUGUUUCCUUCCUUGUAACUGACUCCAUGUAAACCCUAGCCCUCUCAGGUGUCUAUAUAAACUGGAGAGGUUGGUCCUUAGAAGGCCGAUCACAAUUACAAUCAUACCAUCAUAGGCUAGCUCUUAGGGUUUAGCCUCUAUGAUCUCGUGGUAGAUCUACUCUUGUACUGCCCAUAUCAUCAAUAUUAAUCAAGCAGGAAGUAGGGUUUUACCUCCAUCGAGAGGGCCCGAACCUGGGUAAACAUCUGUGUCCCUUGCUUCCUGUUACCAUCAGCCUAGAUGCACAGAUCGGGACCCCCUACCCGAGAUCCGCCGGUUUUGACACCGACAUUGGUGCUUUCAUUGAGAGUUCCUCUGUGUCGUCGCCGCAAGGCUCGAUGGCUUGUCUCAUCAUAACAACAUUACCUCGGAUGGAGCUCUGGCUGUAGGCCAAACUCUCCGACUUGGCGGCUUUAUCAUGGCUGCCCCAUCGGCGGUUGCGCCAAUGAUGGCCUCUCUGGUCAUCAAGCAUAACCUUCGCGUCAGUUCGGAAUUGCCGAAUAGAUGGGUCUGAUGGAGCUCUCCUCCCUUAAUGAGCUCUUGGAUUGCAUCGCUGCUCUGGGAGUCGCUACAGACUAUGACCGGAUCGGGCUUAAACCCGACCGAAGGGACAUUAGAUCCCCGCCGGCCACCCAUGAAAUGGCAGUAGUGGAGGAACCACACAUGGAUCGCCCCUCGACUUUGAGGACGAACUAUGUCCGGAUCACCGAACUCCUUGAGCCAAAUACCUGCUCAAAGGAAGACAUGACCCAAGUCCCGGACUUAGAACCGGGCAUUGGGCCGAAGAAAUUGGGCGGCACUCCGGAUCCCAAGUUGUCAGUCUCGGAACCUCCCACGCCCCUAGGUGUUAGAUCGGAUCAGAAUCUGGAUUCAGCUAAGAACACCCACCAGGACUUAAACCGUCUCUCCCGCAUCAGGCAAGAGCCCCAGGAGACUGUACAUCUCUACUGGGCCAGAUUCCUCUUGCGCUUACCAAGGUCAAGGACUGCCGCGAGGAGGACGUAGUCUUACUCUUCUGCAAAAACUGCACGGACAAAGGACUCCUCAAUGCUAUAAGCCGCUGUGACAUAGUACACUUCGCGGAUUUGGCAAGCAUAGUACAGAAGUACUGUGCGAUGGAAAGCGCCUGGAAAACCCAAACAGAAUUUUGGGACAGUACGGCUCUCACCAAGACUUUUGUCCGAACUAAACGGGCGAACUCUCGUAAGUCGGCCAAUCCUGUCCCCAAGAAACCAAAGCACACCCCAGGGCGCGGAACCGUAUUCGAAGAAUGGCCCAAUGGACCAUGUAAACUCCACAGCACUCCGGACACGACACCAACUCAUAGCCUCAGAGCAUGUUGGAUACUCCGGCAGGUUGCGAAAACUGGCGAGGAUCUUCUUGCAAGCCAUAAAGCAGAAUAGCAUCCCGCCAACGAACACAAUGCGGUAUUAACAGUCUUCGAGACUUUUGCCUCAAACAAUAGGUGCAACCGAGCUCAUCUAAGCUCCGCUGAAAUUUGCCAUGUGGCAAAGAUAAACCCCUUGAACAACACUGCUAUAACUUUCAAUGCUAGUGAUGAACCUCGAUUCCAGACUGUCCAGGCACUGGCCGCUCUGGUCCUUAGCCCGAUCAUGGACGGAUUCCGGCUCACUAAAGUACUCAUGGAAGGCGGAAGCGGAUUAAACUUGAUCUAUGAAGAAACGCUCAACAAGAUGGAAAUUCAUAAAGGCUGCAUUGAGAAAAAAUCACACUCGAUGUGGUAUUCGGCACCCCGGAAAAUUACAGGUCCGAAGAAAUCACAUUCCAAGUGGAUCCUUUUAGCAAUGGAUACCACGCCCUUUUACGGCGGGACGCGUUUACGAGCUUUCAAGCCAUACCCCAUUACGGGUACAUGAAGCUUAAAAUGCCCGGGCCCAAUGGAAUCAUCACUCUAGACAGUGAUCCGGACGUCGCACUUCGCACCUAAAACAAAACCGCAGCAUUGGCCCUGGAAGCAUUAUCCGAAGCCCUAGCAGCCGAAGAAUUAACAACGCUACGGGCCACCAUGGACAGGGACGACGUGAUACUCGACAAGCGACCCAUGUCCACCUCAUUUAAACCCGCAGAUGAGAUAGUCAAAUUCCAAGUCCAUCCAACGGACCCCACGAAGACAGCUUCCAUCUGGACAUAGUUGAGCCCCGUAAUGGACGCUGCAGUACGAGACUUUUUACGCGAGAAUUGGGACAUUUUCACUGGCACCCAUCGGACAUGUCGGGCAUCCCGCGUGGAUUGGCCAAGCAUAGCCUUAACAUACUAAAGGGAUAUAAACCUGUCAAACAUACCCGAAGGCGAUUCUCAGAGCCCAAACGACAAGCAAUGGGGGAAGAGCUAGCCAAGCUACUUGAGGCCGAUUCAUCAGAGAUAUUAAACAUCCGGAUUGGCUGGCAAAUUUGGUAAUGGUACCAAAGAAGGACAAAUCCUGGCGCCUAUGUGUCGACUUCAAAGACCUCAACAAGGCUUCGCGGUCUGGGGGCUGGAUAUGGUCGGACCUCUUAAAGGGGGAAGCCAUAAGAAAAAAUACUUGUUGGUCAUGGUGGACAAGUUCACCAAAUGGAUAGAAGCCAAACCCGUCAAAACGGUCAAAUCCGGACCAGUAAUAGACUUCAUAUCCGGGGUCGUACACCGAUACGGUGUCCCCCAUAGCUCAUCACUGAUAAUGGCUCAAAUUUCACAGCCGAUGAAGUGAAAACUUGGUGCAGCAAAAUGGGCAUUAAGCUCGACUACGCUUCCGUCUACCAUCUCCAAACAAACGGCCAGGUCGAACGGGCAAACGGUCUCAUCAUGAGUGGCAUCAAACCCAGACUAGUGCGAUCUUUGACAGAAUCGGAUACGCACUGGGUGGAGGAGCUCGACUCCGUACUCUGGGGGCUGCGGACCACACCGAAUUGUACCACCGAAUAUACACCAUUUUUAUGGUGUACGGCGCGGAAGCAGUACUACCCAGUGAUAUAAUUAAUGAUUCGCCACGCGUACGCAUGUAUGAAGAGAAGGAAGCCGAGUUAGAUCGGCAGGAUAACUUGGAUGCCCUGGAGGAGGAGCGCGAUGUCGCAAAAGCCCGUUCCGCAUUUUAUCAGCAGCAGGCUCGACGAUAUCAAAUCAGAGAAGUGCGGGCCAAAACUUACAAUAUUGGCAAGAUCGUUCUAUGCCUACCAGAGAAGAAGAAGGACAAACUCAAACCCAAGUGGGAAGGUCCCUUCGUCAUUGACAAAGUUCUCAUCGGAGGAGCGUACCGCUUACGUAAUGCAUCCGAUGACAGACUCAAGCCGAACCCAUGGAACGCGGCCAGACUCCGGAGAUUCUACGCCUAACGCCGAACUCAGUGUUCGUCUCCUUACUCCCCCCCUUUUAUUUAUGCUCCACCCCGCUUUUCCUUUCUCGCCCCUUUUUCUCUUCACACAAAGUACUUAAUACAGUGUGGACUCCGGAUUACUCCGGCUGUACUAUGUGUGUAAGCAAUACCUGGGGGCUUCCUAUACGGAAGCUCAAAAUAAUUACUCAAUGGCUUUUUGCCCAUCACAUAUGAGUUUCUUUUUUCAUAUGUGCCUUUUCUUCACCAUUAUAUGCAUCGAUAUGACUUAAUAUGUGGCCAAGCUGAGUUGUCUGGCUCUUGUGUUUAUGCCCUACAUUCCCGUUAAUUCGGCUAGGGCAUAAGGGAAGCACCUCUGCGAAUGUUACUGCCGGUUCAGCCGGACACUACAAGAAAUAUGUCAACUAGUGACCUUUUGUCAGUGACCCUGGAAGAAUUGGUCAUAGAUCUAUGACCAUUUCAGACCAAUUGGUCAAAAGUUGUUCGAGGGGCUCCAAACCCUAAACCAUUGCGACCAUUUUGGUCAGAAAGGUCGUAAUUUCCUUACACGAAAAGGUCACAAGGAAAACAGUGCUAGUCCGCUGCCUUAUUUCUAGUUGUUAAUGACCAAUAUAGAUGGUCAUAACCUUGUAGAUUGUGGUGGGUUGUGAUGACUAGGCGCCAUCUCAUCAGUUUUGCCUAUGUGUCAUGUCCAUGUGGCGGUUUUUGCCCUAGGUUGUGAAGCAACCUAUAUUUUUGUUAUUCCCAAAAUUCCCAAAAAAAUCUCAUAAAUUCUUUGGGUCAUAUCUUCGUCAAAUAUGUAAAAACCUUCCUUGCCUAGUUCAAAAAUAUUUCAAAAAUAUUCAUUUUCCUAUUCUGAUUAGAGCAGCACUUUGUGAAGGAAGUACCACUUUGGCAUGUCCAAAUGGUAUCCAUUUUCUACAGUGCUUUCCUAUGCCCAAAUAACCAUCCUCCACCAAAUGCUAGCUCAAUCCAUUCAUUAUUUUGAGCCCAGCUUCAACAUUCGUAUUUAUGUCCAGUGUGGUACUUUGUAAUGCAAGUACCACCUAGGCUCCUCCUUUUGAGGUGAAAAUUUGUGAAGACGGUCUUCUUAGUAACUGAUCAUCCUCAGCCAAAACUCACGCCCAUUAGCCAUGUGCAUUUCCCGUACCGCAAAUCAAACACUUGGCUGCUUAUUCAUCUUUGAGCAUCGAUCGGUCUCCUCGUGAGAAUCUUAUGUUGUGAUUUUCUUCCUAGCACCUACCUGGGGAGUGCCCAACCAACUAUACAUGCCUAGGCCGCCCAGAACACAUGGCAACGCCACGGUCACGCGGUGACCACGCGGCAGGCAUGCGAGCUUACGUGCUCUAGAGUUGGGGCCCUCGUCUACCGUCCAAACGUCGAUGUCUCGCCAUAAAACCAUGUAUUUCUGAUUAAAUAGUUACUUAUUUAACUAGAAAUUAUUUUUGUAAAAAAUAAAUAGCAAACUAUGAGGCAGCUGCAGUUCAAAUUUGACCCGCUUCCAGCUGAAUCGGCGACAAUUUGUCUUUUUCACCAGAGGUGGAUCAAAACUUUUUACACCCAACUAUUUUGUCAAUUGUGCAUUAAACAUGGCCUAGUAUUUUAUAAAAUUGAUUUGGUCCAUUUCUGCAACAAUUAUUUGGUAGUUCCUUCACAAAAAAACAUCAUUUCGGGCACUCGGAAAAUGGAAAAUGAAUUUUCCGUGCAAAGAAAAUGAAAACUUCCUCAGGAAACAUUGUUUGGAAUUCCAAGAUGCACCCUUGUGCACAAUAUGAGAUCAUUUGAACAAACUAUGCCAUGAAUGUGGCCAUAAGAUUGGUCAUUUGGCUUGAAAGCCAUGAAUCUUCACGCAUGAUACCUCAUUUCUGAGAACACCUUUCUAAAAUAAUUACAGUAUUACAAGUUUAUUAUUUUUCCUGGAAACUUGGUCACAUAUAAUGACACAAUGCGAAGGUUCUCCAAUUUUUUGAUUUUUUUUGAAUUUUUUAUGCCCAUUUCAAAAUGCGGUCAAAACGCCGGGCUUGACCGUUCCUAGCUAGUGGUUGAAUCUUGGAAAACUUUUGGUGUUUCUAUGAUUAAAUAGAUACUUAUGUACCUAGAAAUGAUUUUUGGAAAAAAAAUAAAUAGCAAACUAUGAGGCAGCUGCAGUUCAAAUUUGACCCGCUUCCAACCGAAUCGGCGGGAAUUUGUCUUUUUCACCAGAGGUGGAUCAAAACUUUUGACACCCAACCAUUUUGUCAAUCGUGCAUUAAAUAUGUCGUAGUAUUUUAUAAAAAUGAUUUGGUACAAUUUUGCAACAAAUAUAUGGUAGGUCCUUCACAAAAAAACCUCAUUUCGGGCACUCAGAAAAUGGAAAAUGAAUUUUCCGUGCAAAGAAAAUGAAAACUCCCUUUGGCAACAUUGUUUGGAAUUCCAAGAUGCAUCCUCGUAGACAUAUAGUCACACAAUGCGAAGGUUUUUCAUUUUUUUGUGAAUUUCCUAUGCCGAUUUCAAAUUUCGAUCAAAUUUCCCCGCAUGACCCUUCUUAGUUAGGUGGUUAAUAAUGCAAAACUAUUUGUUUGUCUAUGAUGAAAUAGCUACUUUUGUAUCUAAAAAUGAUUUUUUUAAAAAAUAAAUAGCAAACUAUAAGAUACAUGUAGUUCAAAUUUGACUCGUUUCUUGCCGAAUUGGCUGUUUCUCAAAAUACCUAGAAAGAUCGGAAAUGCAAUCAAAUUGAUGAUCAUCCAUGAAAGGUGGACUAACUUAAGUGGAAAUUUUAGUGAUGCCAUUUUGCAAAAUAUUUUUGGUAGCUGCCUCACAAACCUCCCUUGUUUUUAACACUAAGAAGAGUAAUUUUUAAUAGCUCAUUUUAGAACCAAUCAGGACGCAGCACAUGGAUCACCCCACUGUAUUCGAUCUGAGCCAUCCGCCUCCUACUGAUCCAGCAUCUCCCCCUUACUCCCUCGAGCCCUCCUUCCCGAGAAACCCUAGGUCCACCCUCACCGUCGCCGCCUCCCUCUCCCCGAUUCAGCGUCUCCCCGAUUCCUCCUCCGCGGCCGCCGCUCCACCCUCACUAUCGACGACCCAUGCCGCCACCCACCCCACCGCGGCCCUCACUCUCCCCUCGCCCCCUAGUCGUCGACCAACCUCGCCGCCCGCCCAAACCCUAACAGCCACCACUCCCCCGAUUCAGAUCGAAUCGAUGGUGACGCCGCACUCCUUCCACAACCGCCUCCCUUCUGCGCCGCCACUCUGCUCUCGAUCCAGAUCCCCCUCGUCGCUGCCUUCCUCUCCACCCACCUCUCCUCUCGCCGCCGUUCUGCCACAUCCGACAACAUCGAGGCCAGUGGGCGCUGGAUCCGGCACCGGCCUGGCCCCUCCAUCAGCAACUCGAACAGGGGGGAGGCGGCGCCAUGGCUUCCCCCAACCCCAUGGUGUGGGCCUGAGCCACCCACUGGCCUCGGCUGGGUCUCGGACAAGCAGCCGCGCAGGAUGAUGCUGAUGGCACUGUGUCCACGCCCCCCGACCAUCCCGCCGGCGCUGCGGCCCGCGGAGGCGGCCGCCCGCGAGGUGCUGCUGCAACUACACCCAACGGAGGAGGCGGAGCGGCGCCAGCACAGGGUCCAGAUCGAGGCGGUGUCCUUCUUCCUGCGUCUGCUUCUGCUCGGACGCCAUGGGAGUGCUAGAGACGCCACAGCGCAACUGCUCCCACGUCAAGGUAGCCACUAUCUCGCCCAUCUUCUCCCCAUCUCUUCCAUUCCCUUCGCUGACGCGUUUGGUUUCCAAGGGAGUAGCUCGUGCGCUGGGGCAUGUGUUUGUCGUCGCCGUGGGCAUGCUCCCGCUGCCGCUGGAUUUGGGGGGUGGGGAGAGACCAGAGAGGGAGAGGCCACCUUCGCCGCGCUCACGGGCCUCGUCUUCAAAGUAGGUACUUCAAUAGCUGUCUCUGCUUAUGGCUGAACUAUCCAACCGAGAGUGGUUCGUUUUAGAUUGACUAUAGUGAAUGUGUGAGCUGAUUUCAUCGAUAGCAGAGAUCUUGGUAGUGUUCACUGGAUGCAUUCUGAUUGAUUAGUUCAUAGGCUGAAUGCUUGCACUGAAUGACUGAAAAUAGUUCAAUUUUGUACAAAUGCACUCCCACAGGUCUCUGCUACAUCUGGUAAAUUAGAUUUCUGAGAUUUAGCACUACAAUCUGUUAAUGGUUGAUCUCAGAUAUGCUCAUCUUGCUCCCUAUUAAGAGAGGGGAGGGGGGACACCAGUUGCAUCCAUCUUUUCAUACACUUGUUUUCUGCACAUGUAUGCAGUCUGAUUUGAUGGACGACGGGACAAAAAUGAGCCUCUUAGGAGUGUGGAGGAACAACAGUUGCAUCCCAGUCACUUGUUCUUGCUAGCAUCCCGGACGAAUGAUGGCUUGUUAAGCAUGAAACUGGGAUUUCUAAUAAUGUUUGCCAUGAACAUAUAUGAAUUGAUUGCAUGCCCUCUUGGAUUCUAGUAGUACAUUAUCGUUGGCCCAUUAUUGCUAGAUUUUGAUCCUGGUGAUGCUCUGUACUUGUUUCUACUUGCAAUCAGCAUACAAUUUUGCUCAAAUAGUCAAAUGUUUCCUUGAUUCUGUAGGAUUAGUGUGUCCUGUUGCUUGUUGCUAGCUGUAGGAUCUGACUUUUGGUUGUUGUUUUGGUGAUGUAGGCCAAGGGAAAUGACUACCGUUCCAGGAUCUCUGGUCUGGGAGCUCGUGAAGAAGAACAACUGCUUCUUGAUAAAACAGUUCUGCAACAGCAACGCCAAGGUGCGGUUCAGCAAGGAGCCCAACAACCUCUACAAUGUCCACUCCUGCAAGUUCUCGAGUCUGUAGCUCUUUGCAGUAUUUUUAACCCUUUGGUUUGCAAGUGUCUCUGCAAGGAGCUAACUUGCUGUGGGGCUGAUGUGGUUUCAGGCUUGGCGAACAGCAAGACUGUGGCGGUCCAGCCAUCAGCGGGAGAGGACAAGGCAGUUGUCCUGUCCACGACCAAGACCAAGAAGUAGAACACCCCUGCCAAGCUCCAGCACAAGACUCUGAUGCGCAAGGAGUUCCGCAAGAUGGCCAAGUGUGUCAAGAAUCAGGUAUUAACUCCAGAGUCUUUAUAUAACUGAGUUGUAUUAGGAUCUGGUUGAGUCUCUAUGGUCUGAAUAGCCUUUAUAUUAGGAGUUCCGCAAGAUGGCCAAAUUAGCUAUGGUCUGAAUAGCCUUUAUAUUAGGAUCUGGUUGAGUCUCUAUGAUGUUCUCUCUUAGUGUCAUGUCAUGUCAUGAGUUUUGAGUCGUGAAUAUAUAACUGAGUUGUAUAAUCCUUUCCAGGUGAGGACUUUGACCAAAGAAGUACAACCAGGACAACCGUGCUGUUGGUGGUAGCUCCCAAGGUCCAAGGAUGACUAUAUACUUUGACAGCAAAGAGUCAAGCAAGGGUGUGAACCAUAGUUUCGGUUGAUAUUUGCCACCAUGUUUUGGAUUGCAUGUACACUUCUUGGAUAUAAACUGUAAUUAGGCUUGUUCAAGCUAUGUUACCGCGGACGUGCAGUCUUGUAUGGUUUUGUGAAUGUUGAUCAUAUGAGUUCUGGAUUUGAUCAUUUAAUAAGAGAAUUACUGAUUGUUUGAUUUUUAAAUGUGUAUAAAUUGGAAUCUGUGAAUUAAAAAGACCAAAUAUUCUACUGGACCAAACAAUAUUUGGGCUCUAAGAAGGCUAUGGCCCAAACAAAUCACAUCGUGCAUUUCUUAGAAGCCAGAACAAAAAGGAUAAAUGAAAUGGACAUAAAAAUGUUGGGCUUGGCCCAUGAAGCCGUUCAAAAAUUGAUAAAAAAAUAUAGUAAAAAUGCUGAAUUGUUGGGCUAGGCCCAUGUAGAAAACCGAAUUGGACCGGGCUGAAUCUUGUGCCACAUCAGCUUGCCACGCUGGAUGCCUACGUGGCUUGGGGAGGUUGCUAGUGACCAAAACGCCACAGUAGGAAUAUUUUGGUCGUAAACGUCCACGACCUUCUCACAGAGAAGGUCGCUAUAGUCAGUUAACGACCCUCAGCUUUUGACCUUAUGUUUUUGGUCACAAAAAGGUCACAAAUUGAAAACAGUGACCUUUCAGUGACCAAUAGUGGUGGUCACAAGUUGACAUAUUUCUUGUAGUGGGAUGUGUACCUCAGACUGGGUGAAGCCGAAAGCUAGUUUCCUUAAGAGAAUAUUCGAUCGGUGAACAAAAGAUGUAUUCGUUUAUUACAACGUAAAUCCCCAGAAGUCUUGUAUCCUGCGCCAUUGUUCGCAGUGCAUACAUGUGCAUUGCCGCAUGCGUACCCAGGGAAAGGAACCCCUAACGGAACUAUUCUCCCUGGAAGAUGUUUCUUACUAUCCAUGUAAUAUAACAUAACUAGUUGGGUACUUGUCUGUUCAAGCACUUAUGACCCAUACGCCUUGUUUCCGCGCAUACCCUGGUUUUGAAUAACUGAGUGGGUAUUCGGACACACCCCGGACUGUAGAAUCCGGGGGCUGAAGCGAAAAGGUCCGCCAUGACAAAUGAUUUUAAUCCGGCUAGGGACUAGUUAUGUCCAUUGAAUAACACAGUCACUUGGGUUGACUAUAUUCCUCCUCUAUACCAUCCAACAGGCUAUCUAGCCUACAAUCCUGUUGAAAAUACUUAGCGGCUAAUGCUACCUGGUCAUAUAACAGACUUACGGGAAUUUCUUGCCCAUCGGGCCCCGCCGGUCCUACUUCGGCCAUAUGGUUCGGGUCCAACUUGGUGUAGCGCAUCUUCACCAUAGCCCAGGCUUCUCUUGCGCCUUGCCGGCAAGCGGACAUCUUCCACAGUCGAAAGCGACGUCGUGCUCCUUGAAGCAUAUCCACAAGCUCCCCCAUGCCAUUCGGUAGCAAGCUUGAUGGCCACAAAGCCUGAUCAACACCCUGCAUCACUUGCCGAGCUCGCUCGUGCAGUUGCGAAAGGUCCUGCAGUAAAUCACUUGCAGAUAAGGGCAUCUCCUCCUCAGGGAGACCCGUUAACAUUCCUGCAAGCAAAAUUCUUUCAAUAUACUUCCUCGCCGAACUAUCAUACAGUUCGUCUGGGCACUCACCAUAAAUGUCGCGUCGAAGCUUUCUGUUCUCCUGCACGGAGUCCUCCAGUUGAGCAGGGACGUCUUUUAAUUCCAUGUCCAGCCGAAUAUUAGCGUCUUGAAGAUUGGUCUUCUCUUGCUUAACUUGUGUAAGGAUGCGCUCGCCAGCCUUUAGCUGCCUUUUAAUAUGCGAGUCAUUAUCUGUUACGCACUCCGGAUUCACCCCGGGAUUGUUUGCAGAAUUUUCUGUUAGACUAGUCAUACCAGCCAUUUACAAACUGCUGGAUCUUCCUACAAUUGAGACAAAUGUUACCAGUUCAGGCCUUCUGGGAUUCCUCUAGUUUGGCAACCGUGUCCCUCAUAUAGGCCUUGCAUUCCUCCAGCUCCCGAGCUAAUUGUUCAUUCUUCUCUACAAGGACCUAUGCAUAAAUUGAUCCUUCAAACAGUUGUUCCAACUAUUUCAAGUCUCAAGGGCUACUACUAUACAUACUUAUCAAAGCUUCUUACACGUAUAUCUUUGGUAUAUUGGUUCGUCGCUCAGGAAAGCCCGCCUUGAGCAGCUCGGAUGUAUGCGUCUGUCGAAUUGAAGGCAUUAAAUGCCUCUUCGGAAAAGAUGUUGUUCCGAAGCAAGGCCCUCUGGCGCCAGUGAUUCAUGGCGCUCUCCACUUUGGAGUUUGUGGCCGAAAGCAUAUCCACAUCCUUUGUCGGAGAACUAUGCGGAACUGGCCCCGUGUCCGCCUCCGCCCUCGAAGCUGGUUCUGGAACCCGGCUAGUGGAGGCGUGAUUGGCGGGAUCCUCGGAUAUAGUCCGGCUGCUCCUCUUCCUACCAGACACAAAGGGCGCUAUUAUAUUUCAAAUACUAUAAUCGCAGGACAGGUUAUCACUUUACCUCUGCAGCGGUGUGUCGACCCUAACCGCCUUCCUCUUGAGCCUGCCCGAUCCGGACGCCCGUGGUUGACGAGUCCCUAGGGGCUCGGCCCCGUGCUCUGACCGUCGUCUCUGCAAACAGCACGACGCCUCAAAGGUAAAGCACAAUGCCUGAGGGGAGUCCUCUUCGGAGGAUAGGGUUUUUUAGUUUGGCUUACACGCGACACAAGGAGCAGUUCGGGAUAGUCGGACGUAAUGGCCACUGAGGCACCAUCCCAGCUCGCUUGAUAAAAUACCCCGUUGACAAGCUCCACGGUAAUAUCCGGAUCUUCUUUGAGUCCUGCAUCUAGGGCCCUUCCGGGGUCCUCUGGCUGCGGGGAGGGGUUGAAGAUUCCUUCUACGACCCUCCUCAGUUCCUGCUCGGAAACAUCGAUACAGGUAAUCUUAGCAGAAGAACGCCAAAUUAAGUAAAACAUGGAAGGGAAUAACGACUUACCCAUUCUGGGGGGUUGUACAUGGAGAAUCCAUCCCACGGUUUAAUGCGAAGGAAUUCCUCCUCUUCCCCUUUGUAUAAAUCGGACAAUAUCCUUGCCAGAGCAGUUGCAGAGUCCGGACCCCUACGGCCGCAACAGGUGGCGUCGUAUUCCUCGUUGAAGUGCCACAUGGGCUUCCCCCGAUAUUGAAGCGGUUGCACUCCCCGCAUUAUGCAUAUUGCCAUGACCUCGACUAUCAUCAGUCCGGAUUUGGCCAGCAACUUUAUCCUUCUCAUCAGGAAGUGUAUUUCCCUCGUAUCCUCUUCUUGAGGGCCCCGGGGGCGCCAGCUUAGGCGUGCCCUUGGCGGGGCGUUACUGAACUUGGGGAGACCUGUCCGGACUAGAUCCGGAAGGGGAACGUCAUCAAUGUAAAACCACUCUGAAGGCCAGUUUUCUGGUGCCUUCUUAGGAGUGCCGGACAAGUAUCCGGUCUCGACAAUGCACCAUACUUCGGCCCCGCCCACUUGACAUAGGGAUUCUCCCUGGGUGCGGGGGACAAGGCAGAACAGCUUCCUCCAUAAUCCAAAGUGAGGUUCACAGCCUAAAAACAGCUCGCAAAGGGCGUCAUACCCCGCUAUAUGCAGAAUGGAGGCAGGGGUAAGGUUGUGCAACUAGAGGUCGUAGAACUCCAGGAGCCCGUGAAGAAACGGGUGGAUGGGAAACCCGACGCCCCUUAGUAGAUGCGGGAUGAGGCAUACACGCUCCUCUGGAGAUGGAUUUGGAAAUCCCUCCGCUUGUUCCCCUCCGUCACAAGUGGCUAUUCCGGCUCGGACAGGGACAAUGAACGCCGGUGGGAGAAACCCUUGGGUUUAUAAAUCUAUCAAAUGGCUAUGAGGAACUGAACACUCUCCCCAAUCCCUCGACUUGGAACGAGGAGGGCGAGCAGAAGAGCUGCGACGGCCGGCCAUGUUGGAAUGGUUUUUCGCGGAGCGCUCUGUUGGAUGCUAGCUCAGGGAGGGAGAGUGAGGUUUGGAUCUGAGAAUCCCCGUCCCUUCAAAUAGACGGUCAGCCCGGAGGAUUGAGGGUGGCAAAUGCAAAAAUGCCUCGGCUCCUCGCAUUCGCUCGACACGUGGAGAUGGUUAUUAUUGAGACACUGAAGCCGAGGAGUGCAACAUUGAUGGGAAGCUGGACACUAUUUGUCGUAACAGAUACUUUGGAGUAUUCGGAGAUGGAACCCGCCUUGCAAUGCCGAAGACAAGACUGCGCGCUGGACUCAUUGUCAUUGAAGCCUGGUUCAGGGGCUACUGAGGGAGUCCUGGAUUAGUGAAAGGAUCGAUAUGGUUGACUAGAGGGGGGUGAAUAGGCAACUAACAAUUUUUAAGCUUUUCUUAGUCAAAUUAAACUUUGCAACAAAGUAGGUUAUCUAGAUGUGCAACUAAGUGAGCAACCUAUAUGAUGCAAUGACAACUAGCACACAAGCAAGUAAAGGAUGUAAACAAGUAAACUAGCUAAAGUAAAAGGCACGAGAUAACCAAUAGUGGAGCCGGUGGAGACGAGGAUGUGUUACCGGAGUUCCUUCCUUUUAAGGGGAAGUACGUCUCCGUUGGAGCGGUGUGGAGGCACAAUGCUCCCCAAGAAGCCACUAGGGCCACCGUAUUCUCCUCACGCCCUCACACAAUGCGAGAUGUCGUGAUUCCACUAUUGGUGCCCUUGAAGGCGGCGACCGAACCUUUACAAGCAAGGUUGGGGCAAUCUCCACAACAAACGGAGGCUCCCAACAACAACAACAACAACAACAACACGAAGCUUCACCACAAUGGAGUAUGGCUUCGAGGUGACCUCAACCGUCUAGGGUGCUCAACACCCAAGAGUAACAAGAUCCGCAAGGGAUAAGUGGGGGAAAUCAAAUAUCCUAUGGUGGAAGUGUAGAUCGGGCCCUUGUCACCCAAUCCCGAGCAAAUCAACAAGUUUGAUUGGCUAGGGAGAGAGAUCGGGCGAAAAUGGAGCUUAGAGCAACAAUGGAGCUUAGAGGUGGAAGAGGUAACCUACUAGAGGUAGAAGACACCCCUUAUAUAGUCGUGGACAAAUCCAACCGUUAUCCAACAAGUUCAGCCCGCGACCCACGGUACUACCGCUCCAGGGGUGCGGUACUACCGUGAGGCUGCGUGGUACUACCGUGGACGACCAUGGUACUACCGCGGUAGCAACACAGGCCGGAACUGGCCUGACUAAGGGGCAGUACUACCGUUGGUGCGGUACUACCGCUCCCCCUUGCGGUACUACCGCAAGACAGGAGAGUCACGGCCUGGGAAGGGCGCGGAUGAAAUAAAUUACAUCCGUGCCUAGUUCCGCUGAAACUGGGGUGGUGCAAAAACCCGACGCGGUACUACCGCACGCAAGGUGCGGUACUACCGUGGCGGGCGCGGAUGUAAAAAAUUACAUCCACGCCUACUACCGUGGCUCAGCGGUACUAGGUAGGAGGGCCACGGUACUACGGCUCCUAGGGAGCGGUACUACCAUGGGCCCCCGCGGUACUACCGCGCUGGACGAGCGGUACUACCGUGGUGGGCGCGGAUGUAAAAAAUUACAUCCGCCCCUACUACCACACCGGAGCGGCACAAGGCCUGGGUGCCGCGGUACUACCGCUCAAGAGGAGCGGUACUACCGUGACACCCAGCGGUACUACCGCUUGUACCUGCGGUACUACCGCAAGUACAGCAGUAGUUGCCAGGUUUCCGCACAACCAAGAUAGCGAAGGGCAGCUCCAAAGUGCAGGGAAAGGGGAGACAAGUGUACGUGUUGAUUUCACCCAAACCUUUCCGACGCGGACCCCCUCUCAAUAGUACGGCUCUCCUACGACUCAAAUCCACCAAAGAGAAAUGUAGGACGACACCGACUUCAAUGGUCUCCGAGGGGCACUGAAUCGUCUCAUGCCUAGUGAUGAAGUAUCUGACAGGCUCAAGGCACACGAUUAGUCCGCAAAAGCAUUGUCAUCAAUCACCAAAACACCUCAGGGAUAAACAUGCCCUUACAAUCUCCCCCUUUUUGGUGGAUUGAUGACAACACGGGAUUUGCACAUAGAUAAGAUAAUUGAGAGUAGGGGCAAACCCCACCUCUCUAAAAUAUAGACGGGCUCCCCCUAGAUGUGUGCACUUUAGAUGAAUGCUUUGGACUGCGAGACACACAAACUAGGAUCAACACUCCCCCUAUAUUUUAGAGACCAAGGCAUGAUAAUGAGCAUAGCAUAGCAUAAAGAUAGCACAAUAUAACACAAGAUUGCUAGGAUAGAUAGAGUGCAUAUGUCCUACACCAUACGAAGUAAGGUAACCAAGGUUCAAGCGAGAAAGCAGCAAAUAGUUCAACUGAGAAAGCGGCAAACACACGACUCGCAAACGCGCAAAUCCCUACACUCUCCCCCUUUGGCAUCGAGACGCCAAAAAGGCAGAGAGGACACCUACACACACAAGAGGUGGCUCAAGCAGAGAAAUCAUCCCAAUCCUCUUCGUCAGACGCCUCUGCAGCUGGAAUGGACUCCUCAACCUCCUCCUCAGAAUCAGUCCACCUGUAGCCUUACUUCUCCAUCCACUCGGCUUCAGGAGUGAUGCGCUCCUCUGACCCGUCAGACACAUUCUCACCAUAGAGCUGCAAGAUCUUGUUGUGCCGGCGACGACUCUCCUUGGACUCCACGUGAGUCCUGUACUGCCCCUUGGCUUGCAUGCAGAAAAGAGACUUCAUCUUAUCCUUCAACUUCGUGGCCCACGAUGGCCUAGAAGCACUCUGGGAGGGCCUAGCAUCAUGGCCCUCAGCAACAUUCUCGGCGCCAGCAGCCUCCUCAUCAACAGUAGUCCUAGCAGCAGUCGCCUCGGCGUGAGUAGAGGUGUUGUCCCAGUUGGGUUUGAUACGCAGGCAGAUGGGCUCAUGGCGAACCCAGUCAGGAGCCAGAAACUCAUCCUCAGGAUACAUCUUCUCCCAAGUCUUCGAAAGUAGCAGAAACAGAUAGGGCCCAUAGAUAGGGACCUUGCGGGUAAACACUGCAGGUAAACUCCUUCCAGGUAGCAGUCAGCUUACGGCCGUUGGUCAUCCAGGUCAUCCUCCGUUCCUCAUCGGAGUGAAAGUAGACUGAGGCAAAGAAUUGACAGAUAAGCUCAGGGUCAUAGUCGAGGUGGAAGGUAAUCACAUGCUCAAUGCCAAACUGCUCCACCAAGCACAGAGCCUCUCCAAAGUAGUCACGAAACUUGUCCUUCCUCAUGUGAUGCAUGUCAAUCCAUUUCACCUCCACAUAGGUGUUCUGCUUGUUCUUGAUGACAUCCAGAUAGAUGUUGACCUGUUGCUUAUUCCAGAACAGCUCACAGCCUCGGAAGUUGGCACGCGGGUGCAUGGAUGAGAUCUCCAUAUGGGCGGUACCGUGCGAGCGGUAGUACCGCGCCAUACGGGCGGUAGUACCGCGUCGCGUCAGAUCUAACACGUGAUUUGAAUAUGAAAACAACCGCAAAACCAUGACGGUGCUACGGUGAUCCGAUCUAGCGUAAGACAACAAUACAAGUAUAAAUCCUAUGCAAUACCACCCUCCUUCAUCCUAUUCUUGCAGAGAUUAAGCCUAUGAAUCUCAAGAACACACAAGCCUCCCCCAAAACCUAAAAGCACCAAACACAAUCAAAAGGAGAGGGAGUUGGGGAAAAACCUUGGUCCAUAGCAAGAGCACAUGGUGGGGAACGAUCCCACCGGUCGGAAUCACGGGAGGGCAGCCGGUGGAGGAGAUCUGGCGACGAACGCCGGCUCCGUUCUUGAGCACGGGAGAGGAAGAGACAACGUGGAGAGAGAGGACACGAAUGGGUAUGGGGAGUUAGAACUCCCCCUGCCUGUCCUUAUCCCCACGCCCUCGAACCGACACGGUAGUACCGCGUAUCAUCGUAGUAGUACCGCUCGGGCGGAAGUACCACGCCGAGGCGGUAGUACCGCUCAACCAGGCGGCAGUAAAAAAUUACUGCCGCGUGGGUACGGUAGUACCGUGCUCCUACCAGCGGUAGUACCGUGACUGGCCGCGGUAGUACCGUGGCCUGUCGCGGUAGUACCGUGAGCUCAAGACACCGCAGGUUUCAAACGCGGGAGAAAAAUGCCUUUGCACGGGAACUUUCACACACAAGAGACCACAAGGAGAACAGAAGAAAACCACCAAGCGACACAGUCUCUCGAGAAGGGAGGGCGGUGGCCGAAGCCACCUAUGUUUGAGUUGGAUGGUAUGGCACCGCGAAGAAUUAUCCUUGGGCCCAUGACCAAAACUCGUCUUUGAAGCACAAGUACCAUCAAAUAUGGCUAAUGUGAAAGAUAUGAUCUAUUUAUGCAUAACGGGGGGAGGGAGAGUUCAUUGAGAGAACAACACUCCCCCUAUGUCCAUGCCUACACCUAAACGAGACAACAAGUUGAGUGUGGUGGGGGGUGCACGGUUUCAAGUCACAUUGCUCAAAUCAAUGAUAUUUAGCUCAUGCCUUAACUCGCGAAAUCUUGCUUCAUCCAAGGGCUUCGUGAAAAUAUCGGCAAGGUUAUCAUGAGUGUUGACAUAAUUGAUCUCGAUCUCCCCUCGCCUAAUGUGAUCCCGGAUGAAGUGGUACCGAAUCUCAAUGUGCUUCGUCUUGAAGUGUUGCACCGGGUUGAGAGAAAUCUGGAUGGCACUUUCAUUGUCACACCAAAGAGGCACUUCGUCACAAAUGACACCGUAUUCCUUUAAAGUUUGCCUCAUCCAUAGGAGUUGAGCACAACAACUACCGGCCGCCACAUACUCCGCUUCGGUGGACGAGAGAGACACACAACUUUGCUUCUUGGAAGACCAACUUACCAAAGAGCAACCAAGAAAUUGGCACCCUCCGGAAGUGGACUUCCUAUCCACUUUGUCUCCCGCCCAAUCAGAAUCCCUGAACCCUUCAAGCUUGAAGUUUUCUCCUCUUGGGUACCAUAAGCCAAAGUUUGGGGUAUGAGCCAAAUAUCGAAAGAUUCGCUUGACCGCCACAUGGUGACUUUCCUUUGGUGCGGCUUGGAAACGUGCACAUAUCCCCACACUCAACAUGAUAUCCGGUCUAGAUGCACAAAGGUAAAGCAAGGAGCCAAUCAUGGAGCGAUAUACCUUUUGAUCCACCGCUUUACCAUUGGGAUCGAUGUCAAGUUGGCACUUGGUAGGCAUUGGUGUAGUAGCCGGCUUGACAUCACUUAGCUUGAAUCUUUUAAGCAUGUCUUGAGUGUAUUUGGCUUGGUUGAUGAAGGUUCCUUCUCUUCUUUGUUUGAUGUCGAAACCAAGGAAGAACUUCAACUCUCCCAUCGAGGACAUCUUAAACUUGGAGGUCAUGAGAGCGGCAAAUUCUUCAUUGAAAGUUUUGUUAGGAGAACCAAAGAUAAUAUCAUCAACAUAUAGUUGGCAUACAAACAACUCCCCGUUAACCUUCUUAGUAAAAAGAGUGGGGUCGAUUUGUCCUACUUCAAAUCCACGAUCUUGUAGCAACUCGGUAAGGUGAUCAUACCACGCACGUGGGGCUUGUUUAAGGCCAUAGAGUGCCUUAUCAAGUUGAUACACAUGAUCCGGAAAGUAGGGGUCCUCGAACCCGGGGGGUUGCUUGACAUAGACCAGCUCAUUAAUGGGACCAUUAAGAAAAGCACUUUUCACAUCCAUUUGUUGCAACUUAAAGUUGUGAUGGGAAGCAUAUGCAAUCAACAAAUGAAUGGAUUCAAGACGAGCAACGGGAGCAAAGGUUUCACCGUAGUCGAUACCCUCGACUUGGGAGUAGCCUUGUGCUACCAAUCUCGCCUUGUUGCGAAUGAUGUUCCCAUGAGCAUCUUGUUUGUUCUUGAAGAUCCACUUGGUUCCAAUGACGUUGUGGUUCCCCAAUGGCCUUGGCACCAAUCUCCACACUUUGUUCUACUCGAAGUUGUUGAGUUCUUCAUGCAUGGCAUUGAGCCGAUCCGAGUCUUCGAGCGCCUCAUAGACCUUUUGGGGUUCAACACAAGAGACAAACGCGUGAUGUUCACAAUACUUUGCUAAUUGUCUACGAGUGCUUACCCCCUUUCUUAGACUUCCAACCACAUUUUCCAUGAGAUGGCCUUGGGUGGUGAGCUUGGAAGCAAUCUUCGCGGCACGACGCUCUAAUUCCUCCUCGAAUGUGGAAGGAGGAGGGUUGACUUGAUCAUCUUGAGCGCCGUCUUGAGCUUGUUCUUGAUCUUGAGGUUGCUCUUGAUCUUGAACUUGCUCGAGGGGGAGAACUUGACCUUGGGCAUCUUUUAGAGGUUCACCACCAUCUUGAGGUUGAUCUUGCCCUUGGUCUUGUUCAUGAGGUUGAGGGCCUUCACUUUGUUCUUCGGAAGCGUGUGGGUCUUGAUGAGGUGAUGGAUCUACUUGAGUAGAGCAUUGUCCUUCUCCUUCGGCCACAAGGGUUUCCUCAAUGGGUAGAAUUUGACCAAUACCCAUUCUUCUUAUGGCUUGGGGAGGAAUUUCAUCACCUACAUCACAAGUACCACUUUGCUCCACUUGGGAGCCGUUAUUUUCGUCAAACUCCACGUUACACGUCUCCUCAAUGAGUCUGGUGGACUUGUUGAGGACACGGUAAGCAUGAGAGUUUGUAGCAUAACCAACAAAUAUGCCCUCAUGAGCUCUAGCCUCAAAUUUAGACAAACGAACACCUUUCUUGAGAAUGAAACACUUACAACCGAACACCCGGAAGUACUUGAGGUUGGGCUUGUUGCCGGUGAGUAUCUCAUAAGGAGUCUUGUUCAAGCCUUUGCGGAGAUAGAGCCGAUUGGAUGCAUGACAUGCGGUGUUGAUGGCUUCGGCCCAAAAGUUGUAUGGAGACUUGAACUCCGCCAUCAUGGUCCUUGCCGCAUCCAUCAACGUCCGGUUCUUCCUUUCUGCUACACCAUUUUGUUGAGGGGUAUAAGGAGCAGCAUAUUGAUGCUUGAUCCCCUCAUCACUGAGAAACUCAUCCAAGGUGUAGUUCUUGAACUCGCUGCCGUUGUCACUUCUUAUUGUCAAGAUCUUUGCAUCAUGUUGACGUUGAGCUUCAUUUGCAAAGUUGAUGACGGUUUGUUGAGUCUCACUCUUCUUCUUGAAGAAGUAUACCCAAGUGUAUCUUGAGUAGUCAUCCACAAUCACCAAGCAAUACUUUCUUCCUUCAAUACUAUCAAAGGAUGGAGGCCCAAAGAGAUCCAUGUGAAGGAGCUCCAAGGGUCUCUUCGAGUAGAUGAUGGUUGAAGGAGGGUGAGCCUUUUCAUGAAGCUUCCCUUCGAUACAAGCACUGCAAGCACGAUCUUUGGCAAAGCUAACGUUUGUUAGUCCACGGACAUGGUCCCCCUUGAGAAGACUUUGCAAAGAUCUCAUAUUGACGUGGGCUAAACGGCGAUGCUAAAGCCAUCCCAUGUCAACUUUAGCCAUUAGGCAUGUCGCGGUCUUAGUGGGUCGCUCCGAAAAGUUAAUCACAUAAAGACCGUUCUCGACAUGCCCAACAAAGGCCACUUUAAGAGUCUUGCUCCACAAGAGGGCCACGGUAUCAAUGUCAAAGAAUGUAUCAAAGCCCAUGAGUGCAAGUUGACGAACGGAAAGAAAAUUUUAUGCAAGGGACUCAACAAUCAUGACUUUCUCGAUCGUUAGAUCAUGAGAAAUGACAACCUUGCCUAGACCCAAUACCUUAGAAUGUGAUGCAUCACCCCACUCGACAUUGGUGGGCAUAGAUGGAAUCUCUUGCACGUCCACCACCAAGUCCUUGCUUCCGGUCAUAUGAUUUGUUGCUCCACUAUCGAGCAACCAUGAUCCCCCACCGGAAGCAAACACCUACACGAGAUCAAUGCUUGGUUUUAGGUACCCUUUAGUAAUGGGUCCUUUGAUGUUAGUAACAAGGGUCUUGGGAACCCAAAUAGACCAUUCAAUGUACUCAUAAGAAGAACCAACAAAUCGAGCAUAAACAUGUCCAUCACUAGCACGGCACAACACAUAUGAUGGGUUAAAGUCGGCGGCUUUGUUUGAGGAAAUGCUUUUGCCCUUUUGGACAUCACCUCCCUUCACUUUCUCCUUCUUCUUCUCAGGAGCACCCUCUCCCUCUUUCACAAACGUUUUUUUGAGAGGAGGAGGACGAUUGGUCUUAUUGUUCUUCUUCUUCUUGCUCUUGGACUUGGGUGCAAACCCAAUUCCUUCCUUGGACACAACUUCCUUUUGAUUGCUCAAAAGGUCGUUGAGGUUUUUCUCACCUUGAAUGCAAGACACAAGGCCUUUCUCAAGUUGAUCCUUAAGCUUGGCAUUUUCCUCCACAAGAUGCACAUGCUCACAACAUGGGUUAGUAGCACAUGCAUUAUCAAUUAAUACCAUAUGAGGAAAGGUGGCCUUUUCCUUGAUUAGCUUAACUUGGAGUUGAGCAUGAGACUCUUUGAGGCUAGCAUGAGUACCCUUCAAGACCUUGUGGGCCUUAUCAAGUAUCUCAAACUCCUCUUUGAGUCUAGCAUGAUCAACCCCAAGUUUAGCCUUCUCGGAAGUUAGCACACGAGACAUGACAAGAGCAUGAUCAAGAUCUUUCUUUAACUUAGCAUGGUCAUCAUUGUGUGACUCCUCAAGAGUCAAACGAUGCACACGCUCUUCUUCAAGAGCAUUAGAGAGAUCCGAUAUCUCAUCGACAUAAUCACGACUAUGACCUUCCAUCUUAGAGAUGGUUUCUUCGUGAGCCUCGAUCAUGUCAUUGGCCUCACCAAGUUGUUCCAAGAGAGCAACAAAGUGCUUCUUGGACUUGCCCUUAAGCUUACUCAUAAACGACUCAAACUCAUUCACUUCUUCAUUAGACCCACAAUGUUCAUCAAUGCAAUCCUCCACGGAGGGAUUAGGAAUGAUGGUGGUUCUAAUGUUGGGGGUUACCUUGUUUGAAGCUUUAGCCAUGAGGCAUUUGGCGGUGAUGUUUUCGUUGGGUGAAUCAAAGAGAGACACUCGGGGAGUAGUGGCAAUGGCAACGGAUGCCAUGGCCAUUGCUUCUUCAUUUUCAUCAUCAUCGUCAUCCUCUUGGUAUUCUUCUUGAACCACCAACCCACGAGUGGGAGUCCUUUUGGCGAAGUUGUUCUUGUUGGGGAAGGACUUGGCUUUGUCUUUUCGGAUGAACUUGCCACCAUUGUCUUCCCGCUUCUCGUAAGGACAAUCCGCAACAAAAUGGCUCACAUUGCCACAGUUGAAACAAGUUCUAACUCGUUGCUUGCCCUUGACGCCACUGGAGUUGUUCUUGUUGAAGUUGGGUCUUGAAUUCUUCUUGUUCCAAAAUUGUCUUGAAGCAAGGGCCAUGUGCUCAUGAUAAUCAAACUUGGUGUCCUCGGGGUUGCUUUCCUCAUCUUCUACUUCUUCCUCUUCUUCCAUAAUAACCUUGGCCUUCAGAGAAAGGUUGGGCUUCUUGGCCCUUUGGGAACGAAGCACCGCAUUGUCGGCGGUCUUAUCCAAGAUGUUCAUUGCAAUAAACUCAUCCAACACUUCACUAGAGGUCAUGGAGUGGAAGUCCGGUCUUUGGCGGAUGACUGAGGACAUGGCCUACUUGUAGGGCAUCAUGGCCUUGAGGAACUUGCGCUUGAUCCAGUUGUCAUCUGUGUCCUUACUCCCAUGAUCUCGGAGUGCGACCGCAAGUUUGGUCACUCUUCGAAAGAGUUCACGAGGUUCUUCAUCCUCUUUCAUUGCAAACUCAUCGGCUUCAUCUUGCACCACUUCAUAGUUGGAGCGUUGAAUGCUAGCACUUCCUCUGUACAUACGCUCGACACACUUCCACGCUUCUUUAGCCAUGGCAUGAGGUCGAAGAUGAGGAAGAUCUUCGGGAAGGAUAGCAUCUUGGAUGAUGAAGAGAGCACUCUCAUUGAAUUGAUUGUCCACUUCUUCUCGAGGGGUGAAGUUGCUUGGGUCAUGAGGAUAGAAACCUUCUUCAAUGACUCUCCAAAGGUUAGUGUUCACAUGUUUUAAAUGUCGCUUGAAGCGAUAAACCCAAGAAUCAAAAUCUUCAUUUUUUACAUAUUUAGGAGGAGGACCGGCAUGAUUCAAAUGAGUGGAGGGAAUUGGUCCUUUAUAGAUAGGACGUUCCACAUGGGCAAAGAUGCCGGUGCCAUGUCUACCACUAGUAGAAGGACUCUUUUCAUUGUUAGCUUCCCCCUUAUCGGAGUUAGCAUCCGUCACCUUGUUAGUGGGAUCACCCACUUUCAUAGGCGAGGUAGAUAGUUUAAGUCCCUCUAGAAAUUCAGUAAACAUGCUUUUAACCUCGGCCGUCAUGGAGGUUUUCAAUGUUUCUAAAGCCACAUUGAAUUCCUCACGUGAGACCGAGGUUCCCCCUUCGGCCGAAGAUGAGAUGGGAUUCACACCGGAGUGUUCCUCCGCACCAUCGUUGGUGUCAACCAUACUCUUCGGACGGCAAAGUCCUUAAUAAAGAGAUGAGACUCUGAUACCAAUUGAAAGGAUCGAUAUGGUUGACUAGAGGGGGGUGAAUAGACAACUAACAAUUUUUAAGCUUUUCUUAGUCAAAUUAAACUUUGCAACAAAGUAGGUUGUCUAGAUGUGCAACUAAGUGAGCAACCUAUAUGAUGCAAUGACAACUAGCACACAAGCAAGUAAAGGAUGUAAACAAGUAAACUAGCUAAAGUAAAAGGCAUGAGAUAACCAAUAGUGGAGCCGGUGGAGACGAGGAUGUGUUACCGGAGUUCCUUCCUUUUAAGGGGAAGUACGUCUCCGUUGGAGCGGUGUGGAGGCACAAUGCUCCCCAAGAAGCCACUAGGGCCACCGUAUUCUCCUCACGCCCUCACACAAUGUGAGAUGUUGUGAUUCCACUAUUGGUGCCCUUGAAGGCGGCGACCGAACCUUUACAAGCAAGGUUGGGGCAAUCUCCACAACAAACGGAGGCUCCCAACAACAACAACAACACGUCGAAGCUUCACCACAAUGGAGUACGGCUUCGAGGUGACCUCAACCGUCUAGGGUGCUCAACACCCAAGAGUAACAAGAUCCGCAAGGGAUAAGUGGGGGAAAUCAAAUAUCCUGUGGUGGAAGUGUAGAUCGGGCCCUUGUCACCCAAUCCCGAGCAAAUCAACAAGUUUGAUUGGCUAGGGAGAGAGAUCGGGCGAAAAUGGAGCUUAGAGCAACAAUGGAGCUUAGAGGUGGAAGAGGUAACCUACUAGAGGUAGAAGACACCCCUUAUAUAGUCGUGGACAAAUCCAACCGUUAUCCAACAAGUUCAGCCCGCGACCCGCGGUACUACCGCUCCAGGGGCGCGGUACUACCGUGAGGCUGCGCGGUACUACCGUGGACGACCACGGUACUACCGCGGUAGCAACACAGGCCGGAACUGGCCUGACUAAGGGGCAGUACUACCGCUGGCGCGGUACUACCGCUCCCCCUUGCGGUACUACCGCAAGGCAGGAGAGUCACGGCCUGGGAAGGGCGCGGAUGAAAUAAAUUACAUCCGUGCCUACUUCCGCUGAAACUGGGGUGGUGCAAAAACCCGACGCGGUACUACCGCACGCAAGGUGCGGUACUACCGUGGCGGGCGCGGAUGUAAAAAAUUACAUCCGCGCCUACUACCGUGGGUCAGCGAUACUAGGUAGGAGGGCCACGGUACUACGGCUCCUAGGGAGCGGUACUACCGUGGGCCCCCGCGGUACUACCGCGCUGGACGAGCGGUACUACCGUGGUGGGCGCGGAUGUAAAAAAUUACAUCCACCCCUACUACCGCACCGGAGCGGCACAAGGCCUGGGUGCCGCGGUACUACCGCUCAAGAGGAGCGGUACUACCGUGACACCUAGCGGUACUACCGCUUGUACCUGCGGUACUACCGCAAGUACAGCAGUAGUUGCCAGGUUUCCGCACAACCAAGAUAACGAAGGGCAGCUCCAAAGUGCAGGGAAAGGGAAGACAAGUGUACGUGUUGAUUUCACCCAAACCUUUCCGACGCGGACCCCCUCUUAAUAGUACGGCUCUCCUACGACUCAAAUCCACCAAAGAGAAACGUAGGACGACGCCGACUUCAAUGGUCUCCGAGGGGCACCGAAUCGUCUCGUGCCCAGUGAUGAAGUAUCUGAGAGACUCAACGCACACGAUUAGUCCGCAAAAGCAUUGUCAUCAAUCACCAAAACACCUCAGGGAUAAACAUGCCCUUACAAUUAGGGGAUAUCCGGACAGCCGGACUAUAUACAUCGUCCGGACUAUUGAAGUGUGAAGAUACAAGAAUCAAGACUUCAGCCCGUGUCCGGAUGGGACUCUCCUUUGCAUGGAAGGCAAGCUUGGCGAUCCGGAUAUUGUGUUUCCUUCCUUGUAACCGACUCCAUGUAAACCCUAGCCCUCUUCCAUGUCUAUAUAAACCGGAGAGGUUGGUCCUUAGAAGGCCGAGCACAAUUACAAUCAUACCAUCAUAGGCUAGCUCUUAGGGUUUAGCCUCUACGAUCUCGUGGUAGAUCUACUCUUGUACUACCCAUAUCAUCAAUAUUAAUGAAGCAGGAAGUAGGGUUUUACCUCCAUCGAGAGGGCCCAAACCUGGGUAAACAUCUGUGUCCCUUGCUUCCUGUUACCAUCAGCCUAGACACACAGGUCGGGACCCCCUACCCGAGAUCUGCCGGUUUUGACACCGAUAGGGACCCUUUUCAAAGAUUACUUGUAAAUAAUUGACCAUGGCAAGUAUGUGAUCACCGGUACAGAUGGUGGGCUUCUUCCGGUGAUCUCCCUCGCCUUUGAAAUGCUUGCCUUUCUUUCGACAUUGAUGGUUGGUCGGAAGAAAUCGACGAUGCCCCAAGUGCACAUUCUUCCUGCAUUUGUCCAGGUAUAUACUUUCGGUGUCAUCUAAACAGUGUGUGCACGUGUGGUAUCUCUUGUUUGUCUGUCCUGAAAGGUUACUGAGAACAGGCCAAUCAUUGAUGGUUACAAACAGCAACGCAUGUAGGUUAAAUUCAUGUUGUUUGUGCUCAUCCCACACACGUACACCAUUUCCAUUCCACAGCUGUAAAAGUUCUUCAACUAAUGGCCUUAGGUACGCAUCAAUGUCAUUGCUGGGUUGCUUAGGGCCUUGGAUAAGAAUCGACAUCAUAAUGAACUUUCACUUCAUGCACAGCCAAGGAGAAAGGUUAUAGAUACAUAGAGUCAUAGGCCAGGUGUUGUGGUUGCUGCUCUGCUCCCCAAAAGGAUUAAUGCAAUCCGCGUUUAAACAAACCAUACGUUCCUUGCGUCACCUGCAAAGUCCUCCCAGUGCUUUCUCUCGAUUUUCUCCACUGCGACCCGCCAGCAGGUGCUCUCAACUUCCCGUCUUUCUUAUGGUCCUCUCUAUGCCAUCGCAUCAACUUGACAUGCUCUUUGUUUCUUAACAGAAGUUUCAACCGUGGUACUAUAGGAGCAUACCACAUCACCUUGGCAGGAACCCUCUUCCUAAAGUGCUUGCCGUCAACAUCACCAGGGUCAUGUCAUCUUGAUCUUAUACCACAAUGCACCGCAUACCGGGCAUGCAUUCAAAUCCUCAUACGCACCACGGUAGAGGAUGCAGUCAUUAGGGCAUGCAUGUAUCUUCUGCACCUCCAAUCCUAAAGGGCAUACAACCUGCUUUGAUGCAUACGUAUUGUCGGGCAAUUCGUUAUCCUUUGGAAGCUUCUUCUUUAAUAUUUUCAGUAGCUUCUCAAAUCCUUUGUCAGCUACACCAUUAUGUGCCUUCUACUGCAGCAAUUCCAGUGUGGUACCGAGCUUUGUGUUGCCAUCUUCACAAAUGGGGUACAACCCUUUUUUGUGAUCCUCUAACAAGCGAUCGAACUUCAGCUUCUCCUUUACAUUUCGCAGUGUCUCUUUGCAUCAACAAUGACCUGGCGAAUAUCAUCAUCGGGCACAUCGUAUGGUUCAUCUUGAUCUUCAGCUUCCCCCGCUGCAGCAUCACCGUAUUCAGGGGGCACAUAGUUGUCAUCACCCUCUUCUUCUUCUUCCUUGUCUUCCAUCAUAACCCCCGUUUCUCUGUGCUUGGUCCAAACAUUAUAGUGUGGCAUGAAACCCUUAUAAAGCAAGUGGUUGUGAAGGAUUUUCCAGUCAGAGUAAGACUUCGUAUUCCCACAUAUAGGGCAUGGACAACACAUAAAACCAUUCUGCUUGUUUGUCACAGCCAUUUCAAGAAAAUUAUGCACACCCUUAAUGUACUCGGAGGUGCGUCUGUCACUGUACAUCCAUUGCCGGUUCAUCUGCGUGCAUUAUAUAUAAUUAAGUGUGUCAAAAACCAUUAUGGAACAUUAUGAAUACAGAAGUGACCAAAUUAAUAGAAGUUCAUCAUCACAUUAAAACCAAAGUACAUACAUAGUUCUCAUUGAAUAAUAUAUAGCUCUCCAGAGCAUCUAACUAAACCAUACAUUGAAACUAUCUAAAACAUCUCAAUGCAACAACAAAUGUGAUCAUAAUUGCAACUAAGGUAACAAUUGAUCAAACGGCAUAAUGAUACCAAACCUCAGUAUGAAUGGCAUAUUUUCUAGUCUUUCUAAUCUUCAAGGGCAUUGCAUCCAUCUUGAUCUUGCGAUCAUCAACGACAUCCGCAACAUGCAACUCCAAUAUCAUCUUCUCCUCCUCAAUUUGUUUUCAAUUUUCCUUCAAGUAAUAGUUUUCUUCUUCAACUAAAUUUAACCUCCCGACAAUAGGGUCGGUUUGAAUUUCCGUUUGACAUACCUCCUAGAUAAAAAAAAAUCUAUGUCACAUUGCUCGGCAUAAUUGUCAUAAACACUAAAUGAAACAAAUAGUUAUAAAAAAUAAUAUAUAUACCACAUCCGAAUCAUAGACAGGACGAGGGCUGACGAAGGCGGAUACCAAAAUCAUCGCACUAUAUAAUAACAAACAAUAAAAGUAAGAAAAUUACACAAGUAUCUAUCUAAAUCAUACAAGUAAGAACGUUUUUCUUUUAGAAAGAAGAUAAGAAAAAGAGGCUCACCAUGAUGGUGCCGGCGGCGAGAUCAACGCAGGCGAUCGACAGCAGUGAGGACGGGGACGGGACAGGACCGACAGCCUAACCUAUACAAAUCUUGAGGAAAAUGGAGCUUGGACAAGGAGCUUCGAGAGGAGAAAGCUUAAGUGUGGCUCGGGCAUUUCAUCGAACACCUCAUGUGCAUAGGAGGUGAGCUAGAGCACAACAUACCUCUCCCAAAAAACAGAGCACUCCACUGCUCUGCUCGCGGGCGAGGGGUAUAUAUAGGCAUCUCAUUGGUCCCGGUUCGUGGCUGGAACCGAGACUAAAGGACAACCUUUGGUCCCGGUUCAAGCCACCAACCGGGACCAAUGGUCGUGUGCCAGGAGCGAGGUCCAUUGGUCACGGUUCGUGCCUGGAACUGGGACCAAAGGGGCCAGACGAACCGGGACCAAUUCCCCACGAGGCCCGGCCGGCCCCCUGGCUCUUGAACCAGGACCUAUGCCCCCAUAGGUCCUGGUUCGUGAGUGAACCGGGAUUAAUGGGCUUGCCCUGCUUAGACCAAAGCCCUGUUUUCUACUAGUGUACAUCGCUUAGGUGCUUGUCUCAGGCCAUAUAAAGAUUUCAACAACUUAUACACUUCUCCAUUCUGACCAUCUAUUACAAAGCCAUCUGGUUGUUCCAUGUAGAUUUUCUCGUCUAGCUUUCCGUUCAGAAAAGCCAUCUUAACCUCCAUCUAUUGAACGAGAAGACCAUGCGAGGUUGCCAAUGAUAGUAAUACUCGAAUAGUGGCCAGUCUGGCCACAGGUGAAUAAGUAUCGAAGAAAUCUUCUUCUUCUUUCUGGGCAUAACCCCUGGCCACAAGCCUAGCCUUGCACUUUUCAGUCGUACCAUUGGGCCUAAACUUCGUUAUGAUCACCCACUUACAUUCUAAUGGUUUGCAGCCAUAGGGGCAUUCAGUGAUUCCCAUGUCCCGUUAGCCAUGAUGGAAUCCAUCUCGCUACGGACAUCAUCUCUCUAGUAGUCAGCUUUUGGAGAUGUAUAUGCUUCUGAAAUAGAAGUGGGAGCAUGAAAAUACUCAAUGACAAUUGUGGCAGCACAAAUUUGGCAUGUGCUAGCUAUUCAUAAUCGUUACCUACAUUUGAAACCAUGGCUAGAGGGCUUAGUUGUAGGCUUGGAGGAUCAAACACGUGCAAAACAAACACUCAAGACAUUUGUUACUAGGAAGAUCACCUACAUUCCUCAAGCACCGCCUCAUUGAACAAACCAAGAUGGCCUAGCCUCAUCGGGCAACGAGGACCACAAACACCACACUCCUCAACACUAGCAGGAGGAAGGUCGCGACCAUGAGGAGGGAGACGGGAAGGUCUUAUUCGAAAUGGCUACACCACUGCCAUCAAAGCACAACUACGAGACAUUCCUCACCCAUAACCUAUCUACAAGUCGGGCACGAGGCACUCGGUUUCCUGCCCUACGGCUGCUCUAGCAGCAGGGGGGAGGGGAUCUCGUGGGCUCUCAGGUAAAUCCAAUCCAUUAGUCCUUGCAAUGAAUGCUCGCUCUAUCGCUCAAUAAUGGGUGUAUAAAUUUCUCUACAAAUAGUAGUCUACUAGAUUUUUACAUUUUAUUGUAUGUGAAUUAUACAUAGGCACUCAAGAGUCUUGUAAGAAUGAUGGAUGUACAUUGUUUUUACAUUCAUGUCCGCAUGUCGAGGCUUGACCCAUGAGGGACAUGACGUUCAAGCCGUCUUCCAUUAUGACACACAACUCUAGCUAUGUGUAGUAGAGGCGGCACUAUACAUCAUCGCCCUGGGGGAAGGAGUGUGACUAGUGGUUACGCCGCGCAUGCCUAUUUUUUUAUCCUUGCUACCUCUCAAUCCCAUUUUUUUCGAUAAAGGGUUUUUCAUUGAAUUGAAAUAUCGAGUUGAUACAACCGCAUCAAAGACCAUCCGGUUUCUGCAUAGCUAGAUGCACACAGCCAAAGUUCCAAAGUACUAGAAGCCAAAAUAAAAAGGCAAAAGACGCCAGCAGUAGCGAAAAAAGAUAAAAGAGGCCUAAGGUGAUGCCGGUCCAAUCCGAAGGUCACACCGCCAUCCAUGAGGAUAAAAAAUGUCCCUGGCCGAGCACUCCAACCGGGUAGAAGCCAUCAUAAAAAGGUCUCUGUCCUCCGGCCUCUGCAGGAUAGACCACAUACGGAGCCAUCGCGAGCAUAUAUGAAUUACCUGCAUAGGAGAUGAAACAUUUUUAUGAUUAAAAACAAUAUCAUUCCUGGUGAGCCACAACGCCCAACAUAAGGCAGCCGCCUCCGCAAGAAUGUGCUUAGACAAUUAUUUAUCUAUUCCCCUCAACCAAUUGCCGAACAUAUUCCGUACGCUGCGUGGAGGAUAUAGAUUCGAAGCAAUUUGGACUAUUGCCCAUACCAAUCUAGCAAACUUGCAAUCAAAAAAUAGGUGUUUAAUGGAUUCAUUAUGAUUGCAGAAAACACAUUUUUUGCAGCCUUGCCAGUUUCGUCGAGCUAGAUUGUCCCUAGUUAAGAUAACUCCUUUGUCGAGAAACCAUAGGAAAAUUUUCACUUUUAGAGGAAUCUUAAGCUUCCACAAUUUUCUAUUAUCAGAUGGAACCUCGUUAUGAACCAAUGCAUCAUACAUGGAUUUAACCGAAAAUCUUCCAUUCAGAUGCAGGUUCCAUUUAAAGAUGUCCGAUUCAGCCGACAAUUGGACAGCUCCCAAACGAGUCAGCAAAUCGUUCCAUGCAGUCAGACGAGGUCCAGAAAUCGUUCUGCGAAAAGAAAUAUCCGGGUGUUCUUGUCCCAAUACCUGCUUAAUCGUGACAAACUUAUGUCUAACUAUCCGAUAUAAGCUUGGGUAUUGCAUAUUUAGAGGAGUAGUCCCGAGCCAGGUGUCUUCCCAGAACCGAAUCUGGGAGCCGUCCCUAACCGAGAAAGUGCCAAAUUGGAAAAAGAAUUCUUUAGCUUUCAUAACCCCACUCCAAAAAUGAGAGUCACCUUGAUUUCCAGUAGACCUGGGAGAUUGCUUUGGACCCAACAUAUUUAUUACGAAUGAUCUCCUGCCAAACACCAUCCUCAGUGAGUAAUCUGUAUACCCAUUUGCUGAGCAAUGCAAUGUUUUUGAUCUCAAGAUCCUGGAUUCCGAGUCCCCCUUGGCUUUUAGGACGACAUAAUAUAUUCGACCUAGCCAAGCGAUAUUUCUUUUUUUCAUUGUCACUCUGCCAAAAAAAACCUUGAUCUAAAAUAAUCAAGGCGUUGGAGAACACCUUUUGGCAGAUGAAAAAAAGAUAGCAUGUAAAGGACCAUGUUGGUAAGAACCGAGUUGAUCAGAACUAGUCGGCCCCCAUAGGACAAGAGUUUGGCCUUCCAGCUCGCCAACCGUUUCUCCAGUCUCUCUUCAACAUGUUUCCAUUCAGCGAUUGUCAAACGCCGAUAAUGAAUAGGAAUACCUAAAUAUCGAAUCGGAAAUUGGCCUAGUUGGCAUCCAAAAAUAUCAGCAUAUUCUUGUGAAGUUUCUGCGGCUUCGCCAAAGCAGAAAAGUUCACUCUUAUGAAAGUUUAUCUUAAGGCCAGAAAGAUCCUCAAAAGCACAUAAUAACAAUUUGAGGUUUCUAGCCUUUUCUAGGUCGUGAUUCAAAAACAAAAUGGUGUCAUCCGCAUACUGUAAGAUUGACAGGCCUCCUUCUACUAGAUGAGGAAUGACCCGGUGAUUUGACCAGCUAGCUUGGCCCUCUCAAUGAGAGUAACUAGCAUAUCAGCCACGAUGUUGAAAAGGAUAGGUGAUGCGGGGUCGCCUUGGCAUAGCCCCUUCCUAGUCUGGAAAUAAUUGCCUACGUCAUCGUUCACCUUGAUAGCCACGCUACCUCCAGACACAAAGUUCUCAACCCAUCGGCACCAAGUAUCGGAAAACCCUUUCACACGAAGAAUUUGAAGCAAAAAAGGCCACUUCACCUUAUCAUAAGCUUUCUCGAAGUCAAUCUUAAAGAUGACCCCAUUCAACUUUUUACGGUGGAGCUCAUGAACAGUUUCAUGUAGGACAGCAACACCGUCUAAGAUGUUCCGUCCUUGCAUGAAAGUUGUUUGUGUUGGUUUGACUACAUGGUCUGCGACCCCAUUCAGCCGGUUAGUCGCGACCUUGGUGAAAAUUUUAAAGCUCACGUUUAAUAAGCAAAUCGAUCUAUAUUGUUGAAUCCGAUUGGCAUCCUUUAUCUUUGGUAAAAGGAUAAUUUCACCAAAAUUGAGUCUGGAGAUGUCUAGUCUAUGAGCAUGCAGUUCAUUAAACAAUUGAACCAGGUCAGACUUUAACAUAUCCCAAAAAAAUUGAUAAAACUCCGCUGGAAAACCAUCCGGUCCCGGAGAUUUGUUGUGUUUCAUUUGAAAAAUCGCAGUUCGUAUUUCCUCCUCAGUGAAAGCAGAGGUUAGGAAUUCAUUUUCUGCAGCGGAAACUUGCUGGAUGUCAUGAAAAAUAGACUCAUCCAUCUCCAGCGUAGUUUCCGAGGAAGGACCAAACAAGUCUUUAUAGUAUUUUGUAAUAAAGUCCUUGAGCGGAGCGUCCCCCUCAAUGCGACCCUCGUCCUGAUCAAGGGUGAAUAUUCGUUUCUUUCUAUGUCUGCCAUUGGCUAACAUUUGAAAGUACUUCGUGUUAUCAUCCCCAAGUACCAACGAGUCGCUCUUGCACCGUUGGUACCAUUUGAUUUCCUCUUCGCGUAAGAGACGGGCUAGCUGCUCAUUGAGAUGACUUUUUUGCUCAAUCUCAGCCGCAGAUAGAAGCCUCACCUCCGCGAUCUUAUCUAAGGAGUCGAUCAAGACAGAUAGUCGCAACUUCUCUUUCUUAUAAAUCUCAGCGGUGUGUUUAGCCCAUCCGCGGAGGAAUUGGCGCAAUGCACGAAUGCGAUUAUUCCAACAUUGAAUUGGUGUAUCACCCUGUGUUGGGCGUUGCCACACCUUUUUAACCAAUUCAGGGAAACCCUCUCUAGUGAGCCACCCCAGUUCAAAUUUAAACUGAUGGCGGUUCGAAGUGGGUGCUGCUUGACCAAAAUCAGUAAGCAAUGGAGCAUGAUCCGAUAAGGCCUCAAUUCUCUCCAAAGCCCGCACUGAUGCUAAUGGAUAUUUAAAUUCCCAGUCUGUGGUGACUCGCACCCGAUCAAGUUUUUCGAACGUCGGGAUAGAUCUAUUAUUGGCCCACGUAAAUUGGCGCCCGAGAGAGAGAGAGUUCCCGCAAAUCAAGACUGUCAAUGACAGCAUUAAAAAGAAACGGCCAUCGAGUGUCGAACCUAUCAUUGUUUUUAUCCUGCUGGUAUCGCAAAAUAUUAUUGAAGUCCCCCCCAAGUAGCAUGGGGUGAGGAUUUUCUCUGCAGGUAUUGACAAGUUCUUUGAGGAAGGCCGCUUUAAAUUCAUCUUGAGCAGCACCAUAUACGGCAACCAAGCUCCAAAUGAAAUUAUCGGAUUUGUUUCUAAGGUGGAAUUUAAUAUGAUACUCCCCUUUGAAGUAGAAAGAAGUUUCAAGUAAGUGGAGUGUAUUCCUAAAAGAAUACCUCCGGACCUCCCUGAAGGCGGCAGGAUAUGCCAUUCGUAAUCUUUGCCACAUGAAAAAUGGUCCAACUCACGGCGUUGGAAAGUCACGCUUACUACACUCAGAGAUUGCCACGAAGUCGAGGGCAUGAUCCCUAACACAAUCGGAAAUAUGUUUGUACUUAACCAAGUCACCAAGACCUCUGCUAUUCCAAAACAUUCCUUUCAUGGAGAAACUUUAUUACGUUUGGAUACUUUGGUCUUCUUCUUAGGGCGACCCUUUUUACUACCAGAGUUAGACUUGUUCUUACGUACCGAUGCAACGAGCUCACAAAGCAUCGUAUCACGCAUGGUAUCUUCAAAGUCUACCUCUGUAGUAUCAUUGACUAGAUGAGAGAGGAGUCUGCCUUCAUGGUUGGCAUCGGACUCCUCAUCCUCCUCAUCUGAUACUAGUGGAUCCACCGUCAGAAGCGUUCUAGGAGCAACCGUAAGCCGGUCGAACUCCAUUUGCUUAAGAGCUUUAACUGAGAAAUCAACUACUGCAUCAUUUCUACCUAAUGAAAUACCAAGGCUAGCAAUAUUUGAAGACAUUUUGGCUUUAUCAAAAGAUAGAAAUGAUUUGCAAGGAGACGUACCAUCAAAGUCGAGGUUCCGCGAUGCCGUUCUACGCAUGGCCCUCUGCAUGGAAUCCUCAUCAGUGGCAGAGGCCCCAUCAACCCCCACAACAUGGCGGCCGCUACGUCUAGGCGGUGAAGUAGUAAACUCCGAAGCAACCCGCAUCCCAGAGGGCCGGAAAGGUGGUGUAGACGGCUCUGGCGUAGCAGCGGGAGACCUAGAACGCUGCAGCUCAUCCUCCAUAACAGCGAUACAAGGAGCAGCCUCCUCAUCCCGCGGCGGCGACGCAGGAGACAACGCUGGCCCCGUCGACGCUGCGGGAGACCGUGAAAGCUGCAGCUCAUCCUCCAUGACAGCGUUCGUAGGAGCAGCCUCCUCGUACUGCGACGGCGGCGCAGGAGACAGCGCCCGAAGCGUCGCCAAGGCCAUGUCAUGAUCUGCACGCACCGCCGGGGAGAAAAUCACACCCCGACGACCAGAAGACCGAGAAGAAGCCGAUGUAGGUGUCGUCAGAUGCUCCAAAGCAGCCUCCGGCGGUGAUCCCAUCGCCAAGGGCGCCGCAGGCCCAUCAACCCAUGUCCGAAUAGCUGACAUGGGCAAAGCAUCCGGUUGAGGUGGUGGAGGCGGUGCAUAGCUGGCAAGCGAGGGAGGGUUCUGGGGCGGCACGAGCUCCGUUGCCGCUGGCGGGUCCCCCGACAAAGGCCGCGAUGCCAAGCAUGGAUGUGUACUGGCAGGAACGGUCAUGGAAGAGGUGAUUUGCAUCGGAACCACUCCUCCCAAGGAAGAUGAUGCCUCCGUGUUAGCUGACGACGAAGACGCUUUCGGCCUCUUGCUUUUGUCAUCAGCCCUUGAAGUGUCCUCUCGAUCAUGCGCCUUGUCCCCUUCCGUAUCAUCGCCAUGCUCCCAAACGCGAGGCACAAAAUCAGCGUCCACACAGAAAUCAUCAUCUUCCAGAGUGUACCGGAAUUUAUAGCCCUUCUUCUGAACAACCACAUCCGACGAGAGGGAGUUGACAUGGCUCAUCUUAAAAGCAUCAAGAUUAAGCACGCCAACCUGAAUCCUCACAAUACCACGACGGCGCAAGCAAAGGAGGUCGACGUCAAGAGUGGCGCCAAUAACAGAGCCAACUGCCCAGAGACCCAAGAAAUGCCGGAGAGCGUGAGGAACUCCGUGUACAUGCACCCAAACUGGAAUAAGCUCAAAACGAUUCGGAAUCUCCUCGGAAUGACAAGCCUUGAACUCCAAAGUGACAUUAUGCGAUUUGAUGAAGACCGUGAAACCAGUAACUCUCAGGAGCACCUCGUCACUGGGAAAAGACAUGAUAAAAGCAUUCUGGCCAUGACGGAUAGCCUCCCACGUCCACUGUUGCUAAGAUCCCUCUCAAUCCCAUGCAGCGCGAUUAUGUACUCACUCCAUUUUUAUUUACUUCGCAUAUUAGCUUUGCCUCGAGUCAAACUUUGUAAACUUUGACCAAGUUUACACACAAAAUUAUUAGCAUCUACAAUACCAAAUCAAUACCAUUAGAAUCAUCAUUCAAUAUAUUUUCAUACAUAUAUAUUUGUUAUUAUGAAAGUUUAGAUUGUUUUCGAUAAACUUGGUCAAAACUUUAUAAAGUUUGACUUAGGUCAAAACUAAUAUGCUGAGUAAAUAAAAACGGAGGAAGUAAUAAAAAUCUACUGUACUACUUAUCUGAAGCUUGUAGAGGCUUGAUCUCGUACAGUGAAGCUAUGAGAAACAACCACAACUACAUGUGCAGCUACCGGCUGAUAACAUAGACGAGCCCAUUUAUAAAGGCACUGAGUCCAGCUCGCGUGUGGGCAUGUAGUUAUGUGACGGUCUCCCGGCUGGGUGCAGUAUCUUUUAAGAUCAUCACAAAGCUUGUCCUUGGACCACCUACCUUUAUGUAGUACUCCUAUAUGUACCUAGCUUUUUUUUGCAGGGUAAAUGAGAGUUUUAUUUGGGCUCGGCAGUGGUGGUGCUUGCGUUCCUCUCAUGUGGGCGUUGCCGUGGAGGCUAGGUGUCCUAGGUCGUGUUGUAGCGUUGUAUUCCCGUCGUCCUGCAAAAAUAGAUCAGCCAUUGUUGAUGUGCAAGAAAAGAAAAGCCGAUCAGAACGCACCCACGUUUUGCACGGUUGACUGAAAAGAAAAGCCUGGCGAUAACAUGGCCCGUGUGGUAAUGUAGUGGCGUAAAUGGUCUCAAUUGAAGAAAAUAUAGAUGCACUACGUUAUGAGAGCAUUGCAAAGGUCGUCCUCGACUCACCUACCUUUUGCACGUAUGUGCCUGCCGUGGUUAACCUAUCUCUAUCAUGUGUAUUCCCAGCGAGCCAUGUUAUCGCCAGUCCUCCUUGUAAAAUUCUAGCUAAAUGCAUCAGGAUUCUAAUUCGAUUUAACAAAGAUAACUGAUCGGCCCAGCUAUAAAAACGGUGAGUGCAGCUGCCAUGAAAAACCAUAGGGAAGAAGAGCCCCUUGCCGUCAGAGAGAGCAUAUCAGCUCCAGAUCAUUGUAUAACUGGACUAGGCGAUGCACAUUAGAGACAUUAACAUCAUCACCCUAUCAUAAGGAGUGUCGCCACAAGCGGCUGCGCAACGCAGGACUGCUCGUCCAGAUUCGCGUUGCCUCCCAAUCCCAUGUUGUGCGGUCAUGUAAUGAACACCUCCUCAUAUAUAGCAUGGAUAGCCUUUCUCAUGGAGUAAAGGUAUGCCAAACAACCAGAAUCGCACCCGUGAAUAUAGCUAGCUAGCUCGGCCAAAGAAAAUACCUGCUGAUAACAUAAACGAGUUAAUUGAGAUACCUGCUGCUCGGCCAAACGAGUUAGCAGAGAGAGCCUUGGCUCAGUGGUUGGGUAUGUGGUUGUGCAACCCAACGACCCGAGUUCAAUUCCCAGAAUUGACCUGUGAUGUACAGGGGUUUCCUCCGUUUAUUGAGGAUCAAGUUUGAUGUGUGGUGGAAUCACUCAUCAAGAAAUAUCUUGAUACUCAUUUAAAAAAUACCUUAGUUGGUGCAGAGGCCGGGAAGUGAAAAUCUCCCCAUAUUUUAAGAGAUAUUCUUCACGAAAGCUCGCCCCUCGUGUCGCCCCGCGGGCAACCCGAGGGAGAAAACCCUAGCCGCCGCCCCUCGAGUCUCAUCCUCCUCUCCCCUUCCUCGCCGCCGUCCAUAGCGCCGCCGGGCGAAGCCUGGCCGGCUGGACGGCGGCGGGGCUUCUCCCCAUCCUCUCCGUCAUCCUCUCCGUCCUGGCUGGCGCGGGACAGCGGGAUUCAGAGGAACGCCGGGCGAACGUGGGGUCCGGCGGCGCGGCGGACGGGUCUCCCAUCAGCGUCGUGCGCGGCGCGUCGUGAGGUGGUGGCUGUGUUGGCCUGACCGGUGGUCGCGGGUGCCGCCGGAUUCAGAUCGGAUCCAUCUGGAUCCUUUCUUCGGACUCCGUCGGCCGUUGCGGGGUGGUGAUGAUCGUCGCUGGCCACGUCGGAUCGUUGGAUUCGGCGUCUGGAGAUCUACAAGGAGCUCUUCUCGAUCCUCCUUUCUAGUGGGUUGAGCCCCAUGGCUUUUUCAUCUUCGCGGGUUUCAGAUCGUGGCUUGCCGGAUCCGGAGUACACGGAGGUUUGGUGGCAUAGGAUGGGGACCGGAGGGAACUUUGGUCGGCUUGUUCGGCCUGGCGCUGUUACCCUUCCUAGAGGCGAAGACGAGGUCCCCCCUAUCCACCCCCGAACCCUUUCCGGACGAAAGUCCAAAAUUCAGUCUGGAUUGGGCGGCGGCGGCGUCCUGCGCGUCGUAUCCUCCAUGGAGGCGCCGUCUUGGGAGGAACUGCUGUUCAGGGGAGAGAUGUUGUGGAUGGUGGGCUCCGAGUAGCUCCAGCAGUGGCGAUGGUGUGGAGGUUGCCAGGUGGUGCGGCGUUGUAUCUACCGCGUCAUUGACGAUGAGUGGUGGCGGCAUGGUGCAGUUGCAUAUCGACGACGGAUGCGGCUGGAUGGACGAGCACAGGGUGGUCGAGCUGUCUGGCGCCAUGGUGGCGUCGACGGCAGGCCUAGCAAGGUCUGUGCGUCAGUACCUGCUCUGGAGAUGGAUCGGUGGAAGAAGGCGGCGGCAGCCUCGGUGAGUGCGCAGGACCGGCGUGUGACCCAGUCCCGGUAUGUGGCUAGGAUGGGGCAUCCGACAUUAGAUGUUAGGAUUUGGUGCAAUGUCUGUUUGGUAUUAGGCUCGGUCAUUCGGCACACUGCAUCAAGGGGGUAGGAGUAGCGACAGAUAUUGCCUAAAUGAUGGCUUCAGGCUUACUGAUGUACUAUUUUGUAAGGUCUUUUGUGCUUAAUAAUUAAUAAAAUGGCCGUAUGCAUCGUCCAGAUGUAGAGGCCGGGGGUGCUUCCUCCUUUUCUAAAAAAAACAUAAACGAGUUAAUUUAUAAAGGCACUCUUGGGACCAGCUGGUGUCUCGACAUGUAGUUAUGUGACAGUCUCCAAGCUAGGUGCAUGAAUGUGAGGUGCAGUGUAUAUGUUCGAAGAUCAUCACAAAGCUUGUCCCUAGACCACCUACCUUGUGUAUGUACCUAGCUUGAUUCACCUGCCUUUUUAUUUGCCAUUUAUGUUACACACUUUCAUCUUUGAUGUUGCUCGCCAUGAUGUAUAUAUACUAGGGGUUGGGGCACGCCGAUAUAUGUGCGCCUCCGGAAGCGGCCCUCUGCGGUGCUAGCUGGACGAGUGCCCAUUCCAGAACCUUUUCUCUAAUUAGUGGCAAAUAUGCACAAUUUACUCGUAUGCAUAGCUGCUUUGCUCCCUGAUUUCAGUCGUAUGCAUGAUCAUUCGUAUAUGCUAGUAGCUCAGACCUCAGAUCCAGCACGGAAGAACUUGAUUACGAUUCACUUGUACAAAAAUGGACAGAGUUUUUAUCACAAAGACAUAGCAACGAGAGACUUGUGCUUUACAAAUCAAAUGCUUUCAAACAUGUGGACAUGAGUUUCAAAGGAAAGUUGGACUCAUUUACAGAUGGAUUUCCCUUCAAUUACAAUUUACAUAGAAUUCUUCUCAAGUGUUAUGCUGGCUAGCUCGUUUCCAUCCAUCCAUAUGCUACUCUAUUGAGAGAAAUUGUGCUGGCAAUAUAACCACAUAUGAUUCGUUAGGUGAAAUCGUGCUGGCAGUAUAACGGUUGACUCUGGAGUACCUGACCAAACAAGACAAGACUGGGGGCUAGCAACAAAGAACCACCCAAAUAGGCCGAGGUUCAUGUUGCACAAAUUGUGGUGUUUGAGUGAAAAGCGAGGGACCGGGGAGCGAAGAAGCUUCUGCCGUGAGGGACAAGCGGAAAAUGUGUCUAGUAUAUAACCAAGUUUGGAUGACAGACUAGAUUCUAGUAUCAAGAUGAGACUUUCAUUAGACUCGUCUUCACGACUUCAAAUGAUCGUUUUUUUUUUCAAAAUUGCAGGAUUACUGCCUUCAUUAAGGAGAAAAGAGUUGCUCGGUUACUUAGAGAAAACCGAGCGAGCACAACCAAAGGAGCUUCUGCCGUGAGGGAGAAGCAGAAAAUGUGUCUAGUAUAACCAAGUUUGGAUGACGGACUAGGUUCUAAUAUCAAGAAGAUGAGACUUUCAUUAGAGUCUUCUUCAUGACUUCAAAUGAUCGUCCAGUUUUUUUCGAAAUUGUAGGAUUCCUACAUUCAUUAAGAAGAAAAGAGCUGCUCGGUUACUUAGAAAAAACCGAGCGAAAACCAGAUUGUCCAGUUAAUAAGGGAAAACUCGACGACAAAAUCAUCACAACUGCUAAGCGGCCCAUAUAAGAUACCCACUCACACCAUUCCCAAGAGUGCCUCGCCAAGACAGCGCGCAGGCUUCAUCGUUAUCACUCCUUACCUAGAGGUGUUAUCGACACCCCUAAACCCUGAGCAAAACGACUCUGACUUUGCCGUACACUACUAGGGAAAUGCUUAUGGAUAGAAGUUUACCAGUAGCGCGUUUUUAUGACCCCACACUACUAGUAUUUACCAGUAGCGCUGGGUAGAAAACACGCUACUACUAACAUAUAACAGCAGUAUUUGUUUGCUUGGGCCGCGCUACUGUUACAUGGGCCGCAGGGCAGAAACAGUAGCCCACUUAGCUGUAGCGUUUGUUCUGAAAGGGCACUACAACUGGUGGGCUUAGCAGUAGCGCGGUGCUCUAACCAGCGCUACUACUAUAUAUAGCAAAAGAAAACCGGCCCGAGUGCCCCCGCACCCCCUCACUCUCACAAUCGAUCCCCUCCGCCCGACGACGCCGCCGCGGUUAGGGUUCGUCCCCGGCCGCCUCACCCCCAUCGACGGUGACGUGUGCCGCCACCACGUGCGGUCGCCUCUCGCCUCCUCCGACGCUCCAGCCCCGUAAGUCCCCCUCUCGAUCUCCUCCUCCCUGUGCGCGCCACACUAGCUAGGCUCCAAUCGAUUUGCCGUGGCGGCUCGCCAUGUUUUGGGAUUUAGGGAUUGCACGGUGGCUCCGCGCUUCAAUGCAUGGCUCCAAUCGAUUUGCCGCGGCGGCUCGCCACUCCCCUUGCUGCCCCUACGCGGCGCUCCGCCCUCUCUGUUAAUUAGUAUCACAUAUGGAUUAAUAGGAUUAGUAUCACAUAUGCAUCUCUAGAUCCUACUGUUAAUUAGUAUCACAUAGGGGAGAGAGUAGAGAGAGGGGUUAGGUGAGAGAAGUAGAGGAUUUUGUUGCUCACCGAAACUUAGGAGAGAGUAGAGAGAAGUAGCUAGAGAAGUAGAGGCUUUUAGCACAUAUAAUUGAAACUUGGGUUUCAAUUCUUGGCUGCUGCCCCUGGAGGAGUGGUGGCUACGGCGGUGCCUAGUGUUCUAGGGUUUAGAGAGGGGGCGUCCAUGUCGUGCCUUUUCCGGAGAGGAGCCACGGGCGGCGUCGGUUGCCGUGUGCCGUUUCGUGAACGCCUCCACAUGCUCAAGUUUGUCGAUGGUGGUCGUAGGAUCGGCUCCCCUUCUGAAAUGGUGCCAUGGGAGCUUUCGAGAUACGCUCCUAGAGCCCUGGUGUCGUCUAGCUCUGAUAUGACGACAACAGUUGAGGGUUCACCAUAGUGCUCGACCGUAGAAUCGUGAGCAUUUUUUUAGCUCUGAUAUGACAGCAACGGUUGAGGGUUUCAAUUCUUGGCUACUGCCACUAGCUUCUUUGUUGGACUGAACUUUAUGUUUACUUUUUAGUUGUUAUUUUGCUUGCCAUGUGAACUCUAGCUAUGAAAACUUUAUGUUUACUUUUUGGAUCGUUAAUCCUUUAAUCAUAUUGCUUUAGGGAAAUGGCGCCACCACCACCACCACCAUGUCGACGGUGCAAGUCAAGGUGCGCCAGCAGCCUUGCAACUGGCACGCUGUUUGGCAUCUACUUCGAAUCUAGUUUUCUUCAUGCGGCGGUAAUAAAUUAUAUGAAACUAGUAACUACUAUUUUAUUUUUAGUGUUAUUGGCAUUAAUGCAUCGUGUAUAUAUCAUUUUGCUUUUUGUACACAAAUCGUCCCAUACAAUGUGAGGUCAGAAGUCAACAAUCUGACUAGAGACUUUGUGACCUUUGAGGCUCCUGGGGGCCCCUACACUAUGGAGAUCGAGAAAGGGCAAAAGAUGAUGCGGGUGGGAGGAGAUGGAUGGGUCCGUUUCAUCGACAACAUGCGUAGCACCGGUGGUGAGUUGAUCAGCUUCUCCUUCAGAGCUGAAAGACCCAAGCUGGCGGUGAUUUAUGUCAACAAAGCAGAAGAUUAUGAGGAUGAUGAGGAUGACGACGACCCACUCGAUGAUGCCAUCGUAGCUCAAAGAAUGAAGUUGAGCGAGGAGGAGGUGUGCAACCUAUGGGACAUCAUUCCGCCACGUGCUGACUUCGUCGGGGUGCCAUUCGUGACCCGCCUGACAAGUACCAUGGUUGAUCGGCAUAUCAAGGUAUGUUGCAUUUACUGUAGUUUUUAGAGUAAUUUGAUGAUAUGCUUUAUUGUUAUACUUAGUGUAGAGUCCGAUGAUAUAUAUGCUUAGUGAAUCUUAUAUGCUUUAUUGUUAUAAUUUAGUGUAGAGUCCGAUGAUAUAUAUGCUUAGUGAAUCUUAUAUGAUUUAUUGUUAUACUUAGUGUAGAGUCCGAUGAUAUAUAUGCUUAGUGAAUCUUAUAUGCUUAGUGAAUCUUAUAUGUUUAAUGAAUCUUAUAUGCUUUAUUGUUAUACUUAAUGUAGAGUCCGAUGAUAUAUAUACUUAGUGAAUCUUAUAUGCUUUAUUGUUAUACUUUAGUGUAGAGUCCGAUGAUAUAUUUGCUUAGUGAAUCUUAUAUGCUUUAUUGUUAUACUUAGUGUAGAGUCCGAUGAUAUAUAUACUUAGUGAAUCUUAUAUGCUUAGUGAAUCUUAUAUGCUUUAUUGUUAUACUUAGUGUAGAGUCCAAUGAUAUAUAUACUUAGUGUAGAGUCCGAUGAUAUAUAUGCUUCGUGUAGAAUGUGUGAGGCUACUUAUUAAUUAAUAUGUUUUUCUUAUUCAUAAAUUUCCAAAGAGUCUAUCUGAGAGUUGUGGUAUCAAGCCUGAUGAAGAAGGCUCUGCUGGAAUACGCCUUACCGCAAGGGGUUCCGUCACCACUUGUGCGUACGGCGUGGACACGGACGGUCGCACACACUUCAACUCGGUUGGGUGAAAGAGCUUCCUCGUCGACAAGAAUCUUCAUGUUGGACAGGCAAUCCUAAUUACUAUCAGGAACAACCACCGCCCAGGCUUGAGAAUGAUGGUCGUCAUCGACAUCAUCUAGAACUUCAUAUGCAUGCGUGUGGCUGUUGAACCAUAUAUAUGCUAGUAUGACUACCUAGUAGACUUAUCAACUAUGAUCUAUCCAUGCAUUGUUGACUACUAUAUGAGUUUGUGAGAUUGUGUGGUUAUAUUAAAUGUGGUACUGUCGUUCAUGUUUGUGAGAUGGUUCUGUGAACUUAGUUUAUUUGCACUGGACUUGUCUUGAUUUUCAUGAAUAUUGCACAUGACUGCUUUUUUUUAUUUUUUUUUCUAUUUGCCUAGUUGUAGCGUGGGAAGAAAAUAAGGCGCUACUACUACGUGAUGAUAGUAAUAGCGCUGGUGGAGGAAGCAGCGCUACUAAUAAGUAUUUUAGCUGCAGCGCUUGUUCAGAAACGCGCUACUGUUAAAUAAUAACAGUAGCACGGGUGCCCGCGCUACUGGUAUGUAAAAAACCAGCGCCACUAGUAAGCUUUUCUCUAGUAGUGGUAAGUGUCGUUGACUCAACCCACUCCGUAGAGGCCCAAUGGAGCUAUAUGAAGAUCCGCGCCAUUCGAGUUCCUCUAUGCAGCUAUGAUCGGGUCAGUGUGUCAUCAUUCAACUAUCAUUGAUAUGCUGUUAGACUUGUAGUUAUAUCAUCAUGACUUUUUCCAAUAACUAGUGUAGCUUGUUAAGAUGGUUACAUUCGACAUGGUAGAAGCUGCAAGCUGGACCUAACUUCAGCGAAGAAAACUGCUAUCAGCUUUCCUGAAUCAUCACAUCAGACAGAAGAAAUGAUACACAUUUUGUACCUCUUGCCAACAAGAUAUGUCUGCUUAAUUUCUUAUAAGGAGUGUUGCCACUAUCAUUGUUUUAAAUAGCGAGCUAUGCCAAAUAGUGGUGCUUCUCCAAGUCACUACAAGGAGGCUAUAGCCGGAUAUUACAAAACUUUUUCGCACAAUUGUAUAUGAACCCUAUGGCCUUUCGUUUAGCGGCACCCUGCUCAAAGCGCUAUAGAAGGGCUAUAGCCAGCUAUUUAAAACUUUGAUAUAUAUACCCAAGUUUUUCUUCUUUGGAGUUACAAAAGUUCACUAGUCGAGAAAUGCAAGGUAAUCUUCAUAAAUUUCCUUGUCCAAUCUACAACUUGCUAUUGUAUGUAUUCAUAUCAUGCAAUUAACAGAGCAGGGCUAAAUCUAGCUCCUCUACAGCUGCAUGCCAUUCUUCAGAAGCUAACAAACUGCUACUUGCUGGUUAAGCCCUACGCCCACCACACUGCCUUCAAAGCUGCACGGCCUCGCGACGGAGCUCGUGAAUGCCUUCACGACUUCCGUGGAGGCAUCUUUCCGGAGCAAGCACAGGGCGUACUCCAUGACCACGGCAUCACAGGGCAGCAUGAUUCUCCUGUCAUCGCCGCCUGCAAAGCCGAACUCCUCCUCGGACAUCGCUAGGAGCCCGCUGAAGACCGGCGUGCCGAGGUAUGCCAGUGGCACCUCAAACCGCACACUGUCGGCGGUGUACACCACACAGGGGCCCUUCAUUGCCACCGACGGCGAAGUUGCACAGAGCUCGUCAUUGGCUGCUCCUUUCGCCGCUGAUGUGGUCCGGGUGAGCCUCAUCCUCCCGAUGGCCACCAUCCUCUGCCACUUCUUUGCCAUCUGAGCAAGUCUCUUGGCACUAACCAUGUUUCUUUUCCUCCUCCUUGUAUUUCUUUCUUGGCUAGGUUUUAGUAAUGCUGUUUUGGUGCUUGAAUGAACUGAUGUGGUGGUGGUGGUGCUAAUCUGAUGGAUUUAUAGGGGUGAGGGAGAAAGUAAAGAGGGCAAUGCAGUUUAGGUGCAGCUAUCCUGACAGGUUGGCAAGGGACAUGACCAAGGGCUCAGAACAUGCAAUGCUGAAAGACUACAAGGUGAUCUUGAUUUGAUUUUUCUGGGGUCAUUGGUUUGCCACUUGUUGGAUAGAACUAGCAGUAUAGUCUUUGGGUAUGCUUGGACAUCAUAGUGUGCUACCAUACUGAUAUGUUUCAGUGGCAAAUAGUAUAAGCAGCAUAUGACUGAUAUGGAGAUCAUGUGUAAAUUGGGUCUAUUUCUUUUUGUGAUUGCACAACGAGAUAGCAAACCGAUUGUUUUUGGGUGCUUGAUUAAUCAUAUCUUUACGAAAUGAAAUAUAUAGAGUAGCCCCUGACGAGACGGAGAUGUUUUUAGUGUCAAAGUUGCUCCUUUAACAAGAUGAUAAAAUCUCUUUGAUGGUCCACACACCUAGCUCGCUACACCCUUUGUUCCUAAAUAUGAGAUGUUUUGGCAGUUCAAUUUAAACUGCCAAAAUGCCUUACCUUUAAAAACAGAGGUACUACAAGAUUACAAGUAGCUCAUGAUCGUUAUUUAGUGACAGAUUCUCUUCAGUGCUCAAGACACUUAGCUGUAAGAUUAAAAGUAAGCUCAUGUUUGGUAGCUGAACUAUUGUCUUUACAUGAUUUAUUUUCAAAAAGAAAAAAUGCGAGGAAAAUUUGUCCGAACAUAAUGAGAUCGGUGUCCUGUGGAAAAAUUCUAAUCAUUUUUGCACAUGCGGACUUUACUUGAUCACGUUUUCAGACUAUCAAUUUGCAAAUCUUGGUUGGUUGUGCCUGUGUCUUAAGUAAUCGGAGCAAAUCAAGUAGAUCAUGUGCUAGCUAGACCAGCACAGGCUUUCAGUUAAAUGUUCAGAGAGAAUUACUUAGUCCAGACAAUUGGACGAUUGCAUCUCAGUCCGGAUAUCUCCAUUUCAAGAGGGAGCACUCUGCAAAACUUCUUGUCAUUAGGAUAAGAUCAAAGUUUGUUAGCUUCUGAAGAAUGUCAGCAAGCUAGGAUCCUUGUUAUAGGCACUAUUUUUCGUUCAAUGAAAGAUGUCAAUAUGAAGUUAGAAGAUUAGAAAUGGAACAAAGUUUUGUGAUGGAAUUUGCAAAAUGUUCAGUUCAACUGUCUGCUUUGGAGUGUGUAUGCAGCAAUAAAGAUUCAGUAACACAAUUAUAGUUGUGCGUUAACAAACCGAGUAAAUGUGUACACUUUGAAACUACUAAAACUAAUGCAUGCUGCUAUUUUAGAAAAAACCUAACCAAGUCUCGCACAUGUUUUGUUUAAAGAAGAGCUAAUAUCACCAUCAGUACACGAACUUGCAUAGUGUUAACAGAUCCAUACACAAACUUGCAAAAAACAUAAAAGUGGUCACUGAACUCCCAAUAUGGUAACAAUCUGGUACAAAUGACUCGAACAACUGCAAGAUCGGACGCCACGUAGGUGAAUAGCACAUGCCAGCAUUGUGUUCUUUCUCAAGAAAACACACUGGGCAUUUAUGUAAAUGUGUUUAUAAGGUCCUCGCUUUCCGCAUUCCGCAAUUCUCGAUCCCGAGCCCAAAAUCCCUAACCCAUAUCCACACCCAUAUCCGCACUCCCACCGUCAAGGGCUCCCAGCGGCCGCACGCCGAUAUUGCAUGGCUCCCGGCGUCGCAAAAAUGGGUAGUGGUCUUGGUUUGGUGCAUCGCCUGUGAGAAGCAAAGGUUGUGUCCUAGGUGGCGGCAACUGCAUGAAGGUCUCCCGGACGGCAGAGGCAUUUGGGCGGUGGCGGUGGCUUGAGGAAGACGGCGACUACUGGGAUUUGACACCGAAUCAACCACUAUUGUGCACCUUUUGUGUAUUACUCAACGUAUGUUGCAUGAUUUUCAAUAAUGAGUACUCUGUUUUUGUCUGGUUGAAAUAUGCGUAUGAAAUUUGGUGGAAUUUUGUACUGUAAUGUUGACGGUGCUUUGUGUAAUUUUGUUGAAGGAUCCUUUCCUGCACAUACAACAACAACCUCUAUAUACAAACAUAUUCGGUUCUUUUUCAGUUUCUUUUUCUCUCUCAUUUUCUCUAGACUGAUAAAUUCUUUUAAAGAACACUAACAAUGCAUUCAUAUACCACACCGCACCGAAGCUCAAGCUGUAGCUACUUACAUAUAAAAUAUAAUAGGGAGUGGGUGAGUGUGAUCAGCAGAGCAACAAGAAUAGAGUUCAGAGGAGGAUAAACAGAGUUCAGAGGGAUGUUGGCAGGCUGCUCCUUCUCGUCCAGGUCGCUCAUUGACGAUGAACUAGCGGGUGGUGAGGACCAAGUUUUUUGCCAAAAGAAGAUACUAAACAGUUUUACUUCACAUAAAUUCUGAAAUAUGUGUCAUUUAAUCAGGGGUUUUUCUGAAAUAAGGAGCCUUGGCGCGUGCCACUCGCUGAUGUGGCGUCCGAUCUAGCAGCUGCUUGAGUCUUCUGUACCAAAUUGUUACCACAUCGUGAGUUUUGUUGCCACUUUUAUGGGUUUUUCAAGUUUGUGUAUGGAUUUGUUAAUGUUGUGCAAGUUCGUGUACUAAUGGUGAUAUUAACUUUUUAAAGAAUGAGGCAGAAGCUUUGACUUUACAAGCAAACGCUCAUACAUUCAGGUAUGCAUGCAUAUGAGUUAGCAGCUUAGAAUUACAUUUCAUUUAACAGAAAGUUCAGCUGAAUAUAAUGAACAUCUGCUGAUUUAGUAACACUAUGAUAACUAGUUAUCAAACACUUACAUAAGAACUAAGGUAACGAAAUAUACCUCUAAAAACAGAGUACCUUUUUUUAACCCUUUCUGACAUAAGUGAAAAUGGGAGAAGAAACAAUGAUAUGGAGACCACAUGAGAUGCUGGACUGGAGACUGGUCAUGCACAGACAAGACCAUGAUUUGAAGAAAUAACGACGUUGGUCAAACAAGUUGAUUCAGGCAGAAUUACAUCAUCUGAGAUCUGACUGAUCAACAACCAAUCUAAGACUGAAAGUUUAGCGGCGAUCGAUCACGGCCAUGAACGAGUUACUGAUCUCUUAGUCCUACAUGUUUUUUUCAUUUCAGCAAGACAGGAGUCAAAUCAGAGCUUCAGAUAGCAGCAUGAUCAUUGACACUGAUGAUAUCUAAAGCCAAUCCAUCCAUAACAGAGUCACCGAACAGAUCAUGGCAUUGUUCCUCACCAGCUUGCCAAAAUGAUGCUCCAAAUGUUUGGCCCCAUCACAAUCUAAUCAAAAUAAUCAUACUACAACACUGCAUGUGAUGAUCCCUUUGUCCCUGCCACUGCCAUCUUUUCUGAUGACAACUACACCUCACCUUCACAAUGUCCUUCCUAUAAAUUCAGCAAAUGGCUAAGCUCAGCAGCACCACUUCAUCAGCUCAUCCACCUCCAACAGAGCAAUACAAAAUCCAUAGCUCAUUUCUCCAAAUUCCCUGCUGAAAAAACAAGACCCUGAACCAACCAUGGUUAGCGCCAAGAGACUUGCUCAAUUGGAAAAGAAGUGGCAGAGGACGGCAACAAUUAAGAGGAAGAGGCUGACAACAACAGCCAAAGAAGAUGAAGAGUGCUGCACCUUAAUAGCAGUCAAGGGCCACUGUGUCAUGUACACAGCCAAUGGGAGGCUCUUCGAGGUACCAUUGGUGUACUAGGAGCUCCUGAGGAUGUCCCGGGAGGAGUUUGGCUUUGCAAGUGAUGACAAGAUCACACUGCCUUGUGAUGCCAGAGUGAUGGAGUAGGUCAUGUGCUUGCUCAGGAGAAAUGCCUCUGCCGAGGUUGAGAACGUGUGCUGAGCUCCAUGGUGAUAUCUUGUCACCACACUGGUUGUGCGCUGCCAAUUGUUGGAACCAAUAGACAAAUUUGCUGUUUGUAGUUCCUGAAGAGCAUGGAUUCAGAAUCUGUUCUUGUCCUUUGUUUUCUGUAGUUGACCUGGAUAGUGUAGAUAGUUAGAUAUAGGCAAUGCACGAAAUCUUGCACAGUGAAUAAAUAGCUGAUGGAGCAGCUCAUUUAGAUGCCAAUAAUUCAAUACUUCUUUCAUAAUAAUUCUGAAUGAAAAAUACACAAGUUUAAUACAUCUAUCAUAUAAGCCAGGUUAUUAGGAAAAACUUAGAGUUAAUUGCAGAAAACCACCACAUUUGGGGUUAGGUUUGAAGAAAAAUACCUACUCCCUAAUGAAUAAGUGACAUGGCCAGGUAAUACAAUAGCCAUUUUCAAUGUUGAAUCUUUGAGAGAAACUAAAAAGGGAGUUCAGGAUAAAAAUAAGCAAGUAAUAUGUAAACUACAAAAUAAAAGAUAAAAUAGUACUUAGCAGUAUAAGGAAGGUUUCUUCUUAAGAUAGAAAUUAUCAACGUUUACAUAGUACUGAAGAACACCCCUGAAUCCAUACAACUUUGAAUAAGGCAGUCGACAGCCUGAAAAUACUCGGAGACAAUUAUAAAAAACUCGACCCAAGGGGAGAGAUAUCCCGAAGGCAUUGCAUUCUAAGGUUGAGAAAAUGCCCCGAAACGCCAGCUUGCGUGGUGCAAGUAUGCGCAGCGAACACACUGGCUUGCACAACACAAGUAUACACAGCGAGGGACCUUUUUUUGUUAGAACCAAGAUUCGAGCCCUGGUUGGUAGCCCCACUCAGGACGUCAUUACCAACGCGCAUAGUUCUCCUCAAGGACAACUAUGACAGCACAGAUUUGGCAUGUGUUUGUUAUUCAUAAUCUUCAGCUUCAUCUGAAACCAUGGUUAGCAGGCUUGCUUGCAGGCUUGGAAGAUUAAACACUCAAGACAAUUGUUCAUCAAUGUGAAUUUGUUCAUUUCAGCGUGUCAACAUUCAUAUGUACCAUCAUCAGAAAAUAAAGGAGAGGAAAAGUAUAUAGAUACAUGGUGGAUGAAGUAAAAUAGAAGGCAGGUAAUGCAACACAAGAAAAGAAACAUAUAGACUAUUAAUAACAGAACUUGGUGCCAAACAAAUUCCAUUGCAUGAUGUGAAGCUUACAGGGCGCAGUUUGAUAGAACUAUUAGUACUACUUAAGACACACUGGAUCGCUGACAAGUAGCAUAAUACAUACAUAACUAGUUGUUUUUGUUCUUGGCACGAUAACGAGAUGCAGCAAACUACACCAGGAAGACGGCUAAGGAUCCAUCAAUGACCCUCCUGGCCCCUUCGUCUUACUUUCAGCUAGCUAGCUUAACUAUGGCAAUCAAGCUUUUACUUCGCUCGGCCAGUUGUUGCACGUGAGGUGGCAGCGGAGUCGGCGAGGUCAAUGUGCUCUUGCACGAACUUAUCCAAGGUUUUCCUGUGGUCCAUGAAGGCCAUGAGGUUGUACUCGUUGAUCGCCAUAGUGUCGCCCUGCCCCUGCAAGAUGGCCUCCUCAAAGAGGUGGAUGAAAAGGUCGAGCUGGUCAUGCGCCAUGAGGUUCUGCGCGGCGAGAGCGACCUCAAGGCAGAGCUCCGCAGGCGCGGUCACAGGCAGGUGCAGGGCCAUCAGUGCACGGAAUAGAUCAUUUCCAUGAAGGCCGGCGAGCUGGGCAGUGGGGGAGACACCUUGGCGGCGGCCUUUAUGGUGGCCUUUAUGGCUGCGCGUGGCCUGGAGGCGAGCGGUGAGGUUGUCCACCUUCCUGGUGUCAUUGCUGAAAUUGCCAACAAAGUCGUCCAACAUAUGUUUGAAAGAAUCGCCGAAGGUGGGGUCAGAGAUGCAAUGUGCCGCAGUGACGUCCAGCACCCGCCGGAGGCGUCCCAGAGCAUCCGGAUGUGGGUGGGUACCCCCGGCCAUCUCAAGGAGACGAUUGGCGCUCGCAAUAAUCGCCUCCAUGUCCAUGCCGGCCACACUGUUGACCUGAGCGAUCUCCCUCACUCGGUCUUGCUGCCAAGGUGGUAGAAAUAGAGUUAACAAUCACACACGGUUGUUCGUUCAACAAACAUCAACGUAGAAAUGAUGAUUCACAGGAAAAAGCAUGGCUAUUUCAGGCAUGAAUUUACAGAAAGAGGCCAAAGUUACAACUUCACAAAAGCAUGUCUAAUAGCCGACUUAUGGCGUCCAAAAUGAUGGGUAAUAGCCGACUCCCAAAGCUGUCCGUUGCUGUUUCAGAUUGGGAAUUAAUGGUUAACAGGUUCCACUAUGAACCUUACAGGAUGAACUAGCAUUAAUUGAACCCUUAAAAACAUCCCAAAACUAGUGUAGAUUGAGUUGAUAGCAUACUAGUACUAGGAAUAGGAAUUAAAAAAAUUGCCUGAAAGCUGCGCAAGAACAGAUCGAGCAAAUCACAUCUAGGCUUAGGGUUCAGCGGGGAUGGGGGCGGAGUUCGUGCAGUCGCCGUGAGAAGCAGGGCGGUGAGGCGUCGGACGGGUGGCGAGAGAGGCGGAUACAUACCUCGGUGAGGCAAAUGCGGGCGCGACGGGCGGCGGCGGCGGCCGGCACUCCGAUGACGCGGAGGUAGGCGCAGGCGGCGGACUGAAGACUGGGGUUUGAUUUGGGUGCGACUCGCCUUUUUUUGUCCUUUUUGUGGGGAAGGUUGCCACCUGCCAUUCAGCCAGUCGGCCAGAAAACACCAAAGACAAAACAACGGAAAAAAAAACCACGAACAAAAACAUACAGUCAAAGCCCUGGGGGGUCAUUGGGGCCUUCGCUUGCCGAUGUCCUCCACUGUUGACAAGAUCCGUUUGCCAAAGCAUCAUCACGGGCAAAGUUUUGCGAGUCAAAUAAAGCAUCUGUCAUGAAUGAAGGAGCAUGUAUAGAUGCGGUAUCUUGCUGAAGAAAUAUACAGAGGGAGCAUGAAAUUGUGGGACAUCAUUCAAAGCCUCUCAAGCACUCGCCGACACAAGAGGAGACAAGAUCCGUUUGUCAAAGAGUUGUCGCACCAUCACGAUGAAUCUUUGAGAGUCAAAUAAGUCCCUUGUCACAAAAUGAUAGAGCAUGUAUCCAUGUGGCGCACCGAUGAAUACCGCCAAAAACACAUGUCUGCAACCACCAACCUUACGCCAAACACUUUUGGCCAUCCUACGCCUUCACCGCUGCGAGAGAGCUAACACUUGAUGACUUCUACGCAACAAGACAUCACAUUCCUCACAACGACAUCGGAGUGCACACAACCCCCACAAUGUGAGGAAGCAAGAGAACACGCUUCUAUAGCCUGGUCUCGGUCGCAGUCACACUGAACGAAAACAUGCGGGUAUGGUGGUCUUCUAUAGAAGGCCUUUUAUUUUGAAACCGCUUCGCCGCCCUAAGCAUUACCGUGAGAAAACGCUAAGCAUAUCUAGGACUAGGGCACGGGGCACUUGGUUCCCUGCCCCUUCACCGCUGGAGUGACAGGUGGAUGAGGCAGGGGCAUGUGGCCUCAUCAUCAAUGGUGGACGACAUGGCAUAACUUGAGGGAACAACCCACAACUCGUCCCUCGCGUUGCCCGAGCCGGACGACUCGAGGGAACCCUAGCCACCGCCAGCCGGCCCUCGACCUCCCGUCCACCCCCGCGUCGCCGCUGCCGGAGGGCUGACCGACGAAGUCGCGUCGGGCCCCGGGAUGGUGGCCGAGGGGCCGUUUUUUUUUCUUCCCCAUCGCCCCCAUACCNNNNNNNNNNNNNNNNNNNNNNNNNNNNNNNNNNNNNNNNNNNNNNNNNNNNNNNNNNNNNNNNNNNNNNNNNNNNNNNNNNNNNNNNNNNNNNNNNNNNNNNNNNNNNNNNNNNNNNNNNNNNNNNNNNNNNNNNNNNNNNNNNNNNNNNNNNNNNNNNNNNNNNNNNNNNNNNNNNNNNNNNNNNNNNNNNNNNNNNNNNNNNNNNNNNNNNNNNNNNNNNNNNNNNNNNNNNNNNNNNNNNNNNNNNNNNNNNNNNNNNNNNNNNNNNNNNNNNNNNNNNNNNNNNNNNNNNNNNNNNNNNNNNNNNNNNNNNNNNNNNNNNNNNNNNNNNNNNNNNNNNNNNNNNNNNNNNNNNNNNNNNNNNNNNNNNNNNNNNNNNNNNNNNNNNNNNNNNNNNNNNNNNNNNNNNNNNNNNNNNNNNNNNNNNNNNNNNNNNNNNNNNNNNNNNNNNNNNNNNNNNNNNGCCUCCCCAGUGGUCUCUUCACCGGCACGAUCUUGGCGCAGGGGGCCUCCUCCGACCCAGAUGGGAUAUGGGUACCCCUCGCCCGGGCAUGGUGCUCACCGGUAGGUCUGCCAUGGCGGCCGGCGUGGCCUCCUCGCUACAUCCCUCUCCCCCCGGCCUCCACCACCCUCACCCCUACUCGGCUCCAGGUCUGCCUCCUGAUGAGGCGGCCGUGGAGGCAUGGGGUUAUGCCCAGCAGCACCUGCUUCCUGCAGUGCGCCGGCCGGGGAUUUUGGCUAUGCAUGAGCUUCACCACCCACCCUCCCCCAGCAAGGGAGGCUUCGGCCCGGCGGCAAUGGACCUGCGCUCCUUCCUGCGUCCAUGGUCGGUCGGCGCGGCUUCGGAUCCGGUGCACCACAAGGGUUGUGCUCUUUCCAGCACCUUUGGCUCGUUGGCUCCUCGCCAUCUCCACACCCAUCACCCUGCUAGUGUCCUUGGUUGGUCGUCCAUCCCUGUGCAUCUAUGUUCUUGGCACGCUUCAGGAGUUGCGUCCCCUUCCAGCUCCAUGGGCUCACCUGUGCUCUGCUGCUCCAGUCCCGGUGGCCUUGAUCUGCGCUCUUUCCAGAUCCCGGCUUGUCCAGGGCUCCGGCCAUCGUCACAUCCUGCCACCAUUCACUCCGCUCAGCCACACAACCUUACCCUCCUCCGGAGCUCGCAUGUCCGGCGGCACCCGGUGCCCCCUUUGACGUUGGGCGUGGUACCCCUUCCUACAGUCGCAGUUCUGGCCAAUACUUGAUUUCCUCUUCUCCGACUCGUGCUCCGACGGCUUGGGAUUUCUCAAAAUUUGGCCAGGGCAAAAUCCCGCUUCUAUGCUGCCAGCGGCGAUACUUGCAGGUGUCGUUCCCUUCUUGGAUGCGCUCUCAUGGCUGCGAUAUGUGCCCCUUUUCGAGCUUCAGGGGAAACACUAGGUCCAGUUUUCCGAAUCGUACAGCGGCGGCGGUGUCUUAGUGUCGUUCUCCUUCGUGACGGUAUUGUUUUGUUUGCUCGCGGUGUCCUCGAUGCUGACUUCGGAGAUGUCGGUCGUCUAGUUGUUGGUCAGAUUGUUUCUCUGGUCAGUGAGUUUAGCUGUGUUUUCUUUGCUUGGGUCGAGUUUCUCAUGUCUCUCUAUUUCGGGCAUCAUGUUCACGCCUCUUGCGUCCGUGCCAUGUGUUGUACCACCUCAUGUACUCAUUUUAACUUCUUCUAUCAAUGAAAUGAUACGCAAGCUUUGCGUAUUCGUGAAAAAGACGGCAUGGCGCUAGCUAAGCUUGUAAACAUGGAAAUCGGAGUAGCUACAUGCUCCGAUGCCAAAUUGGGUUGGACAAUAAAAACGUUUGAUUUGCAUUUCAAUCUCCUCAUGCAUGGGUGGAAUUGAUAAAAUAUUUAGGGAGGGGGUUGUUUAUACUAAUUUGUGUCAAAAUCAAGCCCAUGUUGCAAGAGAUCACAAAAUGGCUAUACUAGAGAGAAACAUGAAAUUCGACACAUAUGCCAUAUGUUGUUGUUGUGAGAGAUUUGGCUUUGGUCACAUUGUGGAUGCCCUAAAAGAGAUGUUGGUUUCUAUAUCUACCCCAACUUACUUUCAUGGGGUACUACUAUAUCUCCUCUAUUACGGAUCCACCUUUGAGCUCAGGCUCAGUUGCAUGCACCCGUCCCGACGAAAAAAAAUCAAAACAAAUACUAGAAAGAAUUUAAAAAAUCCAACUUUUUGUGUGGUAGAUAAUUUCAUGCGUGAGGUCCGCUCCAAAUUUUAAAUCAUUUGAUCAUCUGAGCAGCUCUUGGCAAAAAAGACAAAUUCAGGGUCUGUAAAAAUGUUAAUUGUUCACGCACUAUUCUUACCCGAUUUGACUUUUUUGCUAAGAGCUGCUCAGAUGUCCCAAUGAUCUAAAAAUUGGAGCGGACCUCUCGUGAUAAAUUUUCUACCAUGCAAACAAGGAAUUUUUUGAGUUUAUUUUUAUUUUUUAUGAUUUUUUUUCUGACCAGAUGCAGAUGAGCUCGGGCAUCGAAACGCCGCACUCCUUUAUUACGAGCAACAACAAGAGUUGUUGCUCACUAGCAUUGGCCGUAUGGGCCAGCCUCUUGAGGUGGCUUGUGCCUUCUAUUGUUUUCUUUUGUUGUAUAUUUUUUCUUUCCUUUAUUUCACUUUAUUGUUCGCAUUCUAUGUAUCUCUUAUUGUUACUUCCCUUUUAGUGAUUUAUUAUUGGCUUUAUUGUCCUUUUGUAAAUAACAAAAGAAUCUUAAAUAGAAAAACUUUUUAAAAACUGUGUUCUAAAUUCUAAGUCCUAUUUUUGUUUCAUUUUAUUAUCAUUAUUUUGAUAGUAUUUUCUUGGGUAAAUACAUGGCUAUUUCUAAGAGAUGCACAGACUGUAGAUAGAGACCUCUGAAUUGAAGCUAAGCAUUCUCCAUCCUACCUACCAUGUCGACCGAUGUCGCAGGUGGUUGCACCUGUCAUGAAAAAACAUAGCGAGGUAGAGCUCUCCUGCGACUAGGUGAUGCACAGUACAAACGUUAACAUCAUCUCACAACCAGAAGGAGCGUCGUAAGAGCAUUUCCAACAGCCGCGCUAAACUAGCGUCGCGCCGCAAAUUAGGCGGUUUUAGCGCGCGCGCAACGCGUCGGGUCGCUCCAGCGGGCGCGUAAAAACGGCGCGCGCGCUAUAACGAGUUGGGCGCGCGGUCGAAAACACUUAUCUGCGCGGUGUAUUUCGGGCGCCCGCUACAGCGUGCGGCACACUCGAGCGCUCGCGCCGCACUCUCUCCUCUCCUCCUACGCCCCGCGCGCGCCGGCACCGGCCCUGCCACCCACCCAUGGACGCGCACACCGGCACCCCGCUNNNNNNNNNNNNNNNNNNNNNNNNNNNNNNNNNNNNNNNNNNNNNNNNNNNNNNNNNNNNNNNNNNNNNNNNNNNNNNNNNNNNNNNNNNNNNNNNNNNNNNNNNNNNNNNNNNNNNNNNNNNNNNNNNNNNNNNNNNNNNNNNNNNNNNNNNNNNNNNNNNNNNNNNNNNNNNNNNNNNNNNNNNNNNNNNNNNNNNNNNNNNNNNNNNNNNNNNNNNNNNNNNNNNNNNNNNNNNNNNNNNNNNNNNNNNNNNNNNNNNNNNNNNNNNNNNNNNNNNNNNNNNNNNNNNNNNNNNNNNNNNNNNNNNNNNNNNNNNNNNNNNNNNNNNNUUUCUUAUUUUUUCAAUGCAUCAUCACAUAUAGAUAGCUUAUUUGCAUUGUUCAAAAAACUUUGUAGUCUCAACGAUGAUGCAUACAUGUCCACUAUGGGUGUUGGGUCCAACAAUUCGCAUUGGUCUCAAACCAAUGACGUCCAUUUCGAAGACCAUGAGUUUGAGGUGGAUGAGGAGGGUGAGGGAAUUGUCGAGACGCCGAAAGGAAGAGCGGGCAAUUACUCCACCAACGAUGACAAGUUACUAUGCUAUACUUAUUUGCAAGUGUCGAGGGAUCCAUCCAUUGGAGGUGAUCAAAGUAGAGACGCGUAUUGGGGGCGAAUGAAAAAACACUUUGAUGCUCACAACGUUAGUGGAAUUGACCGCUCCGAGAGAUCACUUCGGUCCCGAUGGUCGACAAUCAACUCGGAUUGCCAAAAGUGGGCGGCCGCACAAAAGUUAGUGGACAAGAUUAACCCAAGUGGCACAAAUGAGGAUGAUCGAGUAAGUGGCAUCUUAUAUAUGUUCAUCAUACUUGUUUUUGGUGACCGAAGUGCUAACUUAUUUUGUUUUUCUUGUAGUACAACAUUGCACAAAACUUGUUCAAAGAAGAGACAAGGAUAACCAAGAAGGGGGAGAUCAAGAAAGGCAGGAUCUUUACCUUGCCUCAUUGCUAUGAAGUGUUAAAGGAUGAUGAGAAAUGGAAGAAGCGUGAAGGUUUGGAGGAUUUGCAUUUGAGCAACAAACGGAAGCGAGCAAUUGAGAUGAAUGAUGAUGAGGAGGAGGAGGAUGCAUCAAGUGAUGACGGCAAGAGAAGCCCCACACCCAACUCGAUUUCAUACUCGAAGCCAAAACGACCGGAUGGGUGCAAGAAAGACAAAACCGAAAAGAAGAAUAGGAAAGGAGAUGAUGAGCUCAAAAAUGCUAUGGAAGCUAUUGUGAAGGCAAGGGUCGAAGCCAAUGAGGUGAGGAAAAUGGCAAGGAACCAAGAUGCCGUGGCCGAGGAGAGGAGGUUGGCGGCCGAGGAGAGAAGGGUGGCGGCCGAGGAGAGGAAGGUGGCUUUGGAGGAGAGGAAAGUGAGCAAUGAGGAGCGAGCUAAGUUGUUGGAAUGGGAGAAGCACUUGUUCUUCUUGGACACAUCUAACCUCAAUGCGGCGCAAAAGGAGUAUGUCAAUCUUGCCCAACAAGAAGUCUUGAUCCAAAAAAGAGCCAUGGUUCAUGCAAUGGGUGGCGGUGGCCUCGGCGCCAUGGGUGGCGGUGGCUUCGGCGCCAUGGGUGGCGGUGGCCUUGGCGCCAUAGGAGACAUGGGUGGAUUCGGAGUCAUGGGAGGCAUGGGUGGACCUCCGGCCGCCAUGGGAGGCAUGGGUGGACCUCCGGCCGCCAUGGGAGGCAUGGGUGCACCUCCGGCCACCAUGCGAGGCAUGGGUGGCUUUGGAUCACCCUCCGACGCUAUGGCCACCAUGGGAGGCAUGAGUUUUGCUUCUCUCAUGGGAGGCAUGGGUGCACCUCCGGCCGCCAUGGGUGGAAUGUCUUUCGAUGUGCCUUCUCACACAUAUUUCCAUGGAGAUGCCGUUGAAGAUCUUGCCAACACCGUCGGAGCUUCACGUGAUGCAGUGCGUGAUGAGGAGAGGGAGGAAGAUUCAUCUUCGGAGGCAGAAGAGUCGUCUUCGGAAGAUGAGGACGAAGACGAGAAAGAUGAAGAUUGAUGUGUCAUGUCUUGAACUUUAGUUUGCAUUUGAACUUGGUUGGAUGAACUUGUGGGCAUGAACUUUUAUUCAUCAUCAACUUGUUUGUGUCAAAUUUCACAUGUUCAUUGCAUUUUGAUGAAUGUUUCAAACUCACUUUAUGUCCAAAAAAUCAUAUAUGUUUGCCCGGCGAGUCGCGCGCGCUGUAUUUCUGCGCGCUGCUGGAGCGCGGCGCGCGUGCUGCAUUAAAGCGCGACUGCUGGAGCCAGCGCUGGCGGCCGCGCUAAACAUACCGAAGCGCGCGCGGCAAACAGGUUUUUUGCGUGUGGCGCUUUGCGCGGCUGUUGGAGAUGCUCUAACUAGAGGCUGCGCAACAGAGGCAUGUUUGUCCACAUUUCUGUCACCUCCUAAUCCCACACAGGGCACGGUGAUGUAAUGAACACGUGCUCAUCUAUAGCGACGACUCUUGCUCAUUUAACGAGUGUAUGAUAAACAAUGACAAACACACAAACACACGCGUCCUGAUGAAAGUAAGUAUACACUUGUUGAUUAACAUAAACGAGCCAAUUUAUAAAGGCAUCCUUUGGACCACCUACCUCAUGCAUGCGCCUUGCUUGAUUCACUUGCCUUUUUAUCCACCAUUUAUGAUACACAUAUUUUCCGUCUUUGAUGCAGCUCACCCUCGUAUUAUUUAAGUUGUAUGUAUAUAAGAGACAUGUUAUGCCUCGUGUUCAAGUUCGAUACGUACAACAGACAUGUGUUAUGCCUAGUAUUCAAGUGUCAAAUUGUCUGCAAUACUAAUAUGCUCCAUAAACUUAGGGAUCAUGUUUAUAAAAUUUCAAAUCAUAUGAAUAUUAAAAGUAAAGGAUUGGGGUGCUCUCUCCACUCGUGCUCUCUCCACUCUAAUCCUUAGAAAUUUUCCAUGAGGUCUCACCGAAUACUAAGAAUCCUUAAGAAUUAGGUCAACAUAUGGGCACAAUCCAAUGGAAUACAAUACCUUCGUUCUUGUGAAACCAACGUCAUGCAUAGGAAAGAUUCUAAAGUUCAAAAUCCUAUGUGAAUCCUCAAUAAACCCCACAAACCGAAGGAGACAUUAAGAUUUAGCCAUACAAAUUAAUGGUGCUCCCUUGAUUCCACAAAGCUUUUCAUUCUGGAGGUACCAGUCCAAAUUUCAAAUGGGGCUACGGUAUUGGGAAAAAAAAAUCACUACAUGUAUGUUUGAAAAGGCAUAAUAGAGAUUUGUGCUGGAAAUACUUCCAUGCAUGAUACAAUACAAUAGUUUAUAGAGAUUUUUUUCGCAAAAAGCAACAAGUGAGGUUGAUCAGUAUUGAUAUUUUUGUAGGCCGUUUCAUGUGUUUAUUCCUUCUAAUGAAAACCAUGACAAUAAAUGUUGGAGAAACAAUGACAAGUAAGUUUUCACAUGAUAUCGAUCUACCCAUGAAAACAAGCUCUAACAUAUUUCAAAAUGUGCAAAUAUAAAAUCAGAUAAAAUAUCCGUGAAAAUAGAACUACACUUUCUGGCCACGCAAACGUCACAUGCUAGUUCAAUUUGUAAAUAAACUAGUACCCAACUUCCAAUGUCCCUUGCUUUUCUCUUUUAGCCAUUCCAAACCUUUUUUUUCAUCGGUUGACGUGAUUUUUCAACAUCCAGAAUUUUAUCUACUCCAUGAAGAUGAUACUUGAUUUGAUUUGUCUGGGGCCAUGAGUUUGCCACUUAUCGGACAGAACCAGCAGUGUAGUCUUUGGGUAUGCUUGGACAUCAUAGUGUGCUGCCAUACUGAUAUGUUUCAGUAGCAAAUAGUAUAAGAAGCAUAUGAUAUUACUGAUAUGGAGACCAUGUGUAAAUUGGCUGGGGUCCAUUUCUGUUUGUGAUUGCACAGCCACAUAUCUUCAAUGGUUUACCAAAAAAGAAGAAUAAAAAAAACUUCAAUGGUCCAUAUAUACAUCUAAGCUACAGAUUACAAGUAGCUCAUGCUUGUUAUUAAGUUAGAAAGUGCCUUCAGAGGUCCAGACACCUUGCUACAUGAAUGAUUACAAGUCAUCGUUAUGCAAUGGAACUCAGCAGUCAACACAACACACAUCAGAGACAUCAGCACCAGCUUGAAAAUGUGACAUGCCACUUUUUCACAGGAAAAAUGCAAGAAGCAGAAAUCACCAUGUGAGAUGGCUCAUAUGUCUAACAGACGAGAAAUGCAAGAAGCAGAAGUCACCAUGUGAGAUGCCGAAAAUCAAACAGAUCAUGUGCUAGACCAGCACAAGCUUUCAACUCAAUGUUCAGAAAGAAAAGAUUGCUAGGAGCAUCUACAAUUGCGUGUCUCCAUCUCAGGGGCCGCCCUAUAUACUUAAAAUUAUUAGGAAUUUAGGAUAUCAUUACCACCCAGAAGAUCAAUUGGUAUCUCAUUGCGCAAUCACAGACGGAAAUGGGCCCACUUCCAGGUCAUGUAAGUCUAUUCUUGGCCACUACUUGAAACAAGUCAGUAUGCCAGCAAUUAGUCUCCAACAAGUGGCAAACUCAUGGCCCCAGAGGAAUCAAAUCAAGAUCACACAUUGCUUGCCCCCUGCACUCUUGCAGCAUUGCAUGUUCUGAGUUCAUGGCUCUGUCCCUUGCCAACUUGUCAUGAUAUUGAUAGCUACAACAGCACAUCAUGAUGCUUCUCUCCCCUCUCACAUAUAAAUCUAUCAGCUUACCACCACCAUCUCAUCAUCACUUCAUCCACAAGCCAACCACUACAGCACCUGUUACAAAAGUUUCUCUGAACUAUUAGCCAAGAAACAAGGAGAAUCAGCCAUGGAAAGUGCCAAAGAGGCUUGCCCUACUAGCAAAGAAAUGGCAGAGAAUUGCGGCCAUGGGGAGGAAGAGGAUCACCCAGACUGCAACGGCAAAAAGAGCAGCCGAGGAGUGCCGCGCGAUGACCCCAGUAGCAGUGAAGGGACACUGUGCGGUAUACACCGCUGAUGGGAGCCGGUUCGAGGUGCCACUGGUGUUCCUCAGCACGGCAGUCUUCAGCGAGCUCCUGAGGAUGUCUCAGGAGGUGUUUGGAUUCUCAGGCGGCAAUGAUGGCCGGAUCACGCUGCCCUGUGACGCUGUGGUCAUGGAGUACACCAUGCGCUUGCUCCGGAGAGAUGCCUCCGCCGAAGUAGUGAUGGCGUUCCUGAGCUCCAUCGCGAGGCCGUGCUGUUUUGACGGCAGUGUGGCGGCGCCAUGCAUAGGGCUUAGCCAGUAUGUAGCUGUUUGUUAGCUUCUAAAGAAUGGCAGGUAGCUAGGAUCCUUAUCCUAGGCGCCAUUUUUGCUCAAUAGAAGAUGUAAAUAUGAAGCUAGUAGAUUGGAAAUGGAAAACUAAUUUGAUGAAAUUUGCACGCUUUCUGAUCAGGCUAAGUGUUCAACUGUUUGUUUCAGACUCAGUACGUAACUGGCAAAGCUUCAGUAACACAGCUAUAUUUGUGUUUUAACAAACUGAGUCAAGGCAUACACUUUAAAACUACAACUAAUAUGCGCUGAUAUUUUAGAAACUAUAAAACUAACGAGUCCUGCACAUGUUUUCCUUGAAUAAUGACAUAGGAGCUUUGCCUGUCAUUGAACAGAAAAACAGAGGGUGUAGAUUCAAGUAUGCAUACCACAUGAGUUUAACAAAUGUUACCUGCCUAGAGUUAGAUGAAAGAAAACUUCCAUUAAACUGCUGAAUAACUAAUUGACACCUGCAGAUUGAGCAAAUGAGAACUAGUUACCAGACACUUGAAUAAUCCUAGAUAAAAACCUCAGCUUUGUGAAGAAUUAAGUAGUGAAAUAUACCUUUCAGAACAGAGUUUGUAUUUCUUUCUUUCUGACUUAGAAGUCAAAAUGGGGGAAAAAGAGUGAAAUGGAGACUACAUGAGAUGAUGGACGUGGAUCGGAUCACAAGCUGAAAAAACAGCGACAUCUGUUGAGCAAAUGGAUUCAGGAAGACGAACGCAUCUGACCGAUCAACAACCAAUCUGAGGCCAAAAGUUAAGAGGCGACCGAUCAUUGAAACUGAUGAUAUAUCAACCCGAUCCAUCUGUAUCCAAAUCACAGAAUAGAUCAUGGCCUUGUCUUCACCAGCUUGCCAAACUGACAAAUGAUAUGAGAGCAAACCAAUGGUUUAAUGCCACGGCUAUUGGAUCCAGCAUGUUCCAAACAUUUGGCCCCAUCACAAUCAAAUCCAAAUGAAUCAUACUACAACACUGCAUGUGUUGAUCCCAUGGCCAUGUCUCUUGCCAUCUUUUGUAACGACAACUACACUUCACCAUUACCAUGUCCUUCCUCUCGGAAGUAAAUUCAGUGAAUGGCUAUGCUCAACACCAUCAGCUCAUAUACCACCAACUAAGCAUUACAGCAUCCAUAGCUCACUUCUCUGGUUUCCAGCUGAAAAACAAGACCCGGAAACAACCAUGAUCAGCGCCAAGCGACUUGCUCAAUUGGCAAAGAAGUGGCAGAGGAUGGCAGCAUUUAAGAGGAAGAGGCUGACAACAACAGCCAAAGAAAAUGAGAAGUGCAGCAUCUCUGUAGCAGUCAAGGGCCACUGUGUCAUGUACACAGCCAAUGGGAGGCGCUUUGAGGUAGCAUUGGUGUACCUCAGCACGACGAUCUUCAGCCUGAGGAUGUCCCAGGAGGCGUUUGGCUUCGCAAGCGAUGGCAAGAUCACACUGCCUUGUGAUGCCAGAGUGAUGGGAGUAUGUCAUGUGCUUGCUCAGGCGAAAUGCCUCUGUCGAAGUCGAGAACGUGCUGCUGAUCUCCAUGGUGACAUCUUGUCACGACACUGGUUGCGCAAUUCCAGCUGUUGGAGCCAGCAAGCGAAUUGGUUGUUUGUAGCUCCUGAAGAACAUGCAUGCAGAGCCUGUUCUUGCUCUCUGUUUUCUGUAGUUUACCUGGAUAGUGUGCAUAGUUAGAUAUAAGCAAUGGAGAAGGAAAAUUGCUGUGUAAUGCACUAUAAUCUUGCAAGCAAUCAAGCAGCAACGCCAGUAACCGCAGUUGUUUUUCUCGUAGAUAUACAUUGCAUUCAGUGAAUAAAUAAUUGAUACAACCGUUCAUUUAGAUGCCAAUAGUUCCAUAGCCAGGUUAUUAGGGGGAAAAGAAUGAAUAAGUGCCAUGACCAGGUGAUACAAGAGCAUUUUUGAAUGAUGAAAUGAGAGAAGCUAUUAAAGGGCCAUCAGGACUUUGGGAUAAGAAAUAAGCAAGUAGUACAUAGAUCACAAAAUAAAAGAUAAAUUAGUAAUUAGCAGUGUAAGGAAGGUUUUCUUCUUAAAAUGGAAAUCAUCAACGUUUAAACGUUACUGAACAACUGGACACCCCUGAAUCCAAACAACUUCGCAUUAGGCAGUCGGCAGCCUGAAAAUACUCAAGGACAAUUACGCCAUUUGGCAUGUGUUUGUUACUCAUAAUCUUCAGCUUUAUUUGAAACCAUGGUUAGCAGGCUUGCUUGCAGGCUUGGAAGAUGAAACACUUGUGAAACAAAUACUCAAGACAUUUGUUAAUCAAUGUCAAUUUGUUCAUGUCAGCCUGUGAACAUUUGUAUGCAUCUUCAUCAAACUAAAGGACAGGCAAAAUAUAUAGAUGCAUGGUGCAUGAAUUAAAAUAACAGGCAUGUAAUACAGAACGACAAAAGUAACAUUCAUAUUAUUACUAACAGAACUUGGUGCCAAACAAAUUACGUUGUACAAAAUUAGUUAUAGCGAGCAAGCGCACAGGGCACAGCUUGAUAGCAACUAUUACUACUACUCAAGAGUUAAGACAGACUCGAUCGCUGACAAGUAGCGUAAUACACUAAUGCAUACAUAAGUAGUUGUUCUUGGCUCGACAAUGAUGAUGCAGCAAACUACAUAAGGAAGCCAAAUAGGAUACAUCAACAACCCUCCUUCGUCUUUGCAGCUAGCUAGGUUAAUAAUGGCAAUCGAGCUUUUAUUCUGCUCGGCCGGUAGGUGGAUGUGAAGUGGCAGCGGCAUUGGCGAGGUCAAUGUGCUCUUGAACGAACUUCUCCAAUGUUUUCCUGUGGUCCUUGAAGGCCAUGAUGUUGUACUCCCUGAUCGUCGUAGUGUCGGCCCCGAAGACAGUCUUCUCACAGAGGUUGAUGAAAAAGUCGAGCUGGUCAUGCACGAUGAGGCGCUGUGCAGCGAGGGCGACCUCCAGGCAGACCUCCGCAGGUGUGGCCACGGGCAGCUGCAUGCCC
rnacentral:lncRNA from 1 species